rnacentral:lncRNA from 1 species
CCCAUAGAGAUUGGAAAUUUGAGUGAAAUCCGAUCACUAAACUUGUCGCACAACAAUUUGACUGGACAUAUACCGUCAACGUUCUCAAAGCUCAAGCAAAUUGAGAGUUUGGACCUGUCUCACAACAACUUAAUUGGAAGAAUCCCUGUUCAAUUAACGGAGUUGUACACCUUAGCAGUCUUCAAUGUGUCACACAACAACUUGUCAGGGAGUAUUCCGUCUCCAAAAGCUCAAUUUGGAACCUUUGAUGAAAGCAGUUAUGUGGAGAAUCCUUUUCUCUGCGGGCCUCCCCUGCAUAAAAAUUGCAGCGACCUUGAUUCACCCCCGACAACAGCACCAAAGAGCUCAAACGAGGAAGAAGAAAGUGGUUUGAUGGACAAGUAUGUUUUCUGGGUGACCUUUUUUGUUUCUUACGUGAUUGUGUUACUGGUUAUUGUUCUCAUCCUGUAUAUAAAUCCUUAUUGGCGACAAGCAUGGUUUUCUUUUGUUGAACACUGCAUCAAGACUUGUCAGUACUUUCUUCUGCGAUUUUCCAUCUUCAAAAGGAGUGGGUAGCCUUGUAUUUUGGUGGUUUACAUUUGUAUGUAAUUUUCAUCACUCUUUUUUUAUUUUUCAAAGUUUGAUUGGAUUAUCUGCUUCUAAGUUUUUAGAGCUAGAAUGCAAUAUAUCUGUUAUGGAAAGCAAUAUAUAAAGUUAUGCAUUUUCAAUUAAAACAUUUAAUAUUGCUUUAUAAUUUUUAGUGUUCUGAUAAGAUGAUGUUAAAUUCAACAUAUUGUAGCAUAUAUAUUAAUAAAACCUAUAUUCAUCUAUACAAAUUUUUUAGUCAACCAAACCAUUGAUGUGGUGGCAAAAACUUCACAUUGUUUUCAAGUCUUCAUUGACAUUAGGUUGAGGUUUCAAACCCUAGCGUAAAAGAGGGGGGAGAGGGGUUGUCUGAACCAAAACUUCAUUUCAACAGAUAUCCUUUACCCACUAAAUCAUAUGCUCAACUGAAACUUUUAUAUAUAUAUAUAUCAAACAUGAAUGAUAUAAAUAGUCUUUAAAUUUUUAAAUGAUAUAAAUAUAUAUAUAUUUUUAAAAUGAACAAAAAUUAUAAUAAUUAAUAUGUAGUUUCAUUAUUUUAUUUAAACUCAAAAUAAUAAUAUUUAAAAAUUGAGUUUACGUGAUAUUUAUUUACUUUAAAAUUAAUAAAAUGUAAAUAUAAACUUUAUUUUAUUUUAUUUAUAUUCAAAUUUAAUAAAUGUUUAUCUAAUUUAUUUAAAUUUAAAUAAAUUAAAUAAAUAAGCACACAAUUUUUUUUAGAGAAAGUGAUGACUCUUUUUUAAUGAUGAGAUGUUAGAAGAUUUACCAUAUGUGUAAUGUGGAGACAAUAACCCUAAUAUGUAACUUUUGCACAAUAACCUUAAUUUAUAAUUAGUGAAUCAUCAAUUAAAAAUUAAUUAAUUGAGUAUUUACACUUGUCCAACCAUAUUUUAUUUAAUAAGUGUCAUGGAUCAUAGGUCAAAUAAGUAUCACAAUAAUCACAGUAAUACCUGCAAAAAUUGAAUCCAAAUAAACAUAUCCAUAAAUUGUUAAUGAAAAUUUGUUCGCAGCGAGAACCUUAACUAAGAUUGGAAGAAUUUAUAUGUUUUUGUCUUUUUGCUAAAAUGAGUAUAAAACAUAUAAAAAAUAAAUUAUGAAUGUUCAUUUUUUUAAUAGUUCAAAAAAAUAUAUUAUAUAUAAUAUAUAUUAUUGUUUUGCAUUUGCUCCUCAAAGAAAAUGGAAACAAUCGUAAGCCUAUGGCAUCAUUAGAAACACCAUUAAUCUUGAUGUGUCGCAAAUCUCUAGAAAGUUAGCCAAAUGAGUAUUCAGAUCUUCAUCUUGCAACCUAUCAAACUGAACAUAUUGUUGUACCAUCUGAAUUGUGUUCGACUUUAGCUCAAAAUUAUUUACAGCAAUAGUCAGUCUGACAAUACUCGAUUCAACCCCAAUCAGAAUAGACUUAGCAUAAUCAUACAUAGUCCGAAGAGUAGGAGCUGCAGGAAGCUGUUGAUUAUUUUUAUGAUUAUCCAUCUCCACAUUAAUAUCCUUUUCCUCUUGAUCGUCUACUAAAAUCUAUUUAUCUUGUCUUUUGCUUUUCUAACCUCUCUAAGAUUUCUACGAGCAGUCUUUUCAACUUCACUAUAAAAAAUUAAUGUUUCUGACGAGUUUCCUCUAGUCAUAAACCAAAAGACUCUAUCAUAAUAAAAAAAUGAAAAAUUAGAAUAUUGUAAAAGUUAAAUUAAAAACAAAAAUAUCAAAAUAAAAAUAAAAAUAGCUAAAUUAAUAGAAAUAAAGUUUUCCUAAUAUUUUAGUCCCCUGGCAAUGGCGCCAAAAACAUGAUGCAGUCAUAAACCAACUAAAAAUCUGACUAAGGCAAGUGUACCUAUCAAUUAAUUGUAUAGUUACGAUGAGCAAAUAAAUCGUUCCCACAAAGACUAAAAGUAGUAAUUACUGUCUUUCUAUUAUUUAAUCGAUAAACUCGAGUAAUUGAUUAAAACUAAAAUUAUUUAAAUUAAUUAACAAUGAAUGUGACAAAUAAUAAAUCAGGAAAAUAAUUGAAUAAUAACCAAGAAGCAAAACAAUACCUAGGAAAAAAUUCACCUAGAUUUCAUCUGUCAUUAUCAAUCUAAAUUCCACAAUUUCUUUACUUAGUAUCUUAAUUCAUAGAAAUCCCUAAAUCAUGCUAAUAUCUCUCUUCAAGAAUAAGAGCAAUAACUUUAGGCUGGUUAAUUGAAAUUUCUUUCUAAUUAAAACCCUUAUUAUCGCAUUAAAUCGCUUUAUGGAUUUCCCAAUUACAUUUGACUCUAAUUCGGUGGAUUUAUAUCAUCCUAUUUCUAAGAUUGCAUGCAACUUCACUCAAUUACGCUAGAUCUACUCUUAAACAAGGUCUAUUCCUUCUCUGAUUUAAGCACAACAAACAUGGAUCAACAAUCUAGAAAUAUUAAACCAAGAGUAAAAUACACAUAAUUGAGAGCAAGAUCUAAGUAUUUAUUGUGUAAAAAUAGAAAUCAAAUAAUAUAAUUCAUCCUAAAGCUUAUCUCUCUAGGUAUUUGGAAAAUUAGUUCAUACUUGCAAAUAAAAACAUCCCAAAGACAAUAUAACCAAAAGAAAUAAAGAAGCUCGUGAUAAUCUCCUAAGAAAUCAACUGUGAGUCUUCAAUCUUGACUAAAAUUUGCUUCAGAAUCGGCUUCAAUGGUGUUUUCGAGUUGUUUUAUUGAGCAUUCUAUGACGGCUCUCUCCCCUCUUCUUAUAUUUGUCAUAUAUAGGUCUUAGAAUGCUCGAAAAACCUAAACAAAAGUGUUUUUCCGCAAGUUUGAAGUGUGACUCGUGAUUUCUACGUAGUCUCGCACAUGACCAUGUAGAAGCUCGUGUGGCCACACGGUCGUGUGUCCAGCCCAUGUGGCUCCUGAAACUUGCUCCAAUUUUCACUUAUUUUUCACUCUUUUUGCUCUAAAAUGCUACUAAGUAUAGAAACAUGAAUUUAAAGGAUUAGGAGCAUAAAAUUCACCAUUUUAAUUCGAAUAAUAAUCCAAAAAUGCAUUAAGAAUGAGGCUAAAACAUGUUACUUUUGGCAUUUAUUAAUUUUGCCAACACCCAAAAUAGUUGCUUAAAGGUACAAAUUUAAACAACCCAAAAAAGGGUCAGUAUAAUCCAAAAAGCGUUGUGUUAGGCUUUUCAUAUGAUAACACUUUUAUAUAGUUGGGAAAGGUAUAACAAAAGUCGGCAUAGUGUUGGAUAAAACUGAUUCUUAUUUAAGCGUUGCCUUAGGCAUGCAUAUCCCAACCUUUAUACAAAGAGUUGGCCAAAGCGUAUGUUAACAAGUCUAUCCUAACACUUAGGAAAGUGUCAGCAUAAUGUUGGACAAACUCGAAUCUUAUUUAAGUGUUGCCUUAGGCAUGCAUAUCUCAAACCUUAUACAAAGAGUUGGCCAAAGCAUACGUCGACAAGUCUAGUUAUUAGCUCAAUAGAUCAAACAGGAAUUGCUAAGAGGGGUGAAGUGGCUUUUAAAAAAAUGUGAAAGCUAGAAAGAAAAUUGAAAGAUGAACAUAAUAAUUUAGAAUGGUUUAGCCCCAAUUGCCUACCCCACUACCUUGACUUUCCACAACUAAGGAUUUUCCAAAAUUCACUAAAUUGAUAACCUUUAAGGAUAAGGUUUAACAUUACAACUCUAUUAAGAUUUCUGUAACACCCCAAACCCGGCUAGACGUUAUAACCGAAUCUGGCGAUGUCACAUGGAAUGGGAUUUGAAACCUCGUUGUUACGAUGAAAACAUUCCAUGCUAUUAUCUUUAGUAAACCUUUGUUAGAACUUAGGAAGUCGUCUUUAUUCAUUUAAAACAUUUGUUUUGAAACAUGCCUCGUUGUGGAAGCUUUAAUAAAACAGUCUAUGUGAUCAUGCGUUUAGAAAAUAAUUUAACUUUUUGAAAACGGAAUUUCCUAAGACCCGCAGGUAUAAAUCCAUAAAGUAAAAUAAAUAAAUAAAAACCCAAAUUUAAAACCAAAAUCCUAGAAGGUCCUUAAAUUACAUCCCAAAUAAUCAAUAAUAAUCAAAUCAUAAAUCGUAAAUUGAAAACCAUGAAGUCGAAAAAUUACGGUGGUUACCGCUAAGUCCUCCGUCGCACCGAUCCAUCUAAGUCUAGGGAUUAACUAUGCACAUUAAACAAAAAAUGUGAGUUUACGUAAACUCAGUGUGUAGUCCCGUAGAAACAAACAAACAAUCAGUAUUCACAGUGCACAGUUGAACAGUCUUGGGCCUAAGCCCUUUUCAGUAUCAGUGACAGUUUGGGCCUUAGCCCAUCUCAGUAUAGUGUCAAAAAUGCAGUAGGUCCUUAACCCAUCACAGUAUUAGUAGCAGUAACAAUUAUGCAGUAGCAAAAUCCUACCCAACCAGCCUCUACACACCAUCUUCGUCUAACCCUACAUUCUAUGUGGGGAUAUAAUCAACCUACCCAUCCCUUUUUAAUAAUAACCCAUGCUAGCUAAAUAUUCUAUGUUUUCACUAUUUACUUAUAUGUUCAUUUAAAGCUGUCUACUUGAGUCAUUGUCACUAAAUUAUUUACAUCUUAAGCUACAGAAUUCCAAAUUAAGAUCUGCUUGAUGUUUUCAAAACUGGACUCAGAUAUCUUUCUACCAUAAAUUUUCAAAAUUUAUAGCUUAUCAAAUAAGUACAGUAAAAUCUUCAAAGUUAUCCCUAUUCUGCCAUUUGACAGCUUCAACCUUUUCCUUACUAAAAAUUAUUAAUCUCUUAGUACGAAAUUUGAAUGAUGUUUCCAUUUGUUUCUCUUGAAAGUAGACUUAUUAAAGAUUUAAAUGUAUAAAUUUAAGCCCCUAAUUAUUUGUUUACAAUUUUUGAUAAUUUUCUAAAAUCAGAACAGGGGAACAAGAAAUCAUUCUGACCUUGUCUCAGAAAAUUUAUUAUAUCUCAUAAUUUACAAUUCUAUUGCUUACACUGUUUCUUCGAUGAAAAACUAGUCUCAAUAAAAUUUAAUUUAAUAUUUUAUUCAACCCUUAACUCAAUUUUCACUAUUUUUGAUGAUUUUUCAAAGUUAAACUACUGCUACUGUCUAAAACUAUUUUUGUGCAAAAUGUUGAUUUCCAAGGUUAUAACACCCUUAUUUCCUUUCUCUACAAUUUUUUUCGCAUCAUUUUCUCUUAUGUCUCGACAGCAAGCGAUUUUGACUUUUUGCUGAAUCCCCUUUUCUGCGUUUCGGGUACACACCUGGUUUCGUUAGAUGCUAAAAUAGUCCCCGAGCACUCCAAAGCCUAUAAUUGAACAAAUAACAUCAAUUUAAUCUCACAUAACGUGAUCCCAAAUCAAACUCAUAUCGAGGUUUUAACCCAUAAGCGACUAAACCUUACCUUCAACUGAUAAUAGUAGUUCCCACACAAACUAAGACUCCGAUUGGUGAUUACAAGCCCUUGAAUCAUCCCCUAAUAGGCAGAAACAAAACACUUUAGAAGAAAGUUAACAAAUAGAGACAAAUCACUUAUCUAAAACUUGUCGAACGAUCGCAGACAAACAUGGAGCGACACGAGGCAGAGUGGGAAAAAAAUCAAGAAGAUGAAGGGUGAAAGAGAGCAGAAAUUUGGCAAUAAUGAAGAGAAAAACAGCAAAAGGGUGGAGGGAUUUUGGGGAAAGUAAAAAAAAAGAAAAAAAAAAUUAACAGAAUAUUUGAUAACCACCCCAAUCCCUUAUUUCUCUCCAUCAAACUCCCCACAAAUCCACUACUCAGAUUUUUAGUCCAUCUCAAACUCUCUUGGACACAUGAGCAAAAAUAAUGCCUAUGCUAAGAUUCAAACACAAGACCUCUUUCACACCAACACUCUACUUAUCCACCAAACCAGCAAGCUAAUUUUGUUAAUUAUUUGCCAACUUUUACUUAAAAGUCUACUGACCAAAUAUAGGACUUAUUCAUAAAAAUACCAAAAUUUGCCCAAGUUCUGGCUUGAACUUGGGACCUCCCAAACACACCUAAAAUACUUAACCACUGAAGUAGAUACACAAUUGUGUCACACAUUCACAAUACCCAAAAUUAAAAUUUUUAGGUGUUACAGUGCUUCUUUUACUGAAUUAAACUAUAACCUUACUAACCUUAUAAAAUGCAUAAAAAACUAAUAAAUCACUUGAUUACAAACUCAUUAAGUAUAGAAUCAAGCUUAAUUUGCCACAACGAAUUGUGGUUAAUCAAUUGUUAAUAUGAAAUUUAUUUUUUUAGAACACCAAAUUCUUUCAACCGCAUUUUGAAGCAGUGGUGGAUCCUAGGACAAAGUUUGGAGGGGAGGCUAGUAAAAUUUUUAGGAAUUAUAAUAUAUAUAUUUGCCAUAACCAUCUAAUACUCAUACUUGUUUAUGCUUAUAAUAUAAUUUUUGUAACUAGUAUAAAAAUAAAUUUUUAAAAUGGGAUUUGAGUGUAAUUACGUAUGUAAUCAUUUUAAUUCUCAGUCCCCUAAGAAUUAAAAAGUGUAAUUGAGUGCUCUAAUUACAGCCAAUUCGUGGGACUCACCAAUCAAUGGUUACCCAAACAUGUCAUCUUUGUGUAAUUACUAGCAAUUACACCCAAAUUCAAUUACUAGGUGAUUUUCCAAACACUGUGUAAUAUGUCGCGACAUCUAAGCCCUUUUGUUUUGUACUUUUUUUAACUUAAUUUUUAAGAGUCCAAGAAAAGUAAAUUACUUAUUUGGUAACACUUAUAUUUAGUCAAGCUAAAAAUAGCUUAAUAAAUUGAUGUUAUUUACUAUAUUUGUCAAACCAUUUUAAAACUAAUUUUGGCUAAGUCAAAAUCACUUUUUAUUCAACUUACCUUUACUAUUUUUAGCCAAUUGAAGUCUUAUAAAUACCUUGUUCAUUUUCAUAAUAUACACACUUGCUCAUCCUUUCCAUCCUUUUAAGAUUGCUAAGUAUUUUUUUGUUGUGAUCUAUUAUUGAUUCCUACUCCCUUUUUAUAAUGAAAGAACUUAUUAAUACCUUAAUAUUUUACUAUUGGUUCUUUCUCACUUUUGUUUUAUUUUCAUCACUUUUAAAAUGUUAUUGUAGCGACCUAAAACUUUCUGGGCACGGGCGCUAGUCGAAGUAAUUAUUGAAGGUUUGAAAACAGUGUCUCGAUUUUAUUCGAAAAAGGGAGUCGCCACCGAUCUUUUUUUUUAGGUGUGAUCGGACACCUACAAAAUUCCCUUUUUAGAAGAAAAAUUUAUUUUUAAGCUUUUCUAAAAAGAGGUAAUUUUAGGUCCACGUAAAAAUCCAGAGAAAAUUAGGGUUCGGGAGUCGGUUACGCGCGAGGAAGGUAUUAGCACCCUCGCGACGCCCAAAAUUGGUAUCUCGUUAAACGCAUGUUGUCUUAACUUUCAAAAAUACGAGUUCCAUUUAAUAUUUAGUCGUGAUCCGAUUGAAACACGAGAAUUUUGAAACACAACAACCCCUUUUUUUUGAAAACACGAAAUUUUUUUAAAACGCAAGAAUUUUAGAAACACGAAAUUUUUCUUUAAAAAAACACGAAAAUUUUGAAACACGAGAAUUUUUUCAAAACACGAAUUUUCUUUUUGAAACACGAAAAUUUUGAAAACACAAAGUUUUAUUUUGAAAACACAAAAGAUUUGAUAAAUUACGAAACAUGAGAUUUUUUUUGAAACACGGAAAUUUAUGAAACACGGUCAAUUUUUGAAAACACGAAAAUUUUUGAAAGACGGGAUUUUUUUUUGAAAACACGAAAAUUUAUAAAACACGGAAAUUUUUUCUAAAAACAAGAAAAUUUUCGAAAAACGAGAAUUUUUGAAAACACAGGAAAUUUUUGAAAACAUGAAAUUUUUUGUUACACUAGAAUUUUGAAAACACGAAGAUUUUUGAAACAUGAGGAUUUUUGAAAACACGAAGCUUUUUGAAACAUGAGAAUUUUUUGAGAACAUGAAAACAUGAAAAUUUGUCAAACACGGGAAUUUUUUGAAAACACGAUAACAUCAAAGAGUAGUCAAGAGAGUUUUUUGAAACACGGAAUUUUUUUUGAAAAAAAGAAACACAAAUAUAUUUUUUUGAAACACGAGAAAUUUUUUGAAAAAAAGAAACACGAAUAUAUUUUUUUGAAACACGAGAAAUUUUAUUAUUAUUAUUUUGAAACACGAGAAAUUUUGAAGACAUGAAAAUUUUUGAAACACGAUUUUUUUAAUAAUACCAUAUUUAACACGAAUCGAUGAUAUUCACCCCGAUAUGGUGAUGAAAUCGUCGUAUUAGUGUCAAAACAAAUCAAAUUAAUAUUUAAUCAGGAUUCUAAUAAAACACGAGGAUUUUUAUUAAAACACGAGGAAUUUUGAAUAUUUUCGAUUUUUAGAAGGGCGUCCCGUAUUUAACACGAGCCAUCGAUAUUCACCCAACAUAGCGAUGAAUUCAACGGCUUGAUGCUAAAUCGGUUCGUUGCCUUAUGCAUUAAAAUAUUUUUUCUAUAAAAAAAAUGCAAAUAAAAUUACAUAUAAUAAUAUUUCUAAACUAUUAAAAAACUAAUUUAAUUGUAAUGGGGAAAUAUUUAAAUAAAUGGACUUAAUUAGAGUGGGUUUAAAAAAUUACCAAAAGCCCAAAGUUAUGGGCUUGAAUUUUGGGCCUCCCUUUUCUUUUUUUUCUUUCUCUUUCUUUCCUGGGCGUUGGGCUGCCGGACUGGGCCGAGUCUGCUGGCCCGCUGGUUGUUGAAACAGGCCUGCUACCGCUGCUGGAUCGAGUACAGGCCUUCGUGCGGGUCGGGUCUGCCUCCUGGACUGGGUCGUGGCCUGCUGUCACUGCUGGGCUGCUCUGCUGCGCGUGGGCCUGGGCUGCUGCUUAGCUGCUGGAGUGGCCUGCUGUUGGCCUGCCCAAGAUGGCCUAUUGCUUGCUGGGCCGGUCUGCCACUGCUGCUGGUGUGGGUGGCCUGCUGCUGGCUUGUUGCUGGCUGCUGGCUGGGUUGGAUCCGGGUCAUCGGGUCGGGUUGGCCCGGCUGUUAUUUUUUUUCUUCUAUUUUCUUCUUUCUUCUUUCUUUUUUUCUUUUUUUCCUCAUUUCUUUUUCUUUCCUUUUUCUUUUUCUUUCUUUUCUUCUUCCUUUCAAACCCUAGCCACCGUCUUUUGCUUGGUGGCGCGACAGUGCCGGCGCUUCUCCCUUCUCCCUUCUCCCUUCUCCUCCUCUCUCUUCUUUCUCUCUUUUUCUUUUUCUUCUCUUCUUCCUCUCUUCCUUACUUCUUUACUGUUUGGGUUGCUGUUUUUUUUUGUUUUCUCUUUGCUUGUUUGUAUAGGUGCGACGGUGGUGGUGGUGUCACAACGGCGGUGCGACGACGGUGGUUGCGGGAGGAUGGUGGUGGAGGCUUUCGGCUUGCUGCUAUUUUUUUGUUUUUGAAUUUUUUCUGCUCUUUUUCUUUUGGUUGCCGAAAAACCUUUUCUUUUUGUUUCGGUUUCCCUUGGCUUUCUAGGUGGCGGUGCGGUGGUUGCGGUGGCGGGGUAGUGGCGCGACGGUGGCGAUGGCUUUUGGGCUGCUGUUUUUUGGAUUUUUUUGAGUUUUUCUCUGCUCUUUUUCUAUUUUUUUUUGGUUGCUAUCCGACCCCCUUCCUUCUCUUUUGAUUUUCUUUUUAAUCUCUUCAUUUUUUAUCCUCUUUCUUCUUGUUUUCAGAUGGCAUGGAGGUGAGGAGCAUGGCUGAUUGGCGGUGUCAGGCGUAGGGUGUGGUGCACGCCCAAAUGCUGGUUGGGGGGCAGUCUUGUCAUUCCCAGAAGGACUGAAUUGUAGAGUGUGCAAAGUUUUUAGGGCAAAAAUGUGAUUUUAGGAAAAUAUAGGGACAAAAUGUAAUUUCUAGAAAGUUUAGGGGCCUGACUGUAAUUUAUAAAAUAUUAGGGGUCAAGAUGUAAAUUUAGACAAAGUUAGGGGUCAAAAAAUAAUUUUUGAAAAGUUUGAGGGCCAAAAUGUAAUUUUUAUUUUUUGUAUUUUUAUUUUUUUCAAAAUUUUAUUAUGACUAUUUUAUUAAUAUUUAAAACAAAAAUUAAAAACGGACUAAAGUAAUUCCAAAAUUAAAUCCUAAUGGGCUCGAUCAUUGGGCCCAUACGAGACCGACCCGGCCUAAAAUUCAAACCGGGCAAAAUUCAGUGAUUACAGCUGCCCCUCUUUGCUCAUCGCUGUAAAACAGGGAUAGAGCAAAGACUUAAAAGCACUGAAUUUUGCUCGAUUGUCUAAUUUUUUAUAUUUUUUGAAAGCCUGAAAUUGAAAAAAAAAAGCUUGGUGUGCGAUCCGAAGUUCAACUCACUUUUCAGAUUAUAAGUUGACCUUUGAAAAAUAAAAAAUAAAAAUACCUCAGCUUGACUCGAGGCUCAACUCACCUCUAGGAUUAUGAGUUAAUAAUUUUUUUUUUUGAAAACAUAAAUUGAAAAUACCACAGCGUGACCUGAGGCUUAACUCACCUCUCGCAUUAUGAGUUGAUUUUUGAAAAACGAAAAAUUGAAAAAUACCUCGGCAUGUGACCCGAGGCUCAACUCACCUCUCGUAAUAUGAGUUGAUUUUUUUUGAAAAACAGAAAUUUAAAAUACCUUAGCGUGCGACCUGAGGCCCAACUCACCUCUCGCAAUAUGAGUUGAUUUUUGAAAAACAGAAAUUGAAAAUACCUCAGGAUGACCCGAGGCUCAACUCACCUCUCGUAUUGUGAGUUGAUUUUUGAAAAAAAGAAAAUUUAAAAGAAAUACCUCGGCGUGACCCGAGACUCAACUCACCUCUCGCAAUAUGAGUUGAUUUUUUUGAAAAACAGUAACUUAAAAAUACCUCAGCGUGACCCGAGGCUCAACUCACCUCUCGUAUUAUGAGUUGAUUUUUGAAAAACAAAAAUUAAAAAAUAUAAUUCUUGAAAGAAACAGGGUUUCAAAACAUCAGGUGAAACUAAAGCCUUCUUCUUCGUUGAUUCUGUGCAACUUUCUCUCAGUAUUCCCUGCUCUACUAAGAUACCUGUAUAUGUCAUGUAUGAUGUUAUUAUGAUAUGCACGUGUUUGACCUAAAUGCUUUUAUGCCUACAUAAUCAUGCCAUGAGCCCUGGGCUGUUUGUCUCAUGCCUCCUUUUCGUGAGGGACUGCAUUCAUUGCCUCAAUCAUUGACUUCUCUCUUCGGUUUUGUACUCAUCUUCAAGUUUGUCGGGUGACCCACAUGUCCAUAUUUCCCCUUCUUGCCCCUUUUGUUGAACUUUGUUCCUGCUUUGGGGUCCUUGUACUUAUCAAAUUCUCAUCCAGGUAAUGCUCAACAUUCAUUUUGUUUAGAGUAUGUCAUCUUACUAUUUAUCAUUUAAAUGAAUCAAACACAAGAUGCAUAAAUAAAAUGGCAAAGUAGGCAUGAAAGAAAUACCUCACAUCCAUUUCAUUUUCAAAACCAUCAAACAAAGAAAAUUGACAAGGAAAAAGUUCAAAGAAAGCAUCAUAUAGAAAGGAAAGUGAAUUCAAUGGCCACAAAUGCUCUAGAUAUCCAACGUAUGAACUUCUCCACGUUUCUUCAUCCUGGAUCCUUUCGAGCACGGCUUCUUGUGUAGAAGAUUUCGAGCUUCUGAGAAUGCUUCAAAUAUUGCGACUUUGUCAUUCAACUCUCCGUUCAAGUCACUUUGCUCCUUUAAGCUCGAGCCCACUUCAUUAGGACGCCCUUUCAGGUUUCCAUCCUAAUUCUUUUUGUUUAUCAAAACGCCCUUUUCAGGUUUUCAUCUUGAUUUUCUUUUUCUUUUCUUUUUUCUUUUUUUGUUUUUGUUUUUGUUUUUUUUUGUUCUUUUUGUUCUUUUUGUUCUUUUAUUUUUUUAUUUUUUUUUUGUUUUUUUAGGCAUAAUAUUUCUUUACAGCAUCUGAGUUCACUGGAUUAGGUAACUCUUUCCCGUCCAUCUCAGUGAGAAUCAGAGCCCCUCCUGAGAAUGCCCUCUUUACAACGUAUGGUCCUUCCCAAUUUGGUGACCAUUUUCCUCGAAAGUCCUUCUGUAUUGGGAGAAUCUUUCUCAGUACGAGCUCUCCUUCGCGAAAUUCUCUUGGCCGCACCUUUUUAUCAUGGGCCGUAAUCAUUCUCUUCUGGUACAUCUGUCCAUGACAAAUUACCUUCAAGCGUUUCCCUUCAAUAAGGUUUAGCUGAUCAUAUCGAGCUCGAACCCACUCUGAUUCCUCUAACCUUGUCUCCAUCAAGAUGCGCAGGGAUGGGAUCUCUACUUCGAUAGGCAGAACGGCUUCCAUUCCAUAGACUAGAGAAAAAGGAGUUGCCCCCGUAGACGUCCGUACCGAGGUGCGAUAUGCGUACAAAGCGAAUGGUAGCUUAUCGUGCCAGUCUUUAUAUGUCUCAGUCAUCUUCCCAAUAAUCCUCUUAAUGUUCUUAUUAGCGGCUUCUACUGCUCCGUUCAUCUUUGGGCAAUAGGGCGAAGAAUUAUGAUGUUUUAUCUGGAAUUGCUCACAUACUUCUUUCAUCAUCUUAUUGUUCAAAUUUAAAGCAUUAUCUGAAAUGAUUCUUUCAGGCAGACCAUAUCGGCAUAUAAUCUCCUUUUUUAAGAACCUACAGACUGUAGCCUUUGUCACAUUAGCAAACGAAGUGGCUUCUACCCAUUUUGUGAAGUAGUCUAUAACCACAAAGAUGAAUCGAUGCCCAUUGAAAGCUUUCGGGGAAAUUGGCCCUAUAACAUCCAUGCCCCACAUAGAAAAAGGCCACGGAGAAGUCAUGACAUGAAGGGGUGACGGAGCUGCAUGAAUUUUGUCGCCAUAAAUUUGACAUUUGUGGCACUUUCGUGCGUAACCAAUGCAAUCCCUUUCCAUCGUCAGCCAAUAAUAACCAAGUCUCAUAAUCUGCCUGGCCAUGGUGAAACCACUGGCAUGUGUUCCACAAAUUCCUUCAUGAACCUCUUCAAGUAUCUUUCUAGCUUCAACAGCGUCCACGCACCUCAGGAGCACUUGAUCUUUUCCCCUUUUGUAUAGAAUAUCCCCGUCAAGAACAAAUCCAAUCGCCAUUCUCCUGAUUGUUCUUUUGUCAUUCUCGUUUGCUUGCUCGGGGUACCUUUGAUUCUUGAUAUACUCCAAGAUAUCAUGGAACCAUGGUCGUCCAUCUGACUCCUCCUCAAUACUAAAGCAGUGUGCGGGGGUCUCAUAUAUACUCAUUUGGAUGGGCAUUAUCUCAUUUUCUCUGUUUGCCUUGAACAUCGAAGCCAAGGUGGCUAGGGCAUCAGCCAGUUGGUUCUCCUCUCGUGGAAAGUAGUUAAAAGUCACUUUAUAGAACUCCUUGAUCAGCUCUGCAACGAGAUCAUGAUAUUUGACUAAUUUUGGAUCUCUCACUUCCCAAUCUCCACGAAUUUGAUAAAUGACUAAUGCUGAGUCCCCGUGUACCUCUAAAAUUUUGAUUUUUCACUUGAUAGCUGCACGAAGUCCCAUGAUGCAAGCCUCAUAUUCCGCUAUAUUAUUUGUACAGAAGAAAUUCAAUCUGGCAGUAAGCGGGUAAUGGUCCCCUUCAGGUGACACUAAGACUACUCCUAUCCCAUGCCCCAAUACAUUUGAUGCACCAUCAAAGCUCAUCUUCCAUGACUUUCCUUUUGAUGACUCGCCCUCUUUUUCUGAAAUACACAUCAAAUCUUCAUCUGGGAACUCAAAUCUCAAAGGCUCGUAUUCCUCCAUUGUUCGACUUGCCAAGAAGUCAGCUAUUGCGCUUCCUUUUAUCGACUUUUGGCUCACAUAUACAAUGUCAUACUCAGUCAAUAGGAUUUGCCAUCGGGCCUUUCUCCCUGAGAGUGCAGGUGACUUCAUCAUGUACUUUAUUGGGUCCAGUUUUGAAAUUAACCAUGUCGUGUGAUACAGCAUGUAUUUUCUGAGCCUUCGAACUGUCCAAAUCAAUGCACAACAAAACUUCUCAAUUGACAGGUACUUUGCCUCAUAUUCUGUGAACUUCUUGCUGAGGUAGUAAAUUGCCUUCUCUCUUUUCCCUGACUCAUCAUGUUGUCCCAGUACGCAACCCAUUGAGUUCUCAAACACGGUCAGGUACAAUAUUAAGGGUUUUCCAGGGGUCGGCGGUACUAGCACAGGAGAAUUAGAUAGAUACUGUUUUAUCUUGUCGAAGGCCACUUGGCACUCCUCGUUCCAUUCUCCCGGAUUACGUUUUCAAAGGAGUCGAAAAAUUGGGUCACACUGAUUGGUAAGUUGAGCAAUGAAUCGAGCAAUGUAAUUCAACCUUCCUAAAAAACCUCUGACUUCCUUUUGUGUACGCGGGGGAGGCAAUUCUUGUAUAGCUUUUAUCUUAUCUGGAUCAACCUCGAUACCUCUUUCACUAACAAUGAAACCUAGCAGUUUUCCUGAGGUAGCCCCAAAUGUACAUUUGGCCGGGUUAAGCUUCAACUGAAACUUUCUUAAUCUUUCAAACAACUUCCUAAGACUCCCAACAUGCUCUCUUUCUUCCCGAGAUUUGGCAAUCAUAUCAUCGACAUAAACUUCUAUUUCUUUGUGCAUCAUAUCAUGGAAUAACGUCACCAUGGCUCUCUGAUAUGUUGCCCCAGCAUUCUUUAAUCCGAACGGCAUUACCUUGUAGCAGAAGGUUCCCCACAUUGUUAUGAAUGUAGUUUUCUCCAUAUCUUCGGGAGCCAUCUUUAUCUGAUUAUAUCCUGAGAAACCAUCCAUGAAAGAAAACAGAGAAUGCUUUGCCGUAUUAUCCACCAAAGUGUCGAUGUGCGGUAAAGGAAAGUUAUCUUUAGGGCUUGCUUAAUUCAGAUCAUGAUAAUCCACGCACAUUCGCACCUUGCCAUCUUUCUUCGGCACUGGGACUAUAUUAGCUACCCAUUCUGGAUACUUUGAGACUUGUAGGAAGCCAGCGUCAAAUUGUUUCUUGACUUCUUCUUUUAUCUUUAACAGCAUUUCGGGUCUCAUCCUUCUUAAUUUCUGCUGAACGGGCUUGCAUUCUGGUUUCAGUGAGAGCUUGUGGACCACAAUAUCCGUGUUUAAUCCUGGCAUAUCUUGAUAAGACCAGGCAAACACAUCCUUGUAUUCAUGGAGCAAGGCGAUCAAAUCUUGCCUUGUGUUUUUUGAAAUCGAAGUCCCAAUCUUCACUUCUUGUUUCUCUUCUUCAUUCCCCAAGUUCACUACCUCAACAGAUUAUUGAUGGGGUAGGAUUUGUUUCUCUUCUUGUUCCACCAUUCUCAGUAAGUCAGGAGAUGAGACACAAUCUUCAACAUUUUCGUCAGCUUCGAAUUCUCCUAAACAAAUAACCUUCUCAAAAUUGAUUUCAGGAUUCAUAACGGGAUUAUUCAUGCCAUUGAUAUCUGAACACCUGAAAGGUGAAUGGAAAAAGGAUAUAGAAGAGUAUUGAGGUAUUGUAAUCAACACACAAUGAUAUGAGAUGAUAUGAGACAUAUGCCAGAAAAGGAUAUGAACAGAAGGAGUAGUCGCAAAGUUAAUGAAAAGAAUAUGACAAUAUAAAACAAAAUGCAUCUUCAUUAAUGUUCAUUGAAAUGAUAAAGAGCAAACAUAAGCUCUUACAAAAGGAACCCUACUGUUUAAGGACACACAAAAUGAAGGGUUAACAUUGAGCAUUACUCUGAAGGGGACUUAAAAACUACAAGGAGGUCCUCAGCAGUCCAGUUGUUCAAAACAUAUCCUGGAGGACAAUGGCGUAUCAUUGAAGCAUUCUUAAUUUCAUCAUUCUCAUUGUCAAUAGCAUUUAGGCUGAGAUUCUGAAGACCCUUUUCAAUCAAUAAUGUGGCUUGCAAAUUGUUCUGCCCUGGGUACAUCACUCCUGCUGAUGUAAAUGUUCUCGACAAAGGAGGAUACGCCAACGGCCCCCAUUCUAAUUCCUGGCCCGAAGCUCUUGCGAUUCUUCUUUCUCGAUUUUUCUGAAAUUGUUUUUAUCUUUGAUGUACAUCUGGCUUGAACCCCAAACUGUAUCGACCCUUAUGGUGCGUUGGUUUCAAAGCUCUAACCAUCCUUUGUUGAUAUUUUCCCAAACCUUUCCUCGCUCGAGCUCCUUUUCCCACAGUCAGCUUAAGUCCCAUCUUGGUAUUCCUCGACAGUUUGGGAAUGGGGAUCUUAUUCCCUUCAGUAACAAAUGCAGCAUUGAUAAAUUUCAAGAAGCGAAAAGAACAUUCUACAGCAUCUUCGCUUAUUUCGAUGUAGGGUGCAUCAGUAGAGAUAGAUGCGACGAUGUCUUCCUCGCCACCAACAGUAAUCAAACGACUAUCCAUGAUGAACUUUACUUUCUGAUGGAGAGAUGAAGGAACUGCCCCAGCAGAAUGGAUCCAAGGUCUUCCUAACAGGCAAUUGUAUGAAGGUGUGAUGUCCAUGACCUGAAACUCGAUAUCGUAUGCACAUGGCCCCACUUUUAAAGGAAUUUCGAUAUUUCCCAUGACCUCUCGCCGUGUCCCAUCAAAUGCCCUUACUAUAGAAUGACAAGGCCUCAGAUAGGACAUAUCAACCGGCAUCCUAGAAAGCGUGGCCAAAGGCAUAACAUUGAGUGCAGAUCCAUUGUCGAUGAGCACAUUUGGUAAUAUGUAACCUUUGCAAUUGGUUGUGAUGUGCAAUGCUUUUAUGGAGCCCCUUCCAUUUGGCGGUAUUUCGUCGUCACUAAAGGAGAUGAAAUUAUCUGCAUUUAGAUUAUUUGCCCACCUAUCAAGCUUUUCCACAGAUACAUUGUUCGCCACAUAAGCUUGAUUUAACACUUUUAACAAGGCAUUCCGAUGUGGCUCUGAAUUCAACAAUAGAGACAGUACCGAGAUACGGGCUGGCUGCUUGUUUAAUUGUUCUACAAUGCUAUAUUCACUGUGCUUAAUGAACUUUAAGAACUCACAUGCUUCCUCCUCAUUCACAGCCUUUUUAACUUCUUCCUCGGGUGGUAUUUCAACAUCAUCCUCAGCCUCAUACAUUGGUGCUUUUCUUUUUUGGCUCGGACCAGCAACCUUCUUCUUUGGCUCAACCGUCUCGGGAGAAUAACAUCUUUCGCUACGAGUAAAAUGUCCUACUCCGCUAACACCUUCACUCACAACCUUGGACUUUUCACCCUCAGGUACAAUGAUAUUGACAUCAUAAUUCUAAGGCACCGCCUUGUUGUCCUUAUAAGGGAAAGGAGCAGGUACUUCAAUUAUCAAACUUGGUUUAACUUCUCGACUAACUUCUUCCUUCUUUGUCCCGUAAUAAAUCACCAAAGGUCUAUCGACGCUAUAAAGGGAAGCCAUUGAUUGAUUAUUAGAGGCACAUAUUUCUCCUUCUUCGGCCCCCUCCACCCUAUCAAAGACCUUGACCUCUUUGUUAUCCAUCAUGUCUUGAAGUAAUUUCCUAAAUUCCUUACAAGAUUGGAUGUCAUGCCCUUGGACGCCAUGAAAAUCACAGAAACUCUGGUCUUUUGUACUUUCUUCUUUAAGAAUCUUACUAGACGGACAGAGCAAGCCAUUUUCAAUCAUCAUCUCCCAUACCUUCCGUAAAGGUGUCUUUACUUCGGUAACACAACCUUUGGCUUGACAAUUGUCUUCAUUUGUCACCGCAUUUACAUUCCCGUCAGUAUGGUUAGGAAGAGGAUUUCCUGUCACAUUGCUAACAUCGUCGAACCGUAGAACACCGGCAUCAAUAAGACCUUAAACCCUCCUUUUAAAAGCAAGACAGUUUUCUGUAGAAUGUCCCUGAUUCCCAGCGUGAUACAUGCAAUUAGCGUUAGGAUCAUACCACUUCGGGUAUGGAGGCUUCAGGGGUGCCAUGUAAUGUGGGGAUAUUAAUUGUUUUUCCAACAGCUUUGGGUAUAAUUCUCCAUAUGAUACAGGAAUUAGAGUAAACUGAGGUCUUUCAAGAUUGGGUCUUGCCGGUCUUUGUUCAUUUUUGGGUUGGCUUUGUACAGGUAUGGUGUUUGGCGGGAACACGGUGAAUGGUCUUUGGUUAUUCACAGCAUAAACGGGGUAAGAUAGGGGUGCUUGAUAGUAAGGACUUUGAGGAGGAAAGUAGAAGUUUGAAGGUGGGCGGUAAUGAGGUCGUGGUUGGGUGAGGUACGGAUUAGGGGUACAUUGGCUUUCAGUCCCAACCAUAUGGGCCUCUGCCUCCUUUUUCUUUGCGGGUACUGUCCUCUUCGAACUCUCAGGACCUUCCAUUCUCCCACUCUUGACGGCGUUUUCGAUAAGUUCCCCGGAUAUUACAAUAUCUGCAAAGUCCUUUGUGGCACUUCCCACCAACUUAUCGUAAAAUGGCGCUUUUAGAGUGUUGAUGAAGAGGACCGUUAUCUCUGUCUUAGUUAACGGAGGCUCCACUUGAGCCGAGAUAUCCCUCCAUCUUUACGCAUAUUACCGAAAAGUCUCUGUCGGCUUCUUUUCCAUCAUUUGUAAGGUUAGUCGAUCAGGCACCAUAUCUGUUACAUGCCUAUAUUGCUCACAGAAUGCUGAAGCCAAAUCCUUCCAUGAUCGGAUUCUCUCUCUACUGAGUUGAUUAUACCAUCGAAGGGUUGAGCCAAUCAAACUAUCUUGAAAGUAAUGCACCAACAAUUUAUCAUCGUUUACAUAACCAGUCAUCUUUCGGCAAAACAUGAUCAGAUGCGCCUUUGGACAUCUUGUUCCGUCAAAUUUCUCAAAAUCAGGUGCCUUAAAUUUUGGUGGUAGGACCAAAUCAGGUACCAAACUGAGCUCUUUGGCACUCAAAGCAGAGAAAACUUCAGCGCCUUCUACUGCCUUGAUCCUCUAUUCCAGGACUCUAUACUUAUCCUGAGCGUUAUUGUCAUCAAUUCUCAGCCUUGCUACUUCUACAGGAUCAUCUAGGUCUGGAACAAUUGGAUCUGAAGGAUUAGCCCCAGGGUUCGAUACAAACAUUCCUUGUCCUAAAUGAGCAGAUGGAGCAGGAUGUUGUUCCAGGCCUGUAGGUUCCCUUUGGGGGUAUCCUCUUUGCAUUGCGUGGACAUGAGGUGGAGUAAAUCCCGGGGGAUAAAGUGGGUCUUGAUUAGCUCUUGACUGAGGCGGUUCUACGACAUUAGGGCUCUGUAUAGGUCCCUUUCCUUUGACCAAAGCCGUCAUCAUUUCUAUCAUUUUAGCCAUUUGAUCCCUUUGCUCGAGCAAUUCUUCUCGAGAUCUCACCAUCAAAUCUCUUGCCUCUUGCUGCGACUUGGCCAGUUGCUCCUGCAACUCUCUUUGGGUUCUUUCCAUCCUUUCCAUCCUUUCAUUGAGUUCAGCAUCCAUAGCUCUAGCUCUUAAGCGCGUCCUAUAAGAGUGACGUGAUUCCAGACUCGUAGUGUAGUAACUGUGGAUUAGAUGGUUUUACCCUUAGCGAAUGAUUAAGGUGAUAUGAGAAUACAAUGAAUAAAUGAAUGAGUAACUAAUGAAUGUUAAUCAUGCGUAAAUAUGCAAAAAAGGGUGUUGAUUCCAAAAUGGCCCCAUACUUGGGCGUUUCAUUUAUCAAAAGAGUCCGUUACAAAAAGUUUUGCCAUCCUAGUUCAACAAUUACACGAAUUUCCUAGCCACAUCGCCUUGCUUCUUCAUACGUUCCAAGAACUCUGAUAUGCUUGAUCUUUGGCUAGGAGGGUAUUGGCAACUGAGAACUUCCGCUUCAUCUGAUAAUUGUACUAUUUGUGCAGCCGCCUUACGAAUUUCAUUGAUCAACCUACCGAGAUGCAUAUCCUUUUCUUGGAGGGCUCUUUCAUAAGCACGAAUGUCUCUGUCAUGCUGAUCAUUCUUCUCUUCUAAAGCUCUCAAGAGGUCAUCCAGAUGUUGCUGAUGAGCUUGCAGUGUACUCUCUAGACUUCAGAUUUUUCCUUUUAGCCCUUGAUGCUCAGACUGACUAGCCGUUAGUUCUGCAGUCACAGUUUCGUAUUCAACGUUCUUCUUCCUCAACUCUAUCAUAGCACAUGCAGCUCUUUCCUCUUCUUUCUUUGCUUUGGCUUUCCAGAAUUCCAUCCCACCUUUGAUAUUACUUAGUUCCUCUUUCCAUUCUGCUGAUGCUUUGCCCAAUCCACUAUUUCUUAUAGUGCCCCUUAAUUUCUUGUUUUCCAAAUGAAGGUCCCUUAAAUUCUUUCUCGUAACUUGAACUUCUUUUUGGACUUUUUCGGCUCUGGAUUUUUCAAUUUCGACAUCAAUCUUCAGCUGGUAGUUCUCCUCCUGAAGAGAUUAAUAUCUCGCAACAUUUUGGCCUUUUCACGUUCAAAUUCAUGUCUUGCAAUUUCUAGCUCGGAUGGGGUUUUCUCUGAGAACGGAUUCUGGCAAGCUUCAUUAAUUGGUGGGGUUACUUGACUCUUCACUCGUUGUUGCCUCCAUAGGUCAUAGUCUACAGUGAUAGUAUCAGCAUAUAGAGCCAAUUCCAUUAGGUAGAUUCGCCUCCAAGAAUUCGCAGUAUCUCAAACCUUUUUCAUGUAACCCUCACCCAUAAAGGCAAACUCCGAUUGUGCCAAUCCAUCGGUAACUGGUACAAACUGUCGCGAAGCGAACUGUCUUUAAACCAACAAUGGAGCAUAUCCAACUCCUCCCCAUAAUCCUAAUAAAGGUAUCCAGUCUUGGUUUCCACACUUGUAUAACAAGACAGAGGGACGAAUCCAAGGUGCUCUCCAAGUUAUAUCUUCGACACGGAGGUUCUGAAAGACCGAGACCCAGUGUUGUUCAGUGACAUCUUUCGGCCAAUCUUUUCCAAGGUGUGCUUCCAACGGGGCGAAUGUCUUUGAAAACAUGUGGAAAGGCGUACGCUCCACCCUCCAAAAAUGGCUAAAGAUCCAAACAUUCAGUAACUGAGCGCAUUCGAUAAAACGUCCUUCCCCUUUUCUCCUACAAGCAUUUAGAGAUCUAAAAGUCUCAGCCAAGAUGGCUGGGACCGGGUUAACUCUUUGCCUCAACUUUUCGAAGAAAUCCACAACCGCAACUUCAAUAUGCCCAAGAACCUUCGGGAAGACGACCAGUCCGUAAACAGCCAAGGCAAACAAAUCUACUCUUUUUAACACAUCUGGAUGAUUCUGAACUAACUCCCGCAGAGAAAACCACGGGACACAACUGACUUCAUUCUUCUUCUUUAUCUGUUUUUCAGCCCAUGUAUCAGUCAUUCCCGUCAACUUCAUUAGCUUUUUCUUGAAGGUCAUUGGUUUAGGCUCCUUCACAUAUAUCUUGUUGAGUUGCACAUUAUCGAUGCGAAGCAAAGCGGCAUACUCUUCUAUGGUCGGAGUCAUAUCUUCCUGAUUGAAAGUGAAACACUGAUAGGCUGGGUCCCAGAAUCGAACCAUGGCUUGGAUCAACUGCUCGUUCACAUCGAUUGCUAUCAAGUGAGCUAUAUCCCCAUACUUUUCAGUGGAGAUGCUUCUAGUAUCUGAGUCCCACUGCUUCCAAAUCCUAGUCAAGUCUUCGAGAUCAUUUUGACGAGCAUUCAAAGUCACACGCUCGGGAAGAUCAGAGGUGUAUCCUUCCUUCAAACUGUCCCCUUUCACUUUUUGAGUUCUCAAAGACCAAUCUCGGACUACAGCAUUUUUCUCGGUUACUCGUGUAAUUGACUCCUCCAUCAGAAACCCGUUUUUGGCAACCAAUAUUUAACCAACACCUUCCUAAUGAGAUGUCUACGAUGCAUGAUGGAAAAUAAGAUGAAAAACAAAUAACCUUGGUUAGAGAUCACAACAGAUAUAAACAAAAGAAAAAUGAAAAAUAAAGACUAUGGAAAAUUUAACAAAUUAAGCUAUUCAAUCAUGCAAUUUGGUGGAACAGACCCACAUUUUUUUUUGCCCCAACAUGCUUUACAAGAAACCUACCCCACAUACCAUCAGACCAUCUAUCCGACCCAAUUUAUUGAAUAGACUCAAUUUAUCUGCAAAUAAGUGUAAAUGUAAAAGAAAUAAAAGGUAAGAGGCGUUUCUCCCGUGCACUUAUUUUGGUAACUAUCAAACGGACAGAGGUUCUGUAUGGCUCUACUCGGGUGGCCUAUACGGUUCACUAUAUGUAGUUUCGGUUUUAGAAAGGUACUCGAAUUGUCCAUACUAUCACCUACUAAGGUUAGUACAGAGCUUCGGUUAUCGCCCGUCAGGGCUCGCGAGCUCAAUUCGAGGGAUUACAUUUACUUAUGCCUAUGCGGAGGGACAAGUUAACUCACGAAAGCAUAAGUCAUAUGUAACCCGAAAGUAAUUACUAGCCUGUGCGGAGGGACGAGUUAACUCACGAAGGCGUAGCGUUUACUUCCACUUAAACGGACAGAGCCCGGGUAGAGAGCUCAUGUUAUGCAAAAAAUGCAAGUGCACUGUGUGUGGAGAGAAACUCACAAACCUUUUUAUUUUUACUUUUACUAAAAAAAACAAACUAAAACCAUAAAACUUAAAGCUGAAAAAAACACGAAAAUAAAAAAGGUUAGAAAAAUAUUAAUUUCAAAACUGAAUACGGAUGCAUGAUUUUUUUCAAAACAAAAUUCAAGGAUCACGAUUAAAAAUUAAUUUGAACAAGAAAAUUUGAAAAUUUUGACAACACACGUUUAACAUCAGACUCGACUCUCAAAAAAAACUCCCCAGCGGAAUCGCCAGCUGGAGCGACCUAAAAAUUUCUGGGCACGGGCGCUAGUCGAAGUAAUUAUUUAAGGUUUGAAAACAGUGUCUCGAUUUUAUUCGAAAAAGGGAGUCGCCACCGAUCUUUUUUUUUAGGUGUGAUCGGACACCUACAAAAUUCUCUUUUUAGAAGAAAAAUUUAUUUUUAAGCUUUUCUAAAAAGAGGUAAUUUUAGGUCCACGUAAAAAUCAAGAGAAAAUUAGGGUUCUGGAGUCGGUUACGCGCGAGGAAGGUAUUAGCACCCUCGCGACGCCCAAAAUUGGUAUCUCGUUAAAUGCAUGUUGUCUUAACUUUCAAAAAUACGAGUUCCAUUUAAUAUUUAGUCAUGAUCCGAUUGAAACACGAGAAUUUUGAAACACAACAACCCCUUUUUUUUUUUUGAAAACACGAAAUUUUUUUAAAACGCAAGAAUUUUAGAAACACAAAAAUUUUCUUUAAAAAAACACGAAAAUUUUGAAACAUGAGAAUUUUUUCAAAACACAAAUUUUCUUUUUGAAACACGAAAAUUUUGAAAACACAAAAAAUUUGAUAAAUUACGAAACAUGAGAUUUUUUUGAAACACGGAAAUUUAUGAAACACGGUCAAUUUUUGAAAACACAAAAAUUUUUGAAAGACGGGUUUUUUUUUUGAAAACACGAAAAUUUAUAAAACACGGAAAUUUUUUCUGAAAACAAGAAAAUUUUCGAAAAACGAGAAUUUUUGAAAACACAAGAAAUUUUUGAAAACAUGAAAUUUUUUGUUAAACUAGAAUUUUGAAAACACGAAGAUUUUUGAAACAUGAGGAUUUUUGAAAACACGAAGCUUUUUGAAACAUGAGAAUUUUUUGAGAACAUGAAAACAUGAAAAUUUGUCAAACACGGGAAUUUUUUGAAAACACGAUAACAUCAAAGAGUAUUCAAGAGAGUUUUUUGAAACACGGAAUUUUUUUUUGGAAAAAAGAAACACGAAUAUAUUUUUUUGAAACACAGGAAAUUUUUUGAAAAAAAGAAACACGAAUAUAUUUUUUUGAAACACGGGAAAUUUUAUUAUUAUUAUUUUGAAACACGAGAAAUUUUGAAGACAUGAAAAUUUUUGAAACACAAUUUUUUUAAUAAUACCAUAUUUAAUACGAAUCGAUGAUAUUCACCCCGAUAUGGCGAUGAAAUCGUCGUAUUAGUGUCAAAACAAAUCAAAUUAAUAUUUAAUCGGGAUUCUAAUAAAACACGAGGAUUUUUAUUAAAACACGAGGAAUUUUGAAUAUUUUCUAUUUUUAGAAGGGCGUCCCGUAUUUAACACGAGCCAUCAAUAUUCACCCAACAUAGAGAUGAAUUCAACGGCUUGAUGCUAAAUCGGUUCGUUGCCUUAUGCAUUAAAAUAUUUUUCUAUAAAAAAAUGCAAAUAAAAUUACAUAUAAUAAUAUUUCUAAACUAUUAAAAAACUAAUUUAAUUGUAAUGGGGAAAUAUUUAAAUAAAUGGACUUAAUUAGAGUGGGUUUAAAAAAUUACCAAAAGCCCAAAGUUAUGGGCUUGAAUUUUGGGCCUCCCUUUUUCUUUUUUUUUCUCUUUCUUUCCUGGGCUUUGGGCUGCCGGACUGGGCCGAGUCUGCUGGCCCGCUGGUUGCUGGAACAGGCUUGCUACCGCUGCUGGAUCGGGUACAGGCCUUCGUGCGGGUCGGGUCUACCUCCUGGACUGGGUCGUGGCCUGCUGUCACUGUUGGGCUGCUCUGCUGCGCGUGGGCCUGGGCUGCUGCUUAGCUGCUGGAGUGGCCUGCUGUUGGCCUGCCCAAGAUGGCCUAUUGCUUGCUGGGCCGGUCUGCCACUACUGCUGGUGUGGGUGGCCUGCUGCUGGCUUGUUGCUGGCUGCUGGCUGGGUCAGAUCCGGGUCGUCGGGUCGGGUUGGCCCGGCUGUUAUUUUUUUCUUCUAUUUUCUUCUUUCUUCUUUCUUCUUUUCUUUUUUCCUCCUUUUUUUUCUUUCCUUUUUCUUUUUCUUUCUUUUCUUCUUCCUUUCAAACCCUAGCCGCCGUCUUUUGCUUGGUGGCGCGACGGUGCCGGCGCUUCUCCCUUCUCCCUUCUCCUACUCUCUCUUCUUUCUCUCCUUUUCUUUUUCUUCUCUUCUUCCUCUCUUCCUUACUUCUUUACUGUUUGGGUUGCUGUUUUUUUUUGUUUUCUCUUUGCUUGUUUGUAUAGGUGCGACGGUGGUGGUGGUGUCACAACGGCGGUACGACGACGGUGGUUGCGGGAGGAUGGUGGUGGAGGCUUUCAGCUUGCUGCUAUUUUUUUAUUUUUGAAUUUUCUCUGCUCUUUUUCUUUUGGUUGCCGAAAAACCUUUUCUUUUUGUUUCGGUUUCCCUUGGCUUUCUAGGUGGCGGUGCGGUGGUUGCGGUGGCGGGGUAGUGGCACGACGGUGGCGAUGGCUUUUGGGCUGCUGUUGUUUGGAUUUUUUUGAGUUUUUCUCUACUCUUUUUUUAUUUUUUUUUGGUUGCUAUCCGACCCCCUUCCCUCUCUUUUGAUUUUCUUUUUAAUCUCUUCAUUUUUUUGUCCUCUUUCUUCUUGUUUUCAGAUGGCAUGGAGGUGGGGAGCAUGGCUGAUUGGCGGUGUCAGGCGUAGGGUGCGGUGCACGCCCGGAUGCUGGUUGGGGAGCAGUCUUGUCAUGCCCAGAAGGACUGAAUUGUAGAGUGUGCAAAGUUUUUGGGGCAAAAAUGUGAUUUUAGGAAAAUAUAGGGCCAAAAUGUAAUUUCUAGAAAGUUUAGGGGCCAACUAUAAUUUACAAAAUAUUAGGGGUCAAGAUGUAAAUUUAGAAAAAGUUGGGGGUCAAAAAAUAAUUUUUGAAAAGUUUGGAGGCCAAAAUGUAAUUUUUAUUUUUUGUAUUUUUUUUAUUUUUAUUUUUUUUUCAAAAUUUUAUUAUGACUAUUUUAUUAAUAUUUAAAACAAAAAUUAAAAACGGACUAAAGCAAUUCCAAAAUUAAAUCCUAAUGGGCUCGAUCAGUGGGCCCAUACGAGACCGACCCGGCCCAAAAUUCAAACCGGGCAAAAUUCAGUGAUUACAGUUAUUUUAUUAUCUUAAUUAUUUUUCAAAAUUAAUAGAAUUUUAUUAUAAAUUAGGGCAGUUCUCAUUUAAUUAAAAAGUUUAUAUAUAUUAAAAUUAUAAAAAUAUAUUAUUUAGUAAAUUAAAAAAUAAACAAAUACAUAGUUUAAUUAACAGUAAUAUUGUAUUUUCUCCAUUAUGUGGUAUUUUCCCUAUAAAUACAUAGUUUUAGGUUUAUACCUAGAGUUAGCCACCUUAGUAUUAUUUUGCUUUAGUGUUUUCUUUUGUCCAUGAAUUUCUAAAUCAUCUUUUCUAGUCAAAGGGAUUUUGAACUUUGAUUGUAAUAGUUUGUAAGAUCUAAUUGCUCUUCAUCUAUUCUUUGUUCUUUAGCGCUUGCAUGUGUUCUAUUUUAAUUACAAAUAUUCAAGUUUGUUGGAUAUUGGUACCAUAUUCAAUUGCUUAGAACAUAGUGACAAAUAACAUGAUUACAUAUAAACUAUGUAUGCAAUUCAUGUUAUGUGGAUACCCGAUUUAAUCUAAAUGAACCCCGUUGGUGUGUGUUAGUUGGUCAGAAAUAGGUUUCUCUCAUUCUUAAUACUACCUAUAAUUAAGCUAAAUCCUAGGCACGAAGUUAUAGGGCCUCUUGGUUAUCGAAAGGUAAUGAGAGAUUGUUUAUAUGGUUCUUAAUGCUAGGUGCGACAUGGGCAACUAUAACUAAUUUAUUAAAAACACUAAAAUUAUAUUUGCAUCAUUGAUCAAACUCAUGAAUCAAAAUUGAGAUUUUACCUUAGUUAGACUCUCAUUAUAUUGAUUUUGCUAUAUUUUAUUUUGCAAUCUUUUUCUUUUACAAAGUUUUAAUUUUAAUUUUAAAAAUCCUUAUUUUUAUUUUACUUGUUUUUUUAAAGAAUUAGAACAAUCACUAGUCUUUGUGGAUAUGGCUCUACUCACAGUCAUCUACAAAUUUAUUUUUUUAGUAAGAAUUUAUUUUUCUAGGUCACAACAACCAUACAACUUUUGACACCAUUGUUGGGGAUUGGUGUCAAUAAUUUUAUUUCCUUUUAAAUUCAAAUAAGAAUUUUCAAGAAGAGUGAAUGAGGUAAAUAUUUCUUUUUCCUAAUAAUCAUUGAGACCAAACGAUAACAUUAAUGAUGACCUUGAUAUUUGUGGGUGUCGAAAUAUCCCUUAAAAAAAUGUAUUUCAAAUUUUAACUUUCCUGAAAACAUAUAUUAUAAAUAAUAAAAUAUCUAAUAACAUAGUAAAAAAAAUCCAAGUUUUGGUUCCCCUAUAAUCGAUGGCCCAGUUUGCCUUUAACGAGCACUACACCAAAACAGGCUUUUAGCGGCGUUUGAAUAAAAAAUGCCUCUAAAGAUCGAGCAUUAGCGACUCUUUUCGGAAAACGCCGCUAAAUAUCGAACUUUAACAUCGCUUUAUGGAAAACGCCGCUAAAUAUAAGCAUUAGCGGCGUUUUCUAAAAAGCGCCGCAAAAAACCUAUGCUUUCGGGGUUUUAGCGGCGUUUUUAAUGAAGCGCUGCUAAUGCUCAGGGCUUUAGCGGCAUGUUUUGGGAAGCGCCGCUAAUGCUUAGGGCUUUAGCGGCGUUUUUGAGAAAGCGCCGCUAAUACUCUAUUUUUAGCGGCGUUUUCUAAAAUGCGCUGCUAAUGCUCAGGGAUUUAAAAUAAUCUAAAAUAUUUUUUAAAAAUGGAAAAAUUAAAAUACUAUAAGUUCUUUUAAACAGAAUAUAUGGCAUAACCUAUAAUAUGGAAUAAAAGGCGGCAUCACGUGUUAAUUUAAUUUAAUUAUUAUUUAAAAAUUUAUAUAAAUAAAAUAGACAUAAUGAUUUAUUUAUCCUUCUAACUUUACAAAAAAACCAUUACAACCCUUUAUUUAAUUUUUAUCUUUUUAACCCUUAAAUUUAUAUUAUUUAUUAAAUCAGCUCAAAAUAGAUGGGAAAAUUAUUCUUUAUUAACUUUACUAAACAUGGAAGCCAAAGGCCCUGAAAUGAAAACAAUUUUCACCAAAGCGUUUUUAUAACUUAUACACUUUUAAAUUAAUAAUGAUAAAAUUACAUGUUAACCCCCUAAAAAUGAUAAAAAUUUUAUUUAAUCCUUAUAAAAAUAUAAUUAAAAUGGUAAAAUUACAUUUUUAACUAUCCUAAAAUAUACAAUUUAAUUCCAUCUCCUCCAAAAAAUAAAAAUAAAAGAAAAACAUUACCGUUAACCCAGUUCAUAGGAGGCUGAAAGUGAUACCCGGUUCGAUGAAGUUGUUUUACAGUAAAUGCAGUUUUAGAUUAUAAAUGUGGAUGAAUCUUAUGAAAUGCUUCAACGAUGCCAUUCUUACUUAUUAUCUCACAAAAACACCCAAUUAUUAAAUAAACUAACAAAAUAUUUUUUGUAAACUCCAUUGAAAUUUCGAAAGCCGAAUGUUGAAACAGGAUGGUGAUUCAUUUAUAUAGGACUGAAAUUUAACAAUUUCAAAAAAAAAAUAUAUAUUUUAAAAUGUUUAGAUAAAAUAGUUUUUUAUUUGAAUUUACCAGUAAUUUAUAAUAUCAACAUUAAAUCUACAAUUCUUGAUUUUCUUUUUUUAAAAUAAUUAAAAUUUUAUUCUUAUAGUAUUUAAAUAAUUAGGGAUUAUGAAUUGUGGUUUAUGGUUUAAGGGUUGGGGUUUAAGGUUUAGGGGUUAGGGGUUAGGGGUUUAGGGGUUAGUGCUUGCUGAUUUUUUUUAUUGAUCUUCUACCCCUUGUACCUGGAUCCGACCUGACCUGGAUUGUUCCUUGUGUUCUUUUUCUGCUUUCUCAGCAGGGAGAUCCCAUUCUGCAGACAAAGAAGAACACAAAAGAUCAAAGGUAAUUUUAUUUCAAUUUGAUCCAUUUUUCUUGGUUAUCUUUUCCGUGUUUUUUUAUUUGUAAUUUGUUAUGUUUUCUGGGUUUUGCUUAUAAUGUCUGCAUUAAUAUUCAUUUCACAUUUUUUGUUUGUAUUUGCUUUUGUUUCUUUUUCCCAUCACAAUCAAAGUUCUAAACUAAUUUUUUCCCUGUAAUUUCAUUUUUAGAUUCAAAGUUUCUUUUUUUUUUUAAAUUUUUUUAUUAAUAGCAUUGACUUUUAAUAUUUAUUUUGAUAGUUUUUUUGGGGGAAGUGUGGGGGGGGGGGUCAGCAUAUUUGCUUUUGAACAUAAGAUUGAUUCUGCCUGUGUUGUGUAUUUGCCAAAUUCCAGUCCUGGAUUCAAAGUUUGUAUGUGUUUCUUACCAUUUUCUAAGAAAUAAAAAAUAUGUUAUUAAUAUUGUCUUUGUUAAGUCUUUUUCACAUAAUAUUCUUUGAAGUUUGAACAUUGUUUUGCUCCUUUUCAUUAUGGAAAAACAAAUCUUUUUUUUCCAAUUUAGUCUUUGUUUUUAAUUAUUUUAUAUAAUUAAAUUACUCAAAGUUUAUUUCCCUUUUUUUGAUCCAAACUUUUCUUUUGUACAAAAUUACUCUCUUUCUUAACUUUUUAUAUUAUAUAUAUGUUUUAUAAUAUUAGCUUUAGCUCUCAGUUUUCACUUUCACAUUGAGUUAUUUGAGCAUUUUUCAUAUUUCUUGCUAAUGUGGGACAGAUUUCAUUUUCUUAAAAGGAAAAAAAUUAUGUUGUUUUUGUUGCCUCAAUCCUCUUUAUUUGUCUCUUUAACCUCAUUGGAUAUGGAGUCUAUGUUGUCUUUUCUUUUCAGUUUUUCCAUUUUAGAUUUAUAGGUAAACUUCAAAGUGGUUCUUCUUCAAGUUAAAACAGUGGGGUUUUUUACAUUGAUCAUCUUAAGUUUUCAGAAAAUAUUUUUCCUGUUGAUUUGGAUUUUUUAAGGUUAUUUUUGUCUUUCCUUCCUAAAAUACUUUUUUUUGGAUGAUUUAAUGAAUAUGGCAGGAUUAAGCUUUAGAAAUCCAUGAUUAACUGAGGACUCUAUAUUGGGUCCUCAGUUCAGUUGUUUAAAAUCUAUAUAUUUUUUUAUAAUAUGCUAUGUUAUUCGGACUUGGAUAUGUCCUUGGAGGAUCAUAUCCCGGUACUUUUGUUUGCAUAUGUGCUGGACACAGAUGCUUUAAAUAAAAUGAAGAGUGCUUGCUGUCAACUAGGAGUUUUGAUGAUUAUGAUCAUGAUUGUUUCAUAUAUAUAUAUAUAUAUGCUCUAUUUUUCACCUAUAGUAACAUUAAUUUUGUAAAGAUAUUUUCUUCAAUUCUGAAACUGCUUUAAUAUCUCUUAUCUUAAAAGUUUUGUUUAUCUUGGUAAACUUAAUUUUGCAGCUGCUACUGGAUUUUUUGAGCUUCUCUGCUUCUAGCUUUUCAUCUAUGGCCAGAUACUCAGUUGUGACUGAUAAGGUCUCAAUAGAGGUUGUUGAAGAAUUCAUUCUAGUACAGUUGAAUCUGACAAAAGGCACAAUAUCUGAAAUUAAGGUACCUAAUUCUUUUUUUUCCUUCUUAGCCAUUAAUCAUUAUUGAGUGUUGACAUGGGGGAUCUAUGCUACUAUAUCUAUGUUACUCUAACUCAUCAUUUUUUCUGAAGUGCUCAUGUUUGACACUUGUGUUUGAUGCAUAUUUGGACAUGGAUACAUGAACAUGAUCCUCCAAAUAUAUGAAAAUCCUUAAAAAAGUUGAGCAUACCUAUGUGGGAUAUAUACCUUAUCUGAAAAUAAAGGUUAUGCCUUUUUAAAAACCUGUUUAAUACAUUAUAUAAAUUUCUUCUUAAAAGUUUGUUAGGGCUGAAGCAUGCAUUAGUCUACUAUAAUUUGCUGCAUAAAUGGAAAUUAGCUAGGUGUCCACUGCACAACCUUCAAUUAGACUUUACAUAAAAAAAUUCAUUAUUCAAGGCAAACUGCCUGGCUUGCUGAAAAAUGAUAGUUACAAACUGCCUUCAUUUCUCCCAUAAAGAUCUGCCGAAAUAUGUUUCAUCUAACAAGAUUUUGAUUGACAGCACAUUCAUUUGACAGGAUAAUUUGGAAACCCUGUUGCAAGAGGACAUUCAGGCUGAUCUAGUCUGCUGCUUGCAGCAUUUGCAGGUAUUUUGUGUAGUUUAAGUUGUGAACAUUGGGUUUUGAUUUGUCAUGUGAACAAAUAUGAUGAAUCUGAAGUGCAUUUCUAUUCUUCUAUUUGCAGUUAAGAUUUGAAAUUGAAGACAAAGCAAGGAGACCUCUAAGUAAUGUGUCAUUUUUGUUGAAACCAGGGGGUUAUUUUUUCGGUAUUACUCCUGAAAAAGUGAUUGCCAAAAACUGUUGUUUCUGGAUUUAUGUAUUUUCCUUUUUUUUUCUUGUGAUUACUGCUGCACCUGUUUCUGGGAGGUGAUUGUGUAAACAUUUUAGUGUGCUUUAAUUAUUGUAAGAAUAUUAAAUUUUAACAUUGUUAAUUUUAAUAUUAUUGUAAGAAUAUUUUGAAUUAUAAUUCAGUUAUCAAUUAAUAUCAUAUAUCUUUCAUUGAAUUUGAAGUAUCAUUUAAAUUUACUGUUUUUGGUUGGAUUUUAUGUUACAAGAAGAUUUGUAUAUGGAUGAAAAUCGGCAAAUUUGUCAAAAUUAGUGGCGUUUUCCCAUAAACGCCGCUAAAGUACGUACUUUUAGUAGCGUUUGUGAUGAAAGCGCCGUUAAAGAUAAUGUUCUCUAGCGGCGUUUGUGGGUCAAGCGUCGCUAAAGGUCAUGUUCUUUAGCGGCGUUUGUGUGUAAAGCGCCGCUAAAGCUCAUGUUCUUUAGCAGCGUUUGUGGGUAAAGCGCCAUUAAAGGACAUGUUCUUUAGCGGCGUUUGUAGCUAAAGCGCCGCUAAAGGUUAUGUUCUUUAGUGCGUUUGUGGCUAAAGCGCCGCUAAAGAUUAAGUUCUUUAGCGGUGUUUUUUUCACAUAAACGCCGCAAAAGUUAGCGACGUUCUCAAUAGCGGCAUUUUUUGCGGCGCUUUUGUGUAGUGGAGGAUGAUGAGGAAAGUCUUGACGAUGUUGUGGAUAGCUCGGUUCAAGUUUAGGGUGCUUCUAAUAGUGCUAAUGUUUCUUCUAUUGUUCCAUCGACUGGGAAUCCUUCUUCUAUUAGUGUAGCUGCUGAUACAGUUACCUCUACUUCAAUAAGAGAUGAGACAAUACAGAUUGCCUGGGUCAUGUUUAGUCUUUUUGUAAAACUUUGGUAUUUAAUGCAAACUUUAUCCCUUAUUUGGAUUCCGUGUUUAUGUUAUGCAUCCUUGCAUUUCUUUAUCAACUUAUUGUAUUGAUCUUGUGUAGCUUUAUCAAGCUUUUAUUUUUACUACUUGGAAGAUGUAGGGAAUUUUAUUCUUUCCUUAUUUGUUGUAUUGUGCUUUUAGAUUAACUUAGUGAGAAGUACCCUUGGCUAAGUCUUUCAGAAGGCUAGUAGUUUUAUUUGCUAUUAAUUUAACGGGCAGUAUCCUUGGAGGGUCUGUGCUAAAUUAAUGGGCAGUAUCCUUUUUUAGUUGCAAUGUGACACCUCACACUCGAUUCGGACGACGAAUUUAUAUAUAAAACAUCACAUUCAUUAUCGAAACAACUCAAACAAACAAGAAACUGACGUCAAAGCCAAAUCAAGAAGCAUAGCACAUAAUUCAUAAUUUCCAAAACGCUAAUAAUUAAUUUGUAACUUUUUUUAAUAUAGUUAAUUUAAUGACUAAUGCCGUAAUUAGUCUCACUUAAAAAGAGCCCACCAUUUGACUUGACGCAGAGGUCAAGAGAUAUCUCUAAAAAUGGGAAGCAAUAUAUGAUGUUUAUGGUUGAUAUUGUUCUAUGUGAGGUGUUCAAAUGGUUGAUUGAUCAGUUAACUAAAUCGAACUAGUAUUAAUUGAAUUAAUCUAACUUUUUAAUCUUUAACUGUUAAUUAAAUCGAUUUUUUUUCAAAAAGAUUAACCGAACAAAAAAUAUUUCAAUUAAUUCAAUUGGUUAACCAAAAUUUAUAUAUAUUUUUUGUUUAAAAUGAAUAUAAAACAUAUAAAAAAAUUGAUAAUGUUCAUUUGACUGAAUUAACCUAAUUAAUCAAAUUAGUAAUAGCCUAAUACAUAUGACAUAUAAUAUUAUUUAUUAAGUUCAGUUAAUUCGGUUAAUUACUCGAUUUCGAACUGAAUUAACCAUUAACUGAAAUUCCAAAAAUCAUUUAAUCGAUUUUUAACCAAAUUAAAUCAGUUAACUGAUCAAUUAACCGAAUUAAAUCAAUUUAAUCAAUUAAUUUAAUUUUAACCGAAACUUAAACACCUUUUUUAACUCUAUGAAUGCCAAAAUCCAUAUAUAGACUUAUUUCGGAUGUUAGAAUUUUCCACCAAAAACCAAGUCUUUGUGGAAUUAAAGUUUUGUUGCUAAGACCCACUGGAUUUUUCAUAACCACUAUAAUUAGAUUAGAACUAUCUCUCCGCGUAUGCUCGAGUUUAAAAUUUUUUAAUUAAAUUUUAUUAAUCUAUUUUUUAAUUAUUAUAAUAUUAACAUAGAAAUUAAAAUUGUGAUUAUUGUUUAUAAUAGAAUAUAAAGUCUUAAAUUAUAAUGAUAAAAUCAUGGAGAAGAUAUUUUAAUUUAAAAAAUGUAUAAAAUUUAUAUAUUAUCUCUUCAAUAAUUUAAAUUAUAAUGAUAAUUUUUAUAUAUUAAAAUUAAUAUAUUAUCUCUUUUACAAUUACAUAAAAAAUUAUAUUAAUAUAUAAAAAUGAUAAAUUAAAAGAAAUUCUCUUUUAAUUGUUUGCCAUUAGAUAUCUAGUGAACUGAUGCCACUAAUUUAACUCUCAAAAAAUGGAAGUUUGAGAAAGCUAAAGGUUGUUAAAUUAGACAAAAAGAAACAAGAAGCCAUGCCAAUAAUUCCGUUAACAAUUUAACCGGACCAAAGUAGAACUAAAUGAUAACAUUAAUGAUGAAAUUAAAAGUUUUUUGUAGUUCAAUGACAAAACAAAAAUACGCUAAUAAUUGAGCCAUUCAUUGUGCAAUUUAGACUUAAUUUAUUUUUGGAAGAAAUUGUAUUUAUGUGAUAAUAAUAAAUUUUAAAAAAAUAUUUAUUUUGUCAAAAAUUUGUAAUUAUAAUCAUUUAAAUAUAUAUAAAAAAGUAUCCAACAAAUAUAUCAAAUUAUUGCAAUAAAAGGAUGAAGAAAUCAUAAUAUAACAAGACACCAAUUAGAAAUAACUUCAUUUCAAAUAUAAAUGAAAUUUAAUAAUGAAACAAAUUUUAUUAAAGGCAAGGACUAAAUUAAAAAAAUUAAAAUCAAUUAUAGACUAAGGGUGAGUUUGGAUGGGCGGUGUGUUUACCUGUGGUUAGAGUAAAAACAGCGGUGGUGGUGAGAUUAGAUACUGUAGCGAUACUGUAGCGUGAGACAAAAAAUAAGUUAAACGCACCGCACCGCACCCAAUCGCCCAUCCAAACUCACUCUAAGAUAUGAAUAUAUAAAUAGUGAAAAGCGUAAUCAUAAACUUUUAAAAUAAAAAUAUUCUAGAAAGCAAUUAUUUCUAAAAAGUAAAAAUCAUCCACCCUCUUUUGUUUAUUAUACUUUUAUAUUGAAUAUACUAUGUCUUUUUACUUGCUGAAAAGGUUACAAAGUUAUCAUAAAUUUCCUAAAAUCUUAUAGCACUUUUCCAAAGAUCCAAUACAGCAUGAUACAAUAGCUGAAUUAUACCAUUAAUUAUUAAAUUAUAGAUAAUCAAACAAGAUUAUAAUUUAGUCAUUAAUAUUUUCAAAAUUAUUUUUAUGGUCACCUGAUUAAGUGGCACUUUUUUUUGUUAGUAUGAUAAUAAUUUUAUUCUUUGAUUUUUCUAUUAAUUUGACUCUGAUUCUAAAUAAAAAUUAUAAAUAAAUAAAUAAAAAGACAAUUUCAAAAAUAGUGGUAAUCAAAUUGUAACGUUUUUAGUUUAAUGUCAAAAACAAAAAUUUAUCUAUAAUUAAUUUAACGCAUAUAUACCCUUUAUUUUUUGAAAGGAAAUCUUACUUAAAAAUAUCCCACCACUUGACUUACACACAAGUCAAGUAAGGAAAGCAAUAUUUGAUGUUUACUGUUGAUAUUAUUUUAUGAAUGCCAAAAUCCAUAUAUAGACUUAUUUCGAGUGUUUGAAUUUUCCACCAAAAACGAAGUCGCUGUUGAAUUAAAAUUUUGGUGCUAAGACCCACUGGAUUUUUCACAACCACUUUUAUUAGACGAUAAUUAUCUCUUCACGUAUGCUGGGGUUUAAAAAUUUUUAAUUAAUAAAUAAACAGAGAUAAUAAAGAACAAAGAAUAUGAGAGUUAACAAAAGAGAGUGUGUGUUUUAUUGAUCAAUCAGAAUAUUUACAAAACUUUUUCAAAAUCUUUAUUUAUAGGUAUAAAAAGUAUAAAUGAAGUAGAGAUCUCCGGAUGACUAUUAAAAUUUAAAGUACAUCAAAACUUUUCUCGGUUUUAAUGGAUAUCCGUUUAAUAAUAUAUCCAAAACAUUUAUUUAUUUUUAAAAAAUAUUAUAAUAUUAACAUAGAAAUUAUAUUUGUGAUUAUUGUUUAUAAUAUAAUAUAAUAUAAAUGAUAACAUCAUGGAUAAAAAUAUUUUAAUUUAAAAAUUGUAUAAAAUUUAUAUAUUAUCUCUUCAAUAAUUUAAAUUAUAAUGAUAAUUUUUAUAUAUUAAAUUUAAUAUAUUUAAUCUUCCUUUAAACGAAACAAAUUACUUGUUGAGUUAUUGUAUUUAUUCUAUGAAUUAAUUUUAAAUUUUAUUUGUUAAUCUUCACAAAAUUAUUAGACACUUUGAGCAGUUUAGAAAAUCAUUUAAAAGUAGAGAAAUUCUAUUGAAGAAUGAUAUUUUUGAUUAUUGAAAAUAUUUGCUUAUUGAAGAAUGAUAUUUUUGAUUAUUGAAAAUAUCUGCUUAUUAUCAGACGGAUGAUAUUUUAAAAACUCAAACUAAUAAAACAAUAAUUUGAAACAGUGAAGAAACUUAUAGAAAGGGUGUAGCAAGAGAGCUAGAGGGUUGACACCAGAAGUCAAGAGAUAUCUCCAUAAUGGUCACUUGUGUUGAGUGGUCUGGGGUGAUUGAAUUUUGUACAUUGAAAACGAAGGUAGAGGACAAUUGCUUUCUUGUCACUAUUGCUACAAAUGCCAUUGAAUUUCCACAAGAAAUUUAUCCCAUAUUUAGUUAAGGGAACCUCACUUGACUUGACACGUGACACAAGUCAAGAUAUAUCUCUGAAUGUAAGUAUUAUAGAUUUUUAUUUUUUUUCUAUUAUAUCAAGUAAAUUUUUUAUAUUUAUGUCAUGUAAUUAUAUUAUGCAGUAAAACGUACAAGUCUAAUUCAUAAUGACUUUCGAUAUUGCCUCACGUAUCAUCAUGCCUAUGCUAUUUUUGUAUUAUCCUUGUUUUGAAGGCUAUAUAUAUUUAUAUAAAUUUUGUUUUAGGUAGAUUUUAACAUGUUUUUUCUUCAUCUCAAGUACAUUUUUUUUUAUUUUUUUUUUCAUAUUUUAGUUAUUGAAUGUUGGGCUUAAAAUAUUAUAAACAUUCCUAAUUAUAUAUUAAUUUUACAUUAAGUUUUAACAGAUAAAUUUAGCAUUAUUAUAUUAUACUAUAAUAAAUUUCUUAGGUCAAAAUUAUCUUUGAUUUUUUAUCCAAUUAGAUAUUCCUACACCUUUUUUUUUAUUUCUAAUAACAAAUUCAAAAUUAUCUAUAUCUAUCUAUAGUACAAACUGGCUCUUAAGAGAGUUUUAAGAGUAAAUGGGUUGAUAAUAGUGUUUUUCAAUUUUAUACAUAUUCACAAUUUUUAUCUUUAAAGGUGUCAAGGUUCGUUCAUUUAUUUUCAUAUAAUUAUGUUCAUUUAUCUUCAUACCAGGCUUUCUUGCAGGCUUACAAUCUACUCUAGCUUAUUAUUACUUUAAUGCAAGCUGCAGGACAGGAUUAUGAGUGUAACACCCUAAAUUCGGCCUAGACGUUAUAGUCGUAUCUGGUAAUGUCACACGAUAGUGUUUUUGAAACUUCAUUGUUACGAUGAAAACAUUCCAUAUUUUUUAUUUUAUUUUUUAUUUUAGUAAACCUUUGUUAGAACUUAGGAAGUCGUCUUUACUCAUUUAAAACAUUUUUUUUGAAACAUCCCUCGUUAUAAAUUCAUAAAGUAAAAUAAAUAAAUAAAAACCCAAAUUUAAAACCAAAGUCCCAGAGGGUCCUUAAAUUACAACCCAAAUAAUCAAUAAUAAUCAAAUCGUAAAUCGUAAAUUGAAAACCAUGAAGUCCAAAAAUUACUAUGGUCACCGCUGAGUCCUCCAUCACACCUAUUCAUCUAGGUCUGGGGAUUACCUGUGCACAGUAAACAAAAAGGCGAGUUUAUGUAAACUUAGUGUGUAAUCCCAUAGAAACAAACAAACAAUCAAUAUUCACAGUGCACAGUUGAAUAGUCUUGGGCCUAAGCCCUUUUCAGUAUCAGUGACAGUUUGGGCCUUAGCCUAUCUCAAUACAAUGUCAAAAAUGCAAUAGGACCUUAGCCCAUUACAGUAUUAGUAGCAGUAACAGUUAUGCAGUAGUAAAAUCCUACCUAACCAGCCUCUACACACCAUCUCCGUCCAACCCUACACUCCAUAUAGGGAUAUAAUCAACUCACUCAUCUCUACACUCUAAGUAGUACCGAAUGAGGCACAAAACAGUAGUUUGCAACUGAGCUGCCAGUAAAUUUGGCUAAAAGCCUUUCAGUACACUUCUUCCGAAUAACAACCCCCAAUCCAAUGCAAUGCAACAUACAAUGGAUGACAUGCUAUUAUGCAAUUUCAGUACAUAUAUUCAAUUCAAAUAUUUUCAUACUCAGUACAGAUAUCAUUCAGUCAAUUUCACACAUUUAGGGAUCUAAGUAGCGUUUACCGACCCUACAAUAGGUUCACAGUCGACUUGGGUGACCCGUGCAACCUUAGAAACAUUUCGAUGAAAAUGGGCUCACAUACCUAUGUGAUCUGCCCCUGUGGGCCCACAGGCCUGUGUAGCCCACUCGGCCCAAAUUGGCCUUGGUCGUGUGAUCUAUUUUUAAUGUAACCCAUGCUAGCUAAAUAUUCAUAUAUGUUUUCACUAUUUACUUAUAUGUUCAUUCAAAGUUGUCUACUUGAGUCAUUGUCACUAAAUUAUUUAUAUCUUGAGUUACGAAAAUCCAAAUUAAGACCCGCUUGAUGUUUUUGAAACUAGACUCAAAUACCUUUCUACCAUAAAAUUUUCAGAAUUUAUAGUUUAUCAAAUAAGUACAUUAAAAUCUUCAAAUUUAUCCCAAUUCUGCUAUUUGACAGCUUCAACUUUUUCUUACUUAAAAUUAUUUAUCUCUUAGUACGGAAUUUGGAUGAUGUUUCUAUUUGUUUCUCUUGAAAAUAGACUCAUUAACGAUUUAAACAUAUAAAUUUAAGCCCUUAUUUAUUGUUUUUCAAUUUUUGAUGAUUUUCCAAAGUCAAAACAGGGGAACCCGAAAUUAUUCUAACAUUGUCUCACAAAAUUUAUUAUAUCUCAUAAUUUACAAUUCAAUUGCUUACAUUGUUUCUUCCAUGAAAAACUUAAUAAAAUUUAAUUUCUAAUUUUAUUCAACCUCUAACUCAAUUUCCACUUAUCUUGAUGAUUUUUCAAAGUUAGACUACUACUGUUGUUCAAAACUAUUUUAGUGCAAAAUGUUGAUUUCCAAGUUUAUAACACCCUUAUUUCCUUUCUCUAUAAGUUUUCACAUUAUUUUCCCUUAUUUCUCUUAUUUCUCGAUAGCAAGCAAUUUCGACUUUUCGCCGAAUCCUAUUUUCUGCGUUUCGGGUACACACCUGGUAUCGUUUUGCUGCAAAUACGCUCUCAGGCACUCCAAGACUUAAAAAUCGAUAAUUAGAGCCCAAUUUAGAUCACUAACGAAAACUCAAAACUAAAAAUCAUCUACAUCAAAAUCAAUAGCAAACCUAAACACUUACCGACAACGAACUAAAAUUUCUAACGCUCAAUUUGCUUGUGAAGCCGCAACUGAUUUCUGAUUUUCGCCUAAACCAAGAGAGCCAAAACAAUCCUUUUUAGGAACUAGCUAAGAAACGAUAAAAUAGAGACAAUUAGAUACUUACAGAACCAGUGUAUACAAUUGCUAGUUGGAAAAUAGGCUAGUAAAAAAAUCAAAUAGAGAGGGUGGGCUAGGGAACAAAAAUUUGGCAAAGCAAAGAAGAAGAGGACGGUAGAAAAAUUGGGGAAAAAAAGAGAAUGCCGAAAUUUAGGAAAAAUAAAAACCAAAUAGAAACUUAGAUGAUAUUAAUAACUACCCUACAUCCCUAAAUUUUCUCCCACCAAUCCUACUAACCUACAACCACUCCAGAAUUCCACUCUGCCGAAAUACUUGUCCAUCAUUGCGUAAAAAUAACGCCUAUGCUCCAGCAUAGAUUCGAACUCAGGACCUCAUAUAAUUAAACACUCUACUUAACCACUAGACCAGCAGACCCAUUUUGUUAUUUAAUUACCAACUAUUAAACUUAAGCUUUUUAGGCCAGGUUAAGGCUUUAUUUAUAAAAAUACUAAUAUUUGCCCAAGUCAUGGCUUGAACUUGGGACCUCCCACACACUUCCAAAACACUUACCCAUUGAAGCAGACAAGUACUUAUAUCACAAAAACAAGAAUUAAAAAUUUUGGUGCAUUAUAAUUCUACCCCCAAGAGAAAAUUUCAUCCUCGAAAUUUACCUGAUCAGAACGAAUGAGGAUGCUGCUGACACAUCGCAUCCUCAAGCUCCCACGUUGCCUCCUUAGUAUUAUGGUUACACCACAGAAUCUUCACCAGAGGGAUAGACUUCCUCCUCAAAACCUUUACGUCUCAAUCCAUAAUCUGAACCGGCUCCUCCUCAAAGGUUAAAUCUGGCCUAACCUCAAUCUACUCUAUUGGAACAAUAUGUGUAGGAUUAGAGAGGUAGCACCUCAACAUAGAAACGUGAAACACGUCAUGAAUUUGAUCCAACUCUAGAGACAGCUCCAAUUGAUAAGCGAUCGGUCCCACUCGUUUCAAAAACCUAGAGCUCAACUUGCUCUUACGACCAAACCUCAGACUCUUCUUCAUUGCAAAACCUUGAGGAACAUGAAGUCCCCCACGGAAUACUCAAUCUCUUGACGCUUUAGAUCCGCAUAGGAUUUUUAUCUGUCUGAUGGCAUUUUCAGACGAUCCCGAAUCAGUCUAACCUUAUCUUUAGUCUCCAAUACUAACUCAGGAUCCAGAACACGUCGUUUGCCCAACUCAGUCUAACAUAAAGGAGUGCGACACUUAUGACCAUACAAUGCCUCGUAAGGUGUCAUCUAGAUGCUAGACUGAAAACUGUUAUAAUAGGUGAACUCCGCCAGUGGCAGAUAAUCUUUCAAACUACCUUAAAAAUCAAUAGCACAGCUCUUGAAUUUGAGCCUUAAGCUCCACAAGCUCCUUCCGUGCCUUUCGAUAGGGAGCGAUGGACACCAGAGCUGUACCUGGAAGUAGCUCAAUCCCAAAUUCCAACUCGUGAUUCGGAGGUAACCCAAGUAGCUCUUAAAAAAAGACGUCUAAAAAAUAUUUUACCGUUUCAAUAUCCUUAAUUGUAGAAUCCUUAGAAUCCAAAACACUUACGGAAGCUAAGAAUGCCUCACAUCCCUUAUGAACUAUUUUCUCUGCCACCAGUAUAGAGAUCACAUUAGAUAAGUAAUUCUGGCAUUCUCCAAUCAUGACUACCUCUUUAUCCUUCUUAGUCCUUAGUACGACCCUCUUAGUCGCACAGUCUAAGCUAACACGAUGCUUGACCAAUCAGUCCAUCCCUAGAAUUAGGUCAAACUCCCCAAAUAGAAGCUCCAUCAAAUCAGCCAAGAAGAUUGCCCCUUGUACCUCUAAAGGAAUGUCCUUAUACAGUUUACUAACUCUAACAGAUUGCCUUAAUGGGAUCAGUACCGUAACUUCACUCGUAGUGCUCUCAACUGGAAUUGUUGACACCAUUUUUGGAUUAAAAACGGGGUCGACUUGGGUUUUGAAAAUGAAAAUGAAUAGAGGAGUCGCCACCAAUCCUUUUUGAUGAGGUGCGAUCGGGUCACCUCGAAUUAAUCAUUUUAAUAAAAGUUAAGAUUUACUAAAACGAUAAUUUUUUUUGGUCUACGAAAAUCAGAAAAUGAGUUCGGGAGUCGGUUACGCACGAGGAAGGAUUAGCACCCUCGAUACGCCCAAAAAUUGGUACCUAGUUGAUUAAUUAGUGUCUUAGUUUCGAAAAUUGAAAACUUAAAAUACUUUGAAAUACGAUCCAUCUCUUUGUAAAAAAAACUCAAAUAUUAAAGACCUUCUCAUCUCUAAGUGAUAAAAUAUCACAUCCAGUAAGUUAGGACACGACAUCUCGAGCUUUUGAGAGUGAGUUUGUCUUUAUUUAAAAUUCAUGCAUUUUAACUUUUUUUUAAAAAGGAUGUUCGGUUAUUUAGGGUAAACGAAGAAAGUCGAAACCCAGUAAGUUAGGGUACGUUUUCUCGAAUUUCCUAAAAACGAAAUAUUGCCUUAUUUUGAAUUUUUUUUUGAAUAAUAGCAAAUGCAACAUUUAGAUAGUGUGCAUUAUUUGUUUGGAUUAAAAUAAAACAAUUUAUUGGAUAAAUGCAACGAGACUUGAUUCAUGAAGCGAUGAUAUAAAAUAAAAAUAUAGUAAUAAGCCUAGAACAAUGAUACAUGAACACAACAUUAUAUGGAUGAAUCACAAUAAUGCAAAAAUACGAAAUAAACAAAUUAAAAUACACAAAGACAAUAAUCAUACAACAUUUAAAUAAUAACAUCGAUAGAUAAAAGACCAAUGAAUUAAAUAAUAAUUUUUUAAGAAAAUAAAUGGCAUAAAAUAAAUUAAAAUAAAUAAUAUAAAACAUUUUAAAAUGACAAUAAUAAGUUUGAAAUAAAUAAUGUGAAAAAGGAAAUUUAAAAAUCAAUAACACACUAAACGAUAAAAAAUAUGUUUAUACAAAAAAUUAAGAUAAACAGUAUGUAUAUAUAUGUAUAAAAGUAUGAAGUGAAUGAUAUAAAAAGAGCAAAUAAUAGCAGUAAAACAUUUCGGAAUAAAUAAAUAGGAUUCAAAAUAAGAUACGUAUAACAAUUUAAAAUAAGCAAUAUAUAAAUAAAUAGAGUUUAAAAUAAAUGAUGUAAAAAAAAAAAUUUAUUUAAAAAAAAGGAACAAUAAUAUACGAAAAAGAAAAAAAGAUAUAUGAAGAAUAGAAAAUAUUUAUAUAAUAUGUGCAAAGAAACCAAAAUAAAUAAUGUAUGUAGAGUAGUUUAGAAUAAACAAUAUAUGCAAAACAACUUACAACUUUGAGUAAUUGAUACAUAAAAUUGGUUAAAAUUAAUAAUAUAUGAAAAUGAACCGUAUAUAGAAUAUUUUAAACACAUACAAUAACAGUUCCUUUUUUAAGAAAAAGAAUUAAACAGGUGAAGGAUUAAUUCGAAAACAAUACAAAAUUCUAGGUAAAAAAUAAAAAGAUACUGCCAGGAUUAAAAUGAAGUGCACCUAAAAUCAUAAGGACCAAAUGGGAUAAAAACCAUAGCCCUAACAUGCGCAUGAGGCCCGACAGAUCAAAAGACUGAUUUAAAAAACAAGCAAAAUCUAACAACUAAAUUAAGAGAAAAAGCAAAGAUAAAAUAGGGCCUGAUCAAAGGACGCUAAAGAUGGAGGGACCUCGUGUGCAAAUAUCCUAAUAAUUGAGGAUACAUGAAUCCCCAUCCCCACCAACGGCACCGUUUUGUUUGGUGUUUAAAACACCCAUUCUCUUUAUUAUUUCAGCCCUAAUUUCAUAGAAGAAAAGAAAAAAAGAACAAAAAAAAUAGAAUGUUAAAGCUUCUCUCCCUCUCCUCUCUUACUGAAUCGUGAGCCCGUCGCCGUUGCAUCACCGCGCCCCCACCGUAUCGGUGGCUGGCGAUGCUCAAGGGUGGGUUUUUAGCCCCCGAUUCAACCAGGUAUGAAGGCUAAGAUUUUUUAACCAAGAAAACCCGAAAAUGAAGGGAUCUCCACCCGUUUUGGGUUCGGCUCCGACGACUGAGGGAACCGCCGACGGUGUGACCCAGGGGUUCGGGUAAGUUUUCUCCCCGUCUUCUUUUUAUUUCUUGUUCUUGAAGCUUAAAAGCAAAAUCAAAAAUGAAAAAAGAAAAAAAGAAAUCAGAAAUUGAAAAAACGUAACCUUUUUCUUUUGUUUUUGCUCUUUUAUUUCUGAAAUAUGCGUGUGUACAAGAAUGGGGAUCCCUUUUUUACAAUUGCUUUCGGCUUCUGUUUUUAGCCGAAUGAGAUAGAAUCCAAAAUCUCCCCCUUUUACAUUGAAAAUGAAUGGCUCUUUAUAGCCGAUUAUACAAAGUCCUAUUGUUGUUUUGUUACUGUUUGCUGCGUUUCUGUUUCUGUUGCUGCUUCCGUCAUGUUUGCAGGUGUUCAAGGAGGUGAUGGGAGCAGGUGGAGGAGAGAUGGCGAUGGGACGUGCGGCUGACAGAGAGCAGCGGCAAGUGGGAUACUAGGGUUUCAGUUUCUGAAACCCUAGUCUGAUGUGGGCUUGGCUGUUGGGCCAGGGUGCUGGGCCUUUUAUUUCUUUCUUGGGCCCGGGCAAAUGGGCCUGCAACAGCUGCCCCUCUUUGCUCGUUGUCGUGUAACGAUAACAGAGAAAAGACUAAGAAAGGCCCAUUUUGCCCGGUCUCGCCGAGUCUUGACUUGUUCUGGUACUUCUCCAUUUCAAGUAGUUUCAUUCCAGUCCACUAGGUCUUGUUGCUUCGAUCCAUUCCACUGCAUUUUAGAGAGAUGCGUCCUGUAGCCUUUAUCUUCUUCGUAGCAACUUCAGGGGGACGAGGUUUGUGGUUUUCAAUCUAUUCCACUGCAUCUUCAGGGAAAUAAGACUUGAUGCGACCUACUCUGCUGUAACCUCAGAGAGAUAAGAUCCUUUAUUUUAACCCACUCCACUGUAACUUCAGGGAGAUAGGAUAGUGUCUUCGAUCUGCUCCGCUGUAAUCUCGGGGAGAUAAGAUCUCUGGCUUCAAUCUGCUCCACUGUAACUUCAGGGGGACAAGAUCUGUAAUUUCCAAUCUAUUCCACUACAGGUCAGGGAUAUAGGACUUGUGGUUUGAAUCCGCUUCCUUACACUUGAAGAUAAGAUUUGCUGUCUUUGAUCUGCUCCGCUACGGCUUAGGGAGACAAAAUCUGUAACCUUUAACCAGCUCCAAUGCAACCAAUGGAGGCAAGGCUUUGUUUUUGAUCUGCUUUACUGUUAAUGCAGGAAGGCAAGAUCUGCUUCUUUAACUAGCUCCACUGCAAUCGAUGGAUGCAAGGCUUUGUUUUCGAUCUGCUUCGCUGUUAAUGUAGGACGGCAAGAUCUGCUUCUUUAACCAGCUCCACUACAACCGAGAGAGGCAAGGUUUGUGUCUUCGACCUGCUUCAAUGUCAAUGCAGGAAGGCAAGAUCUUUUGUCUUCAACCAGCUCUAUCACAACCGAAAGAGGCAAGGUUUGUGUCUUCGAUCUGCUUCGCUGUCAAUGCAGAAAGGCAAGAUCUUUUGUCUUCAACCAGCUCCAUCACAACCAAAGAGGCAAGGUUUGUGUCUUCGAUCUGCUUCGCUGUCAAUGCAGAAAGGCAAGAUCUUUUGUCUUCAACCAGCUCCAUCACAACCGAAAGAGGCAAGGUUUGUGACUUCAUUGAUCUGUCCCUUGGGGAACAUGACCUGUAUGUUCUAUUUUAUGAACCUAAUUGUGCCUAGUGAUUAGGAUGACAUAAUCAGAAUGAAUCAAAUGCUCCUAACUAGAUAUGUAUGAAUGACAUUUGAAUGAAUGCAAAAUGUCAUGAAGAUGAUUCCUUAAUGCUUAGGUUAACAUCACGUAAAAACUUAUUAAGGUUUUAUCACUGACGUACUACAACGCCUUUUUGCUCGUCUGGUAUAUCCAAAGAAACACUUAAUCUGGUUGCCCCCCACUGUAAACCUUAAAGUUUAAUCUAUUAGGGCACAAAAUUUGUACCAUCAUUCUCCCACUACAAUCCAAGGGUAGAAAUAUGGUUUUUCCUCAAUCCUCUUUUAUCACAAUUCAAGGAUAUAGGAUCUUAAUCUUUCUGGUCCCCCUUUACACCAUUUCCAGGGUGUCGUUUCAAAGACUCAUGCACAAAUGAAGGCUCUCUUCUCCGAGGUAACCUCUUCCUAUUGCCUAGUGAUCAUUGCUUGCUUGUUUAUUUAAGCUUUUUCAUUGACACGACAUCUUGUCAUUUUGUUCAAUCAAUGCAUUUGUCAACAAAAUCCAAAGAGAAAGUCUAAACUUAGACUCUUCCUUCUCAAAUUUCCAACCUUCAAAUUUGGCAUGUUCUAAACAAUAGUCCUGUUUUAGGUUCCUGUAUUAUUUAGAAACUUUUCAGAGUAAUAUGCAAAACUUCCUUUGUGAAAGUUUUAUUAGUCCAUUAAUCAUUAUUCCAAUGCUUGCAAAAAGGUCAUAACAAUGGAUAAGAAUAAAGUUGGUUCUGAGCAUAGCUCGAAAGAACAAAUUAUCGAAAAUAGUGAAGAAGGACAACAAAAGAAUUAAUUGGGAAUGUAUAUCUUGGAAAGAAAGAAAAAGUAUUCCAAGAACAACAAAUAACAUGAGAAUUGGGUGCCCCAGAUAUCACAGCUUGAACUUCUCUAUACAAACUUUCUGAAGACCCUUUUGAGUUGGACAUGUGUUUAGGAGAUCUACAAUGCUCUGUCGAUGCCCCCAAGAUGUCGCCUAUCCUUUCCUGUUGAUUCAGGCAUGGCAAGAUCAACACAUGCCUCAAUAUGAACAAAACUUGAGCAGCUUAUAUCACCCCAUGCCCCAUUUUGAUCAGUAUUUGAGCCGCCCUUUUCGGGUUUUCAGCUCAGAUCCCCUUUGGCCUAAGGCGCCCUUUGCGGGUUUUCCCCUUAGCCUCUCCAUUUUACUCUUUUCAUUUUCCAUUUUCAUUCUUCAUCUUUUUAUUUUUUUUGAACUUCAUUGUCUUACAAUACAGUGACAAACUGUGAUGUCUGAUUUUGAACCGAUUACAGCCCUCAACUAUCAUGUUGUCAUUCUAGUUCAAUACAUUUUCCCAUACCAUCGUCUCUAGAAUUCUAUAUUGGCAUAUGAUGACAUUGACGCAUGCUGUAGCCUUUAUCCAUUUGAUGAAGUAAUUAAUGAUCUCAAUAGUGAAGCAAUGCCCAUUAGAAGUCUUCGAUAAUGGUGAUGUCCAUGCCCCAUUUUGCUCAAAAUUUGAGUCACCCUUUUUGGGUUUUCCACUCAAAACCACUUUUGGUCACAAAGCGCCUUUUUGGUUUUUCGCCUUGGCCUCUCCUUUUCUUUUCUUUGCUUUUCGUAUUUUUAUUUUGACUUUGAUUGAUUUCUCUUUGUUUUUAUUUUUUAUUUUGAUUUUGAUUUUGAUUUUGUUUUUUUUUUUCAUUUUUCCUUGUUUUUUGAAUCGGAUCUAAACUCUUGGGAUUAGGCAAGUCUUUGUUAUCCCCUUCAAAGGAUCUUCUCUGAUAUCGAAUUUCCUUUAUAGAGCCUUUUAGGGCAAAACUACAACUGGAAACUUUUGAUCUUCUUCUUCCAUCGGGAUAAAAUCUAGCAACAUCUUGAAGGAAUAGAAACUCGACUUCAAACGGGCAAAGCUAUGCUGAAUUGACGAGAACGGUAUUGCCCCGGCAAAGAAUUGUAUCAUUCAUACGAGUUUGGACAUCGUGUUGUUGUGCAGAUUUCAUUAUCAGUGCUUAACCCAGCAUAUCCUGGUAUGAUCCUACAAAGACAUCUUUGAACAAGGUCUUGCUUCAUUUUUAAGGACAAGUCAAUUCCAAGCUCAGAAUUCCUAGUGAUCUGUCUAUCCUCCUACUCAACCAUCCUCAAUAAGUUUGGGGGUAAGCUACUAUCUAUGUCAUUUCCAAAGUCAUGAGAUCCAUCUAAGCACAUGCCUCACUCAAGUGGAAAAUCUGAGUUUGCAGCAGUUUCAUUCAUGUUAUUGAUAUCUGAGGACUCAUAAUAAGCACCGAGGAAUAUACAAAAGAAUGUAUAAAUUUAUGAAUGAUUAUUUACAAUAUGAUUAUGAAUGAAUGUUGUGGAAGAAAAUCCAACAGAAUGAAAUAAUCAAAAAUAAUUAUUAAAAAGAAUGAAAGAAUAUUGGCUCAAAAAGGAACGCAAAGAUGUAUUUUAUUAGAAUAAUAACGUUCAGACAUUAGCCUAUUUCACAAAGGAAUUUCUAUCGCUUCAGGCUAAAAACAGCAAAAAUGUUCUGAACAUUACUCUAAAUAAGCUCUAAAAACUACAGGGAUUUAUUCUACAAGCCCAUUGCUUGGAACACUCCAGGUUUAUAAGGGCAGACAUCUAACAAGAUCCCUUUUCAAUUAUGCCUUCAUAUAUGGUAUUGAUGUGAAAACUUCCCAACACUUUCUCAUAUAUUGCGUUCACCCCAUUGUUAAUCAUGAUUGGGUGGCGAAUUUUCUGCAUUAGAUGAGUCACCAAACUUGACGACACCCAUGUUGAUGAGCUUUUCAACCAGUUUCUUGAAGGCUAUGCAGUUCUCUAUGGAAUGCCCCGUAUUUCCCGCAUGAUAUUCGCAAUGUGCAUUCGCAUCGUGCCAUUUGGGGUACGGUGGCUGUGGAGGUUUUGAGUAGAAAGGAGAAACAAUGCGUGCAUCGAAUAACUUUUGAUACAGCUCAUUAUACGACAUCGGGAUUGGCGUGAACUGGAGGUUCUCAGUACCUUGUUUCACACUAAUUUCUUGUCUAGAUGAACCUUGCUGACUAGCAGUCACCUUUCUUGGCUGUGUAAUCGAUUUGUUGUAAGUGUUGACAUUGCUCACAUCAUUUUCCUUCUUCUUUAAGUCUGACCUUCUAUUAUUCUCCCCAGCAUCAAUCUUUCCACUUCUCACGGCACUUUCAAUCAUUUCACCGCUCAUGACUAUGUCUGAAAAACUCUUCGAAGCACUUCCUAACAUGUGGGUGAUGAACGGGGCCUUCAAUGUGUUGAUGAAGAGCAUCGUCAUUUCUUUCUCUAGGAGUGGCGGCUGAACUUGGAUAGCGACCUCCCUCCACCUUUGUGCGUAUUGCCUAAAACUUUCAUUAGGUUUUUUCUCCAUAUUUUGCAGGGUUAUUCUGUCAGGGACCAUAUAAGCUACAUGACUGUAUUGUUUCAUAAAGGCUUGUGCUAAAUCCCUCCAAGAACUAAUCUGGAUACGCGUCAAUUGAUUGUACCACUUAGACGCUGUCCCUGUGAGGCUAUCUUGAAAGCAGUGUAUGAGCAGUUGGUCGUUGUUGACGUAUCCGGCCAUACGCCUACAGAACAUAGUAAUAUGAGCUUCUGGGCAGCUGGUCCCAUUAUAUUUCUCGAAUUCCGGCAUCUUAAAUUUGUAAGGGAGCACCAAGUCCGGAACCAAGCUCAGAUCCUUUGCAUCUAUUCCAUAGCUUUCGAUGCUUUCUAUUGCCCUAAACUUCUCUUCUAUCCAUUUCCAUUUCUCCUCAAAUUGUUUUGGAAAUUCCUCCUUCGCCUUAUCCUUUUCAACCAUCUCGUCAAGAUCUGGGACAGCAAUAUUAUUCGGGCUAUCACCGGGAUUAAAGCCCGCUCCGGGUUGAAAAUUCAUUGGAAUUGAAGCAUCGCCUUGGAACUGCUGGGGCCUAACCGACACAGAGGGUCUCCGCGGAUGCAGCUCAGUCUGUACUUGCGCAUGCGGAGGCGUGAAACCUGGAGGAUAAAGUGGUUCACCAUUGUUUUCUUCUUCACUAACAAUCACAGGACCUUUACCCUUGUCUACUCCCUUCAAUAAUUGCGUCAUCUUAGCCACCAGAUCAUUUUGGGACUCCUCCAUCUUUUGCACCAUGUCACGCUGAAUCUUUUCUAUUUGCUCUUUCAUUUGCGCCUGCAACUGGUCUUGCAUUUCUUUUUGAAGUCGCUCUAGCUUCUCCAACCUUUGGUCCAUAAUUUUUGUCUUAGCUCGGGUGCCGUAACUUUGUUGGUUUUCCAGGUUAACUGAAAUGAUUUUAUUCGAUUAGGUUUUUAAUGGUCAUUAAUGCAUGUGAUGUGAUGCAAUGCAUGAAAAGAAUGCAAAGAAAAAGAGGCACUGAUUCUAAUUCAACUUCAUUAGAAAACUUUACUAGAUAAAGAGUUUCUUUACAUAAAAUAGACUACAUAUAUGGCUUUGCCCUCACACUCAAAGCCUUAACCUUUCUAAGAAGCCAAGCUAAUUCUCGGCCCCUGUCCGACUCUGACUCAUACUUCAAACUUAAUAGAUCAGCCUGAACCGCUAGAGUUUGCAGAUGAUCAGCUACUUCGCGCACUUGAGUCACCGCCUCUCCCAUAAUAUAAUCUCUUUCUCCAAUCUGCUCUUGAGACCGACGGAAUUGUCUUUGCCACUGCUCAUUACUUUCUUCCAGAAGCUCUAUCCGGAUUUCACUAUUUUGUAAUGCAUUCUCUAGCCCUCAUAUCUGUCUUUUUAAUUCUUCAAUUUUGUCUAAGCUCACCCUUAAUUCAACCGUAGCAUUACGAUUACAGUACUGGUGAAGCGAUCUUUCUAGUUCAGUUAUCCGGACCUUCAACACCGUCUUCUCGUCUUGGCAAACUAGUAGACUCUUUCCCAAGGCGACUUCUCGAGCCCGAGUAUCCUGAAAUUUCUUUUCCCAUUGAUUAGCUUUUGUCUUUUCCUCCUGAAUUUCUUGUCGCCAUUGUUCUGGUGUUUUACCCAAGCCAGCGGCUCUUACCGACUUACGCAACUUCUUGUAAUCUGUCUUCAGGCUGUCCAAAUCUUCUUCUGCCUUGUUCUUUCCUUUUCUCAAUUUGUUGGCCUCUAAUCUUUGAAUGUCCACAUCCAGUCCUAACUGCAUUUUUUCUUCCUCUAGUUGUUCUAUCUUCUUCCCUAAUUCUAAACUUCUUUUUUCGAAUUCUUGUUUGAUGAUUUCUAUUUCAGAAGGCAAAACUUGUAAGUGUUCCUCUAAAGAUCGAGCAGUUUCUGAAUUUGACGCCGGGAUGUUGUCAUUGAUCCUUUGAUCACGCCACUGACCAUACUCGGGGGUAAUUGUCGGACCCACGGCUAAGAUCUUCAUUCGACGAGUCUGGUUCCAGGCACUAGAUAUUUCUCGAACCUUCUUCUUGUAAUUGUCCUUCCUAUAGGAAAAAUCACUAUAAGCCAACCCCUGGGUUGCUGGUAUGAAUUGUCGUGAUCUAUACUGUCUUGAUACGAGUAGAGGAGCAUAUCCGAUAGCUCUCCAUAUCCCGAGCAGCGGAACCCAGUCAAAAUCUCCACAUCGGUACAAUAUCUCAUCAGGAAUUAACCAAGGAGCCCUCCAUUCAAUAUCUUCAUCUUGGAGAUUCUGGAGUAUCUCUAUCCAUUUUUCUUCUGAAAUAUCAUCUCGUCUUGGCGUGGCCACCAAUUCUCCUAGAGGGGAGUAGCUAUCAGAGAAUACCCGAUAAGAGACCUUUUCGACUUUCCAGAAGUGGCUAUGGAACCAUGCCAAUAAGAGCUGCGCGCAUCCAAUAAACCUUCCCUCCCCUACUUUUCGACACGCAUUCAAUGAUCUAAAAGUUUCAGCGAGUAUUGCCGGAACCGGUGUAACCCCUUUACUAAGCCGAUCGAACAAAUCAGAUACAGCCUCGUCUAUGUGUCCUAAAGCUUUGGGGAAAACCACUAGUCCAUAGAUACCUAAAGCGAAAACAUCGACCCUUUUCUUUAAGUCAGGAUGUACAAGCACCAAAUCUCGCAAACUUUUCCAAGGAACACAUUUACUGUCGCCCUUCUGUUGGAUCCGGGCAGCGACCCACUGCUCGCUCAUUCCAGUGAUGUUCAUUAAUUUCUUUAACAACGGAGGGACACAAGCAGCUCUGGAAUAAGCCUUGUCGACUUGAAUCUUUGGGCACCGAAGCAAGGUCGUAUACUCCUCCACAGUAGGCGUCAAAUCUACCUUCCCAAAAGUGAAACAACUGUAGGCAGGAUUCCAAAACUGAGCAAGGGCUCGGAAUAAAUACUUGUCCACUUUGACACUAAGCAGGUAAGGUAGGUCACCGUAGUUACAAUAGAACAGCUGCUUGGCCUCGACAUCCCAUUGAUCCCAGACUUCUUUCAUUUCUCGAAGGUCAUUUUGGAUUACACUGAUACGGGUAAAAUCCCACAAUUCUGACACGUACCCUUCGGUAAGACUAUCGCCUUUCUCCCGUUGUGUCGUUUCAGCCCAUAUUCGCACAGCCGCAUUAUCCUCUACUUUAUCAACAAACCCCUUUUCCAUGAUAAGCUUUCUACCAAGAAACUGAACGUAAAUCGACACCUCUUUUAGAAUGAAGAUGCCAUGCAAUCACAAACAAAGUAAAUUAGCAUUAAACACAGAAUAAGAUUUAAAAUAAGCGACAAAUAAAUACAACAUUCAUUUAGGUAAGCACUAAAAAUUUAGAGUAGCUCUACCUAGGUUGGUUCCUAUGGCUCAUUACAUGUGGUUUGGUUCUAAAGUAGGGUACCUGAACCAGCAAAUUCCUCGAUCCUCACCCAUUAUAGGCUCAUACGGACCAAGUUCGAUUCAGGGGGAUACAUUUCCCUAUGGCCAUGCGGAGAUGAAAAUCUCACGAAGACAUAGGUACGGAUGUAUCCCGAAAGCGAUUCACUAUCCCAUGCGGAGGUGAAAACCUCACGAAGGCGUAGUUUCUCACUCCCACUUAAAAGGGUGUGACCAACGGUCAUGCAAUGCAAUGUGCAGAAAGAUACAAAAACUUAAACUAACACAACAAUUAUAAACCACAACGAUGAAAAUUGUAAUAAAGAGCAAUGAAAUGCGAUGAAAGGAUCGUAUAUUUAAACCAAGUUUUGAUUUUCGACAAAAAGACAAAAAAUAAUCAACUCGUGGCCCGACUCACUUAUUGUGGUUGUCCCCAGUGGAGUCGCCAAGCUGUUGACACCAUUUUUGGAUUAAAAACGGGGUCGACUUGGGUUUUGAAAAUGAAAAUGAAUAGAGGAGUCGCCACCAAUCCUUUUUGAUGAGGUGCGAUCGGGUCACCUCGAAUUAAUCAUUUUAAUAAAAGUUAAGAUUUACUAAAACGAUAAUUUUUUUUGGUCUACGAAAAUCAGAAAAUGAGUUCGGGAGUCGGUUACGCACGAGGAAGGAUUAGCACCCUCGAUACGCCCAAAAAUUGGUACCUAGUUGAUUAAUUAGUGUCUUAGUUUCGAAAAUUGAAAACUUAAAAUACUUUGAAAUACGAUCCAUCUCUUUGUAAAAAAAACUCAAAUAUUAAAGACCUUCUCAUCUCUAAGUGAUAAAAUAUCACAUCCAGUAAGUUAGGACACGACAUCUCGAGCUUUUGAGAGUGAGUUUGUCUUUAUUUAAAAUUCAUGCAUUUUAACUUUUUUUUAAAAAGGAUGUUCGGUUAUUUAGGGUAAACGAAGAAAGUCGAAACCCAGUAAGUUAGGGUACGUUUUCUCGAAUUUCCUAAAAACGAAAUAUUGCCUUAUUUUGAAUUUUUUUUUGAAUAAUAGCAAAUGCAACAUUUAGAUAGUGUGCAUUAUUUGUUUGGAUUAAAAUAAAACAAUUUAUUGGAUAAAUGCAACGAGACUUGAUUCAUGAAGCGAUGAUAUAAAAUAAAAAUAUAGUAAUAAGCCUAGAACAAUGAUACAUGAACACAACAUUAUAUGGAUGAAUCACAAUAAUGCAAAAAUACGAAAUAAACAAAUUAAAAUACACAAAGACAAUAAUCAUACAACAUUUAAAUAAUAACAUCGAUAGAUAAAAGACCAAUGAAUUAAAUAAUAAUUUUUUAAGAAAAUAAAUGGCAUAAAAUAAAUUAAAAUAAAUAAUAUAAAACAUUUUAAAAUGACAAUAAUAAGUUUGAAAUAAAUAAUGUGAAAAAGGAAAUUUAAAAAUCAAUAACACACUAAACGAUAAAAAAUAUGUUUAUACAAAAAAUUAAGAUAAACAGUAUGUAUAUAUAUGUAUAAAAGUAUGAAGUGAAUGAUAUAAAAAGAGCAAAUAAUAGCAGUAAAACAUUUCGAAAUAAAUAAAUAGGAUUCAAAAUAAGAUACGUAUAACAAUUUAAAAUAAGCAAUAUAUAAAUAAAUAGAGUUUAAAAUAAAUGAUGUAAAAAAAAAUUUUAUUUAAAAAAAAGGAACAAUAAUAUACGAAAAAGAAAAAAAGAUAUAUGAAGAAUAGAAAAUAUUUAUAUAAUAUGUGCAAAGAAACCAAAAUAAAUAAUGUAUGUAGAGUAGUUUAGAAUAAACAAUAUAUGCAAAACAACUUACAACUUUGAGUAAUUGAUACAUAAAAUUGGUUAAAAUUAAUAAUAUAUGAAAAUGAACCGUAUAUAGAAUAUUUUAAACACAUACAAUAACAGUUCCUUUUUUAAGAAAAAGAAUUAAACAGGUGAAGGAUUAAUUCGAAAACAAUACAAAAUUCUAGGUAAAAAAUAAAAAGAUACUGCCAGGAUUAAAAUGAAGUGCACCUAAAAUCAUAAGGACCAAAUGGGAUAAAAACCAUAGCCCUAACAUGCGCAUGAGGCCCGACAGAUCAAAAGACUGAUUUAAAAAACAAGCAAAAUCUAACAACUAAAUUAAGAGAAAAAGCAAAGAUAAAAUAGGGCCUGAUCAAAGGACGCUAAAGAUGGAGGGACCUCGUGUGCAAAUAUCCUAAUAAUUGAGGAUACAUGAAUCCCCAUCCCCACCAACGGCACCGUUUUGUUUGGUGUUUAAAACACCCAUUCUCUUUAUUAUUUCAGCCCUAAUUUCAUAGAAGAAAAGAAAAAAAGAACAAAAAAAAUAGAAUGUUAAAGCUUCUCUCCCUCUCCUCUCUUACUGAAUCGUGAGCCCGUCGCCGUUGCAUCACCGCGCCCCCACCGUAUCGGUGGCUGGCGAUGCUCAAGGGUGGGUUUUUAGCCCCCGAUUCAACCAGGUAUGAAGGCUAAGAUUUUUUAACCAAGAAAACCCGAAAAUGAAGGGAUCUCCACCCGUUUUGGGUUCGGCUCCGACGACUGAGGGAACCGCCGACGGUGUGACCCAGGGGUUCGGGUAAGUUUUCUCCCCGUCUUCUUUUUAUUUCUUGUUCUUGAAGCUUAAAAGCAAAAUCAAAAAUGAAAAAAGAAAAAAAGAAAUCAGAAAUUGAAAAAACGUAACCUUUUUCUUUUGUUUUUGCUCUUUUAUUUCUGAAAUAUGCGUGUGUACAAGAAUGGGGAUCCCUUUUUUACAAUUGCUUUCGGCUUCUGUUUUUAGCCGAAUGAGAUAGAAUCCAAAAUCUCCCCCUUUUACAUUGAAAAUGAAUGGCUCUUUAUAGCCGAUUAUACAAAGUCCUAUUGUUGUUUUGUUACUGUUUGCUGCGUUUCUGUUUCUGUUGCUGCUUCCGUCAUGUUUGCAGGUGUUCAAGGAGGUGAUGGGAGCAGGUGGAGGAGAGAUGGCGAUGGGACGUGCGGCUGACAGAGAGCAGCGGCAAGUGGGAUACUAGGGUUUCAGUUUCUGAAACCCUAGUCUGAUGUGGGCUUGGCUGUUGGGCCAGGGUGCUGGGCCUUUUAUUUCUUUCUUGGGCCCGGGCAAAUGGGCCUGCAACAGGAAUCCCCAAGUUUCUAGAUAUGUUGCUAGCUAUGUAUGAGUGAGUAGACCCUAUGUCUAUCAAGGUAAUAUAUAGUACAUCAAGAAUAAAGAACGUACCCGUGAUGACGUUCGGAGCAUCUCUAUUCUCUCGGCGACAAGCAACAUAUACUAGGGCCGACUGCCUUGCCUCAGCCUGUCCAACACCUCUGCUUCGGUGCUCUCUACCUAUGACCCAUACCAUUACCACAUCUGGCCUGUCUAUGGCCCCUCGGUGGUUACUGUACUACCUUUUAUAACUAUACCGUACCAGUACCCGAAGUUUUCAUCUGAUCGGCCCUUAACGAACACUCCUUACAGUACUCUAAUGACUCAUACCGCAAGCACACCUCAGUCUUUCUCUAACACUCGCCCUGAUGGCGUCUACCACAAUCAGUACUUAGCUGCAGUUCAGUAACAGUAACAGAGGGCCCAGCUCUAACCGACCCAUCAACUCUGCCCUUUUUCUUAGGCCUCUGUGCAGAACUCGAAGGCUCUAAAUCCCUCUUAUUCUUACCUCUCUCACAGUAAUAGUUCUGGCGCUCAGCGCGCUUAAUCUCAUCGGUGAUCUUCGCCUUCUCCACUAGUGUAGAAAAAUCACCUCUCUCUACGGAGCUAUCAAGACUCUCAAAUUAUCUCUGAGCCCAUCCUCAAAACGAAUACAUCGCUCAUACUCAGAGGCCACCAUACCUCGCGUAUAGCGGCUCAGUCACAGGAACUCAGCCUCAUACUCGGCCACUGAUCAAUUUUUCUGAGUCAAAUUUAAGAAGUUCCUUUUACGGGUAUCCACGUAGCUCGCCCUCACAUAUUUCCCCUAAAAGGCAGUUUUAAAGAACUCCCAGGUUAGAUGUUCGGGCUGAGUGCCCUCCUUAACAAUGAGUCAUCACUGAUAAGCCUCAUCCCUCACCAGUGAGACUGCACCCUUUAAUUUCUGCUCUAGGGUGCAGUCUAAGUCAUCCAUGAUCCUCUCCGUGGCCUCAAUCCAGUACUCGGCCAUAUUAGGGGCAACUCUAGUGACACCCCUGAAAAGCUCAACUCCAUUGGACUAGAGUCGUUUCGUAUUCGAUCCUCGGACCCCUAAUCUAGUAUUGAUCCGAGCGACCCUCUCCAAAAUCCUUAGCAUAGCUUGGGAUAAUGCGUCGUCCUCAGCCAUGCGAUCUUGAGACCCAGUCUCAGUAGUAGGCGACACUAGCGUCUCACUAGUAUCCAAAUUCGGUAUGCUACCCAAUGAAGAGGACUCAGAUCGAGCUCCUUUGUGACCUCUACCUCAGCCUCUAGUACCCCGUCCACAGAUACAUCGUAUGCUCAUUGUCUAAUCACGUUUAUCUGUAUUAACAGUUUUAUGAAUCAGUUACGGUUUCAGUGUUUAUUAACAAAUGUUUUAUGUAAAAUAGUAUCGGUUAUUCAAAGUUCGUUUUGUAAAUCACAGUCUUACUAUAGUUUUUAGUUUUUUUACAAUUUUUAUUAUACACUAACUAGAGUGUUUUCAGUACAGUUUACUACCUAUAGUAGAUUCAGAAUAUACUAUCCAUAACAGUUUCAGUUUAAAACAAAUCACAGUUCAAAAUACUUACAGAAUCGACACCGGAGACUCGGUGUACCACUUACUUAGUACAAACAUUUCAAAUCAUUUAGAAAUUAAUCAACUUUUCGAAAGCUCAAUUUUUACAAAACCCAUAAUCCACUAUCGAGUUCUGUAACUUGGCUCUGAUACCACUAAAUGUAACACCCCAAACUCGGCCUAGACGUUAUGGUCGUAUCUGUUAAUGUCACAUGAUAGUGUUUUUGAAACCUCGUUGUUACGAUGAAAACAUUUCAUGUUAUUAUCUUUAGUAAACCUUUGUUAGAACUUAGAAAGUUGUCUUUAUUCAUUUAAAACAUUUUUUUUGAAACAUCCCUCAUUGCAGAAGCUUUAAUAAAAUAGUCUAGGUGAUCAUGCGUUUAGAAAAUAUAACUUUAUGAAAACUGAAUUUCCUACGACCAGCAGGUAUAAAUCUAUAAAGUAAAAUAAAUAAAUAAAAACCCAAAUUUAAAACCAAAGUCUCAAAGGGUCCUUAAAUUACAACCCAAAUAAUCAAUAAUAAUCAAAUCAUAUAUCGUAAAUUGAAAACCAUGAACUCAAAAAAUUACUAUAGUCACCGUUGAGUCCUUCGUCGCACCGAUCUGUCUAAGUUUGGGGAUUACCUGUGAACAUUAAACAAAAAGGGUGAGUUUACGUAAACUCAGUGUGUAAUCUCGUAGAAAUAAACAAAUAAUCAGUAUUCACAGUGCACAGUUGAAUAGUCUUGGGCCUAAGCCCUUUUCAGUAUUAGUCAUAGUUUGGGCCUUAGCCCAUCUCAGUAUAGUGUUAGAAAUGCAAUAGGGUCUUAACCCAUCAUAGUAUCAGUAGUAGUAACAAUUAUGCAGCAGCAAAAUCCUACCCAACCAGCCUCUACACACCAUUUUCGUCUAACCCUACACUCCAUGUGGGGAUAUAAUCAACCCACCCAUCCCUACACUCUAAGUAGUACUAAAUGCGACACAAAACAGUAGUUUGCAACUGAGCUGCUAGUAAAUUAGGCUAAAAGCCUUUCAGAACAUUUCCUCCGAAUAACAACCCCUAACCUAAUGCAAUGCAACAUACAAUAGAUGACAUGCUAUUAUGCAAUUUCAGUACAUAUAUUCAGUUCAAAUAUUAACAUGCUCAGUACAUAUAUCAUUCAAUCAAUUUCACACAUUUAGGUGUCUAAGUAGCGCUUAUCAACCCUACAGUGGGUUCACAGUCGACUUGGGCGACCCGUGCAAUCUUACAAACAUUUCGGUGAAAAUAGGCUCACACGCCCAUGUAAUCUACCCGUGUGGCCCACUUGGCCCAAAUUGGCCUUGGCCGUGUGAUCCAUUUUUAAUGUAACCCGUGCUAGCUAAAUAUUCAUACAUGUUUUCACUAUUUACUUAUAUGUUCAUUCAAAAUUGUCUACUUGAGUCAUUGUCACUAAAUUAUUUAUAUCUUGAGCUACAGAAUUCCAAAUUAAGAUUCGCUUGAUGUUUUUGAAACUAGACUCAAAUACCUUUCUACCAUAAAAAUUUUAGAAUUUAUAGUUUAUCAAAUAAGUACAGUAAAAUCUUUAAAUUUAUCCCACUUCUGUUGUUUGACAGCUUCAACCUUUCCUUACUAAAAAUUAUUUAUCUCUUAGUACGAAUUUGGAUGAUGUUUCUAUUUGUUUCUCUUGAAAAUAGACUCAUUAAAGAUUUAAACAUAAAAAUUUAAGCCCAUAAAUAUUUUUUAAAAAUUUUUGGUGAUUUUCCAAAGUCAAAAUAAGGGAACCCAAAAUUAUUCUGACAUUGUCUCACAAAAUUUAUUAUAUCUCAUAAUUUAAAAUUCCAUUGAUUACACUGUUCCUUACAUAAAAGACUAGACUCAAUAAACUUCAAUUUCAUAUUUGAUUCAACCUCUAACUCAAUUUCUACUAUUUUUGAUGAUUUUUCAAAGUUAGACUACUGCUGCUGUCCAAAACUAUUUUAGUGCAAAAUGUUGAUUUCCAAGUUUAUAACACCCUUAUUUCCUUUUUCUAUAAUUUUUUGCAUCAUUUUCUCUUAUUUCUCUUAUGUCUCGACAGCAAACAAUUUUAGCUUUUCACUGAAUCUCAUUUUUUGCAUUUCGAGUACAUAACUGGUAUCGUUUCGCUGUAAAUACGCUCCCAAACACUCUAAGACCUAAAAAUCGGUAAUUAGAGCCCAAUUUAGAUCACUAACUAAAACUCAAAACUGAAAAUCGUCUACAUUGAAAUCGAUAGCGAACCUAAACACUUACCUGCAACGAACCAAAAUUUCUAAUGCUCAAUUUUCUUGUGAAGCCGCAUCUGAUUUCUGAUUUUCGCCUAAACCAAGAGAGCCAAAACAAUCUUUUUUAUAAACUAGCUAAAAAGCGAUAAAAUAGAGAAAGUCAGAUACUUACAGAAUGAGUGUAUACAAUUUCUGGCUGGAAAGUAGGCUAGUAGAAAAAUCAAACAAUGAGGGUGGACUAGGGAGCAAAAAUUUGGCAAAGCAAAGAAGAAGAAGACGACAGAAAAAUUGGGGAAAAGAGGAGAAUGCCGAAAUUUGGGAAAAUAAAAACCAAAUAGAAACUUAGAUGAUAUCGUUAGCUACCCCACAUCCCUAAAUUUUUUCCCACUAAUCCUACUAACCUACAACCACUCCAGAAUCCCACUCUGCCGAAAUACUUGUCCAUCACUGCGCAAAAAUAACACCUAUGCUCGAACAUGGAUUCAAACUCAGGACCUCAUGCAAUCAAACACUCCAUUUAACCACUAAACCAGCAAGCCCAUUUUGUUAUUUAAUUACCAACUAUUAAACUUAAGCCCUUUAGGCUAGGUUAAGGCUUUAUUUAUAAAAGUACUAAAAUUUACCCAAGUCAUGGCUUGAACUUGGGACCUCCCACACACACCCAAAACACUUAAGCAUUGAAGCAGACAAAUACUUAAUAUCACAUAUACACAAAAACAAGAAUUAAAAAUUUUGGGGCGUUACAAUGAGAAGGAAAAACUUAACGAAAGAAAUUGAAGUUUCUUGGGGCUACCUUUGUAGAAAUAAGAGAUCAAUAGAGUUUCUUGGAAUUGAAGUUACAGUUUCAAAUUGUAUUAGCUUUUAUGUAGUACAACAUCAAUAUCAAUGUCCAUCAUCUUAUGUACUUUUUUAUUUGUUUACUUUUGUACAUUGAGUUGAAUGUUAGUGGUAUAUGUUAGUGGUAUACAUUUUAGCUAAAUGUUAGUGUAUUUUAAUUGUUGGAUCGAUUUUUGUAGUGAAUAUUAAAUCUUUAUUUUAAUUUUAAUUUUAUAUUUUUUUGUUGUAUUUAUAGCACAAUUCCUAUCAUUAUUCACUGUAAAUAUUUAUAAAAAUAUAUUAAUAUUGAAAUAAUAAAAAAUAGAAAAAAUUACAUUAUACGUGUCUAUUCCAAUCUUUUUAAGAUUACCUUAGACGGGUUUAUCCCAACCUUUUUUUAAAGGUUGCCUUAGACAAGAUUUAUCCCAACCUUUUUAAGGUUGCUCUAAACGGGUCUAUCCCAACCUUUUUUAAAAGUUGCCUUAGACAAGGUCUAUCCCAACCUUUUUAAAGUUGCCUUAGACGGGUCUAUCCCAACCUUUUUUAAAGGUUGCCUUAGACAUGGUCUAUUCCAACCUGUUUAAGGUUGCCUUAGAUAGGUCUAUCCCAACCUUUUUUAUAGGUUGUCUUAGACAAAGUCUAUCCCAACCUUUUUAAGGUUGUCUUAGACGGCUCUAUCCAAACUAUUUUUAAAAGUUGCCUCAGACAAGAACUAUAUCAACCUUUUUAAGGUUGUCUUAGAUAGGUCUAUCUCAACCUUUUUCAAAGGUUGGCUGUAACUAGGUCUAUCCCAACCCUUUUUAAUGGUUGGCCUUGACUAGGUCUUUCCCAACCCUUCAAUAAGGGUCGGCUUAUGUUGACUUAUGCUGACGUUUUUUCAAAAGUGUUGUGGAGCCUACGCCAACUGUAUUAUAGACAACCUUUUCGAAAGCAUCAGGAGAACCGUCGCGAAACUUAUGCCAACCUUUUUUACGUUGUCUUAGGUCAAAAAAAAGUGUCACGAUAGGCUUAUUUUAUUGUAGUGAUAGUAAUAUUUUUAGCUCUUAAAAAUCUAAAUUAUAUAUAAUAUGUAUUUACAACUCUAAAUAUUAAAGCUUGAUUAGAUAUAGGUUAUUUGAACUUUUCAUCUUAAAUAAAUUUGAGGAAAUUAAAUAUGGAAAUUUUAAUUAAAUUAUUUUAAUAUAUAUACACACCAUUAUUUUCAUUCAUUAAUAAUUUUAAACUAACAUUUUUUCUUCAGUAAAUUUCACUUUAAUCCCUUUCUUUACUUUUCUAAUGUUAUUUUUAUUUUUUUGUCCUUUAUUUUUCUUCUAUUUUAUAAAUUCUUUGAUCUUAUAUGUUUCAAGUAUCAAAGUGUAAAUAAAUAUAAAUAUUAAAAAAUGCCAAAUGUAACUCUAUGUGAUAUUAUUUAAUUGCUACUCAUUUCUUUUUGUUUCAAAAAACAAUGGAAAACUUAAGAAUUUUAAAGUUUUUGGUAUCAAAUAUAUAUAUCUAUACAUUUACAUUUUAAACUCCAAACUUAAAUAAAUAGAGAAAAUCUAAAAAUUUAAAAUAAAAAUAAAUAAAAAAUGAAUAUUUAACUUUUUUAGUACACAUGUAUCAUUCAGACAAUUUUAAUAUAACAAAUAAUCAAGUAAUUGGGAUUUAAUAUUUAAUUAAAAAUAUUCUUCUAAAAAUUGUAAAUCGCAUAACAUUGAAAGUCUUUAAAUAAUAUACUAAAGGGGUGAGCAUUCAAUCAAAUCGAAUGAAAAAAUUUUGAGUUAAUCGAGUUGACGAAUAAUAUUUUAUUAUCCUAACUAGAUUUAAAUUUUUCUCGAAUAGAGUCUAGUGAGAUGGAACUCGAAUCGAAUCGAAUAUAUUUGUUCGAGUUAAAUUAAGGUCCUUGUAAUCAUUGUCACCCACCGCAAUCAGAUUUGUUAUUAACUUUCACUCCCUCAUAAUUUAUUUAUUAAUCUUUUAUAUAGGGUUAGAUUCUUUGCUUGCUUAGUUGCUUCAAUUAUCUUCUGAUUUUGUCACUAUGUAUUCUGAAAUUUAAAAAUAUAUUAAAUGUAAAAAAUGUGAUUUUUUUAAUAAAAAAAUAUCUUAAAGGUAAAAUAUAAAAUUGAUACCAACAUAAAAUUUUAGCACGAAUAUUUUAUGCCAUCAUCAAUAAUUUAAUUUUAACAAAAAAAAUUAUAAAGAUUCAAUAUGAUAAAAUAAUUCAAUAAUAUUGAUAAGCUAUAAAAGUAACAUAUUUUAAUCUCAAUCUUAAUGUGUUUUUAGAUGAUUAAUUAUGCAAAUUAGUGAAUUUAAUGCUCCUAAUCCAUUAAAAUAAUGCAUGGUACUUUUGAUAUUGUAUAGUUCUUUUGAUGUCAAAAUAAUGCAUUAAAAUUUAUUCAACUGUCAAUUUAAGUGGAAAAAGUUGGAGAUGAAAUUUGUAAUUAAACCUUCUUUAAUUUACGUCUUUUUCCCUAAAAAUAUAUUUUUUAAAAAUAUUAAAUGUUAUAAAACUUGGGACAAAUAUUAAAUGUUGGAAAGUGGUUAAGAAAAUCAUUAUCAUUAUAAUUCAUCCUCAUUAUUGAUCAGUGUCACUGAAGCAAUGAAUUUCAAUGGGUUUGGUAAUGGAUGAGAGUUUGCUAAAAAUCUUCCUUUUGGUUUGUAACCAUUUUCACUUACAUAGUCUAGGAUAAGAAUGUUAAAAACCUAUGUUAUAUCCAUAGAAAUUGAGGGCUAUAUUUCUUAUCAUCACAACAAGCGCAAGCAUUGUUGGGGUAUAUCCACUUGUCUUAAACCACUAGAAUGUACAAGUAGCAAAAGAUAAUAAUGAUUAAAAGCUUGGGUAAUUAAUUUUGUAGUAUAUAGUCGGUCCAACACUGACUUAUAUCUAAGCAAAGUGCAUGCAUCAACUACAACAUUUUUUCUCUGAUUACCUUCUCCUUUCUUCUAUCAUUCUAGAGUGUAAACAAUUCACUCAAAGGCAAACAAUUUAUAGAAUUGUCUAACCAUGUGUAUUGCUGCUUUCAUUUGGCAAGCUCAUCCACUCUACCCUCUACUGCUUUUACAAAACAGAGAUGAAUACCACAACAGGUAUGUUUCCAUUUCACUUCAAUCAUUCUUCUCUUGAAAAUAUAUUUAUCUUAUUAAUAUAUAUGGGUGGAAUUGAAGGCCUACGAAGGCACUUGCAUGGUGGGAUGUUGAUGGUUGUGAGAUAUUAGGAGGAAGAGAUGAAGUAGCAGGAGGGACAUGGUUGGCUUGUUCAAGACAAGGCAGAGUUGCUUUUCUCACCAAUGUGUUGGAGCUUCAUCCCCGUCCCGACGCCAAGACCCGCGGUGAUCCCCGUCCCGACGCCAAGACCCGCGGUGAUCUUCCACUUCUUUUCCUGGAGGUAAAUAAAUCUAUAUGCCUUUUUUUUCUUCUUUUUAUUUGGUCGAAGCCAGCUCACCUAUCAAAAACGGUGGUCAUUCAUUAAAAGUAAACACACUGUUGUUGAUACAGAGCACAAAGAGCCCCAUGGAAUUUGCGGAGCAACUGGCCACCGAUGCUCAUCAGUACAAUGGAUUUAACCUCAUAGUGGCUGAUAUUCCUUCCAAAUCAAUGGUUUACAUCUCGAACAGGCCAAAGGGGGAACCCAUUAACAUUCAACAGGUUUCUCCGGGGCUUCAUGUUCUUUCAAAUGCCAAGCUUGACUCUCCCUGGCAUAAGGUACAUUAACUUGUUUCAUGUGUUAUAUUCCUAUAAAGUUAUGCCCAAAGGCAGAUGGACGCUGGAGAAUUGAUUCAUCCACUCCCAUUGUGCAGGCUUGGCGGUUAGGUAAAGGCUUCAAACAGAUGCUCAAUAGAUACGGUAAAAAUGAAGUAAACGUGAAAGAAAUGGUUGAGAAACUUAUGAAAGAUAAAGUGAAAGCUGAUAAAAGUAAGUUACCUGGCAUAUGUGAUCUCGACAUGGAGUUCAACCUUAGCUCCAUAUUUGUUGAAAUGGACACCCCACUGGUAAAAUUCCAAGUUCUAAACCAUCCUCCUACUAAAAUUUAUGUAGAACAAUGUUGAAGCCAAUAAAAAUUGUGGUUGUUUCAACUUACAUAUCCAUCUAUUUUCCGGAAUACAGGGGCUUUAUGGAACAAGGAGUACUGCAGCAAUAACCGUAGGUGCUGGUGGGGAAAUUAGCUUUUAUGACGAGUAUCUAGAAAAGGGUGUGUGGUUUGAGAGAACAGUCAAUUAUCAUAUCCAGAAGCUCAAGUAGAUUGAAUCCAUGUCAAAGCAAGGGAUUUUACUACUCAAGUUAUUUAUUGAUUUGCGAAUGUUAUAAGCAUUUUAAGUUUAUACUAAUUGUAACAUAGGAGUGAUGUAUGAUGUAUCUCAUUCUUAAUACUUUACAUUUUCACUUUAAACUCCAAACUUAAAUAAAUAGAGAUAAUCUAAAAAUUUAAAAUAAAAAUAAAUAAAAAAUGAAUAUUUAACUUUUGUAGUACACAUGUAUCAUUCAGACAAUUUUAAUAUAACAAAUAAUCAAGUAAUUGGGAUUUAAUAUUUAACUAAAAAUAUUCAUCUAAAAAUUGUAAACCGCAUAACAUUAAAAGUCUUUAAAUAAUGUCACAUACAUGAUUUUUUUUUUGUAAAUAUACAUGGUCUGUUUUUAUUUAUAAAACUUCCUUUUACCUCAUUUUUCUUCAUUAAUGUCUACAAAUUUGAAGGGAGUCAUGUACCGAUUAAAUUUGAAUCCUAUCAAGAAUGAGCUUUUGAUUGUUAUAUUUGAUGUUUUCCUAUUAGUUUAAGAUCCCCAAUAAUUAAGCAUGCUUUCUUAAUAAUUGGAAAAUAUUUAUUUAAAAUAUUACUGUAACAGCUUAAUUUUAGGCCUAGUCGGAACAGUAGUUUCGGGACCACGAAUCUGACGAGGAAAAUUUUAUUUUUUAUUAUAUUUUUAUAGUCUACAAUUUCACAGAAUGAUUUCGUGAAAAUUUUGUUCAAAAAUUUCGACGUUUGUGCACUCAAUUUAGCCAAAAGGACUAAAUUGUAAAAAGUGCAAAAGUUGAGUUCUACAUGUUAGAAGUGUCCAAUUGUUAUGAAAUUUUAAAUUGGAGGUCCUUAAAUGGUAAUUAGACCAUUGGUUAACUUUUUGGACAAAAAUGGACAAGAGAUAAGUGAAAUAAGAUAUUUUUAAGUUUGGGGCAUUUUGGUCAUUUAGUAAUUAAAAGAAUUAAAAAGGCCAAAAUAGCCAAAAAUUUGUCCAUCUUCUCCAUGGUGAACGAAAUCAGCAAGGGGAAGCCAUGGUUAGGGUUUUCAAGCUUCCAAGCUCCAUAGCAAGUGAUUCCAAGCCCCAUUUUUAAUGUUCUUUACAUUUUUGGAGUCUCAGUAACUUGAUUUAGCUUAUUCUAACAAUAAUUUAACCUAGGGUUCAUAUUUGGAAAAAUACCCAUAGGUGAAAUGUGUUUAUUUUGAUGUUUUAUGGUAGUGUAUGAAGCUUGAAAUUAUGUUAAAUAACUUUUGCUAGCCGAUUUUAAGUGAAAACGAGUAAAUUGACAUAAUCGAUAAAAAUACCUAAUGUUCAUAAGUAAGUGUUAGAGUGAGAAUUUGAUGUUGCCAUAGAAGGGAAAAAUGUUCAGCAUGUCAUAAAACAUAAGAAAAAGGAAUAACGUUUAAUCUCCGAGCCUAGGGGCAAAAUUAUAAUUUUGUAAAACUUUAGGGGCAAAAAUGUAAUUUUGCCAAAAUGUGAUUUUUGGACUGGAUUGAAUAAUGUGAGUGUUAAAUAAGUUAAAUAUGUUAUUAUAAGUCAAUAAAGACAAGGAAAUGACUUUGAUUAGUGAAAAAGAAAAAAAAAAGAAGAAAAACUGAGAAAUUUCCCGAUUGAACAUUCGGAAUAAAAAGGGAUAUGAAUGAAGUGACAGAAAUGAUCACAUGCGUGGCAUGGACUGUGUGUAGGCCACUAUGUGAAAGUGAAAGUGAUGGUCACGUGUGUAGUACUAUGUGCAGGCUACUACGUGUACCAGAAUGAUAGGUCGCAGGUGUAGUACUAUGUGCAGGUUACUAUGCGUACCGGAUAGCUUCGAUCACGUGUGUAGUACUAUGUGCAGGCUACUACGUGUAUCGGAUAGUGAUGGUCACGUGUGUAGUACUAUGUGCAGGCUACUAUGUGAACCGGUAUCAUUAAUUAUAAGGUGGUUGCUAUGUGUUAAUCCCACAAGAUAUCAUUGAUUACAAAGGGUAGUUGCUGUGUGCUGAAUCCAUCGUAUAUAUGUUAUUAUUCUAAACUGUUCAUCAGGAAAUUGACUAAGUGAAAAUACAUGAGAUCAUGUAAUGAUUAAGUGUGAUUGAAUGAUGAAUACAUGUGUGGAAUUGAAUUGAAUAAUGAUUGAAAGUGAAAAGUGAAAUUAUGAAAAAGUAAAACUAGCAACAAAUAGUUUUAGACAGUAACAAUAGUGUGACUUUGAAAAAUCACCAAAAAUGGUGGAAAUUGAAUUAAAGAGUGAAUAAGAUAUGAAAUGAAAGCUUAAUGAGUCUAUUUCUACAUAAAAGAAACAGAGCAAGCAAAAGAGUUAUAUAUUUUGAGAUAUUUGAAUUUUAGUGAGGCAGGGUUGGAUUGAUUUUGGAAUCCCCUAUUCUGAAUUUGGAAAAUAAUUAAAAAUUGUAAAAAUAAUAAUUAUGAGUUAUAAUUUAUAUUCUUAGAAUCCUUAAUGAGUCUAUUUUCAAAGGAAAUAAACAUAAAUAUCAUCUGAAUUCUGUAAAAUGAGAUAAUUUAUUUUUAGUGAAGAGAUGUCAGAGAUGCUAAGCAGUGAAAUAGGGGUGAGUUUAAAGAAUAAACUGUACUAAUUGGCUAAGAAAAAAAUUCUGAAAAUUUUAUGGUAAGAAUAUAUGUGAGUUUAGUUUUGGGUAAAAUUAACGGAACUUAAUUUGGAGCUUUGUAGCUCAGGAUAAAAAUAAUUUAGUGACUGUAACUCGACUAGAUAGCUUUUGAAUUUAAAUAUAAGUGAAUAGUGAAAUUAUGUAUAAUGCUAUUUAAGCAUGUUAUAUACAUAAAGGAUGUGGGAUGGAGAGGAGGAGGAGGACAAUAAAGCAUAUGCGUGUGGUAGAUUAGCAUGAAAUGAUGUCGUGAGUGGCUCAUGAAUUAACUCAUGUUGGUAAGUUGAUGCAUAAUUAUAGUAUUCAAAUAUAUUACAUAUUUGUAAUAUUUUGCUAUGUGAUUCGGAAAAAGGGGAAUAAAUAGCAUAAUGAAAAUUCGGCCAUGGUGCUAGUUUAUGUUAAAGGAGUGUUUUAUGGCAUAUCUUAAGUAAUGGAAUGUUAUGAAUUUUGAGAUUAAUUUGCUAGUCAAAUAAAUGACAAAUGAAUUGAUUGCGUAUUCGUAAUUUUGACAUAUGCUUGGUAUAUGAAACGUAAUAAUAUAUGCUUGAACAAACUUUAAGUAUUCGAAUGACAUGGAUUUGAUGGUGAUAAGAUUCGAACAUUGAAUUCAUGAAGCACAAGUGAUGUAUUAUUGUUGUGUGAUAGCUUGGUUUGAGAAAUUGGUUAGGUAAAUGGUAAGUUAAAGCAUUUAUGGAUAUAGAAGAAAAUUUGGAGUGAAUAUGAAAUUUAGCUCAAUUAAAUGAUUUCAUCAAUUAAACAUUGUGUAUACCAGAAUGUGUUAGUGAAUUACAUAUUCAUAAAUUGACAUUCGAAGUUCAGUUAGUGAUAUAUGAAAAUAACAUGAAAAGAUUUAUGAUUGUGAUUAAUAUUGAUUCUAACUUAAAGUGGAUUCUUCAAUAUUGGAUUGAUUUAACGGAUAUAUUGAGCAUAUGAAUGGGUAUGUAUUGGGCCUCGUAAACCUUAAUUAGCGACUCAAAGAUAAUAAUUUGAAAGUUUUUAAUUUGAAUGAAAUUUUAUAACUCAGUUUAAUAUGUUUAUAAGUGUAUUUAUUCUAAUAAUGCCUCGUACCCUAUUCCAGCGUAGAAUACGAGUAAGGGGUGUUACAAUGUGACAUCACUAGAUUCGGCCCUAAUGUUUAGGCCGGGUUUGGGGUGUUACAAUUACUUUUGAAAGUAUUUCUAUGAAGCGUGUCUCGUAUUUUCGGUCAAGCUAAAUGGCAAAGCAAAGGCAACAUUGAGACAUGGAGCAUAGGAUGUCACAAUGACGUGACGACAUUCGAAACUAAAUCGAAGCAGGGCCGACGUCACGAUGAGGGGACCUACGAUGUCGUGACGAUGCAACGAGGCAGCCACGUCUCUUGACAACUUAAUGGAUUUUCCUUCUCCCAGUUGAACUUUGAUUUUCGGUUCUCUUUUCUCAAUUUAACUCUAACUAUUCUAGGGAUAUUUUUGUAAUACCCUAUAUGUAGCACCUUUAACCCGUAUCCAUUGUCAGAUUAGAGUUACGAAAUAUUACCGAGUAAAACAAAACAUUUAACUUCACAACAGAAACAAUUAUAUUAAUUAAAUGUAAUCAUGGUAAAAAUAUAAUUACGGGUCUUAACUCGAGUUUACAGGGCCUUAAAAACAGUUUUGGAACAUUCAGGGAUCAAUUCGAACAAAUCAGAAAAUUUAAAAAAACAGGAAAAUUUUGAAAACAGGAAUCACACUAUCGUAUGACAUAGUUCAGAUCUUGUGGACAUUCGAAGUCUAGACACACAGCUUAUCCCAAGCCGUGUGAGUAUUCGGAAUAAGGCUACACGGACAUGUCAUAUGUCGUGUGCCAAAUCAUGUGUACUGUAAUAACCAAUUUUACCCGAGCUUAUUAAAAUUAAAUUAAAAUAAUAUAAAAAUCAAAUAAUAAUAAAAUGUCCAAUAACAGUCCAAUAAAAUAAACCCAUAAACCGAAUACACCCCAGCCCAAUAACCAAUUACAGGCCCAAUUCAAACCUAAUACCCAAAUUGCAACCCACAAGCCCAAAAGCAAGAAAAAUAGAAAACCCUAGACAGUAGCAGCUUCCAGCGCCGUUCUCCCUAUGUAGCCUCCGCGCGUGCUACGCCACCACCACGCGCGUUCCUCACAUGUGAACUAGGCCUCCACUCCAGCUUGCACCUGUAACAGACGUAACAAACUAGUAGAGAAAGCAAAGGAAAAAUGACAGCAAGGAAAAGGCAACACAGCAAAUAGGAAAGCAGUAAAUAAAAAAUGUAAAAAAUAUAUUUCGAUUGAUUUUAUUUUUAUUUUUAUUUUUAAGGAUUUCGGUUAUAAAAAGGCCAUUUGAGCACUAUAAAUGUGGACGCAUACAGAGAUUGAAUACAAAAAACAAAAAAAAAAUUCAAAGAAAAAGGUAAAUAGAGUUUUGUAAGAAAAAAAUGACAUUCUGCAUUCAUGCAAACAUCAUUCAUACAUUUGAAUUAUACAAGUCAUGUUCCCCCAGAGAACAAACCGGUGAAACUAUAAAGCCUGAGCAGCAGUGGAAUAGGUUGAAAAUAGCAGAUCUUGUUUUUCUGUACUGGCAGCGAAGCAGAUCGAAGAUAACAAGUCUUAUCUCCCUGACUUGCAGCGGAGCAGACUGAAGAUAGCAGAUCUUGUCUUCCUGUACUGACAGUGAAGUAGAUCGAAGACACCAGUCUUAUCGCCUUGAUGUUGCAAUGGAACAGAUUAAAGCUAAAGAUAGCGAAUCUUGUGUCCCUGCCGUUGCAACGGAGUAGAUUAAAGCUGAGGGCAGCAAAUCUUAUCUCCUUAGCGUUAAGACUUGGAUUAGCUGAAGUGGAGCAGAUUAAAGCUGUAGGCAGCGAAUCCUAUCUAUUUGGCAUUACAGUGGAAUAGAUUGAAGCUACAACAGCGAAUCUUACUUCCCUGGUGGUGUAGUGGAACAAAUUGAAGCUACGAUGGCGAAUCUAGUUUCCCCGACACUGCAGUUAAAUAGAUUGAAGCCAUAACGGUGAAUUUUACUUCCCUGGCGGUGUAGUGGAACAUAUUAAAGCUACGACGCCAAAUCUUGUUUCCCCGACAUUGCAGUUAAAUAGAUUGAAGCUACAACAGCAAAUCUUACUUCCCUGGCGGUGCAGUGGAACAGAUUGAAGCUACAACGGCGAAUCUUGUUUCCCCGACAUUACAGUUAAACAGAUUGAAGAUGGCGAAUCUUAUCUCUCUAAGGUUACAGUGGAGCAGAUUAAAGCCAAUAAUCCUAUCUCUCUGAGGUUGCAGUAGAGCGGAUUGAAGUGAUGAUCUUAUCUCUCUGAAGUUACAGUAGAGCAGAUCGCAUCCAAUUUUAUCUCCCUAAAGUUGUAGUGGAGCAGACAGAAGAAACCAAUCCUAUCUCCCUGAAAUUGCAGGGGAGCGGAUUAAAACUACAGAUCUUAUCUCUCUGAAGUUGCAAUAGAGCAUAUCACAACAGACUUAUCUUUUUAAAGUUGCAGCAGGACAAGUUGAAGCUACAAGUCUUAUCUCCCUGAAGUUGCAAUGGAGCAGACUGAAGAUAGUAAAUUUUUUUCUUUUGAAAAGACUACAAGUUACAAAUUGCAUCUCCCUAAUGUUACAGUGGAGUAUAUUGAAGCACCAAUUCCUAUACUUCUAAAGAUGCAGUAUGAUGGAAUGAGGCUACUUGAAGAAGAAGAGCACCAAGGUCCAGCAUGACCAGGCAAAAUUGGUCAUUUUUAAAGUCUUUGCUUUGUUCCCGUUACACGACAACAAGCAAAGAAGGGCAGCUGUAAUAACCAAUUUUACCCGGGCUUAUUAAAAUUAAAUUAAAAUAAUAUAAAAAUCAAAUAAUAAUAAAAUGUCCAAUAACAGUCCACUAAAAUAAACCCAUAAACCGAAUACACCCUAGCCUAAUAACCAAUUACAGACCCAAUUCAAACCUAAUACCCAAAUUGCAACCCACAAGCCCAAAAGCAAGAAAAAUAGAAAACCCUAGACAGCAGUAGCUUCCAGCGCCGUUCUCCCCAUGUAGCCUCUGCGCGUGCUACGCCACCACCACGCGCGUUCCUCGCAUGCAAACCAGGCCUCCACUCUAGCUUGCACCUGCAACAGACGUAACAAACUAGCAGAGAAAGCAAAGGAAAAAUGACAGCAAGGAAAAGGCAACACAGCAAAUAGGAGAGCAGUAAAUGAAAAAUGUAAAAAAUAUAUUUCGAUUCAUUUUAUUUUUAUUUUUAAGGAUUUCAGUUAUAAAAAGGUCAUUUGAGCACUGUAAAUGUGGACGCAUAUAGAGAUUGAAUACAAAAAACAAAAAAAAAAUAUUCAAAGAAAAAGGUAAACAGAGUUUUGUAAGAUUUUUUUAAAUUUUUCUUCACUUUUCUUUGUUUUUUUUUACUGCUUUGUUCAUUAAUAAUAUGUGUAAGGCCCAAUUUUUGUCCGGCCUGUUACAGAAAUAAAAAACCAAACAAAACCAAAAUGUUUCAGUCCAAUUUUGCUAAGCCCAAUAACCCAAUAGCACAGCCCAAAUCAAUUUAUCCUAAAACUAACCCAGCUACAAUCACCGAAACCCUAAAAUCCCUUAGCCACCGCCUCCAGCAAGUGUCCAAUCAGCGCACGUUUCGGAACCAGCCCUCUUCUCCGCGUCGUGCUCUCCACGUCUACCUGCGAAAACGGACUAAAAGAGUCCCAAUAUUGUAAAAUAAAAAUACAAAGUAUUUUCUUAGGCUAUAAAAAGCCUAACUUGUACACUGAUAAAAAUAAAAGAAUAGAGAACAGAAUAAAUAUUUUUACAAAGGUGAUUUUUUUUUGUUUUAUUCCGCAGUGACCAUUUUUUAUUUACAUAUGUUUUAUUUUCUUUUAUUUUCAUUUAUUUCGUAUAAAAUAACAAAGAAAAAAGAAAAGGAAAACAUACCUUUUGUCGGACUUGCCGGAUUGUUGCCAUCUCCAGCGCUAGGAGUUAGGGCUGAAAACCCUAGCAGAGGGCAUUUAGUUUUUUUUUUCCUUUCAUUCUGCUGCAAAUGUUUUUUAGAGAAAAAAAUUGUUUUAAAUAACAGAGCAAAACGGCGCCGUUUUACCCAGGCAUGACCCGCGCGGUGACCCGACCCGGAGGGAGGAUUCGCGCGUUUUGGUCGAAGGGAAAAUUUGCGCAAUUGGUCCCUCCCUUUUGCAAUGCGCUUCAAUUAAACCUGUUUUGUUUUUUUUAAUUUGGCCGCAUAUUUUAUUUUUGUUUCAAUUUGGUCCCUUGCUGCGCAGCAUUUUGGAGGGUAGGAUUAAUUUCCCUUCUAGUCCCCCAUUGUUGUUCGCGCGUUCAAGUUGGUCCUUUUUUUAUUUAUUUUUGAAUCUACCCCAUCUUUUCGUUUUUAAGUUCAAUUUAGUCCAUUUUUUAGCUUUUUCUUUUUUAUGUUUGUCAUUGUACCAUUAUUAUUAUUAUUAUUAUAUUAUUUGCUAUCAUUAUUGUUAUUGUAUUUUCUAUACAUAUAAAUACGCAUAUUUUUUAUAUAUAAUAUAUAAGCAUAUUUUUAAUAUAUAUAUUUAUAAGUACGCAUCUAUUUUAUACAUACAUACUUUUUUUUUUAUUUCCUAACCUUUAUGUACACGUAUAUAUACUUCUAUAUUUUGGUUUCAAAAUUUUUUAUACAUAUGCAUGUUCGUUUUUUCUUAUAUAUAUUAUUUUUCAUUUUUUUUACAAAACGUAUAUAUAUGUGUAUACAUACACAUUUUAAAAUACACACAUGUUUCCCAUAUUUUACAAUUCAAAAUACACAUUUUUUAUAUUAUAUAUAUACAUUCUUUAUAUUUUUGAGUUAUUAUAGACAUUUUUAUUAUUCUAUAUAUACUCCGUUAUUUAUGUACAUAUCAUACAUAUAUAUAAAUUUUUUAAUAUAUGUAUACAUAUUUUCAUGUUUUACCAAUACAUAUAUACUUAUACAUUUUUUUUCUGUAAAUAUAUACACAUAUACAUACUUUUAUAGUUUUAUUUUAUUUUCACGGUUUUCAAAUGCACAUACGUGCAUUUUUUAUGAGUUUUUGAUUGAUAUAUUCCAUUCCAUUUUUUUAUAUGUAUCCUUGUAUAUGUGUGUAAAAUAUAUGCGUACACAUAUUUUCAAAUUUUCUUGUAUAUUGUACUUGUAUGUAUAUAUUUUGUAAAUACAUAUUCAUAUAUGUUUUAAAUUAACGUUUUGUUUCAUAUUGUACGUUAACUUUUAACAUACCUUUUGGGAAAUAUAUUUUGGUUUUGUCAGUAUAUCAAAAUCAUUUUCUCUUGAUUCAAAGUUUUUUUGAAUAAAAGCAAUAUUCAAGUUUGAGAUUUUUGAGGAAAAUUGAGCCCUAACGUAUUGGGUUCUGAUUUUCUUUGUUAAUCUUAAAUAACCGAGGAUAUUCUUUAUUCAAAAUGCAUGAGUAUAAAGAUCAUUUUUGGGAACUUAACUUGUUGUGUCCUAAUGUAUUGGGCGUGACAUAUUACUUUCUCAAAAUGAAGAUUUUCACAUAAAAUAAAAGUGAUAUUCAAAGUUCGGGGAUUUUGAGAAAUUGUACCCUAACGUAUUGGGACUCGAUUUCUUUACAUGACUUGAACAAUUGAUUAUCCUUUUCAAAUUUCAUCAUUUAAGUUGUUUUAAAAAAAAUUAGCCCUCGACAUUAAGACAUUAAAUAAUUAAUUUGGUACAGAUUUUGGGUGUCACGAGGGUGCUAACCCUUCCUCGUGCGUAACUGACUCCCGAACCCAUUUUCUCAAAUUUCGUAGACCAAAAUACGUUUUAAGGUGAACUGAUCACACCUCAAUAAAAGAUCGGUGGUGACUCCAAUUUUGUUUUUUUAAAAAGUCGACAACUACAUUUUUGAUUUAGAAAUGGUUUCGACAGCUUGGCGACUCCACUGGGGACACUAGAGAGUCGAGCCAUAAAUUGAUUAUUUUUGUCUUGUGAUUGAAAAAUCAAAUUUGUUUUAAAAUCAUGAUUUCCCUUUACAUUCAUUGAUUUUCAUCAUGAUAUAUUUGCAUGAUGGGUCCGAGUCGAUUAAUUUGUAUUUGCAUUAUGCAUUGCAUUGGUUGGUCAGUGUUACCUCUUUAAGUGGGAGCGAGAAACUAGUCCUUCGUGAGGUUUUGACCUCCGUGCAGGGUAGUAGACCGCUUUCGGGAUACAUCCGUACCUAUGUCUUCGUGAGAUUUUCAUCUCCGUGCAGCCAUAGGGAAAUGUAUUCCCUUGAACUGAACUCAGUCCAUAUGAGCCUAUAAUGGGUGAGGAUCGAGGAAUCUGCUGGUUCGGGUACCUUUGCUCUAGAAACUAAACCUCAUAUACUGAGAUUUAGGGACUUGCCCUAGGUAGAGCUAUACCAAACCCUAGAGGAGUCCUGAAUAGGUUUUAUUAUUUCCUAUGUACGUUGAAUUAUGAUUUUAUGCAUGAUACUAACUUGUGUGUUUUGUUUUGGCGGUAUGGCAUUUUGACUGCAUGGCAUUUCAUUAUAGAAAAAAAAUGUUGAUUCAUGUUUGGUUGUUAAAUAGAGAGCUUGCUACGGAAAAUAGAUUUCUUGAUAAGGUGAAAGAUAAUACGGUUGUCUGAGUAUAGUCUAAGAAAACGUGACGCGAAAGGUAAUAGCGUAACAAGAGGAGUAUACGACUUUGCUGCGUUGCCCAAGGAUUCAAAUUGUCAAAGAUUAUUCAAGAGUCAUCAAACGUCCUAACCUCUUAAAGAAGCUCAUGGGCAUGAGUGAGCAAAGAGAUACGACCUAGAUCAAACAAAAUGGAGCUAAGAUUCGCAAAAUGCAUCUUAAUGUUCGAAUGGUCGAUGCCUUCACUUGGAGUACGAGCACAAAGCCGUAUAUAUAUAUCCGCUUUGUGUAAAGAGAUUUGUUUUCUAGUGAAGUUUUUCUAAUAAAGAAUUGAACUAGAAUCAACGUCUCUUUUUGCAUUUAUUUCAUGCAUUUGCAUUACAUUACAUCACAUGCAUUAAACACCGUAAAAGGAUCCUAAUUAACUAAAUCAUUGCUCAGUUAACCUGGAAACCAACCAACCAACCAAACACCAUUAUGACACUUGAGCAAAGAUUAAAGAUAUGGAUCAGAGAUUGGAAAAGCUCGAAUAGUACCAGAAGAAGAUGCAAGACCGACUUCAGCUGCAAGUGCAAGAACGGUUGGACAAGAUGCAAUAGGAUAUGUCAGAGAAGAUACAGGAAUCCCAAAAGGAUAUGAUGGCGAAGCUGACCCAACUAUUGACUGGAGGAAGUGAUAAGGGAAAAGGGACCUGUAGCUAAUGUCGAAGAAGGCAACGAGGAUGAACCUCUCUAUCCUCCAGGCUUUACUCCUCCACAUGUACGAACUCAAGCUGAGGUAUACCCGCACAAAUCUAUUGUCACAAUCAGGCCUCAGCAGUUCCAGGCCGGUACUUCAAAUUUCCAAGCUGGAUCGGGCUCUAACCCCGGGAACUACCCUAUUAACUCUGCCAUUCCUGACUUCGAUGAAAUGGCUGAAAAGGAAAAAAUAAAUGAAGAGUUACCAAGGCAGUUAGAAGAGAGGUGUAAAUGGCUCGAAGAGAAGUUCAAGGCGAUGGAGAUCACUGAAAACUAUCGUGGGAUCAACGCUAAAGAACUGAGUCUAGUCCUAAAUUUGGUACUCCCUCAUAAGUUUAAGAUGCCGAAAUUUGAAAAAUAUAAUGGGACAAGUUGCCCAGAAGCACAUAUCACCAUGUUCUGCAGGAGAAUGGCUGGAUAUGUUAACAAUGACCAGCUACUGAUUCAUUGUUUCCAGGAUAGCCUUACAGGGGCAGCAUCUAAAUAGUACAAUCAACUGAGCCAUACCAUGAUAGGUUCAUGGAGGGACUUAGCACAAGCGUUCAUGAAACAGUACAGUCAUGUAACAGACAUGGUUCCUGACAGAAUCACCCUUCAGAAUAUGAAAAAGAAGCCAAACGAGAGCUUUAGGUAAUAUGCACAAAGGUGGAGGGAGGUGGCUGUUCAAGUUCAGCCACUGCUCUUGGAAAGAGAAAUGUCAAUGCUCUUUAGAAAUAUAUUGAAAGCCCCGUUCAUUACGCAUAUGUUAGGAAGUGCUACAAAAAGCAUUUCUGACAUAGUUAUGAAUGGUGAAAUGAUCGAAAAUGCUAUAAGGAGUGGGAAAAUCAAUGCAGAGGAGAGUAACAAGAGGCCAGUCUCAAGAAGAAGAGAAAAUGAGGUGAACAACACGGGUUACUCUAAAUCAGUUACUAUGAGUCAGCCAAGAAAGUUGGUUGCUAACCAACAAGGUUCAUCAAGACAAGAAGAUGGUACAAGACAAAACACUAAGAGGCCCCAAUUCACGCCAAUUCCGGUGUCGUAUAGGGAGUUAUAUCAAAGAUUUUUUGAUGCACAUGUUGUUUCCCCUUUUCAUGUAAAGCCUCUACAACCUCCGUACCCCGAAUGGUAUGAUGUGAACGCACAAUGUGAAUACCAUGCGGGAAUUACGGGACACUCAAUAGAGAAUUACACUGCCUUCAAGAAGCAAGUUGAAAGACUCAUCAACACGGGUAUUGUCAAGUUUGGUGACUCAUCUAGUGCAGAAAAUCCGCUACCCAAUCAUAUUGAUAAUAGAGGUGAGAUUUUCACAUCGACGCCGUAUGUGCAGACACAACCAAAAGGGUUAUUGUUAGAUAUUCACCUGGAAGGUGCUAUAAAUAAUGGGACUGCAGAGGAAACCCCUAUAGUAUUUAGAGUCUGUUAGGGUAAUGUUCAGAACACACUUGUUGCUUUUAGCCUAGAAGCAAUAAGAACUUCUUUGUGAAAUAGGCUCAUGUCUGAACAUUGUUAUUUUAAUGAAAUACAUUAUUGCAAUCAUCUUUGAGCAAAUGUUCUUUCAUUCUUUACGAUUCUUUCAUUCUUUUGGAUUUUUUUUGCCAAACCAUUUUUUUCAUUCAUUCAUAUUAUUUAUAAAUUCAUACAUUAUUUUGUAUAUUCUUUGGUACCUACUAGGGGUCCCCAGAUAUCAAUGACAUGAGUGACGCUGCUAUAGACUCAGAACUUCCUUUUGAGUGAGACAUGUGUUUAGAGGGAUCUCAUGACUUUGAUGAUGACAUAGAUUGCAGCUUAUCUCCAGAUUUGACGAAGGUGAUAGAAUAAGAGGAUAAGAUAGAUCAUACCUCAUAAGAAAUUAUUAGAAAUUGUAAGCUUGGUGAAGAUUAAAAUUGACAUGACCACAAAGACGAAGUGGGACCUUAUGAAUUACCCUAAGAAUUCAAUGAUGUCUUCACAUGGUCAUACCCAGAUAUGCUCGGGUUAAGCACUGACUUUAUAAUCUGAAUAACAACAUGAUGUCAGAAAUUUGCAGUAGGUUCAGCAUUAAUGUUAUGAACGAUGCAGUGAAAUUUCUUUAUUGGGGAAAUGUCCUUCUCUUUGGCUUAUCAUAGCUUUGCUCAUUGAAGUUGAAUUGCCAUUUCUCUGUAUUUUUAUCCUAAGAGGAAGAUCUGAAGGUUCGUCCUAGAGAAUUUCACAAGGGGGAGCUAGUGUUGAAAAUGAUCAUUCCUAUACAAAAGGGAUUUUAGAGGAAGAUAGAUGCCAAAUUAGGAGGGUCCAUAUGUUGUAAAGAAAGUCUUUUCUAGGAAAACUUUGAUCCUGAGUGAGAUGGAUGGUAAAGAUUGUCCAAGCCCUGUAAACUCAGAUUCAGUUAAGAAGUACUUUUCCUAAAAAAGGGGACCAAGGUGAAAGCCUACAAAGGGCGCCUUGAGUAAAAAAAAAUAGAGAGGCCAAGGUGAAAACCCGCGAAGGGAGGCUUGAGACCAAAAGGAUUUUAGUUGAAAACCCAAAAAGGGCGGCUCAAAUGUUGAUCAAAAUGGCAUUUGAAAUUAUCAGAGCAGCUCAAAUACUGAUCAGAAUGGGGCAUGCAGUGGUCUUGCUAUACCUGAAUCAACAGGAAAGGGGUAGGCAACAUCUUGGGGCAUCGACAAAGCACUGUUGAUUUCCUAAACACAUGUUAAAAUCAGAAUGGUCUUCAGAAAGUUUGCACAGAGAAGUUCAGGCUGCGAUACCUGGGGCACCGAAUCCUUAUACUAUUUUUGUUAUACUUGGAACACUUCAUUCAUUUCCAAGACACGCAUUCUUAAAUUAAUUUCUUUAUUAUCUUUGACAAUUUAUUCAUUUCGAGCUAUGUUCAGAACCAACUCUAUUCUUAUCCAUGAUCUUUUUGCAAGCAUGUUGCAUUAGAAUAAUGAUUAAUGGACUAAUAAAACUUUCACAAAGGAAGUUUUGCAUAUUACUCUAGAAAUUUCUAAAUAAUAUAGGAACCUGAAACAGGACUAUUGUUUAGAACACACCAAGUUUAAAGGUUGGAAAUCUGAUAAGGAGGAGUCUAAAUUAAGACUAUCCUUUUAAAUUUUGUUGUCUAAAACAUUGUUUGAACAAAAUGAUAAGAUGUCAUAUUGGUGACAAAGCUUAGAUGAAAGAAAGUAAUGAUCACCGAAUAAUAAGAAGAAGUUGUUCUUGGAGAAUAAAAUUUUUCAUUUGUGCAUUGGCAUUUGGUAUGACACCCAUAGAAUGGUAAAAGACCAAAGAGCUUCACAUUCUACAUCCUUGAAUUGUGAUAGGAGAGGAUUGAGAAAAUGCCAGAUUUUUCUUGGGUUACAGCGGGAGAAAGAUGGUACAAAUGUUACAUCCUAGUGGAUUGAGCUUUGAAGUUCACAGUGGGGGCAAUCUGGUCAAGUGUUUCUUUGGAGACGUUAGCCAAGCAAAAGGUGCUAUAGCACAUUAGCGAUAAAAUUUUAAUAAACUUUGAGUAAUGAUAACCUAAGUGAUAAGGAGGAAUCAUUCUCGAAAAAUGACAUUCUGUAUUCAUUCAAAUGUCAUUCAUACAUGCCUAGUUAGGAGCAUUUGAUUCAUUCUGUUCAUGACAUCCUAAUCAUUAGGUAUAAUUAGGUUCAUAAAGUGAAUUAUACAGGUCAUGCUCCCUAGAGGACAGAUCAGAGAAAUCAUAAAGCCUUAUCUCCCUGAGCAACGGUGGAGCAGGUUGAAAAGCAGCAGAUCUUGUCUUCCCGUACUGGUGACGAAGUAGAUCGAAGAAAGCAGAUCUUGUCUUCAUGUAUUGGCGUGAAGUAGAUCGAAGAAAGAAGAUCUUGUCUUCCCAUACUGGUGGUGAAGUAGAUCGAAGAAAGCAGAUCUUGUCUUCAUGUAUUAGCGUGAAGCAGAUCGAAGAAAGCAGAUCCUGUCUUCCUAUAUUGGUAGCGAAGUGGAUCGAAGAUAGCAGAUCUUGUCUUCAUGUAUUGACGUGAAAUAGAUCAAAGAAAACAGAUCUUGUCUUCAUGUAUUGGCGUGAAAUAGAUCGAAGAAAGCAGAUCAUGUAUUGGCGUGAAAUAGAUCGAAGAAAGCAGAUCUUGUCUUCAUGUAUUGGCAUGAAGUAGAUCAAAGAUAGCAGAUCUUGUCUUUCCAUACUGGUGGCGAAGUAGAUCGAGGAAAGCAGAUCUUGUCUUCAUGUAUUGGCAUGAAGUAGAUCAAAGAGAGCAGAUCUUGUCUUCCCAUACUGGUGGCGAAGUAGAUCGAAGAUGACAGAUCUUGUCUUCAUGUAUUGGCAUGAAGUAGAUCAAAGGAUAGCAGAUCUUGUCUUCAUGUAUCAGCAGUGAAGUAGAUCGAAAAUACAAGUCUUAUCUCCCUGAAGUAGCAGUGGAGCUGACAGAAGUAACCAAUCCUAUCUCCUUGAAGUUGCAAUGGAGUGGAUUAAACCUGCAGAUCUCAUCUCUCUGAAGUUGCAGUAGAGCAGAUCGCAUCAGAUUUAUUUUUAAGUUGUAGCAGAACAAGUUGAAGCUAUAAGUCUUAUCUCCCUGAAGUUGUAGUGGAGCAGAUUAAAGAUAGCAAUUUUUGUUCUUUUAAAAAGCUACAGUGUACGAACCCUAUCUCCUUGACAUUGCAGUGGGGUAGAUUGAAACACUAGUUCCUAUACUUCAGAAGAUGUAGUAGGAAAGAAUGAGGUUACUUGAAGGAAAAAGAACUGAAUAAGUCGAGGCUCAGUAAGACCGGGCACAAUUGGGCUUUUAGUAUUUGCUCUGUUCCCGUUACAUGACAACGAGCAAAGAGGGGCAGCUAUAGGGCCCAAUUUUUUCCUGGCCCGUUACAGAAAUAAAAAACCAAACAAAAACCAAAAUGUUUCAGUCCAAUUUUGCUAAGCCCAAUAACCCAAUAGCACAACCCAAAUCAAUUUAUUUUAAAACUAACCUAGCUACAAUCACCGAAACCCUAAAAUCCCUUAGCUACUGCCUCCGGCAAGUGUCCAAUCGGCACACGUUUCGAAACCAGCCCUAUUCUCCGCGUCAUGCUCUCCACAACUACCUGCGAAAACGGACUAAAAGAGUCCCAAUAUUGUAAAAUAAAAAUACAAAGUAUUUUCUUAGGCUAUAAAAAGCCUAAGUUGUACACUGAUAAAAAAAAAGAACAGAGAACAAAAUAAAUAUUUUUACAAAAGUGAUUUUUUUUUGUUUUAUUUCGCAGUGACCAUUUUUUAUAUACAUACGUUUUAUUUUCUUUUAUUUUCAUUUAUUUCGUAUAAAAUAACAAAGAAAAAAGAAAAGGAAAACAUACCUUUUGUCGGAGUCGCCGGAUUGUUGCCAUCUCCAUCGCGGUCGGAGCGUCGGCAUGGGCGAACGGCGGCGCUAGGAGCUAGGGCUGAAAACCCUAGCAGAGGGCAUUUGGUUUUUUUUUCCUUUCAUUCUGUUGCAAAUUUUUUUUAGAGAAAAAAAAACUGUUUUAAAUAACAGAGCAAAACGACGCCGUUUUACCCAAGCAUGACCCGCGCGGUGACCCGACCCGGAGGGGAGGAUCCGCGCGUUCUGGCCGAAGGGAAAAUUUGCGCAAUUGGUCCCUCCCUUUUGCAAUGCGCUUCAAUUAAACCUGUUUUGUUUUUUUUAAUUUGGCCGCAUAUUUUAUUUUUGUUUCAAUUUGGUCCCUUAUUGCGCAGCGUUUUGGAGGGUGGGAUUAAUUUCCCUUCUAGUCCCCCAUUGUUGUUCGCGCGUUCAAGUUGGUCCUUUUUUAUUUAUUUUCGAAUCUACCCCAUCUUUUCAUUUUUAAGUUCAAUUUAGCCCAUUUUUUAGCUUUUUUUUUAAAUUCUUUUUUAUGUUUGUCAUUAUACCAUUAUUAUUAUUAUAUUAUUUGCUAUCAUUAUUGUUAUUGUAUUUUCUAUACAUAUAAAUACGCAUAUUUUUUAUAUUUAAUAUAUAAGCAUAUUUUUAAUAUAUAUAUUUAUAAGUACGCAUCUAUUUUAUACAUACAUACAUACUUUUUUUUAUUUUAUUUCCUAACCUUUAUGUACACGUAUAUAUACUUCUAUAUUUUUGUUUCAAAAUUUUUUAUACAUAUGCAUGUUCGUUUUUUUUAUAUAUAUUAUUUUUCAUAUUUUUUUACAAAACGUAUAUAUAUGUGUAUACAUACACAUUUUAAAAUACACACAUGUUUCCCAUAUUUUACAAUUCAAAAUACACAUUUUUUUUAUAUUAUAUAUAUACAUUCUUUAUAUUUUUGAGUUAUUAUAGACAUUUUUAUUAUUCUAUAUAUACUCCGUUAUUUAUGUACAUAUCAUACAUAUAUAUAAAUUUUUUAAUAUAUGUAUACAUAUUUUCAUGUUUUACCAAUACAUAUAUACUUAUACAUUUUUUAUUUCUGUAAAUAUAUACACAUAUACAUACUUUUAUAGUUUUAUUUUAUUUUCACGGUUUUCAAAUACACAUACGUGCAUUUUUUAUUAGUUUUUGAUUGAUAUAUUCCAUUCCAUUUUUUAUAUGUAUCCUUGUAUAUGUGUGUAAAAUAUAUGCGUGCACAUAUUUUCAAAUUUACUUGUAUAUUGUACUUGUAUGUAUAUAUUUUGUAAAUACAUAUUCAUAUAUGUUUUAAAUUAAUGUUUUGUUUCAUAUUGUACGUUAACUUUUAACAUACCUUUUGGGAAAUAUAUUUUGGUUUUGUCAGUAUAUCAAAAUCAUUUUCUCUUGAUUCAAAGUUUUUUGAAUAAAAGCAAUAUUCAAAGUUUGGAAUUUUUGAGGAAAAUUGAGCCCUAACGUAUUGGGUUCUGAUUUUCUUUGUUAAUCUUAAAUAACCAAGGAUAUUCUUUAUUCAAAAUGCAUGAGUAUAAAGAUCAUUUUCGGGAACUUAACUUGUUGUGUCCUAAUGUAUUGGGCGUGACAUAUUAUUUUCUCAAAAUGAAGAUUUUCGCAUAAAAUAAAAGUAAUAUUUAAAGUUCGGGGAUUUUGAGAAAUUGUACCCUAAUGUAUUGGGACUCGAUUUCUUUACAUGACUUGAACAAUUGAUUAUCCUUUUCAGAUUUCAUCAUUUGAGUUGUUUUAAAAAAAAUUUUUUAGCCCUCGACAUUAAGACAUUAAAUAAUCAAUUUUGUACCGAUUUUGGACGUCACAAGGGUGCUACCCUUCCUCGUGCGUAAUUGACUCCCGAACUCGUUUUCUCAAAUUUCGUAAACCAAAAUACGUUUUAAGGUGAACUGAUCACACCUCAAUAAAGGAUCGGUGGCGACUCCAAUUUUGUUUUUUUAAAAAGUCGACAACUAUAUUUUUUAUUUAAAAAUGGUUUCGACAAUAUGAAAUAAAAGAAAAAUAGAGAGUAGGGAGAGAAAUUUACCUAAAAGCUGAGACGUCGUUCGUCUGUCGUAAUCGAAGUCGGACGAGGAAUCGGGGCCUCCAAACGCUGGUUUGUUGAGCGGCGCACGGAGGAAAAGUUGCUUAGGGUUUGUAGAUCUAUUAAAAUGGCUUAAUGCCUUGGUUUUUUUAGGUUUCAUGCGUGCAACGAAAUGGCACCGUUUGAACCCCGUUCUAAUGGCUCCAAAGCGAUGUCGUAUUGAGGCUCGACCCGAUUCGAACUAGGUUCCAGAUCUGCGUGUUUUACCUCAUAGGGGAGAAUUUCGCGAAUAGUCCUCCGCUUUUAUAGAACCUUCAAAUUGAUCCUUUUAUUUCUUUUAAAUUUGGCUGCUCAUUUUGUGCUUCAUUUCAAUUAGGUCCGUGCAAGGAUGCUGCGUUUUGAGGGAAGGGAUAUUUUCCCAUUCAGUCCCCAAGUUAUUCGCGCGUUCCUUUGUGGCCCUUAAUGUUAUUUUAUUUUUAUUUUCUCUUUUAAUUUUGAAUUAAAUGCAGUUUAGCUUGUUUUUGUUUAAUUUAAUGUAUUCAAUUUUUAUUUUAUUUUUAAUAUUCAUCAUUCUUUUUUAAAAAAUAUUUAAUUUUACAUCUAGAUUAUUUUAUGUUUAAAUUUAGUAUAUUUUAAAUUUAUUAACAAUAUUAUUUUAAUAUUAUAACAUAUUAUUAUUCUAAAUGUAACAUUAACAUUAUUUUAAAUUUAUCAUGUACAAUCUUAUGCAUUCUUGUUGUAGUUUCAAUAUAAUUUAUAGAUUUUUUUACAUUUUUAUUUUAUAAUACAUUUUUUAACUUCACUUAUAUAGUUCUUUGCUUUAAGAUUUGUACAUUAAUAUUCUUACAUAAUAUUUUUCUAUACAUAUAUAUAAUUUGUGUUAAAUUAUUUUUUAUUAUAUAUAUAAUAUAUUACCGAUUUCAUAUUAUUACAUAUCUUUUUACAUAUUUUUAUAUAUACAUAAUUUAUUUCUUUUAAAACCCUACUUUAUUAUGUACUUUGUUUAUUUCAACUUUUUAUAAUAUUAUAUAUAUUAUUAUUAAACUUUUCAUUUCAUAUAUAUAUUACUUAUUUAGAUUAAUGUAUGUAUAUUAUUUGGUAUAUUACAUAUAUAUAUAUUGUAGCAACGUAAAAAUUUUAGCUUAGCUUGGUCGCUAAUUGUGGCGAUUUAUUGAAAUUUUUUUUGAAAUUUGACGUUUGAUUUUUGAAAUAAAUAGGGAGUUGCCACCGAUCCUUUUUCCUAGGUGUGAUCGGACACCUAUUAGAUCUUUUAUUAAAACAAAUAAAAGGCUAAGUUUAGGUCUACGUUAAAAUCCAGAAAAAAUUUAGGGUUCGGGAGUCGGUUAUGCACGAGGAAGGUAUUGGCACCCUCGCGACGCCCAAAAUUGGUAUCUUAUUAAACACAUGUUGUCUUGAUUUUCAAAAAUACGAAUUCAAUUUGACAUUUAAGUGUGAUCCGAUUGAAGGAAAUGAGAAGUUGCAAGUUUUUUUGUUUUUUAGAAGGACGUCCCGUUUUUAACACGAGCCGAUUAAUUUCACCCAACAUAGGAUGAAAUCAAUGACUUAAUGUUAAAAUCGGUACAUUGCCUUAUUCUUAAAAUUAAAAUGUAAAAAGUUUUUAAAAUGAUAGUAAAAAAAAAUCCAAGAAUAUUAUUGUCAAAAAAAUGCGAAUAAUGAUGUGAAUAAUAAAAUAUAUAAAAUAUAAAAUAUCAAAAUAUCAAAAUAUUAGAAUAAUAAUAAUUAAUAUUGAAAAAUAAAAAAUAAAAUAGAAAUAAAAAAAAUGUACAUAAUAUAUAUUAGAAAUAAUAAUGAUGUUUAAAAAUCAAUACUAUUAAUAAUACUACAUUAAUAUGUACAUAUAUAAAAAAAAUACGUGAUAAUAUUAAAAAUAUGUACAUAAUAUAGUGUUAAAAAUACAUACAUAAUAUAGUUAAGAUAUAUACAUAAGAUAACAUGUAAAAAAAAUAUAUAAAUAAUAUAAUAUUAAAGAUAUAUACAUAAAAUAGUAUAAAAUAUAUAUACGUAAUAUAGAAUUUAAAAUAUACCUAAUAUAUUAAAAGAAUAUAUAUAAUAUAAUAUUAAGAAAUAUAAUAAUAACAAAAAAGGAGAGAGAGGGAGAGGGUGGAUGAUUUUCGGCCACAAGGUCGGCCAUCGUCCGGUCACUGGACCGCCGCCGGCGCCACCGUACACGGCAGCCGGACCUCAAAAAAAACUUUUUCGGUAAAAAUGGGUAAGCUUCCUCCUUUUAUUUUUUUUCACUUUCGUAUAAAAGAAACAAAAUAAGAUUGAAAGGAAAACAAUAAGUAAACAAAGAACUUAAAAUGAGAAUAGACAAAGAAACCUCUUUUGCUUUGAUCUUUAAUUAAUCUUCAAAAAAACUAGCUUCUCCAAAAACUAGCCUUCACAAUAACUCUUCUCCUUAAUUACUUUAAAAAGAAACCUCUCCAAAAAUCCUUUACAAUAACUUUCUCUCCCAAAAACUUUCCAAAAAAAAAUCCCCCCCCUUUUACAAAAUAUGAUAAGGCUUAUAUAGCUAUUUACAAAAUAUUUUUUUAUUGUUUAUGUCUUCAUUUGUAGGUACAAGUGGUGGUGGAGCAAGUGUGGUUAGUGGAGUAGGUAAUGGAGCAAGUGUGGCUAGUGGAUUUGGUGGUGGAGAAGGUGUGGCUAGUGGAGUUGGUGGUGGAAAAGGAGUGGCUAGUGGAGUUGGUGGUGGAAAAGGUGUGGCUAGUGGAGUUGGUGGUGGAAAAGGUGUGGCUAGUUGAGAAAAGUUUAAGUUGUGGGCUAGGUUUUUUUAUUUUGAUUUGGGCUUAGGGUUUGGGCCAUUGGGGUUUUGAUGUAAAUUGGGCUUUGGGUAGUUAAGAUUUUGGGUUUUGGGUUUAAUUUUGGUGGGUUAGGUAAGGCUAAAUUGGGUUUUGAUGUAAAUGGGCUAAAAUUGGCCUACAACAGCUGCCCCUCUUUGCUUAUUAUCGUGUAACGAGAAUAGAGCAAAGAUAUAAAGAAAGGCCAAUUUUGCCCGGUCUUGCUAAGUAUGGACUUCUUUGGUGCUCUUCUCAUCCAGGUAGUCUCUUUCCAGUCCAUCGCAUCUUGUAGCUUUGGUUCAAUCCACUGCAAAUUCGGAGAUAUGCCUUAUAGCUUCAAUCUGUUCCAAUGUAAUUCAAUAUGCUCUUCUAUCGCUUCAGUGAGAUAAGGUUUUGGGUCUUCUCUUCUGCCACUUUAGAAAGGCAAGAUCUGAUAUCCUCGAUCAACUCCACUGCAACUUCAGGGAGACAAAAUCUGGUGUCUUCAAUCAGGUCUAAUAUUGAUUCUUUACUCGGCAUGUGAUCCUGAGCUCAACUCAUUUCUCGCAAUAUGAAUUGACUCUGUAAAACUAGACAUUAAAAACAGAAAUUGAAAAUAGCUCAGCACGUGAGCCAAGGCUCAACUCACCUCUCGCAAAAGUAGAUUUUGAAAAUACCUCGACAUGUAAACCCAAGGCUCAACUCACAUCUCGCAAUAUGAGUUGAUUUUUGAAAAGCAGAAAUUGAAAACGCCUCAGCGUGUGACCCGAGGCUCAACUCACCUAUCGCAAUAUGAGUUGAUUUUUUUGAAAAGCAGAAAUUGAAAAUAGCUCAGCACGUGAGCAAAGGCUCAACUCACCUCUCACAAUAUGAGUUGAUUCUUUUGAAAAGCAGAAAUUGAAAAUAGCUCAGCACGUGAGCAAAGGCUCAACUCACUUCUCGCAAAAGUAGAUUUUGAAAAUACCUCGACAUGUGAACCCAAGGCUCAACUCACAUCUCGCAAUAUGAGUUGAUUUUUGAAAAAUAUAAAUUGAAAAAAAUAGAAAUUGAAAAGCAGAAAUUAAAAAGACCUCAGCAUGUGAGCCGAGACUCAACUCACCUCUCGCAAUAUGAGUUAAUUUUUGACAAACAGAAAUUGAAAUUACCUCAGCGUGUCCUGAGGCUCAACUCACCUCUAGCAAUAUGAGUUGAUUUUGAAAAACAAAAAUUAAAAGUACCUCAACGUGUCUUGAGGCUCAACUCAUCUCUCGCAAUAUGAGUUGACUUUCCUUGAAAAGCAUGAAUUAAAAACAUCAAAAUACCCAAAACCUAUCCUUUGGUAGAACUCGGGUGUCUUUUCCUUUGAUUCAGUGCGACUCUCAUUCAAGAUUUCUUGCUCUACUGGAGUACCUGUAUAUGCUAUGUAUGAUGUUAUCAUGAUAUGCACAUGUUUGUCUUAAAUGCUUUUAUGCCUACAUGAUUAUGCAGUGCUCCUUAAGCAUGUUUGUCGUAUGUCCAUUUAGCCACGAUUGUUGAGGGUCUGUGUUCAUUGCUUUGAUUCUCGACUUUCUCCUCAGGCCUUAUACCUACCUUCAAGCUUCACGAGUAAUCGACGUUCCUCAGAUAUCACUCUUCUGCCCCCGAUUGAACUUUGUUCUUACUUUGAGACUCUUGUGCUUAUCAAAUUUUCAUCCAGGUAAUGCUUAACAUUUCUCUUGUUUAGAGUAUGUCAUUUCUCCAUUUAUCAUGUAAAUAAACACAUAAUGAGAUGCAUGAAAAAGGUCAGGUAGGGAAAAAUGAUAUUUCAUAUUCAUCUAUUUCAAAUGUGGCAAACAAAGCAAGUUAACCAAUUAGAGUAAAAAAUGUCAAAAAGAAAGAAAGGAUCGUAUUCAACGGAUGCAAAUACUUUAGAUAUUCGACACAUGAACUCUUCCACGUUCCUCAAUCAAGAAUCUUUUCGAGUCUGGCUCUUUGCGUAGAAGAUUUCGAGCUUUCAGAAAUGCUUCAAAUACUGUAGUCUCACUGUUUGACCCGCUGUUAAAACGCCACGCUCUUUAAGCCAGGUUUACCUCAUUAGGACGCCCUCUCGGGUUUUCAUCCUAAUCUUUUGUGCUAAUCAAGACGCCCUUUGCGGGUUUUCGCCUUGAUCCCUCUUUUUUUUUGGAUGCCCUUUUCAGGUUUUCAUCUCAAGCAUAAUAUUUCUUCACAGCAUCUGAGUUCACUGGAUUCGGUAACUUCUUUCCAUCCAUCUUGGUAAGGAUCAAAGCUCCUCCUGAAAAUGCCUUCUUUACGACGUAUGGUCCUUCCCAAUUUGGUGCCCAUUUUCCUCGCAGGUCCUUUUGUAUUGGGAGAAUCUUCCUCAGUACGAGUUCUCCUUCGUGGAAUUCUCUUGGCCAUACUUUCUUGUCAUGGGCCGCGAUCAUUCUCUUCUGGUACAUCUGCCCGUGACAAAUUGCUCUUAGACGUUUUUCUUCGAUGAGGUUCAACUGAUCAUAUCGAUCUCAAACCCAUUCUGCUUCUUCUAACUUUAAUUCCAUUAAGACUCGCAGGGAGGGGAUCUCAACCUCAAUAGGUAGCACAGCUUCCAUUCCGUAAGCCAGAGAGAAAGGAGUUGCUCCCGUAGAUGUUCGCACAGAUGUGCGAUAUGCAAACAAAGCAACUGGAAGCUUCUCGUGCCAAUCUUUAUAUGUUUCAGUCAUUUUCCCAAUGAUCUUCUUAAUAUUUUUAUUGGCUGCUUCAACAGCCCCGUUCAUCUUUGGGCGAUAGGGCGAGGAGUUAUGAUGCUUUAUUUGGAACUGCUCGCACACUUCUUUCAUCAUCUUAUUGUUCAGAUUCGUGGCAUUAUCUGAAAUGAUUCUUUCAGGCAAACCAUACCGGCAAAUGAUUUCCUUUUUCAAAAACCUGCAAACUGCAGUCCUCGUCACAUUGGCAAACGAAGCGGCUUCUAUCCAUUUUGUGAAGUAAUCGAUGACCACAAAAACGAAUCGAUGUCCAUUUGAUGCUUUUGGAGAAAUUGGCCCUAUGACAUCCAUGCCCCACAUAGAAAAAGGCCACGGAGAAGUCAUGACAUGAAGGGGUGAAGGGGCUACAUGAAUUUUAUCGCUGUAGAUUUGACAUUUGUGGCAUUUUCUGGCAAAAUUGAUGCAGUCAUUUUCCAUUGUCAGCCAAUAAUAACCGAGUCUCAUGAUCUUUCUGGCCAUAUUGAAACCAUUGGCAUGCAUUCCGUAAAUUCCCUCAUAGACCUCUUCAAGUAUUUUUCUGGCUUCAACAUCAUCCACACAUCUCAAAAGCAUCUGAUCCUUUCCUCUUUUAUAUAGGAUAUCCCCAUCAAUAACAAAUCCCGCUGCCAUUCUUCUAAUUGUUCUUUUAUCGUUCUCAUUCGCUUGUUCGGGAUACCUUUGAUUCUUGAUAUAUUCUAAGAUAUCAUGGAACCAAGGUCGUCCGUCUACUUCUUUCUCAAUGCUACAACUGUGUGCAGGGACCUCGUAUAUGCUCAUUUUGAGGGGCAUUAUUUCUACUUCUCUACUUGCUUUGAACAAUGAAGCCAAAGUGGCCAGGGUAUCAACCAGUUGGUUCUCUUCUCGUGGGAAGUAAUGAAAAGUUAUUUCUUUGAAUUCCUUGAUCAAUCCAGCUACUAAAUCGCUGUACUUAAUCAAUUUUGAGUCCCUCACUUCCCACUCUCCACGGAUUUGGUAAAUCACUAGGGCUGAGUCCCUGUACACCUCUAAGAUCUUGAUGUUUCGUUCGAUAGCUGCACGAAGCCCCAUGAUACAGGCCUCAUAUUCUGUGAUAUUAUUGGUACAGAAGAAGUUCAGUCUUGCGGUGAACGGAUAAUGAUUCCCGUCUGGUGAUACCAGGAUUGCUCCUAUUCCUUGUCCUAAAGCAUUUGACGCACCAUCAAAGCACAUCUUCCAUGACUUCUCUUUUGAUGACUCGGAUUCUAUUUCUGUGAUGCACAUUAAGUCUUCAUCUGGGAAAUCGAAUCUUAAAGGCUCAUAUUCCUCUGUCGUUCGAGUUGCUAAGAAGUCAGCUAUUGCGCUCCCUUUUAUCGACUUCUGACUUACAUAGGUAAUGUCAUAUUCCGAAAGGAGGAUCUGCCAUCGUGCCAUUCUUCCUGAUAGUACCGGUGAUUCCAUCAUGUAUUUUAUUAGGUCCAGUUUUGAAAUUAGCCAUGUCGUGUGAUACAACAUAUAUUGUCUGAGUCUCCGAGCUACCCAAACCAGAGCGCAACAAUAUUUCUCAAUGGACGAAUAUUUUACCUCAUAUUCAGAGAACUUUUUGCUGGGGUAGUAGAUCACUUUUUCUUUCUUUCCUGACUCGUCGUGUUGCCCUAGUACGCAACCCAUUGAACUUUCAAACACAUUCAAAUACAAUAUCAAUGGUCUUCCAGGAGUUGGCGGUACUAGCACUGGAGGACUGGACAAAUAUUGUUUUAUCUUAUCAAAGGCCACUUGGCAUUCCUCGUUCCAUUCUCCCGGGUUAUGUUUUCGAAGAAGCUGAAAGAUUGGGUCGCAUUGGUUGGUAAGUUGAGCGAUAAAUCGGGCGAUGUAGUUUAAUCUCCCUAAAAAUCCUCUAACUUCCUUUUGCGUGCGCGCAUGUGGUAAUUCUUGGAUGGCUUUUAUUUUAUCUGGAUCAACUUCGAUACCUCUUUCACUGACAAUGAAGCCUAGCAACUUUCCCGAGGUAGCCCCAAAUGUACAUUUGGCUGGAUUAAGCUUUAGCUAAAACUUUCUCAGCCUUUCGAACAACUUCUUGAGGUUCACUACAUGCUCUUCUUCCCCUCGCAAUUUAGCAAUCAUGUCGUCGACGUAGACCUCUAUUUCUUUAUGCAUCAUGUCAUGGAAUAACGUUACCAUAGCCCUCUGAUAUAUUGCCCCAGCAUUCUUUAACCCGAAUGGCAUCACCUUGUAGCAGAACGUUCCCCACAUCGUUAUGAAGGUAGUUUUCUCCAUAUCCUCAAGGGCCAUCUUGAUCUAAUUAUACCCCGAGAAUCCAUCUAUGAAAGAAAACAAUGAAUGUUUUGCUGUGUUGUCCACAAACGUGUCAAUAUGUGGCAAGGGAAAAUUAUCUUUUGGGCUUGCUCGAUUCAGGUCACGGUAAUCCACGGACAUUCGUACUUUGCCAUAUUUCUUUGGUACUGGGACUAUGUUAGCCACCCAUUCUAGAUAUUUGGAGGCUUGUAGGAAGCCAGCAUCAAAUUGCUUCUUGAUUUCUUCUUUUAUUUUCAACAGCAUUUUGGGUCUCAUCCGUCUUAAUUUUUGCUGGAUGGGCUUGCAUUCUGGCUUUAAUGGGAGCUUAUGGACCACUAAAUCUUCAUCUAGCCCUGGCAUGUCCUGGUAUGACCAUGCGAAAACAUCUUUGUAUUCGCGGAGUAAAAUGAUCAAACUAUGUCUAGUACUCUCUGAAAUAGAAGUCCCAAUCUUCACUUCUUGUUUCCUCUCUUCAAUGCCCAAAUUUAUUAUUUCCACAGAUUCUUCAUGAGGCAAAAUCUGUUUAUCCUCUUGUUCCACCAUUCUUAACAAUUCAGGAGACGAGACAUAAUCUUCAGCAUUUUCUUCGGCUUCAAAUUCUCCUAAGCAAACAGCCUUCUCAAAAUCAAUUUCAAGAUUCGUAACGGGCUUAUUCAUAUCGUCAAUAUCUGAGCACCUGAAAGUUGAAUGGAAAAGGAAGCUAUAGAGGGGCAUCCAAGUAUUGGAAUCAACAAAGAAAUGUCAUGUCAUGGCAAUGAGGCAAAUGUGAGUAUAGGCUAUGAAAUGAGAAAAUGAUUAUGAAAUUAGUGAUAAUGCGAAAAAUCGUGACAAAAUGCAUCUUCAUUGAUAUUCACUUAAAUGAUAAAGAGCGAAUGCAAGCUCCUACAAAAGAAUUCUAUUAUAUCUAAGGACACAAUAGAAUGUUAAUGUUUGAGCAUUACUCUGAAGACUUAUAAACUACAAGAAGGUCCUCGGCAGUCCAAUUGUUCAACAUGAAACCAGGGGGACAAAGGCGUAUCCUUGAGACAUCUUUACUUGUGUCAGCUCCUUUGUCAAUGACAUUUAUACUGAUGUUCUGAAAACCCUUUUCGAUCAUUAACAUUGUGCCUUGUGCAUUGUCCUGCCUCGGGUAUAUCAUUCCCACAGACGUAAAUGUUCUUGACAAAGGAGGGAAUUCCAUAGGCUCCCAUUCUGGUUCUCGGCCUAAGGUUCUCGCAAUCCUUCUUUCUUGAUCUUUCUUCCACUGUCUUCUUCUUUGACGCAUGUCUGGCUGGAACCCCAAACCGUAUCGGGCCUUAUGAUGCACUGGUUUUAGAGCCCUGACUAUUCCUUGUAGAUAUCUCCCUAAACCUCUUCUCACUCGAGCUCCCCUUCCUACAGUCAACUUGACACCCAUUCUAGUAUUUCUCGACAAUUUAGGCACGGGAAUUUUGUUUCCCUCAGUGAAGAAUGUGGCAUUGACGAAUUCAAGGGAUCGGAAGGAGCAUUCCACUACGUCCUUGCUCACUUCAAGGUAUGGCGCAUCAGCAGAGAUAGAUGCGACAAUGUCUUCUUCUCCCUCGACAGUGACCAAACAGCCAUCCAUGAUAAAUUUCACCUUUUGAUGGAGGGAUGAUGGGACCGCUCUAGCAGAAUGGAUCCAGGGUCUUCCCAAAAGGCAGUUAUAUGAGGAUGUAAUGUCCAUGACUUGGAACUCGACAUCAUAUAUGUAGGGACCCACUUCCAGAGGGAUCUCAAUUUUUUCCAUGACUUCAUGCCUUGUCCUGUCGAAUGCCCUUACCGUAGAAUGACAGGGCCUUAAAUGGGACAGAUCCAUCGAAAUUCUGGAAAGUGUGGCCAAAGGCAUAACGUUGAGUGCCGAACCAUUAUCGAUGAGCACGUUCGGUAUUAUGUAGCCCUUGCAACGGGUUGUGAUAUGCAAUGCUUUCACUGAGCCUCUACCAUUGGGCGGUAUUUCAUCAUCACUAAAAGAAAUGAAAUUAUCCGCAUUCAAGUUGUUCAUCCACCUAUCCAGUUUUUCAAUGGAUACAUUGUUUGCCACAUAAGCUUGAUUUAACACUUUCAGCAGAGCGUUUCGGUGUGGUUCUGAAUUCAACAGCAGAGAUAAUACCGAGAUUCGCGCUGGCUGCUUACUCAAUUGUUCUACCACGUUGUACUCACUGUGUUUGAUAAAUUUUAAGAAUUCCUGUGCUUCCUCCUCGUCCACAGGAUUUUUAGCUUCUUGUUCAGGCGCAGUUUCAUGCUCAUCAUCGGUCACAUGCAUCGGUGCUUUUCCUUUCCGUUUCAAGUCACUGUUCUUCUUUAUCUCCUUCGAAUAACAUCUUCCACUAUGAGUGAAAUGACCUAAUUCCCCGAUUCUUCCAGUCAUGGCUUUGGGUUUUUCAUCUUCAGGUGUGACGAUAUUAAUGUCAUAUUUCCAUGGUACUGCUUUAUUGUCCUUGUAAGGGAAAGAAGAUGGUACUUCAAUUAUCAUUUUUGGUUUCACCGGCUCUUUCAUCGCAUCGUAAUAAAUUACUAACGGUUGAUCAGCGCUAUAAGGGGGACCUGAUGACUGGCUAUCAGAGGCGCAUACUUCUCUUUCAUUGGUCUCUUCCCUUUUGUUAAGGAUCUUAAUCUCCUUAUUAUCCAUCCGGUCUUGAAGCAACCUUUUAAAUUCCUCACACGACUGAAUGUCGUGUCCCACAAUUCCAUGGAAAUUGCAAAAACUUUGACCUUCUUCUCCGAGAAUUCUAUCGGGGUGACAAAGCAAUCAUUUCUUAACCAGUACCUCCCAGAUUUUCUGCAAAGGCGUCCUUAUUUCCAAAACACAUCUUCUGACUUUCCAUUCGUCCACUUUCCCCACUAUACUCACAUCCCUUUCGAUAUGGUUAGGGAAUGGGUUCCCAGUUGCAUUACUGGCACUAUCGAAUCGUAGGAUACCUGCAUCAAUGAGUCCUUGAACUCUUCUCUUAAAGGCUAGGCAGUUUUUCGUGGAAUGUCCCUGGUUUCCCGUAUGGUAUGCACAACUAGCGAAUUGUAUGUUUUAACCUCAGCGAACGAGUAUGGAAUAUGCAAUGAAUGAAUGAAUGCAUGAAUGUCAAAUGACUGUUAGUCAUGAAAGAAAUGCAAGAAAUUGGUGUUAAUUUCAAGAUAGCCCCUAUUUAGGCAUUUCCUUAAUCAAAAGAGUCUAUUACACAACGUUUCGGUCACUCGUGUAAUUGACUCCUCUAUCAGAAACCCCUUUUUGGCAACCAAUCUCUAAUCAACCCUUUCCUAACAAGAUGUAUAUGAUGCAUGAUGAAAAAUAGAAAUACAGACAAACAACAUUGGUUAGCAAAACACAUAUGAUCAGAGAAAAAUUGUGGAAAAUCUAACAAAUUAAGCUACUUGGUCCAAUGGACUCGAUUCCCUUGCAUAGAAAGUGAAAGUGCAAAAGGUAAGAGGCGUUCCUCCCGUGCACUUAUUUUGGUGACUACUAAACGGACGGAGGUUCAGCAUGGCUCUAGUUAGGUGGCUCGUAUGGUUCAUUAUAUGCGGUUUUGGUUCUAGAUAGGUACUCGAAUUGCCCGUACUAUCAUCUACUAAGAUUAACACGGAGCCUCGGUCAUAGCCUAUCACAGGCUCACGAGUUCAAUUCGAGGGGUUACAUUUACUUAUGCCUAUGCGGAGGGACAAGUUAACUCACGAAAGCAUAAAUCAUAUGUAACCCGAAAGUAUUCACUAGCCUGUGCGGAGGGACGAGUUAACUCACGAAGGCGUAGUGUUUACUUUCACUUAAACGGACGGAGCCCGGGUAGAGAGCUCAUGUUAUGCGAAAAUGCAAGUGCACGGUGUGUGGGGAACAACUCAUAAACCUUUACGUUUCACUUAAAGAAACUAAACCAAAAUUAAAACCAUAAAAAUUAAAAACUGAAAAACAACCAAAUAAGCAAGUUAGAAGAAAUAUUUACAGCACGAUACAAAUGCAUGAAUUUUGAAAAUGAGAUUUUCGGAUCACGACCAAAUAUUUACUUUGAACAAGGAAAUUUGAAAAUUUUGACAAAACGUGUUUAAUUCCAGACACGACUCUCAAAAAGGCUUUCCCCAGCGGAGUCGCCAGCUGUAGCGACGUAAAAAUUUUAGCUUAGCUUGGUCGCUAAUUGUGGCGAUUUAUUGAAUUUUUUUUUGAAAUUUGACGUUUGAUUUUUGAAAUAAAUAGGGAGUCGCCACCGAUCCUUUUUCCUAGGUGUGAUCGGACACCUAUUAGAUCUUUUAUUAAAACAAAUAAAAGGCUAAGUUUAGGUCUACGUUAAAAUCCAGAAAAAAUUUAGGGUUCGGGAGUCGGUUACGCACGAGGAAGUUAUUGGCACCCUCGCGACGCCCAAAAUUGGUAUCUUAUUAAACACAUGUUGUCUUGAUUUUCAAAAAUACGAAUUCAAUUUGACAUUUAAGUGUGAUCCGAUUGAAGGAAAUGAGAAGUUGCAAGUUUUUUUGUUUUUUAGAAGGACGUCCCGUUUUUAACACGAGCCGAUUAAUUUCACCCAACAUAGCGAUGAAAUCAAUGACUUAAUGUUAAAAUUGGUACAUUGCCUUAUUCUUAAAAUUAAAAUGUAAAAAGUUUUUAAAAUGAUAGUAAAAAAAAUCCAAGAAUAUUAUUGUCAAAAAAUGCGAAUAAUGAUGUGAAUAAUAAAAUAUAUAAAAUAUAAAAUAUCAAAAUAUCAAAAUAUUAGAAUAAUAAUAAUUAAUAUUGACAAAUAAAAAAUAAAAUAGAAAUAAAAAAAAUGUACAUAAUAUAUAUAUUAGAAAUAAUAAUGAUGUUUAAAAAUCAAUACUAUUAAUAAUACUACAUCAAUAUGUACAUAUAUAAAAAAAAUACGUGAUAAUAUUAAAAAUAUGUACAUAAUAUAGUGUUAAAAAUACAUACAUAAUAUAGUUAAGAUAUAUGCAUAAGAUAACAUGUAAAAUAUAUAUAUAAAUAAUAUAAUAUUAAAGAUAUAUACAUAAAAUAGUAUAAAAUAUAUAUAUACGUAAUAUAGAAUUUAAAAUAUACCUAAUAUAUUAAAAGAAUAUAUAUAAUAUAAUAUUAAGAAAUAUAAUAAUAACAAAAAAGGAGAGAGAGGGAGAGGGUGGAUGAUUUUCGGCCACAAGGUCGGCCAUCGUCCGGUCACCGGACCGCCGCCGGCGCCACCGUACACGGCAGCCGGACCUCAAAAAAAACUUUUUCGGUAAAAAUGGGUAAGCUUCCUCCUUUUAUUUUUUUUUACUUUCGUAUAAAAGAAACAAAAUAAGAUUGAAAGGAAAACAAUAAGUAAACAAAGAACUUAAAAUGAGAAUAGACAAAGAAACCUCUUUUGCUUUGAUCUUUGAUUAAUCUUCAAAAAAACUAGCUUCUCCAAAAACUAGCCUUCACAAUAACUCUUCUCAUUAAUUACUUUAAAAAGAAACCUCUCCAAAAAUCCUUUACAAUAACUUUCUCUCCCAAAAACUCUCAAAAAAAAAAUCCCCCCCUUUUACAAAAUAUGGGAAGGCUUAUAUAGCUAUUUACAAAAUAUUUUUUUAUUGUUUAUGUCUUCAUUUGUAGGUACAAGUGGUGGUAGAGCAAGUGUGGUUAGUGGAGUAGGUAAUGGAGCAAGUGUGGCUAGUGGAUUUGGUGGUGGAGAAGGUGUGGCUAGUGGAGUUGGUGGUGGAAAAGGUGUGGCUAGUGGAGUUGGUGGUGGAAAAGGUGUGGCUAGUUGAGAAAAGUUUAAGUUGUGGGCUAGGUUUUUUUAUUUUGAUUUGGGCUUAGGGUUUGGGCCAUUGGGGUUUUGAUGUAAAUUGGGCUUUGGGUAGUAAGAUUUUGGGUUUUGGGUUUAAUUUUGGUGGGUUAGGUAAGGCUAAAUUGGGUUUUGAUGUAAAUGGGCUAAAAUUGGCCUACAACAUAUAUAUAUAUUUUAUUUACUUUAAAAUUCAUUGUGAUACUAUAAUUUCACAUAGUAAUUCUUUUUAUCUUCCUUUAAAUCUAUUUCAAACUCGUAUAUAUAUUGUUUAUGAUAAAUUUUAUGCAUGUAAUUUAUUUUAUAUUAAUAAUUUUCAAUUUCCUCCCUUGCAUGUUAUUCUUUUUUUUGUUUUCAUUUUUUAAGCUUGUUCGUGUUAAUUUACUUGAUAUUCCUUUUAAUUCUUUAGCUUUUAAUAUUAAUAUUUACCCAACAUAUAAUAUGAGAUUCUUACUAUUGUUAUAUUGUAUUGUUUAUUUAUAUUUAUUGAUUGUUUGACAUUCAUUAGUAUACGCUUUAUUUUAUGAAUCAUCAUCUCGCAUUGUAUAUUAUUAUUCAAUCGUUUUUAUUCGUUCAAAAGAUUACGUUUAAUAUCAUUUAAGUAUCGAAAUUGAUUUAUUCAAAAACUUUCAAGAUAGCGUAAUAUUCGGUAUUUGGGUUCUUUGAUAGAAUUGAGCCCUAACGUAUUGGGUUCCAAUUUUCCUUGUUGAAUCUAAAUAAUCGAGAAUAUUCUUCAAUCAAAAAUACAUAAAUAAAAAGCUCAUUCUCGGGAAUUCAAUACGUUGUGUCCUAACGCAUUGGAUAUGACACGUUGUUUUCUUGAGAUGAUGAUUUUUCUAAAUAAAAAUAAAGGCAAUAUUUGGUAUUUAGGAAUUUUGUGAAAUUGAACCCUAAUUUACUGGGUUUUGAUUUUUCAUUUGACCAAAUAAUCAGAUAUCCUUCUCAAAAUGCAUAGGUUUUAAAAAAAAUCAAAAGAUAAACUUAAUUUUGAAGAUAAAAAAUGUAGCGCCCUAACUUACUGGGUGUGACAUUUUAUUUCUUUAAAAUAAGAGUGUCUUAUUAUUUAAUUCAAUUUAUUCAAAGUUAAAAGGAUCGUAUUUUAAAACCUUUUCAAAUUUUUGACACUAAGACAUUAAACAAUCAAUUCGGUAACAAUUUUGGGCGUUACGAGGGUGCUAACCCUUCCUCGUGUGUAACUGACUCCCGAACCUGUUUUCUCAAAUUUUGCAGACCAAAAUCGUUUUUAAGGUGAGCCGAUCACACCCCAAUAAAUGAUCGGUAGCGACUCUCAUCUUUGUUUUUAAGUCGACUACUAAUUUUUGUUUUUAAAAAGUGGUUUCGACAUGUACAUUCAAUGUAGAGUCACAUACAGCCUGCGACAAAAAUAAUAAUUAUACACCGCUGUGUGGGGUGACCGAAAAUUCAUAUAUAGACUUAUUUCGAACGUUCUAAUUUUCCAUUCCGAAUGUUCUAAUUUUCCACCAAAAACAAAGUCGCUUUGGAAUUAAAAUUUUGGUCCUAAGGCCCGCUGGAUUUUUCACAACCACUAUCAUUAGACUAAAAUUAUCUCUCCACGUAUGAUCGGGUUUAAAAAAAUUUAUUAAAAUUAUUUAUUUAAUUUGUUAUUAUUGUUUAUAAUAGAAUAUAAAGUCUUAAAAUAUAAUGAUAUCAUCAUGGAGAAAAAUAUUUUAAUUUAAAAAUGUAUAAAUUUUAUAUAUUAUCUUUUAAAUAAUUUAAAUUAGGGAUAAAUCUCGAAAUCAUACAUGGAUUUGAUUUAAUGUGUAAUUGUAUACAUGAACUUUAAUUUGAUUUAAUAAUUUACAAGAAUUUGGUCAAAAAUAAAAUUUCAUGUAUAAAAUUCUACAAAAUCAAAGUUCAUAUAUAUAAUUGCACAUUAAACCAUAGUUCAUAUAUAGUUUUGAGAUUUAUCCUUUUAAAUUAUAAUGAUAAUUUUUAUAUAUUAAAAUUAAUAUAUUUAACCUUCCUUUAAAUGAAAGAAGCUACUUGUUGAGUUAUUAUAUUUAUUAUAUGUGAUUUAAUUUUAAAUUUUAUUUAUCAAUCUUCACAUAAUUAUUAGAUGCUUUGAGUAAUUUAAAAGAGAUAGACACGAACUGGAAUGAGGUGAAGGAAUUUAUGGCCAUAAAGAGUAAAGGUAUAUGUAUCAACUAAAAAAUAAAAAAUCAUUUAAAAAUAUAAAACUCUCACGGAAGGACAAUAUCUUUAGUUAUUGAAGGGAUCUGUUGAUUAUCAAAUGAAAGAUAUUUUAAAAACUUCUCUUAAAAAAGUCUGAUAAUCAACAAUGCUGAUAGACCAAUAAUUUGAAGCAGUCAAUGAACUUGUAGAAAGGGUAUAGCAAGAGGGAUGGAAGCUUGACGCCAAAAGUUAAGAGAUAUCUCCAUAAUGGUCACUUGUGUUGAGUGGUCUUGGGUGAUUGAAUUUUCUACAAAUGCCAUUAAAUUUCCCACAAGAAUUUUUCUACAAAUGCUUUUCAAUUUUGAAUCAAGUUGGUUUAUGAUUGGAAUUACUUGCUGUAAUAAGUUAGUUAUUUCAUUUUUUUUAUUUAAUACCAAAAUUAAAUAAAUUUUUAUUAUUAUUCUCAUUAAAAACCCAUUAAAGUUUCAGUUUUUCUAUUUAAUAUUGUAACUUUAAUUCUAUUGAAUGUUUAGGUUACUCUUUGUUUUUCAUUAAUACUUUUGGUUUUUUUUUACUAUAAAAAGCUAUUAUAUAUUAGAUAUUACUUAUUAAGAUAUCAACAUUGUUAGAGCAAAAAAAAAAUCUGUGUGAUGGUACAUAUGUUUUUUUUUUGGUGAAGUAAAAUAACAAGAUAAAAUCCGAACAAUUAACGCGACUCGAAUCCAGGUCACACUUGAGGUGUAAUUAGGUGAGAAAGACAUUUUAUAUAAUAAAAUACAUGUGAAAAAAAAUAUUGUUUCAUUAAUUAUUAAUAAAACAAAAAUAUGAUUCAUUUGCAUUUGGUAAAAUUAAAUUAAACAAUAAAAUGUUUUUUUUUUAAUUCUCGUAGAAGUAUAUUUCAUUGAAUAAUUCAAUUGCUUUUAUUGAAAUUAUCGUGGUAUAUACGAAUGUUGCUUAGAAGUUUUUUUGUAACAAAUAUUUUUCAUUGUCAUAUAUUGCAUAUGAUAUAAAGGCAAUAUUUGAAUGGAGCAUUGGUUAGUUUUUCACGGUGAAUCCUCCACAAUAUUCCUUUGUUUGAAGUUGCGGAAAUAUAUAUGUCUCAUGUUUUUAUAAGAUGCAUGUAUUUAAGUUGCGGAAAUUGAAAAGUCUUGACCUGAGUAGCAAUGGAAUUGUAGGUGUUGUGAAUAACCAAGGUUUGUUGCUUUUCAUCUCUGCAAUGAUUAAUCUCUGAAAUUUAAUUUAAGUUUUUAUAAUUAAUUCGUUUAUUUUACUUUUCUAUAUUAGAACAGUAACUUUCUCUUGCAUGCAGUCUCUUUAUCAUCUGCUUUCAACAACUUAGAAAUCCUUGACUUAUCCCACAAUAACUUCGAUGCCAGUAUCUUAUCAAGUAAGCUUCAUCUCUCAAUUUCUAUCUAUGUCUAGUAACUAAUUGUAAGUUUAUGCAAAAAUAAUAUAAAAAUACCUACAUAAUUAACGGGAGAUUUGAAAUGCAUUUUACUAGUUUUUUUUUUUUAAAUAGUUAAAGUUGAUAUUUAUGUAUAUGGGAUAAACCCAAAUUUACGACCAACAAGAAAGAAUAGAGAAGAUUAGGCAUAUAAAUUUAUGUGGGAAAACUCUUUCAAUCAACAGGAUAAAAAAGGAGACUUCAAUAAUGAGCAAACAAACGAAGAGAAUAAGAUGGAGAUAUUCAAAAACAAACCCUAACCCUAAAAACAAAGUUCUUUGGCUAAAAUACAAAAUUCCCUCAAAGCUCUCUCGAAUUUUUCUCUUAAUCUUCUCUCAAUCUUGAUGUUAUGUGUAGAGCCCAAUUCUUGCCCGGGCCUUAACACAAAAAAUAAACAAAAUAAACCAAAAAAAAAAGUCCGUUACAGCAGUGGCCCAAACCCACAAAAUUAACCCUAGCCCGAAGCCCAGUAGAGAAGCAAACCCUAAUUUCCCUAAGGGCGCGCCACACGCUCUGUCAGGCUCCCUCGCGCACGCCACCGCCACCGUCGUCGCUUCCCAUCGCCACCUUCCCAUGCGCGUCAGAACACCUACAAGAAAACUGUAACACCCCUUAACCUCAAACCGUCGCUGAAACUGGGUUACGAGGCACUACCAGACAUAUCAAACAAUUUACAAUUAAUUCCUAGAUAAAUAACUAACAUAUUAAAAUAAAACAUAAAUUCUUAUAAAUUUUAACAGUUGACUUCAUUCAUUUUUUUUUAUAAAUUUCGGCAGCAUUUCUGCUUAUUUUUACAUAAAACCCCUGCAAAUUUCAAGAUUAUAACCUGACCAAUUCCAAUGUUUCAACCAACAUUUAUAUCCUCAAGCAUAAUUAAAAUCAUACUUAACAUUUUAACUACUAUCAUAUAGAUUGCAUAAAAAGAUUAAUCAAAUAACAUAUAUUACAUCUAGACUAAAUACUUUGUAACAUAAUACAUCAAAAUUAAGUCUUCCAUACAUGCCAUAAUUUUCGAGUGAUGAUUACAAAAUACCAAAAGUUGUGGAUAGUGUAGAUGAGUUCCCGACGAUUUCCCGAAUUCCAAGCUGAACUGGUAACACUAUAAAACUGGGAAAAACAAAGAGAAAUAAGCAUAUAGCUUAGUAAGUAGACAUAUGACAAAUAAACAAAUUUUUAACAUGAUUCCAUAGAAACAUAAUUUUAUUCACACAUAAAUUUCCUUGCUUGUUCAAUUUCCAGCAAGCUGUUUUUCUGUGUCACGGUCACUAAUUUAUUUUUAUCUGGAGCUGCUGGGCUCCAAAUUAAGUUCCGUAAAUUUUCCUUGAAACUAUACUUACAUACCUUUCUAUCAUAAAAUUUUUAGAAUUUUCGGUUUAGCCAAUUAGUACAUUUUAUUCUUUAAACUUUCCCUGUUUCACUGCUCAAUAGCUCUGACCUCUCUUUACUUAAAUUUACUUAACUCUUUGUACAGAAUUCAAACAAUGUUCUUGUUUGUUUCUCUUGAAAAUAGACUCAUUGAUAAAUUCAAGCAUGUAAAUUACAAGCCAUAAUUAUUUUUGUACAAUUUUUUGUAAUUUUCCAAAUUUGGAACAGGGGAUUUCGAAAUCAAUUCAACCCUGUCUCACUAAAAUUCAAAUAUUUCAAAAUAUAUAAAAUCUUUUGCUUGCUCUGUUUCUUUCAUGUGAAAAUAGAAUCAUUUAGCUUCAAUUUCAUAUAUUAUUCAUUCUCUAAUUAAACUUCCACCAUUUAUGGUGAAUUUUCAAAGUCGCUCAACUGCUGUUGUUCAAAACUGUUUUAUUUCAAAAUUUACUCUUUUGUAGUUUUGAUAUCUCAUACCAUCUUAUACAUGGGUCGAUUAAGUAUCAAACUCACUAUUCCUCACAUUAUCUUGUCCAUUUCAUAUAUACAUUCACUUUUCCAAUUUCCCUGUUGAACACUCGGAAUAUUAUCCGUUACUCGGUGGAUUAAGCACUUAGCAACCACCUUAAAUUCAGUGAUACGUGGAAUCAGCACAUAGCAACCCCUUUCACAGUCAAGGAUACGGUGGAAUCAGCACUUAGCAACCACCUCUAUAUUCAGUGAUACGGGGAAUCAGCAUAUAGUAACCCCUUUCACAAUCAAAGAUACGGUGGAAUCAGCACUUAGCAACCACCUCUAUAUUCAGUGAUACGGGGAAUCAGCACAUAGCAACCCCUUUCACAAUCAAAGAUACGGUAGAAUCAGCACUUAGCAACCACCUUUGAAGUCAAUAAUUCAGGGAAUCAACACUUAGCAACCCCUUGGGAAAUCUGCACUUAGCGACCCCUUUUUAUUCAAUGUUUUCCGAUCUAUUCCGAGUGUUCAAUCGGAAACCUUGUUUUUCAACACUUUAUCACCUUUCUCAAACUUAACCACAUUUUUCUGAUCUACAUCAAAUAUUUAUUCUAUAUUCAAUCAAAUCUCAACAAUAUAUUGAAUAACAUUAAAAUAACGCAUUAAUUCACAUGCAUACUUACCUUGGUGUAAAAUAUUGUAAUUUUGCAAUUUACUUCACGAUCUUUUCUUUUCCCUGAUUGAGGUUGUCUUUUCGUCUUUCUUGAUCUAUAAUAGAAAUUUUAGUUUAUUUAAUAUUCACAUUUAUUACAACAGUCCUCGACUCAACUUUUUGCAAAAUUAUGAUUUUGUCCCUAAACUUAUCAUAUUUACAUUUUUCCCAAAGCUCGAAAAUUAAAUUUCACUCCUUAUUCUUAUGUUUUACAACAUGCUGAACACUUUUUCCUUCUAUGGAAACAUCAAAUUCUCACUCUAACACGUACUUAUGAACAUUAAAUAUUUUUACCGAUUAUGACAAUUUACCCGUUUUCACUUAAAAUCGCUUAGCAAAAGUUGUUUAACAUAAUUUCUAGCUUCAUAUUCUACCAUAAAACAGAAAAAUAAACACAUUUCACCUAUGGGUAUUUUUCCAAAUAUAAACCCUAGGUUAAAAUAACAGUAGAAAUAGGUAAACCGAGCUACGAGAAUCUUAAAAAUGCGAAGAACAUUAAAAACGGGCUAGGAUGCACUUACUAUGAGCUUGAGAAAGUGAAGAAACCCUAGCUAUGGCUUCCUUCAAAUUUCGGCAGCAACUAAUGAGGAUGAACACCAUUUUUUCAUCUUUUUCCCAUUUUAAUUCUAUUUAUUUACUAAAUGACUAAAAUGCCCUUACUUAAAAAAAUCUAUUUCACCCAUUUCUUAUGUCUAUUUUUUUCCAUCAAUUAGCUAAUGGUCUAAUUACCACAUAAGGACCCCCAAUUUAUAAUUUCAUAACCAAUUAACACCUUUAACACAUAAAAUUCAACUUUUGUAUUAUUUACAAUUUAGUCCUUUUGACCAAACUGAGUGCCCAAACGUCAAAAUUUUUGAAUGAAAUUUUUACGAAAUCUUUCCGUGAAAUUGUAGACCAUAAAAAUAUAAUAACAAUAAUACUUUCCCUCGUCGAAUUUGUGGUCCCGAAACCACUGUUCCAACUAGGCCCAAAAUCGGGCUGUUACAAAAACAACAAAACAGAAACGACAAACGUACAAUCCAAAGCACAAAAAGACAAAAGAAGAGAGAUGUAGUUUUUUUCCGGUUAUAAAAGGCCGAAUGGGGCGAUUGUAUUUCUUCUUCUGUCAUUUUUGUUACAGAUUAGAAAUAAAAAGGAAAACAAAGGUUGCCUUCUGGUUUCUCUGAUUUAUUCAUUUAUUUCUUUUAUUUAUUUUUAAUGAAUCAGUUUUUUUAAAAAAGAAAAAGAACUCUUAAAAAGUAAAAAAUGAAGAGGAAUACCUGGGGUUGCCUGCGAAAUCCAUCGUCGGAGCCAUUUCGUUUGCCGAAAUCGGACGAAAAGGGGGGCAUGGGGGCCUUUCCUUCUCUCGGUCUUAAGGCCCAAAAGGCUAAGCCUUUGGGCGUUUGAAAAAUGGGCCAAAAAUGCGAUCUCCGUGUCGCUCCGACCACCGCUUACGGUAGGGUCACGGCGGCACAAGCGACGGCCCUAUUGGCCGGAUUUGAGGGCUGCGUGGGAGAGAAUGUUUGAGCUUUCUAUUUUUUUUAAAUAAGGGUCAAACUAUUUUUUUUUAUUUUUAACAUUUAUAUUGGGAAUAAAACGACGCCGUUUUGGGUUUAGGCAACAAUGGCCAAAACGACGUCGUUUCACGCUUGACCCGAAUACUCAACCCGUUUAGCAGAGGAUCCGCGCGUUUUCAAGGCCGAAUGGGCUAUUUGCGCUAUGGGUCCCUCCGCUUUGAUGCUUGGCUUCAAUUCGGUUAUUUUGUCCCUUUUUAGCAUUUUUAAUCUGACCCCGUAGAUUUUGUACCAGUUUUGAUUUGGUCUAACGCGAAACGACGCACUUUAAGGGUUAGGGAUUAAUUUCCCAAUUGGCCCCUGCAUCUUUGUGCUUGCUCCAAUCGACUCCAAAUUAUUUUUUUAUAUUUCAAAUCUAACCCACUGAUUUUAUUUAAAUUCCAAUUCAAUCCUUAGUCAAUAAAAAUUCAAAUUUCACCCUUUUUUAAUAAAAAACGAAAAUGGUCAUUAAAUAUUUUAUUUAACAUCCGUUUAAUUAUUUAUUUUUAAUUGCUAACCAAACUUAUAUAUCUUUCAUUUCAUUUAUUAUUCAUUUUUAUGUGUAUUGAUUUGUAUGUAUUAUUUGUGCCUUUAUUUUCACUAUUUAUUUAUUCGUUAUUUUCAAAUAUUUUCAAAAUUUAGAUUCAUUAGUAUUAUGUUUAUUGUGAUUGUAUUAUUGUUAUUGUUACAUUAUUACUUGCAUUAUUAUUAUUCAUGUAUAUUAGCAUUAAGAUUUAUUAGUAUUAAUGUUAUAUGUGUAUUUUAUGAUGUAUAUUAUGUCAUAAUUAUUUCGAAUGUAUGUUGUAUUAUCGUUAUUAGUCGUGCACGACCCUUUUUCUGUUUUAAACAAUUUCUCCUUCAACACAAUCAAAAUUACACGAAUAUUAUCUUUAUAUAUUUUAUUAGUUCUUACUCAAAUUCAAAAAAAGGAAAAUUUUUAUAAAUAAGGCAAUAUUUUACGUUUGGAAAUUCGAGAAAACGUACUCUAACGUGCUAGGUUUCGAUUUCUCGUUUGACCAAAUAGCCAAGUAUCCUCUUAAAAUUUCAAAGUAUGGGUUUUGGAAACCAUAAGGUAAUUUUGGUUUCUAGGGUUUAAAGUAUCGUAUCCUAACGUGCUAGAUGUGAUAUUCUUUCGGAACAAGAGAAUCUUAAAUUCCAACCCAUAUUAUUUGAAAUUUUUUUUAGGAUUGUAAUUUUUAAAACUCUUCAAAGUUUUCAAUAUUCGACAUUAAGACACUAAUUAAUCAAUUAGGUAUCAAUUUUGGGCGUUACGAGGGUGCUAAUCCUUCCUUGUACAUAACCGACUCCCGAACCUGUUUUUCUGAAUUUCGUAGACCAAAAGCAUUGUUUUAAUAAAUCCAAACCAUUUAUUAAAAACAAUCGUUUUAUGAGGUGACCUGAUCACACCUCAUUAAAAAAGAUUGGUGGCGACUCCAAUGUUCGUUUUUACUUUCAAAUACCAAGUCGACCCCCUUUUAUAAAAAAAUGGUUUCGACAUUAUGAAUAUAUUUAUUCUAGGGUUACUAGUGCCCUUUUUAUAGGCUAAGAUUAGAGUUCUAAUAUUACUAAAAUAUCUAUAGAAUAAUCACAGUUUAACUAGGAAAAGUAACCCUCUUGAAAGUCUAAUAACACAGCUACUCUAAGUUAGAAUUUGUCGCGUUAUCACGACGUACCAAGCUCCCCGUUGUGACAUCGCCUCAGCUUUGCUCUUUUUCAAACAUUGUCGUGUCGUUGCGACAUCGCAUGAUUCCUCGUCGCAAUAUCACCCUUACUUUGACUCUGAUCCGACCCGAAAAUGUGAGACACAUUCCACAAUAUCUAAAUAUAUAUUGAAUUUAAAAAUAAUUGUACAAAGGAUAUGUAAUCCUUGAAGAUUAGAUACAAGUAAUUACCAUUUUAUAUUAAAAGUUAGAAAUAUAAAUUAAAUAUUCUAAACUUUUUUUUAUGUGAAUAAGUCAUGUGUUGAUAUAUUUUAUUGCUCUUGAAUAGAAUUGAAGAGUUUGAAAAACUUGAAGACGUUAGAUUUAAGCUUCAAUGGAAUCAGAAGCCUCCGGCACUUUCAAGGUAUAUCUAACUUUGAUAUUUUAUAUACAAUCAACUAAGUCCUAUAAAAAUAUAUUUAUGAACAAGUUAAAAUGAAUGCUUGAAACAAAUAAUUAUUAUUUGAUAUUAUACAAACAAAUUCUCCUUGAAAUUGUAUUACAUAAGUAUUUUACAGAUGAGAAAUUGCAACCCAUGAUGAGUUUGGAAGUGCUUGAUUUGGAUGGUAAUUUCUUGAAGAACAAUGAUUAUCAAGUUUAAAGUCUUUGAUUAUUAGCCAUAACGAAUUGGAAAUUUUCAUAAAAUAAAAAUAACAAGCUAUAUGUAAAUUACAAUUUCAUCAACCUUUUUUAACUGUUAAAAGAAUUAUAUCCAAAUAUAUUCGUUCUUUUGGUAUUUAGCUUUUUAGGUUGUAAACUAAAGUCAUAAUGAUUUUUUGUCCUCCAAUUUUAAAAACAAAAAAUCAUUUUACCUCUCAAUUUAAUUUUUCAUCUCUUCUAGUCAUUAAACUUCAAUUUUUUUUUGUCAAAUCACCCCAAAAUGAAAAGAAAAGUUAAUAUUUGUUAAUUUUGCUAAUGUGACAUAUAUGUGAAUUGUCAUAUAGAUGACAUAUCAACAUUUAAUUAAUUUUUAAAAUUUAAGUAUUUUUUAAAUAUUUUUUAUUUUUUGAAAUUUAUUUAAAAAAUUAAAUAUUGAUGGAUCAUCCACGUGACAAUCCACAUGUAUGCAAUAUCAACAAAAUUAAAAAAAAUUGUUAAAUUUUCUAUUCAUUUUAGGAUGACUUGAUGAACAUAAGUUUAAGAGAUUAAAAAUCAAAAAAUUAAAUGAAAACCUUUUUUAAGUUAAAAAGAGUUAAAUAAAUUAUUAAUAACUAAAAUAAAAUGUUUUUAAUAAUUUUUUUAUGGAGAAAAGUAGUUGAAUUGCAUGAACCAAAAUUACUGAUUUUUUGUGAUAUAACUUUGUUUGACUGACAAAAAGGGUAUUUGAUUUAUUUGAAUAGCAUUCAAUAAUCUCACAAAAUUGAAGAAGUUGGAUAUGAGUCGCAAUUAUGUUGAGAGACUUGGUAAGUGUCCAUAUAUUUUACUUUAUCAAAUUGCUACAUUUAUUAUACUAAUAUCUAAAUGCUUUGUAGAUGAGGAAAGGUAUAAUUUGACGAAUUUAGAAGUGCUUAAUUUGAAUUACAACUCUUUCGGAAAAAGCUCAUUGGCACAGCUUAGUGGGUUUUCCAAUCUAAAGGAAUUGAGUAUGCAACAAAACCAGGUGCAAUUAUUUAAUAUAUUUAAUUUUCCUUUAAACAAAAUUAACUAUUUAUUAAGUUAUAUUUAUUCUCUAUGAUUUACUUUUAAAUUUUAUUUGUCGACUUUUAGAGAUUGAACAAUUUAGAGAAGCUAAACAUUAGAUAUCUAAUGAACUGAUGUCAACCACUAAUUUGACUCUCAAAAAUGGAAGUUUAGAAAAGCAUUUUAGUAGUUCUUUUAAGAAAAAAAUUAUGUCUAAAUAUAUAAUGAGUUUAAAAAUAAUUGUAUUAAAAUCUGUAAUCGUUGAGGAUUAGAUACAAGUAAUUGCGACUUUAAUAUUAAAAGUUGGAAAUAUGUUGUUAUUUUAAAAUUAAAUGUCCUAUAUUAAUUAUUUUUAUAUGAAUAAGCCUUGUGUUGAUAUUUGAUAUAUUUCAUUGCUCUUGAAUAGAAUUGAAGAGUUUGACAAAGUUGAAGACGUUAGAUUUAAGUGGCAAUAGAAUUGAAAGCCUCAAGCACUUUCAAGGUAUACUUAAAUUUGAUUUUCUUUAUACAAUCAACUAAGUCUUUAAGGCGUUGACCUUAUAUAUUUAUAAACAAGUCAAAGAUGCAACUUUGAGAUAAAUAAUUAUUCAUUGAUAUUAUACAAAUAAUUUUUUUCUCGAAAUUGUAUCACAUAAAUCUUUUACAUUUAUUAAAAGAGAGAACCGAAACAAACUACUUGUUCAGUUAUUAUAUUUAUUUUAUGUGAUUUAAUUAUAAAUUUUAUUUUUCGAUAUUCACAUAAUUAUCAUAUGCUUUGAGUAAAUUAGAGUCAUUGAGAAAAAUAUUUUAAAUUUAAAAAAAAUGUAUAAAAUUUAUAUUUUAUCUCUUAAAUAAUUUAAAUAAUAAUAAUUUUUAUAGAUUAAAAUUAAUAUACUAUCUCUUUUGAAAUAAUAUAAAAAUUAUAUUAAUAUAUAAAAAAUAAAUUAUAAAUUGAAAACUUAUCUCUUAAAUAUAUAAAGUAAAAUAUAUGUACCAAAAUAAUAGGAUUUCAAUUUUAAUUUUUUUUCUAUGUGUUAUCAAUUCUUUAAAACAUUUGACUAUUAAGUUCAAAAAAUUUUAUUUUAAUUAAUACUUGUGCAUUUCACGGAAAAAAAACUAGUUAAUAUAUAUAACCAGCUUUGUAGAUGUGGAAUUACUUAUUUUACAUUCUAUAAAUAUAGCAGCACCUAUAUAAAGUAUACAGUACGCCUUUUAUUAAAUUAGUUCUUUAUAAUAAUUUGUUGUCUUAAAUUUUAGCCUAAUAAAUUCUAUUUCUAAGUGAAAUAAAAUUAAUAAAUUUUAAUUAAGAUAUUAUUUCAAUAAAAUAUUUAAAUUUCAUAUAAAAUAUAUUAAUUAUAUUUUAUUAAAUAAAAAUAGUUUUUAAUAAAUGAAGUUACAUUAGUAAAUUUUAUUAAAGAUACAAUUUAAAUCUCAUUAAUUAAUUUUUAUUAAUAUAUUUUAGUUUUUUUAAUUUAAAAAUUAAAAUAUGAUCUAAAUAUUAAAUGUUGUUAUAAGUGUAUAAUAAUUACUUAUCUAUAACAUCCAAUAGUGGCAAUAUAAAAGUUGAAUAUAAGUGAAUUUUUGUGACUAACAAAAAAUGUAUUGAAUUUAUUUGGAUAGUAUUGAAUAAUUUGACAAAGCUAAAGCAGUUGGAUUUGAGUGGCAAUAAAAUUGAGAGCCUCCAAUCUUCUCAUGGUAUGUGUUGAGAUGUUUUACUUUAUCAUAUUCUUACAUAUACAUACCACUAUCUUAUUUAAUAUUCCAUUAGUAAUAAAUUUGUUUAUCUCAAUGCUUUGUAGAUGGUGAGAGGCCACUUAAUUUAACCAAUUUAGAAGAGCUUAAUUUGGAUUUCAACUCCUUCACAAACAGCUUAUUGGCACAACUUAGUGGGUUUUCCAAUCUAAAGUCACUGAAUAUAAGGAAUAACCAGCUUAAAGGAUCAAUAAAUAUUAAAGGUGGAAUUACUUAAUAUAUUUAAUCUUCCUUUAAAUGAAAUAAACUACUUGUUGAGUUAUUGCAUUUAUUCUAUGUGAUUUAAUUUUAAAUUUUGUUUGUCAAUUUUUACAGAAUUAUUAGAUGCUUUAAGCAACUUAGAGGAGCUAGACAUGAGCGAGAAUGAGGUGAAGGAAAUUGUGCCCAUAAAGAAUAAAGGUUUAUGUAUCAACUAAAGGAAAUCUUACUAAUUGUUUUCCAUUAGAUAUCUAGUGAACUGAUGCCAACCACUAAUUUGACUCUUAGACAAUGGAAGUUUGAGAAAGCUAAAGGUUGCUUCAUUAAACCGUGUGUUCACCGAUGGAACUGCUUCUCUAAUACAGCUUCUAGAGACAUUCUCAUCUGUUAAUACAUUAUAUUUGAGUGGCAAUUACUUCAAAGACACAUUUUCUACUCAAGUUAUAAUAUAUAUGUAUGUGAAUAUAUAGUUUUAUAGUUUGGUCCCAUUUAAAAAUAUUAUUUACUUAACGUAAAUCAUCUAAAUAACGCUUAUAAAUUUGUAAAGAUCAACUGCAUGUAUCGAGCAAAAUAGAGGAAUUGGUGCUGGAUUAUUCAUCUCUCAGCAACAACAUUCUUCAAAGCUUUGGUGGACUGGCUUCUCUCAAAGCCUUGUAUUUAGGUUCCUGUGGGUUGUCUGGGACAUUACAUACCCAAGGUAUAUUAAUAAUUAUGACAUAAUUAUUUAGGCAGUCUCUUGAUUAAUUAUUUUUUUAUCCUCUUAGAAAAUUGGAGUAACUUGCACAAAUUUAUUUUAUAGGAUGGUGUGAUUUACGGAAGCUUGAGACGUUGGAUCUUAGUGAAAAUUCUCUUGGGGGAGCACUCCCUUCAUGUUUGGAAAACUUGUCAUCUCUUCGUUAUUUGGAUAUUUCCGGUAAUCAAUUCAUCGGAAAAGGUGCCUCCACCGCUCUAGCCAAUCUCACAUCGCUUAGAUUCAUGUUUCUUUCACGAAAUCUAUUCGAAGUUCCAUCAAUUUUCAUGUCAUUUGCCAACCACUUACACCUCAAAGUCCUCUUUAGCGAUCAAAACAAGUUAGUCAGAGAGCCUACCAUUCAAACAUGGGUCCCAAAGUUCCAACUAAAAGCCUUCCUUUUCUCGAAUUGCACAACAAAGGAACUCCACAUUGAAAUUCCAAAAUUCCUCUACUACCAAAAUGAUCUGAGUAUGGUUGAUCUUUCAUACAAUAAUUUUUUAGGGAAGUUUCCUUUUUGGUUGUUAGAGAACAAUACAAGAAUGGGAGCAUUUUUAAUGAAGGGUAACUCUUUUAUGGGCCAUCUCAAUCUUCCAUCUCAUCCGAAACCAAAAAUGUCCCUUGUUGAUAUAUCUGACAACAAACUAGAAGGUCCAAUUCUAGCAAGCAUUUGUUCAAUCUUUCCACAACUAAAUGGGUUAAACCUAUCAGACAAUUUCUUUCAAGGAAAUAUUCCUCCUUGUUUAGGUAGUUUGAACACUACAUAUUUAAUAUUAGAUCUGUCACAUAAUCAUCUAUCUGGCGGAAUACCAGAAAUGUUAGCUCAAAGUGACUCGUUGGAGCUUCUUAGGUUAUCAAAUAAUGAUCUAAGUGGGAAGAUAGCCCCAACGAUCUUUUGCUCAUCUUCAUUACAAUUUUUAUAUUUAGAUGGCAAUAAGUUUGAUGGAAAUAUACCUGACAUUGAUAUCUCAACUUGUCAUCCGUAUCCUCUUAGUGAUAUGGAUUUAAGUAACAACAAUUUGUCUGGAGAGCUCCCAAGAUGGAUAUGGAAUAUGUCAUCUUUAAAUGCAUUAUUAGUAUCCAACAAUCAGCUCAAGGGUCUUAUUCCGAAGGAAUUGUGCCAUUAUUCCCUUCAAAUUUUGGACCUUUCAAAAAACAAUUUUUUUGGCCCAAUACCAUCUUGCUUCAAUGUACACAGUAUCAAACAUCUCCAUUUGAGCAAAAAUAGGUUAAGUGGUACCUUGACAAAUGCAUUCUUUAAUAGCUCUUCCUUGGUGACUUUAGAUCUUAGUGAAAACCAGUUGACUGGUGAAAUUCCAUACUGGAUUGGAAAUCUUUCAACUUUGAGUGUUCUCCUUCUAAAAGCCAAUUAUUUUAUUGGAGAAAUUCCCAUUAAGAUAUGUAAAUUGUAUUCAUUAAGCAUCAUUGAUCUUUCUCAAAACAAGUUUUCUGGUCUGAUACCUUCGUGUUUGAGUCGUUUAACUCUUGAGCCAAAUGAUAAAAAUCUUCGACAAUAACCUAUGGGUUGGAUUUUGAUGGAAUCUUGGAGGGAGCUAAUUAUAUUGGAAUGACCAGAUUGGAUUUGUCCGAUUUUGGAUUCAAUCUACAUUUCUUUAUUGAGAAUCUAGAAGAAAAGGUGGAUUAUACAACAAAGGGAGCAUCUCGCACAUACAAAGGAAACAUUCUUGAGUACAUGUCUGGAAUUGAUUUAUCAUGUAAUAGAUUAACAGGUGAAAUUCCCAGAGAGAUUGGAAAUUUGAGUGAAAUCCGAUCACUAAACUUGUCGCACAACAAUUUGACUGGAUAUAUACCGUCAACGUUCUCAAAGCUCAAGCAAAUUGAGAGUUUGGACCUGUCUCACAACAACUUAAUUGGAAGAAUACCUGUUCAAUUGACGGAGUUGUACGCCUUAGCAAUCUUCAAUGUGUCAUACAACAACUUGUCAGGGAGUAUUCCGUCUCCGAAAUUUCAAUUUGGAACCUUCGACGAAAGCAGUUACGUGGCGAAUCCUUUCCUCUGCGGGUCUCCCCUGCAUAAAAAUUGUAGCAACCUUGAUUCACUCCCGACAGCAGCACCAAAGAGCUCAAACGAGGAAGAAGAAAGUGGUUUGAUGGACAAGUAUGUUUUCUGGGUGACCUUUUUUGUUUCUUACGUAAUUGUGUUACUGGUUAUUGUUCUCAUCCUGUACAUAAAUCCUUAUUGGCGACAAGCAUGGUUCUCUUUUGUUGAACACUGCAUCAAGACCUGCCAGUAUUUUAUUGAGGACAAUCUUCUAUGAUUUUCCAUCUUCAAAAGAAGCGGGUAGCCUUGUGCUUUGGUGGUUUACAUCUGUAUGUAAAUUUUUUCAUGUGUUUCUAUUUUUCAAAGUUUGAUUGGGUUAUCUGCUUUUAAGUUUUUAGAGGUAGAAUACAAUAGCUCUGUGAUGUAAUAAUUGCCAGUUUAGUAUAAGAAAACAAUAUAUAAAACUAUGCAUUUUCAGUUAAAACAUUUAAUAUUGCUUUAUAAAUUUUAGUGUUGUGAUAGUAUAAUGUUAAAUUCAAUAUAUGUUUCCUUUUCCAUGAUUACGUAAAAGCGAAAUAUACAAAUCAUAUUAUAUUAAUAUAAUCCACAUUCUUUAAAUCAUAUGCUCAAUUGAAACUUAUAUAUAUAUAUUAUCAAACAUGAAUGAUAUAAACAGUCUUCGAAAAAAGUAUGAUUUUCAUGUUUAGUUAUUAUUAUUUAAUAUUUAAUUGUUUUACUAUUAUUUGAUAUCAAUAAUAUUUAUAUGUUUGUGAAUGUUGUUUGUUAUUGUCUCGUGAAAUAUUAUGUUAAAGAUAAAAGAAGUACUAAGUAAUAGUUCUUUUUAGGUGAAAUUUUGACUCAAGUUUGAAUGGUGAGUUAUUUUAUCUAAUUACUUACGUUUGGAUAGCAUAAAGUAAUUAAAUGGCACUUUUGUAAUUACAAAGAUUGUACUUGAUAGAUGAAAGAACUAGGUAAAGGAAGAAAAUAACUAUCCAAACAGAAAGAAGCAGAGAGUGAAAUAAUAGAAUAAACUUCUUGUUGUUUAUUCAAAUUUGCCUACCUCUUAAUUCUUAAUGUACAGUAUAUAAAGACUUUCUGAAUUAAGUAACAACCUCACUAACUGACUAACUACUUCUAUUCUCUAAUAUUCAUCCAUAUUCUCUAUAGGCAAGACCCGUAGAAAACUCCAAAAACGAGUAAAACUCGAUGACGAAAUUGGCUUAGUGAGAACAUCAGCGACCUGAUCACACGCUGGAACUUCUCCAACAGCAACCGUGCCAUCAGCAACCUUUUCACGAACAAAAAAUAAAUCUAACUCAACAUGCUUAAACUUUGAAUGAAGAACAGGAUUUGCAGCAACUGCAACCGCCCCAGGACUGUCACACCAAAUUUGAGGAACACUAUUAGACUGAACAUGUAAUUCUUUAAGUAGCAACAAAAGCCACGUAACCUCACUAGUAACUGCAGCAAGACUUCGGUAUUCUGCCUCAGCAGUAGACCGAGCAACAACCUGUUGUUUCUUCGUACACCAUGACACAGGUGUAUGUCCGAAAUAAACACAGUAUCCAGUAGUAGACCUCCGGUCAUCAAAAUCUAAUCCCCAGUUGCAUCAGCAUAUCCAACUAAGGACAAACUAGUGGAUGGACGAAACACAAUUCCAAAAUCAAUCGUACCACCUAAAUACCUCAAAAUGCGCUUCAGGGCAGUCAUAUGAAUGGAAGUAGGACAAUGCAUAAAUUGACAUAUUCGAUUAACAGCAUAGGCAACAUCAGGCCGCGUAAGAGUGACAUACUGUAAUGCUCCUGCAAGACUCCUGUAUUCAGUCGGAUCCUGUAGCCGCUCACCACCAUCGCGAGUCAUAACAGAGGAACUAACCAUCGGUGUAUGAACACUCUUCGUAUUCUCCAUCGAACAACGUAUAAGAAUAUCACGUAUAUACUUCUUCUGACAAAGAUGAAGGCAACCUGACGAAGAACGAUUAACCUCUAUCCCAAGAAAAUAAUGAAGAUCACCCAUGUCCUUAAGCGAGAACUCACUAUUCAGCAAAUUAACAAACCACUCUAUGACAGAAGGCAUAUCUCCAGUAAUAAUAAUAUUAUCAACGUACACAAGCACAUAUAAUGUUGACGCUGGUACAACUCGAACAAACAAGGAAGCAUCAGACUUUGAAACUACAAACCCCACGGAGACUAGAAAUCCUUUUAGCCUUUCAAACCAGGCACGAGGAGCCUGACGAAGACCAUACAACGCUUUCUUCAAGCGACACACCAAAGGUCUGCCAUCUGAGCCAUAUUGAACAUAACCGGGAGGUUGAUGCAUAAAAACUUCAGUGUCAAGGUCACCAUUUAGAAACGCAUUAUUCACAUCCACUUGUCGAAGCGACCACCCCCUAGACACAGCAAUAGACAAAAUAACUCUGAUAGUAGCCGGUUUGACCACUGGACUAAACAUUUCCUUAAAAUCACAACCCGGAACUUGAGAGCAACCUUUUGUAACUAAUCGAGCCUUAUAUCGAGCAAUAGUGCCAUCAGAAUUCUUCUUGAUUCGGAACAACCAUUUGCACCCAAUGACCUUACGAUUAUAUGGAGCAGGAACGAGCUCCCAUGUGGAAUUACGCAUAAGAGCAUUAUACUCAUCUUGCGUAGCAGUGCGCCACUCAACAGUAGCCAGAGCUUCUUCAAUUGUAGUCGGUUCAACAGCUUCAACACUUAAAACCUUAGGCUUGUAAACCCCUGCUUUAGCGUGAGUAACCAUUGGGUGAGUAUUGCCCACAGCUGUCCUAUUAAUCUGACUAGACAGUCCCAUAUUAGACGAAGAGAGAGCAUUGGUAUCACUGGAGAAUCCUGAGCCAUGCUCUGAUGGAAGAUCACUCAACUCAGUUCCAUCAUUAGCUGAAUAAUCAUGAGCUGGAAGACUACCCAACCCAGUCCUAACAUCAGUUGAAGGAUCAUGAAACUGGGGCUGCUCCACACUAACAUCUAAUACAGGAUCAGUAGGCUGAGACGACACCCCUUGUACCGACGGUGUCAUCAUGCAUGGCUCAAGAGUCGAGGAUGAAGGUGGCCACACAAGAGGAACAACUGUCGAACUAGUCUGACCGGUUGUUGAUACAGACUUGUCUGAACUAGUCUCGGUAAACAAAAACCUCUGCUCAUCAAAGACCACAUGCCUUGAAAUUAUAACCUUACCAUCUGGUAAAAGACAUUGAUACCCCUUGUGACGAGGACUGUAGCCCAAAAAAGUUGACGGCUGAGACCGAAAUUCCAACUUACGACCUACAAACGGACGUAAGUAAGGAUAACAACAGCAACCAAACACUCGAAGAUGAUCAUAGGUCGGAUCACUUCCAUACAGUUCUUUAAACGGAGAACUAUCCUGAAGUACAACCGUGGGAAGUCGAUUUAUGAGAUGAACCGCACAACAAAACGCAUACCCCCAGUAUUCCAUAGGCAAAUUUGCAUGAGCCAACAACGUAAUCCCCAUUUCAACAAUGUGACGAUGUUUUCGCUCGGCUACUCCAUUUUGUUCUGAAGUAUACGGACAGGUCAGUCGAUGAAUGAUCCCCUGAGAUUCUAAGACAGACGUAAACCCACGAUAUUCACCUCCCCAAUCGCUCUGAAACUGCUUAAUAGACUUGCCAAACUGUGUCUUAAUCAACUGUUGAAACUGAGUAAAACAUUCAAGUGCUUGAGCUUUUUGACGUAAAAGAUAAACCCAAGUAAACCUGGUACACAUAUCAAUAAACGAAACAUAAUAUCUCUUAUCACCACAUGCAACAGGUGCAGGACCCCAAAGAUCAGACACAACCAAUUCAAAAGGACGAUAGCUAGUAGUCGAAUGGGAGAAAGGCAACUUAUGUGACCUGCCUUUUUGACACGCAGUACAUAUACCAUCCAGACCAAUUUUAUUUGAAACAACAUUACAUUUAUUUAGAAUAUUUUUGACCACAGAAGUCGACGGGUGGCCUAAACGAUUAUGCCAUAAAGUAAAUACAGAAGUAGUUGAAACUGUAUGUGGAACUUGAGAAUGAGCAACAAACGGAGUAGUCGUAGGCAACGUAGAAACCGCUGGGACAGAAAACUGAUAUAGACCAUCAUGAAUGCGGCCCGUCAGCAAUAUCUCCUGAGUCAUCGUAUCCUUAAUAACACAAUAGGUAGGGUGAAACUCAAAAAACACAUCAUUAUCACGAGCAAACUAUGAGACAGAUAAGAGAUUUUUCCGUAUACGUGGCACACAUAAAACAUUUGAUAACCGUAACGAUUUAUCUUGAGUAGGUAAAAUGGCCGUACCAAUUGAUGAAAUUAUCGUAGGAGUACCAUCACCCAUUAAAAGAGAUGACUUACCUGAGUAUGGCGUGACAUUACGUAAAGCUGACAUAUCACGACAGACAUGAUGACUCGCUCCCGAGUCAGGAUACCAAGACGUGGUGCCACUGCACACUGGAAUGUACGAAUCAUCAUUACCAGUACUAGAUGCAAGCUGAGCCGUAUUAACAUGAGAAUCUGAUACUGAAGGAUCAGAAUAAUUAGACGCAUGUAAAUCCCCUAGCCGUGGAAGCCCAAUACAUGGAUUAGAUUCGGUAUAGACCCGAGCACGCGGUUUAGUAAAUUUCAGAACCGGACCACCAACACCUAGUCCAUCACCAAUCGGUUCAGGCGAGCCGGGAUCAUCUUGAUCAAGUUGAACAAAAUUAGAGGAUGGUACAAUAUUCGGCCCAGCAUUAAACUGAACAUUCAGUCCAUGAGAAGAGUGUUGAACAUUCGGUCCAUCAUUAAACUGGACAUUUUGUCCAUGGGAUUUGUUUCCACUAGAACCGCGCCACUGUCCAUUUCCAGUAGUGAACCCGUGUAAAGUGUCUCCACUAUACCCUUGCCCAGCAUCAUGACCGAAUUUAGACAAGCUGGGCUUGUAGGCAUCAUUUUGUGCAUUGGACACAUGUGGCCCACGUGGUAAUGGCCUAUUUUGCAUGCCAGCACACACAUUUUGACUAACAUAUCUAUUUUGACCAGCAUGACUCCCUUGACCAUAAAAAAUUCUUUGACUAUUCUGAUGAGGAGCAACCAUCUGUUCAUCACCAUUUUGCACAAAAGUUCCAGAAUCACAACCUUCAACACCAGACAUUUCAUUUGAGUCUCGGUGAUACCGAUAAUAGCACUUUUGAGCCACAUGACCAAACCGACUACAGAUCUGGCAUUGAACACAAGAUCUGAUAAACCGGCCACGACCACGAACAGACGCACGACCUCCACGACCGGCCCCUUCUACCGAUGGCUCAUUUUCAACAAGAUUCGCGUUCAAACUGACCUCCUGCAACACUCGAUCUUGACGACUCUCACAAUCGACUAGCGCAUCCACCAGACGUUGCAACGGUAGAACUACAGGCGACAAACGAGUAGAGGAGAUAACCGCCUCAAACUCCGACGGCAAACCCGCAAGCACCACUUCGAUCUUUUCUUCAUCGGAGAUACGAGAGCCAGAAGCAUCUAGCAUACCACAUAAAUCUUUAAUCCGAGCAACAUAAGCCUUAAUCGAAAGAUUACCUUUCUUCAACGAGUGAAGUUCAUGCCGAAUCCUCGACUGCUUGGCGCCCGUAUCAACUGCAAAAAGAUUACCGACCAUGCUCCAUAUGUCGCACGCCGUGCAAGCAUCAUCAAAGGAGGAUUGAUGAGAGGAAGUUACAGUAGACAGAAGCCAGGACAUUAGCAGUUGAUCUUGCUGCGUAAAGACUUGAGCCGCCGGAUUUGGAGCACGAGAUCCACCGGGUAGAGCGAUGAAUCGCAACGGCGGAGCAACAGUGCCAUCUAAAAAACCUGCGAGUCCAUAGCCAUUAACAAUCAGCUUUACCUGUUUACGCCAUUGAAGGUAAGUACCUUCAUCGAGUUUGACCACUUCAUGUCGAGGAAAAACUGUUGUGACUCGAUCGGCAGCAAAUACACCGGAGCUAGGUUCACCAGACGCUGAAUCAGCGGAAGCCAUGAGAAGCAAUGACCAGAAUCACUUGGCGAAUGAUACCAUGAAAGAACUAGGUAAAGGAAGAAAAUAACUAUCCAAACAGAAAGAAGCAGAAAGUGAAAUAAUAGAAUAAACUUCUUGUUGUUUAUUCAAAUUUGCCUACCUCUUAAUUCUUAAUGUACAGUAUAUAAAGACUAUCUGAAUUGAGUAACAACCUCACUAACUGACUAACUACUUCUAUUCUCUAAUAAUAGACGUGUUUGAGUGACACAAUUCCCUAUGUCAUGUUUGUUAAUAUAAAUUGUAAUUACAUAGUUACAUUAUAAAAUUUUUGGUGUUAAAUUUCGCAAAAUUCUGAUAAAAUAGUGAGGUUAACUGAGAAGCGAAUUUAUUAUUUUUGGAGCUUGUUAUUAUUUUUGAAAUUUUUAGUUAUUAAUGGGUAAUGAUGUCGACUAAGAAUCGAAUUGGCCCAAGGGACUAAAUUGAAAGAGGAGUGAAAAGGGAAAGUUUUUAAGUACUAAUAAGCCCAAGGGCUUAAUGGCCAAUUGGCCAUAGUCUUUUAAAGCACUAAAAAUCACGUCCUUUCUAGCCCUUAUUUUCAACUUCUCUCUUUGGCCGUCUGUCUACACUUGCACCGUUGAAAUCCCUUCAAAUCCUCGCCACUUUGUGUCUAAAUACCAUCAUCGAUUGCCACCACUGAUAUCAGCUGCAAUUGCUCUAAUUCACUGCGGACAAUUGCCUUAAUUUGUAGAUGCUCAUUAUUCACAUUAAAGUUUAUUUCUCUAAUGGAAUUGAUGCUAUGGUUAGUCUUAUUUUCAAAGAUGAUUAAGUUUCAUUUGAUUAGAAUUAGUUGGAAUAUGUGCGGUUAACUUCUAAUUAAAAUUAUUUAGUUUAAGAUUCAUUAAUAAAUUAUUUUUACCGUGGUUUCUUUGAUUUAUUGCUGUAAUUUUUUGUUUACUUUUAUUUGUUGUCAAAGGGUAAAUUAUCUGAUACUUUUACAAUGAACUUAGAAUUAUUUUUGAUGAAUUCGAAGCGAAAAACUAGAUAAUUCGAUGAAAGUGAAGCUGGUUGUGAAUUAAUUGCUCCUAAGCUACAAACACUAAGAAAUUCAGUUUGUUACCUUUACGUUUUAAAAUAUCUUAAUGUUGUUAAAUUAUUAGCUUUGUUGUGAUUCUUGCAUGUAAAAUUUUACUUGUGUAGUUGUUUAUUAAAUUGUUUUUAAUGAUGGCUCCUAUUGUUAAAUUGAUAUUCUUUAUUAAUUGAUUAUUUUCCGAAAAUUAUUGUUAAAAGUACGAAUUUAAUAAUUGACUAAAUACUUGAUAAAGUUAGUUGGAAAUUCUUCGGAUAUAAUUAGCAUGUUGUAGAGUGUAGAGGUCUCCAUCAUUGUUUGUUGUUCAUUGUGUGGAUUGCCUUAAGCAUAUGGGAGUAUUGUCAUUGUUGCCUCUUUGCGCAUAUAGUGUGAUGGUAGGUCAUUGAUUAAGUUGCAUUUAUUACGCAAUGCAGUACUGUCAUUGUUGACGCUUGUGCCAUUUUCAUUGACCGUUUGGUGUUUGGUUGGACACUCUUUUGUCCGAAUGUCUUUCCUUCUUGUGUUACUUAGGCAAAAUAAUUAAAUGAACUUAAACAUUAAAUUGAAACACUAUCAUUAUUUAUUGAAUGUAUUGCUAAUGUUUCAUUGUUAUUUUAAAUUGCUACCUUGUGACUGACUUGUGAUUGUAUUGUGUCUUUGAAAAUUAUUUUAAUUAUACACUUUGGUAGUUUAAAAUGUAUUGGAUUACUACUAAGCUGUAAAAAGGCAUAGCACUUGGGUUUUUAAUUUCUUGUGCAAGUAAUAUUUGGAUCGCAUAGUUUGUGAUAUCGUGAUCGAGCAACAUCACCAAAGAGUUUAGCAUGUACUUAGGUGUUGUUAAAUUGGUCAACUUGUUUACUUUAGUUUUAUUUUAGAGCUUAUUGAUUGAUUGAGCAUUGUUAAAUUAUUUUAUUAUUUGACUUUACACUAAUGUUUAAAUUUUAUGAUUUUAUGUGAAAAUGAUUGAAUGAUUGAUUAUUUGGGUCGCUCAGGUGACCGUUGUGACACUUUCGAUCCAAUUGAACUUUUGAGUCGGGUUUGAGGUGUUACAAACAUAAUUUAUAUUUUUUAAAAAAUAUUAAUUAGUAUAAAAAUUAUUAGUAUGAUCAAAAAUAAUUUCUAAACAAAUUGUCAAAACCAUUUUUUUGUAAAACGGGGGUCGACUUUUAUUUUGAAAACGAAAACGAACACAGGAGUCGCCACCAAUCCUUUUUGAUGAGGUGUGAUCGGGUCACCUCGAAAAGUUUUUAAUAAACGAUUUGCUUUUAUUAAAAUAACGAUUUUUGGUCCACGAAAUAAAAAAAAAACGGGUUCGGGAGUCGGUUACGUACGAGGAAGGAUUAACACCCUCGUAAUGCCCAUAAUUGGUACCUAGUUGAUUAAUUAGUGUCUUAGUGUCGAAGAUUGAAAACUUUGAAGAGUUUUUAAAAAUACGAUCCUUAAAAAAAUCGAAUAACAUGGGUUGGAAUUUAGGAUUCUCUUGUUCCGAAGGAAUAUCACAUCCAGCACGUUAGGAUACAACACUUUAAACCCUCGAAACCAAGAUUACCUUAUGGUGUCCAAAACCCAUACUUUGAAAUUUUAAGAGGAUAUUUGACUAUUUGGUCGAACGAGAAAUCGAAAUCCAGCACGUUAGGGCACGUUUUCUCGAAUUUCCAAACGCAAAAUAUUGCCUUAUUUUUAAAAUUUUCUUUUUUACAAAUUUGGGUAAAAUUAAUGUAAUAGUUAAUAAGAUGUACUUUUAAUAUAUGCGAACAUGGUGUGAAGGUGAAAAAUUUUUUUUACGCAAUAUAUAGUACAAUAAUAAUGAAAUAACAUAAAAUAACCAUAUUAGUAGAAUAUUUAAAAAGUAAAUAAUAAAUAAUGGAAUACAAUAAUAAUGACGUAAUUAUAAUAAUAACACCAAAUAAUAAUAACAAUAAUCAUAUUAGUUACUAUUCUAAUACUAAAAAAAUAUAAAAAUGAAAUAAACACUAAUAAUGAUGAUGAUAAUAAUAAUAGUGAUAAUGAUAAUGAAAUGUAUAAAUAAAGGAAUAAAUAACAAUAUAAAUACUAAAUCAAGAAUAGUAAGGAAAUGGAUAAAUGAAUAUGUAUAAAUAAAUAAAACUGAACGAAAAAGAAUAAAUAAAUAAAUAAAAGCUUGAAAUUAAGCGAAUAAAGGAAUAAAUUGAGGUUAAAAUAAAAUUUUAAGUCUAGAUUAUAAUAAAAUGGAUGGAUAAACGUAAAAGGGACUGGAUCAAAUUUUGAAUGGAAUUUAAAGGUAUAAAUCGGAAUAAAAAAAUGACGUAAAGGACCACAUUGAAAAGCGCGAAUAACAUAGAGGGGCCAAAUGGGAAAAUAUUCCCGCCCUUCAAAACGCAUCACUUUACACGGGGCUAAAAUGCAAUAAAAGCAAAAUUCUAGGGCAAGAUCAAAAAAAGAACACAAAAAAAUUCAAAUUGAAGCGGGCCGAGGAAGCGGAAAGACUGAACAAGUAAAUAUCCCUUCCACUUAAAAAAACACGCGGAUCCUUAUCCUGGAGCGGGUUGGGUCAACCCAUUUCGCAUCAAAACGACGCCGUUUUGAUAAGUUAUAUAAACCAAAUUUUUACCAAAAGUUUUAUUUUGCCCAUUAUUUUAAAAAAAACUUUAAAAAUCUUUCAAAAUUUCUCUCAAGCCUUCCCGCGUCUGGCCAUAACUCCGACCAGUCGUCACCGUACCGUAACCUUAUCCUUUCGACCCUCCUAAAUCCAAAUCUGGGUUCAAAAUUCCCAAAAUAUUAACAAAAAUACCUCAAAAGCUCAAGAAACCUUUCGAUUUUCGGUCACCUAUCCUCAGAGGUGACUUCCUCAGCCAUCCACGGUGUUGAAAAACUCGAAUACAGGUUAGUUUGUUACUCCCUUUUCAUUUUGUUUUACUUUCGUAUGUGUAAAUAUGAUAAAAAUAAAAUAACAGUAGACCAAAAAUGAAACGAAGAUUUAGAAAAUAGCAGUAGAUGUAAACCUUUCGGGAUUUUUCUAAUUAUUUUGAGUUUUUCGAGUAUUCGAUCCCUUUUUUUAUUACAUUGAUUGAUGGGGCCUUUUAUAGCCGAUUUACAUGCUAUUUUUUGUUUGCUUUCGCUUUUGUUCUUGUUGAUUCUGUGUCUGUCUCUUUUUUGUUCUGUUUGCAGGUCUUGGCAAGGUCAACAGAUGUUGAAGGGAUAACCCCUGCCAUUUUCGUACAAGGCUGUAGACGCCUGUCAGGCUUCGGGCGACGAGUGCGCUAUAGGGGCACGAAGAGGGAGUGCGGCACACAUGGAGCACUAGGGUUUCUGUUUUCCUCUGAAAGCAGUUAGGUUGUGGGCUGAAUUGGGUUAGGUUUUCUUUUUUAUUUUGGGCCAUACCAGGCCUGGCAUGUAAUUAGGGUUUGGGUUUGUUAUUUGAGUUUUGGGCCCGGUCAAAAAUGGCCUAUUACAGCUGCCUAUCUUUGCUUAUUGUCGUGUAACGGGAAUGAAACAAAGACUUUAAAAGGGCCAAUUUUGCCCGGUCUUGCCGAGUCUUGACUCCUUUUAGUGUUUCUCUUUUCAAGUAGCUUCACUCUAUUCCACUGUGUCUUGUUGCUUCAAUACACUCCACUGUAACUUCAAAAAGAGAUACGACUUGUAGCUUCAAUCUACUCUGCCAUAAUUUCAGAAGGAUGAGAUUUAUGGUUUUAGUCUGCUCCACUAUAACGUCAGGGAGAUAAGACUUGUUGCUUCAACCUACUCUACUGCGACUUCAAGGAGAUAAGGUCUGUUAUGGUAGACUUAAUCUGACCUACUGCAACUUCAGAGGUAUAUGAUUCAUCGUUUUAAUCCGCUCCACUUCAACUUCAGGGAGAUAGGAUUAAUAGCUUCAAUCUACUCCACUACAACUUCAGAGAGAUAAGAUUUGUGGCUUUAAUCUGCUCCACUGCUCUACUGCAACUUCAGGGAGAUAAGGUUUGAUGUGAUCUGCUCUACUGCAACUUCAGGUUUCAAUCUGUUCCACUGCAGCUUUAAGGAAAUGAGAUUUAUAGUUUGUCUUCAAUCUACUCCACUACAACUUCAGGGAGAUAAGAUUGGUUUAUUUUUUAACCUGCUCCACUGCAACUUCAAGGAGAUAAGGUUUGAUGUGAUCUGCUCUACUGCAACUGCUCCACUACAACUUCAGGGAGAUAAGGUUUGAUGUGAUCUACUCUACUGCAACUUCAAAGAGAUAAGAUCUGUAAUUUAUAGCUUAAAUCUGUUCCACUACAACUUCAGGGAAAUGAGAUUUAUAGCCUGUCUUCAAUUUUCUCCUCUACAACUUUAGGGAGAUAAGAUUGGUUUAUUUUUUAACCUACUCCACUGCAACUUCAGAGAGAUAAGGUUUGUCAAGAUCUUCAAUCCAUCCCACUGCAACUUCAGAGGCAUAAAAUUUGCCGCUUCACUAAUCUAUUAUGCGGUGAACUUGACCUGUGGAAUCCAUUUCAUAGACCUAUUUAUGCCUAGUGAUUAGGAUGUCAUAAAUCAGAAUGAAUCAAAUGCUCCUAACUAGGUGUGUAUGAAUGAUAUUUGCAUGAAUGCAGAACAUCAUUUUUUGAGAAUAAUCCCUCUUUAAUGUUUGGGUUAUCAUUGCUCAUUGUUCAUCAAGGUUUUAUCGUUAAUGCAUUACCCUACCUUCUUGUUCAACUGGUGUCUUUAACAGAAAAUCCAAAGAAAUAGUCACAAUUUAGACUAUUCUUUUUCAAAUGUUUCCAACCCUCAGGUUUGGUUAGUUCUAAACAAUAAUCCUGUUUCGAGUCCUCGUAUCAUUUAGAAGCUUUCAGAGUAAUAUGCAGAACUUCUUUUGCUUGAAUAUUAUUGAUCCAUUAAUUAUUAUUUCAAUGAAAAAUGCUUGGAAAGAAUUAUCACAAUGGACAAGAUGGAAUUUCAUUAGGAGCAAAGCUCGAACUGAAUGAAUUAAUCAAGAUAACAAGUUUUUUCCAAAAUUACAAAAUGAGAAUCAAGACAACGUAUUUUGCCAAAAUAAAAAAUGAAUGAAAUGGAAUAGGUGCCUUAGAUAUCGUAGUAUGAACUUCUCUGCACAAAGCCUUUGGAGGACCACUUUAAACUUGAUAGAUGUCCAGGAGGUCCGCAGUAUUUCGUUGAUGUCCCAAGACGCAUAAUCUCUCUUUCUUGUUAAUUCAAGCAUAGUAAAAAUUGUCGCAUGCCCCACCUUUGAUCACAAUUUGAAUUGCCCUUUUUCCCCAGGUUUUCAAUUCAAAACCCCUUUGGUCUCAAAGUGCCCUUCAUGGGUUUUCGCCUUGGCCUCUCCUCUUUUGUUUUAGGCGAGGUACUUUUUCAUUGAAUUCGAAUUCACAGGAUUAGGCAGGAUUUUUCCAUCCAUCUCAGUCAAAAUUAACGCUCCUCCAGAAAAGGCCUUCUUUACUACAUAAAGUCCCUCACAGUUUGGCAUCCACUUUCCUCUAAAGUCUUUUUGUAUGGGAAGGAUCUUCUUCAGUACCAAAUCCCCUUCAUGAAAUUCCCUAGGACGAACCUUCUUAUUGUAAGCUCGUAUCAUUUGCUUCUGGUACAUUUGACCAUGACGGAUAGCUCUCAACCUCUUUUCUUCGAUCAAGUUUAGCUGAUCAUAUCAAGAUUGGAUCCAUUAUGCUUCGUCUAACAUUAGUUCUGAAAAAACUCGGAGAGAGGGAAUUUCAACCUCAAUUGGCAGUACUGCCUCCAUUCCAUAAACCAAAGAGAAAGGCGUUGUCUCGGUAGAGGUCCUGACAGAUGUUCGAUAAGCAUAGAGGGCAAAUGGUAACUUCUCAUGCCAAUCUCUAUAAGUCUCAGUCAUUUUUCCCACAAUCUUCUUGAUGUUUUUAUUGGCUGCCUCCACUGCGCCAUUCAUUUUCAAGCGAUAUGGCGAUGAAUUGUGGUGCUUGAUCUUGAAUUGACUACAGACCUCCGCUAUCGUGUUGUUGUUCAAAUUCAAAGCGUUGUCAGAUUUAAUCCUUUCGGGUAUCCCAUACCGACAUAUGAUCUCCUUUUUUAGAAAUUUACUGACGGUCGAUUUUGUGAUGUUGGCGUAAGAAGUAGCUUCUACCCACUUAGUAAAGUAGUCAAUUACUACGAAGAUGAAUCGAUGCAUGUUUGAAGCUUUUGGUGAUAUUGGUCCAAUGACGUCCAUGCCCCACAUGGAAAAAGGCCAUGGAGAAGUCAUGACAUGAAGAGGUGAAUGAGGCACAUGAAUUUUGUCCCCAUAAAUCUGGCAUUUAUGGCAUUUCUUAGCAUACUUGAUGCAGUCCCUUUUCAUGGUGGACCAAUAAUAUUCGAAUCUCAUGAUUUGCCUGGUCAUUGUAAAACCAUUAACGUGUGUUCCAUAGACACCAUCAUGAACCUCUUCUAAGAUUUGCUUAGCCUCAAUAGCGUCCACGCAUCUUAGCAACACUUGAUCAUUUCCUCUUUUAUAUAGGAUCUCUCCAUCCAAGACGUAGUCAUUAACCUGCCUUCUUAACGUCCCCUUGUCAUCCUCGCUUUCUUGGUUUGGGUAUUCCUGACUCUUCAUGUAUUGUAAUAUAUCGCGAUACCAAGGGUGAUCACCCUUUUCCUCUUCUUUGUCGACAUUGCAACAGUGGGCUGGUGCUUCAUAAAUGCUCAUUCUGAUGGGCCUCACAUCCUUUGUUUAUUUACUUUGAUCAUAGAAACCAAAGUAGCCAAAGCGUCGGCCAUCUGGUUUUCUUCUAGCGAAAGGUAAGAGAAGGUGAUGUCAUCAAACUCGUCAAUUAGCCCUAUAACCAGCUUUCGGUAAUUGACUAAUUUGCGAUAUCUUAUCUCCCACUCCCCUUUGAGCUGAAAAACCACCAGUACAGAGUCCCCAUAUACCUCUAACACUUUAAUCUUAUGUUCCAUGGCUGUACGAAUCCCCAUAAUACAUGCUUCGUACUCGGCCAUAUUAUUUGUGCAAUCAAAACCCAAUUUACAGGUGAAUGGAUAAUGAUCUCCGCUUAGGGAUACCAAAACUGCCCUAAUUCCGUUGCCUACAGCAUUUGAAGCCCCGUCGAAGUUUAAUUUCCAAGCACCGCUUUCUUGAGUGUAUUUUUCAACAGUUCCCACAUACAUCAGAUCCUUAUUUAGGAGAUCAAAGUUCAAAGGCUCAUAGUCUUCUAGAGCUCGACUAGCUAGAAAAUCUACUAUCGCGCUUCCUUUUAUAGCUUUUUGAUUCACAUAGACUAUGUCAAAUUCAGACAGUAGAAUUUGCCAUCUGGUCAUCCUUCCAUUUAGAGCGGUUUACUCCAUCAUGUAUUUCAGAGGGUCUAGUUUCAAGAUUAACCAAGUCGUAUGGUACAACAUGUAUUGUCGCAACCUCCGAGUAGUCCAGAUUAAGGCGCAACAUAAUUUUUUGAUUGGGGAGUAUCUUGUCUCACAUUCGGUGAACUUCUUACUGAGAUAGUAUAUUGCUUUUUCUUUUCUUCCCAACUCAUCAUGUUGGCCGAGCACGAAUCCGAUGGAGUUUUCAAAUACUGUUAAAUAUAGUAUCAGGGGCUUGUCUGGGCAAGGCGGUGUUAGUACUGGAGCGUUGGACAAGUAAUACUUGAUCUUGUCAAAGGUUUUCUGGCACUCCUCGUCCCAUAUGCCCGGAUUAUGUUUCUUAAAGAGACGGAAGAUAGGGUCACAUUUUUCAGUUAACUGUGAAAUAAACCGAGCAAUGUAGUUUAGUCUUCUUAGAAAACCCCGGACUUCUUUCUGAGUGCGUGGUGAAGGCAAUUCUUGUAUGGCCUUGACUUUGUCUGGGUCAAUCUCAAUUCCCCUUUCACUGACUAAAAGUCCUAGCAACUUUCCUGAUCUAGCCCCGAAAGUGCAUUUGGCUGGGUUAAGUUUUAGCUGGAACUUCAUUAACCUUAGGAACAGUUUUCUCAAUACUUGCACAUGUUCUCCUUCUGUCCUAAACUUUACAAUCAUGUCAUCAACACAGACUUCUAUCUCUUUAUGCAUUAUAUCAUAGAACAAAGUUACCAUGGCUCUUUGGUACGUUGCCCCUGCAUUCUUUAAUCCGAAUGGCAUCACCUUAUAGCAAAAUGUUCUCCACAUAGUUACAAAUGUGGUCUUAUCCAUGUCUUCAGGAUGCAUUUUUAUCUGAUUAUACCCCGAGAAGCCAUCCAUGAAGGAGAAAAGUGAGUAACCUGCUAUGUUGUCCACCAGAGUGUCGAUAUGGGGUAACGGAAUAUUGUCUUUUGGACUAGCUUUGUUCAAAUCUCUAUAAUCUACGCACAUCCGUACCUUCCCAUCUUUCUUAGGGACAGAGACUAUGUUGGCUACCCAAUCCGAGUACUUGACCACUUGUAAGAACCCCGAGUCGAACUGCUUCUUGACCUCUUCUUUUAUUUUUAACAAAACAUCAGGCCUUAUUCUUCGUAGCUUCUGUUGCACCAGUUUACAUUCUUCUUUUAUGGGCUGUCGGUGUACUACAAUAUCAGUACUUAGGCCAGGAAUGUCUUGAUAGGUCCAUGCAAAGACAUCUUUAAACUCUUGAAGUAAUCCAACGAGGUCUCGUUUUGUUUCCUCAGUAACGCAAGCGCCAAACUUUACUUCUUUCUCUUCUUCUAAACCCACUACUUCCACGGAUUCCUUAUAAGGUAAGAUUUGUUUCUCUUCUUGCUCCACCAUUCUUAACAAAUCAGGAGAUAAUACGCUGUCUUGGUCAUCUUCAAAACCCUGACGAUCAUCCGUACUCAUGUCUUGUUCAAAUAGGGACUUUGAGUCAGUAACAGCGUCGCUCACAUCAUUGAUAUCUGAAGACCUGUUAUUGGGAGAAAGGAAGGUCCAAAGAAAGAAGAAUCUAAGCAUAAUUGUUUACACAGUAUGAUUAUAAAUUGAAUGAAAAGAAUAGAAGAAUAUUUGCUCAAAAUGAGACUGAAUGAUGUGUUUUCAUUGAAAUAAGAUUUUGGACAUGUGUCUUUUACAAAAUAUUCUUAUUGCCCCCAGGCUUAGGGCAACAAGUGUUCUAGAUAUUACUCUGAAUUAGUUCUAAAUGUUAUAGGGAUCUCUUCUGCAGUCUAGUUGUCUAGAACACUUCCAGGUUCGUAAGGGCGGAUGCCUGAUACACUUCCUUCUUCGAGUUCUUUUUUGAAUAUGGCAUUGAUGUUCAGGUUUUCUAACAUUUCCUCCGUAGUAUCCCUUCUUGGUGUCCUUCGUUCAGGAUAAAUAGUUCCCCCUGAUAUAAAGGUCCUAGAUAUGUGGGGGAAGGUCAUAGGUUCCCAAUCGACUUCUUUUCCACUCAAACGCGCCUUCCUCUUCUCUUGUCUUUUUUCUAACUCUUUCCUUCUUUACUUCGCAUUUGGCUUAGAUCCUAAACCAAAGCGGUCUCGUUUAUCUUUUAUCAUUGGUACCUCUAUCCUUCAUUGAAGACAUCUUCCGAAUCCUCUCCCAGACACUGCUCCUUUUCCAAUCGUCAUUUGCAGUCCCAUCCUCGUAGUUUUGGAUAUGCUAGGCAUCGUGAUCUUAUUCCCCUCAACAACAAAAGUUGCGUUCACGAAUUCUAAGGAUCAAAAGGAACAUUCAAUCGCCUCAUCAUUCGUUUCUAAAUAUGGUGUGUCGCUGGUUACCGAUGCAAUAAUGUCUUCUUUAGCGCUUAUAGUAACUAGUCGGCCUUCUAUUACCAAUUUCAACUUCUGGUGCGAUGAUGAAGGCACUGCUCUAGCUGAAUGAAUCCAAGCUCUUCCCAACAAGUAAUUAUACGAAGGUUUGAUAUCCGUCACUAGGAAAUCUACCUUGUAUGUAUUCGGGCCAAUCAAGAGAGGUAUUUCUAUUCUUCUCGUUACUUUUCUUUCAGUGCCAUCAAAUGCUCUCACUAUAUUCUGGCAUGAUUUCAUGUGAGAGUUAUGCAUCGGUAACCUGUUUAAGGUGGAUAAGGGUAAGACAUUCAAGGCCGAUCCAUUAUCAAUUAACACCACCGGAAACGUGUAUCCCUUGCAGCGAGUGGUGAUAUUUAGGGCUUUGGUGGCUCCUCUCCCCCCCCCCCGAUGAUAUUUCAUUAUCAUUAAAGAAGAUGAAGUUGUCGGCACUUAUAUUGUUAACCAAGCAGUCUAACUUGUUCACCGAGAUAUCGUUAGCGACAUAAGUUUCAUUUAGUACUUUUAUCAACGCAUUACGAUGUGUCUCUGAACUUAGAAGCAACUUAAGCACCAAGAUGCAAGCUGGUUGCUUAUGUAGUUGUUCCACCACGCUAUACUCACUGUGCUUUAAGAAUUUUAGAAAUUCUCUAGCCUCAUUUUUAGUUACCGGCUUGUUAACAUGCGAUUCAAUUCUAAUCGUUUUUGCUUCCCCUCGCUCAACCGCUAAGGUUUUUCCUUUUGUGGUUUCCACUCUUGCAUUUGUCGAAUCGUAGCAUUUUUCGCUUCGUGUAUAGAAGCCUAUAUCAUCACCCUUUUUUGAAGUAUUUAUUGGGUUCUCUUCUCCCGGGAUCGUCACGUUGCACUCGUAAUUCCAAGAAACCCAUUUGCUAUUCUUAUAAAGAAAUUAUAUGGGUUUUUAGAUUAUGACCCUUGGCGCUAUUUCUAUUCCAGAUUCUGUGCUCCUUGGCCUUGAAAUAAUCACCACUGAGUGAUUAACCCUUUGGGCUUCCCCGUAGAUUCUUCCUCCGAGGUGUAAAUUUCCCCUUCUUCUAAUCCUUCAACCUUUUCAUAAAACUUCAACUCUUUGUUAUCCAUUAAGUUUUGCAUCAUGGUUCUGAACUCGGUGCAUUUUUAAGUGUCAUGGCCCUCUUCAGCAUGGAACUCGCAAUACUUCAUCGUCCCUUUGGGCCUCUCCGUUGAAUCUUGCUUGAUAAAACCUCCCUCUAUCAUUCGUUUCCAAACCCAUUUCAACGGGGUUUUUAUCUCUGCUACGUCAGCUUUAACUCUCCUUCCCCACUCUCGAUUAUUGCGUUUACCUCUUUAUCAGAAUGAUUGGUUAACGGAUUCCCUGCUACAUUUGGUUCUGGUGGGUCGUCAAACUUUACAAUCCCCAUCUUAAUGAAUCUUUCCACCAUCUUCUUAAACGCAGUGCAGUUCUCAAUCGAGUGUCCCGUUAUCCCUGCUUAGUAUUCACAUUGGGUAUUCACGUCGUACCAUUUAGGGUAUGAAGGUUGCAUGGGUUUCAGAUAAAAUGGAGACACGACGUGUGCAUCGAAUAGAUUCUAAUACAGUUCUCUAUACGUCAUUGAGAUACGUGUGAAUUGGGGUCUUUCUACAUUCGACCUUGGAUGGGAUUCCUGCCUUAAAAAGCCUUGAUGGCUAGUGGUUAUUGCUCUUGCUUGUCCCACCGUGAUUGGUUUAGAAUAGCCUUUGUUAAACAUACUUGCAUUGUUUAUCUCGUGCUCUUUCUUUCUUGGGGCUGACCUCUUGGCACUUUCCCCCGCUUCUAUCUUGCCGCAUAUUAUUGUAUUCUCUAUCAUUUCUCCAGACAUCACUAUGUCUGAAAAGCUUUUAGUGGCGCUGUCUAACAUGUGAUUGAUGAACAGAGCCUUCAAAGUAUUGAUGAAAAGCAUGGUUGUCUCUUUCUCCAGAAGUGGUGGUUAGACUUGCAUUGCUAUUUCUCUCCAUCUUUGGGCGUACUGUCUGAAGCUCUCACUAGGCUUCUUUUCCAUGUUCUGUAAUGUAAUUCGACCGGGUGCUAUAUCCUUCACAUGACUGUACUGCUUCAUAAAAGUCUGUGCCAAGUCCUUCCAUAAAUUGACUUUAGUCUGGCUCAAUUGGUUGUACCAUUUAGCCGCCGACCCGAUCAAGCUGUCUUGGAAAUAGUGCAUCAAUGUUGAUCAUUAUUGAUGUAUCCUGUUAUCCUUCGACAGAACAUAGUGAUAUGAGCUUCAGGACAGCUAGUCCCGUUAUACUUUUUAAACUUUGGCAUUUUGAACUUAGGUGGAAGCACCAGAUCAGGAACCAAACUCAAGCCUUUGGCGUCAAUUCCACAAUGGUAGUCGGCGUUCUCCAUGGCUCUAAAUUUCUCCUCUAUCCAUCUACACGAUCCUCAAGUUGUUUUGGCAAGUCCAUUCUUACCUUUUCUAUUUCUGCCACGUCAUCGAGAUCAGGGACCACGGGAUUGGUAGGGUUAUCCCCGGGAUUAGAACCCGAGCUUAUUGGAAAGUUCAUUGACACUAGGGCCCCAACCUGAUAUUGGGAUCUGAUAGUGACAGGUACCCUUCAUGGGUACACGUCCGGUUGCGCUUAGAUGUUAGUUAGGGUAAAACCUGGAGGAUAGGCAGGGUCUUCAUGAUCAUCCCCAGAAUUGACCACAGGGCUCUUCCCUUUAUCAUUUUCUCCAGCCAUUAACUGUGUUAACUAGCUCAAUAAAUUUCUUUGGGAUUCUUACAUGUCUUGUUGCAUUUUAGCUAGUUUUUCCUGCAUCUGAACUUGCAUCUCUUUUCACAAUUGUUCCAAUCUUUCUAAUAUCUGAUCCAUUACUUUUGUCUUGCGGCGGGUACCGUAGUGAUAUAUAGUUGGCUGAUUUUUGUUGGUUUCCAAGGUAACUGUCAUAAUUUUAAUUAAUUAGGGCUCUUUUUUGAAACUUUAAUGCAUAUGAUGAGAUGUAAUGCAAAUGAAUCAAAGCAAAAAGAGGCAUUGAUUCUAAUUCAAUUUCAUUAGAAAAACUCGAUUAGAAAACAAAUUUCUUUACAUAAAAUGGAUUACAUAUAUGGCUUCGCCUUUAUACUCAAAGCCUUAACCCUCUUAAGGAGCCAAGCUAACUCUCAACCUCGGCUUGAUUCUGAUUCAUAUUUUAAACUCAAUACAUCAGCCUGAACUGCUAAGGUUUGCAGAUGAUCAGCUACUUCCUGCACUUAAGUUACAACUUCACCCAUAAUGUAAUCUUUAUCUCUAAUCUGACUUUGGGAAUGAUGGAGCUGUUCUUGCCACUGUUCGUUACGCCUCUCAAGAAGUUCCACUCGUAAUUCAGAGUUUUGCAAUGCGUCUUCGAGCUUUUCUAUUUUCCCCUUCAAUUUUUCGAUCUUUCCUAAACUUGCUCUUAACUUGAUCAUUGAGUUGCGACUACGGUACAGGUGAAGCGACUUUUCUAACUAUACUACCCGAGCUUUUAAUCUCGCUUCUUCAUUUCAACAUUCUAACAAGUUUUUCUCUAAAGCUCUCUCUCGAGCUUGGGCGUCUUAAAAUUUCUUUUCCCACUGAUCAGCCAUGGUCUUUUCUUCCUUGAUCUCCUGUCGCCAUUACUCCGACGUUUUACCUAAACCGACAGUUCUUAUUGACAAACGCAGCUUCUUAUAAUCUAUUUUUAGACUAUCUAAAUCCUCUUCAGCCUUGUUCUUCCCUUUCCUUAAUUUUUCGAUUUUUAACUUGUGGAUAUCGACAUCUAGUCCCAAACGCAUCUUUUCCUCUUCUAGCUGCUCUAUCUUCUUUCCUAACUCUGAACUUCUUUUUUCAAAGUCCUGUUUGAUGAUCUCUAAUUCUGAUGGAACUUCUUGUAGAUGGUCCUCUAUAGAUCGAAUGCAUUCUUUUCUCGACCCGGAGAUGUUGUUAUUGACCCUCUUACUCCAACACCCAUAAUAUUCGAAAGUUGUCAUUGCUCUUACGGUAAAUCUUUUCAUCCGGUGAACUUGUUUCCAAGCGCUAAACAUUUCUCGAAUCUUUCUCUUGUAGUUAUCACCCUUAUAAGAAAACUCACACUGAGUCAGCCCUUAUGUUGUCGGUAUGAACUAUCUUGAUUUAUAUUGUCUUAAUACGAGCAAAGGGGUAUAUUCGACAGCUCUCCAAAUUCUAAGUAAAAGGACCAAGUCGAAGUUUUCACAUCGAUAUAGGAUAUCGUCGGGCACCAUCCAAUGAGCUUUCCAUUCAACAUCUUUCUCUUGAAGAGUUUGGAGAAUCACCAUCCAUUUCUCUUCUGUGAUGUCGUUUCAUCUUGGUGUAGCCACUAGUUCCUUUAAUGGGGAGUAGUUUUCUAAGAAUACCCAAUAGGAGACCUUUUUCCACUUUCCAAAAGUGUCUAUGGAACCACACCAAUAAUAGUUGCGCGCAUCCGAUGAACCUUCCUUCACCCGCUCUUCGACACGCAUUUAGAGAUCUAAAAGUUUCAGCCAAUAUUGCUGAGACCGGUGUGACCCCCUUGUCAAGCCUAUCAAACAGAUCUGAAACUGCUUCAUCCACAUGCCCUAAUGCCUUGGGGAAAAUAACUAAACCAUAAAUGCUCAAGACAAAGAUAUCAACUCACUUGGUGCAAAAAUCAUGAAAAACCAGCUUGAAUAAACCCUUAGGACGUUUUUGGCUGAUGAGAAUGCAGAAAAAUAAAGAGAAAUCUAGAUAAUUCCACUUUAGUCCUAACUUUUAAAGUAAAUUUUUGCAAUAUUCUAAUUUUACCCUUAAUUCUCCAAUUCUCCUUAUUUUUCUCAGCUUGUGCCGCCCAAAAUAUCUUCUUUUGGGCUUAUUUACAAUUUAUGUCCCUCCUUAUUUAACAAUGGAGCUAUUUAAUCCUUCUAGUAACUUUUACACCUUUUUUAAUUUAGUCCUUUUCACUUAAUUGACUGCCCAAACAUUAAAAUUUUCUAACGAAAUUUUAAUACCAUAUUACUAACAUUUCAUAAAUAUUUAUAAAAAUAUUUUUGACUUGGUUUUAUGAGAUCGAUGUCUCGAUACCUUGUUUUUACCCAAUUUCUUCAAUAAUUUCUUUUUCUAACUAACCACUAAAUCGGUAAAAUUUUUCUAUCGAUAUUUUCAUACGAUUUUCUAUCAUAUCAAUAUUCAUGCAAAAAUAUUAAAAUAAAUUUCUUUUAAAAUCGGAUUUUUGGUUAUGAAACCACUGUUUCGAUAACCUUGAAUUUAGGCCAUUACAACUCUCCCCCCUUAGGGAUUUUCGUCCUCAAAAAUCUUACCAGUAAAGAGGUUCGGGUAUUGUUUCCUCAUUGCCUCCUCUGAUUCCCAUGUCGCUUCCUUAAUCCCGUGCUUUUUCCAUAAUACUUUCACCAAAUUUAUCUUUUUAUUUCUAAGCUCAUUUAUUUCCCGUGCUAAUAUCUUAACCGGUUCUUCACUAUAAGUCAUAUCCGGCUGAAUCUCCACUUCUGUCAGAGAAAUAACAUGUGAAGGAUCUGAUCGAUACCGUCGUAGCAUAGACACAUGAAAAACAUUAUGAAUUCUAUCGAGUUCCGGUGGUAAUGCCAAUCGAUAAGCGACCGCGAGUUCCGGUGGUAAUGCCAAUCGAUAAGCGACCGGUCUAAUUCUUUCUAUAAUUUCAUAUGGCCCAAUAAAUCUUGGACUCAACUUACCCUUUUGACCGAAUUGGAGAACUUUUUUCCAAGGAGACACUUUUUUGGAAUACCUUAUCACCCACCUAAAAUUCAAUCUCUUUUCGUUUAAGAUCAGCAUAUGGCUUUUGACGAUCGAAAGCUGCUUUUAGACUAUCUCGAAUCAUCUUGACUUUUUCUUCUAUUUCCCGGAUCAAAUCAACCCCAUGUAUCUUCUUUUCACUAAGCUCUGUCCAAUAUAAUGGUGUUCUACAUUUUCUACCAUACAAAGCUUCAUACGGAGCCAUUUUAAUACUGGACUAAUAACUGUUAUUAUAAGCAAAUUCAAUCAAAGGUAGAUACCUCUCCCAAUUACCUUCUAACUCUAAUAUACAACAUCGGAGCAUAUCUUCCAAUACCUGAAUUACACGCUCAGAUUGGCCAUCUGUCUGAGGAUGAAAUGCAGUGCUGAAAUACAAUUGAGUACCCAAGGCUUCUUGCAAUUUGUCCCAGAAACGAGAUGUAAAUCGGGGAUCUAUAUCUGAUAUAAUAGAUAUUGGCACUCCAUGUAGCUUGACAAUCUCAGAUAUAUACAGUUCAGCCAAUUUAUCUAAAAAAUAAUCCAUAAGUACUGGGAUAAAAUGUGCUGAUUUUGUUAAUCGAUCAACGAUCACCCAAAUGGCAUCUUUCUUAUUCGGUGACAAUGGUAACCCAAAUACAAAAUUCAUAGUAAUUCUUUCCCACUUUUAUUCCGGUAUAGUGAUUGGCUGAAGUAACCCCGAAGGUACCUGAUGUUCAACUUUAACCUGCUGACAUAUUAGGCACUUUGAUACAAACUCAGAAAUAUCACGUUUCAUACCUGGCCACCAGUACAUCUUCUUCAAAUCAUUAUACAUUUUAUUACCUCCCAGAUGUACGGACAUAAUACCACUGUGUGCCUCGUGUAAAAUCUUCUGUACAAGCUCUGAAUUCUUCGGUACACAUACUCUGCCUCUGAAUAAUAAACAACCAUCAGUCCCAAUUUGAAAUUCUGAAUCAUUACCUGACUCACAUUGUACCCAUUUAGCCUGUAGCUUUUCAUCAUUUUUCCGAGCUUCAUAUAUUUGUUGUAGAAAUGUCGUUUAACUCUCAACUCAGCUAUGACUGAACCAUUAUCAACCAAAGACAAUCGGGUAUUCAUAGCUCGCAAAGCAAACAAAGAUUUUUGACUCAGAGCAUCAGCUACAACAUUAGCCUUACCCAGAUGGUAAUCAAUAACCAAAUCAUAGUCUUUUAUCAGUUCAAGCCACCUGCGCUGUCUCAAAUUCAAAUCUUUCUGUGUCAUCAAAUAUUUCAGGCUUUUAUGAUCAGUAUAAAUAUGACAUUUUUCACCAUACAAAUAAUACCGCCAUAUUUUCAAUGCAAAUACAAUAGCAGCAACUUAGAGAUCAUGUACCGGGUAAUUUCUUUCAUGUGGCUUAAGUUGUCUUGAAGCAUAGGCUAUUACUUUACCUUCUUGCAUCAAGACACAGCCUAAACCAUUUAAUGAUGCAUCACUAUAAAUAAUAAAUUCUUUACUCGGUUCAGGUUGUACCAACACAGGUGUUUUCGUCAACAAAUCUUUCAAUCGGUCAAAACUCUGCUGGCAUUUAUCAGUCCACUCAAAUUUAACAUCUUUCUGUAAUAAACGAGUUAUCGAAGAAGCUAUCAUAGAGAACCCCUGUACAAAUCUCCGAUAAUAACUGGCUAAACCCAAGAAACUUCUAACUUCAGAUACAUUCUUCGGUGGACUCCAAUUGACAAUAGCUGAGAUUUUACUCAAAUCUACCUUGAUGCCUUCUGCGGAUACAAUAUGUCCAAGAAAACCCACUUCUCGAAGCCAAAAUUCACAUUUACUGAAUUUAGCAUAUAGCUACUUCUCUCGCAGAAUUUGCAACACAAUUCUCAAAUGUUCUGCAUGCUCAUUUUCAUCUUGGGAAUAGACCAAGAUAUCAUCAAUAAAAACUACCACAAACCUGUCUAAGUACGGUCUAAAUAUCCGAUUCAUCAGGUCCAUAAAUACUGCAGGUGCAUUAGUCAGCCCAAACGGCAUAACAAGAAACUCAUAAUGCCCGUACCUGAUUCUAAAAGUUGUUUUCGAUACAUCUAACUCCUUUACCCGUAACUGAUAGUAGCCCAAUCGGAGAUCAAUCUUUAAAAAUACAGUGGCACCCUUCAACUGGUCAAACAGAUCGUCAAUCCGAGGCAAUGGGUACUUAUUCUUUAUAGUGACUUUAUUAAGUUGUCAGUAAUCAAUACAUAAUCUUAAGGACAUGUCCUUCUUUUUCAUAAAUAAAACUGGAGCACCCUAAAGUGAAUGACUUGGUCAGACAAAACCCCUGUCAACAAGUUCUUGCAACUGUGUCUUUAACUCCUUUAAUUCUGUAAGAGCCAUACGAUACGGAGCUAUAGAGAUUGGAGUAGUUCCCGGAAUCAGAUCUAUAGAAAAUUCCACUUCUCUUUCUGGUGGCAACCCUAGUAAUUCCUCUAGAAACACAUCAAAAAAUUCACAUACAAUUGGCACUGCCUGUAUAUUUAAUUGGCACUGCCUGUAUCUUUAACUCAGAUACCUUAGUGUUUAACACAUAUGCCAAAUAAGCAUCAUACCCUUUUCUGACACACCUCUGAGCUGUCAUAACCGAAAUCACAUUAGAUAAUUCUUCUGUCUGAUCAAAUUUAACCCGAAGUAAUUCUCUAUUCUAACACUUCAGCAUAAUAUAUUUCUGUCUACAAUUUACUACUGCAUCAUGCUGAGUUAGCCAAUCCAUACCCAAUAUCACAUUGAACUCAUCAAAAGGCAAUAACAUCAAGUCAACAGGAAAACAAAUACCUUUUACCAUCAGUGGACAAUUUUUACAAACUUUAUCCACCAUCAUAAACUGGCCCAGUAGGUUCGAGACUUUAACCACAAAUUCAGUAAGUUCAACAGAUAAAUUUUUAACAAAUACUAAUUUUGUGCAUAUGUAUGAAUGUGUAGAGCCAGGAUCAAUUAAUACAGUAAUAUCAGUAUCAAGUAAAGAAAAUGUACCAGUAAUAACAUCGGGUGCUGAGGCAUCUUCUCUAGCACGGAUGGCAUAUGUCCUAACAGGUGCUCGUGCCUCAGACCUGCCUGCAGUCUCUUUCGUAACUCCUCAGCUACCACUAACAUUACCAGAUGGUCGAGGUGGUCUACCCCUCGAAACUGGAUUACUCGGCUUCGAUGUAUGUUUAGCUUCUUUUUCACCCCUUUCUAGACAAUCUCUGAGGAAAUGAUCGGAAGAACCACAUCGAUAACAAGCCCCACUCUUUAAUCGACAUUCACCAAAAUGAGUUUUAUUACAGUACUGACAUCUCGGCUUAGGGGUACCAACACUACCAGCACUGGUCACUGAUGGAGUGGAAGGUCUUGGAUUAGUGCGUUGAAAACCUCGCUCUCUAAUCGAAUACCCACUGGCUGAGGUUGAACGAUCCUGGUAUUUCUUCAAUUUCUUUAAAGUAAAAAACUGGGAUUUUUCCAUAGAUGUUUUACUGAAAACCCGAGCUUCUCUUUCAGCUUGUUUCUUUUCUUUGCUCAAUUUUUUUGCUUUAUAAGCUCACUCUGCAAGGGUAGUAAACUCUCGAAUUUCAAGAAUUCCGAUCAAUAGCUUAAUUUUUUCAUCCAACCCUUCUUCAAAUCUUUUGCAUAUUCCAGCUUCUGAUUGUACCCAUUCCCAAGCAUAUUUACUCAAUCGGACAAAUUCUCUUUCAUACUCAGAUACUGAUCUGUUAUCCUGUUUCAGCUAAAAAAAUUCUUUUCUCUUCCGAUCGAGGAACCUCUGACUGAUAUAUUUCUUUCUGAACUCGGUCUAAAAGAAUUCUCAUUUAAUUUCUUCUUUUGGAACCACCGAAGCUUUAGUGUUUCACCAAUGAUAAGCUGUGUCUUUUAACAAUGAUACUGCACAUUUCAGACACUCUUCUGGCGUGCAAGAUAAUUCCUCCAAAACCCGAGUAGUAUUCUCUAACCAAAACUCAGCCCGUUUGGGAUCAUCAUCAACUGCAGCUCUGAAUUCUUCUGCCACAUAUUUUCUGAUUUUAUCAACCGGAGCUUUCCCUUUUUUGCUAGGUUCAAUACCUGUACCCUGUGAAAUCUCGGGAAUCGGUGGAGGAGGAGGAGGAGGAGGAGGAGCUUGAGCUUGCUGCACUAUAGGGUUAGUUUUUAUAUAUUGAGUAAAUCAUUCAUUCAUCAUUUGAUAGAAGGCAAUUUUAGCCUCUUCACUUUGGUCCCUUAUCUCGGACCUUCUACUACUAGUAGCUUCAACUUCUCUUUGUUCUGAAGCCGGAGCAUGACUCUCGGCUUCCUUGGGUUGAACUUGGUCGGCAGACAUUUACUAUAAGAAAAUCACAUUUCAAAUGGUCAGGAGAUAUCACACUAUCAAUAAGAAUUUAAAUCCCAUGUAUAGCUAAUCCAGUAUUUUCUACAUCGGUCCGAGAACUGACUAAAUCGUAGCUCUGAUACCAACAAAAUGUAACACCCCUUAACCAUAUCCGUCGUUGAAAUAGGGUACGAAGCAUUAUCAGAUUUUAUCGAAUUAAUUUUCUAUUAUUACGAGUUAAAUACUAUUCAUUUAUCGAAACAUGUCAUGACGUCCCUUGAAUGGGCCUCCGAAGCCCAAAACAUACAUCGAGACCAAACCGGGAUUAAAUCGAAACCAUAAGAAAUUUUUCGCAAAAUCCCAAAGUUUUUUUUUUAAAACUCAAUACAACCCCUUUAUAAAUAUCUAAUCUUCCCUGCAAUUUUAAACCAAGACCAAUCCAACACAACCAAUCCAUUUCAACAUACUUUCAAAAUAGAUUUAACAUAUUCAUAAGAUAACCUCAUCACAUACCAAAACCAAAAUUUGUUAGCCAUACCAAUGGCUAACCAUUCAUUCAUUUCACAUUAACAUUUACUUUACUAGCUUAUACAUGCCAUUGAUUUCUAAAAUAAAGUUUCUUUAUAUACCGAGAUCUUGAGGUUGAUAGUGUGAUGCGUCUCCGACCAAAUCCGACCUCCGAGCUCUUAACACUACAAAACAGGGGAAAAGGAAACAGGGUAAGCACUUUGUGCUUAGUAAGCUCAUGUAAUAAGAAUUAUACUUACCUAAUAUUUUCAAUACAAUACAAUACAAUACAAUAAACAUUCAUACAUCCAUUCAAUGCAUUAUUCCCCUAACAUGCACGAACUCAACAUUCAAGUUAGUUCAGUAAUUUCCAUGUAUCAAUAAUAUAUAUAUCACGAUUGAUAAGCUCAUCAAUUCCAUGAUUUCCAUUCCCUUGUUAUUUUUCCAUAUUUAUCCCGUUGAACUACUUGGAAUUUCGAUGGAUUUUCAGGGGUACACCUAAGUGUACAAAUCUGGGUUCGUCAAUUCAUAUUCAUGUGCGCACAUUUUCAUUUCAGAGAGCACACUCCCGUGAACCUCAUCCUUACAGCGGGAUUACCAGUCCAGGCUAAAUCCCCUGUAAUAUAAACUCAUAGAAUAUUGUCGGGAUUACCAGUCCAGGCUAAAUCCCCUGCAACGACAAUUACUCUAAUGAGCUUGGAUUUGAAUUACCAGUCCAAGCUAAAUUUAGACCCUAAUUUGGAAUACCCGUCCGGGCUAAAUUCAUUUUCCACAUAUUCUUUGAGAGGGCUGUAUCAGAAUAGGAUCACCCAUCCGGGCUAGAUCCUUUUUACCGUCAAUUCCUUUUCAGAGAUCCAUCGAAUUUUCCUUUCAUUCAACCGGGAUUUAUUUUCUCUUUUCAUCAAGAAUAUCAAUACUUCUUCAAUUAUCAUACAAUAAACAUCCAAAUCAUAUUCACAUCAAGAAAAAUAUAUUUCAAGCAUUUAAGAAUAUAAUUCAAGUUACACGAACUUACCUCGAUACUUGUUCGUAAAUAAAAAUCUACUAAUUCCAAACUUUUUCUUUUCCUCGAUCUAGCUUUGUAUUUGAAUUUUCUAGAUCUAAAUAAAUAAAUUUAAUCAUUAAUCUAAUACAUUUCAUGUUCAUAUGUAACAUUCUCUAUAAUUCCAUUAUUAUUUAUAGUUCAUUCAAAGCUGUCUCAUUGAGUCAUAGUCGCUAAAUUAUUUAUAUCUUGAGCUACGGAAUUCCAAAUUAAGAUCUGCUAAUUUUUCCCAAAACUAGACUCACAUAUCUUCUUACCAUAAAAUUUUCAGAAUUUUUAGUUCAGCCAAUAAGUACAGUUUAUUCUUUAAAGUUUCCCUUGUUUCACAGUUCAACAGUUUCGCCCCCUCUUCACUAAAAAUUAAUUAUCUCAUUGUACAGAAUUUGGAUGAUGUUUCCAUUUAUUUAUUCUAAAAAUAGACUCAUUAAGGAUUCUAAGCAUAUAAAUUAUAACUCAUAAUAAUUUUUUUACAAUUUUUAAUGAUUUUCCAAAGUCAGAACAGGGGAACCCGAAUUCAUUCUGACCUUGUCUCACAAAACCUAUUAUAUCUCAUUAUUUACAAUUCCAUUGACUACACUAUUUCUUCUAUAAGAAACUAGACUCAAUAAGCUUUAAUUCUAUAUUUUUUUCAUCCUCUAAUUCAAUUUACAAAAUUUAUGGUGAUUUUUCAAAGUUAACCUACGCAGCUGUCCAAACUGUUUUAAUGCAUGAUAUUAAUUACCAUUUUCCCCUAAGCUUUCAAUAAAUGAUAAUUUCAUCCUUACUCAAUUAACCUCUCAAUUGAGCUGAUUUUUCUCAAUUAACACAUUAUUCCAUCACUUUAAAGUACUUUAUAACCUUUGGAAAUCAGAAUUUUAGCACUAGACUUUAAUUCCAAACUUUUUCACAAUUAGGUCCUACAAAUCAAUUUUUAUUGAAAUUACCUAAUAAAAUCAUCUCAUAAACAAAUUAAAGCUUUAAUUUCAUGCUAUAUCAUCAUAUAUUUCCAGCACAUAUUCAUAGCAACUUUCAAUUUAGUAAUAGGACCUAGUUGUAAAAGUCUUAGGAACAUAAAAAUUACAAGAAAAAAAGCAAGGAUUAACUCACUUGGUGAAAAAAUCAUGAAAAACCAGCUUGAAUAAACCCUUAGGACAUUUUUGGCUGAUGAGAAUGCAGAAAAAUAAAGAGAAAUCUAGAUAAUUCCACUUUAGUCCUAACUUUUAAAGUGAAUUUUUGCAAUAUUCCAAUUUUACCCUUAAUUCUCCAAUUCUCCUGAUUUUUCUCAGCUUGUGCCGCCCAAAAUAUCUUCUUUUGGGCUUAUUUCAAUUUAUGUCCCUCCUCAUUUAACAAUUGAGCUAUUUAAUCCUUCUAGUAACUUUUACACCUUUUUCAAUUUAGUCCUUUUCACUUAAUUGACUGCCCAAACAUUAAAAUUUUCUAACAAAAUUUUAAUAUCAUAUUAAUAACAUUUCAUAAAUAUUUAUAAAAAUAUUUUUGACUCAGUUUUACGAGAUUGAGGUCUCGAUACCUUAUUUUUACCCAAUUUCUUCAAUAAUUUCUUUUUCUAACUAACCACUAAAUCGGUAAAAUUUUUCUAUCGAUAUUUUCAUACGAUUUUUCUAUCAUAUCAAUAUUCAUGCAAAAAUAUUAAAAUAAAUUUCUCUUUAAAUCAGAUUUGUGGUUACGAAACCACUGUUCCGAUAACCUUGAAUUUAGGCCAUUACAACUCCGACCAGUCGUCACCGCGCCGGCCGCCGGUCACCAAUGACGGCGCCGCCGUAUUCGGUGGCUGAAAAAAGGUAAAACCUCCAACCCUAUCCUUUCGACCCUCCUAAAUCCAAAUCUGGGUUCAAAAUUCCCAAAAUAUUAACAAAAACGCCCCAAAAGCUCAAGAAACCUUUCAGUUUUCGGCCACCUAUCCUCGAAGGUGACUUCCUCAGCCGUCCACGGCGUUGAAAAACCCAAAUACAGGUUAGUUUGUUACUCCAUUUUUCCUUUUGUUUUACUUUCGUAUGUGUAAAUAUGAUAAAAAUAAAAUAACAGUAGACCAAAAAUGAAACGAAGAUUUAGAAAAUAGCAGUAGAUGUAAACCUUUCGAGAUUUUUCUAUUGAUUUUGAGUUCUCUGAGUAUUCAAUCCCUUUUUUUAUUACAUUUAUUGAUGGGGCCUUUUAUAGCCGAUUUACAUGUUUUUUUUUCUUUCGCUUCUGUUCUUGUUGCUUCUGUGUUUGUCUAUUUUCUGUCCUGUUUGCAGGUCUUGGCAAGGUCAACAGACAUUGAAGGGAUAACCCCUGCCAUUUUGGUGCAAGGCCGUAGACGCCUGUCAGGCUUUGGGCGAUGAGUGCGCUGCAGGGGCACGAAGAGGGAGUGCGGCGCACAUGGAGCACUAGGGUUUCAGUUUUCCCCUGAAAGCAGUUUGGUUGUGGGCUGAAUUGGGUUAGGUUUUUUUAUUUUGGGCCAUACCAGGCUUGGCAUGUAAUUGGGGUUUGGGUUUGUUAUUGAGUUUUGGGCCCGGGCAAAAAUGGCCUAUUACACAAAUAAUAAAAAUUAAAAUCAAAUCAUCAUAUUUAUUAUAUUAGUCUAAAAAGCAACUGAUAAUAUAAUUGCUAAUAAAAGCUAAAAGAAAAAUCAACAUUGUAUGCAAUUUUAUCUAAUUAUUCUAGUGCAUAUUUGUUGCUUUAUUCCCUCUUCAAAAUUUAACAUAUGCUCCUUAUUAUCGUCUGUUGGUUUUUGAUCAAAUUCGUCAUCACCAAAAUUUGAAUUUGUAUCAUUAAGAUUAUCAAGAUUUCCUUCUUUCAUGUACUCUUUGAAGUAUGGAUCAUCUUGAUUCUACUUAUAAUUCAAGUUAUGAAAUAUGCAAUAUGCUAGUGUCAUGGGGUUAGACCUUUCAUCUCGCAAAUUGUGUGGCCUUAGACAAUUUCUUCGCUUCAAAUGUGUCUAAGUCAGCCUAACUUUCGCAAAGUGAGAAUUCUCGCAGAAUUCCUCUCUAAGGCAUUGAAAAUAUAGUGGAAGCAAUCUCAAAGACAAAAGAAAGCUAAAAAAAAACAUAAUAGCCACAAAAAAAGUAAAAGUACACCAAGUUAAAUGUUCUCAAUUAGUAUUUACUAAUAAAAAAAUGAAAUACAAUGGAUGAUUACAAAUUAGGGGAGGCUCUCUAUUUAUAGUUGAGUUCUCCCAAAACGGAAGAUAUAGAUUGAGUUACAUCGACGGAUGAGAUCGAAGCAUAUCUACAAUUAAGAGAUAAUCCCCAAGAUUACAAAAUUAAAUCUUAUCAUAUUACAAAUCUUCUAAGAUUUAUUUCCCUAUUUACCAAGGUAACCCUAAUUUUCCAUAAGUGCUUUGUUAGGCCACCAAGGCUUUAAGUAGAUGGGUUUCGUCACUUGUUCUUCAAAUUGGACCAAUUCAAGUGGGUUAAAUGAGGCCUAUUUUAUAUGUAGACCUCAAUAGGAUGCUCUUUGUGCCUUGGUCACGAGCUUUGAACCGUGGCCUGUGACACUAGUAUGAUCCAAUCUUUUUUUUUUAAAUGUUAUAUAAAUAUGAAAAAUAUUUUUUUUAGAAUAACAAAUGUCUUCUCAACUAAAAUUUGAAGUAGUGGUGGAUCCUAGGACAAAGUUUUGGGGUCAAAAAGAUCUUAGGAGUUUAAUAAGGAUUUUUUUUAAAAAAAUUUGGGAACUAAUUAAAUUUUUUUGAGAUUGAUGAGAAUUUUCAAAAUUUUGAGGGGGUGUGAUUAAAAUUUUCUAACAAUUUCAAGAGAGAAAUGAACAAAAAAAAAAAAUUUCUUCCUUUUCUUCUAUGUUGCAUCCAUUGAAAUGAGCAAAAAGGAAUAAAUCAAUUUUGAUUUUAGGGUUCCAAAUCUUAAAUGAAAGUAAGAGUUUGAAAACACAAAAUAUUAAUUUCCUUACUACAGGUUGAAAUUACGUGGAAUUAUUAUAAUUAGGUACCAAAAUGAAAAAGAAACCAUACCAAUAUUUCGUUAACAAAUUAAUAAAGAGUGGUUAAAAGAUAACCAAAUGAUAAUAUUAAUGAUGAAAGUGAAAGUUUUUUCGUAGUUCGAUGAUCAAAAUAAGAAAUGCUAAUAAUUAAGUUUGGAAGUAAUAAUAUUUAUAUGAUAAUAAUAAAUUUCAAAAGAAAAUUAUUUUUAAAAAAAUUGUAAUUAUAACAAUUUAAAUAUAUAUAAAAAAAGCAUCCAACAAAUAUAUCGAAAUAUUGCAAUAAAAGGAUGAAGAAAUCAUAAUAUAACCAUACAUGAAUUAGAAAUCAUUUUAUUUCAAAUAUAAAUGAAAUUUGAUAAUGAAAUAAAUUAAAUUAAACAAAUUAUAAAGUAAGAUAUGAAUAUAUAUAUAUAUAAGUUGUGAAAAAUUUUAAAAUAAAAUAAAAAAUUGUUCUAGAAAUCAUUGACUCUCACGUUCCACCCUCUUUUAUUUAUUAAUUAAUUAUAUUUUUUACUCUUCCACGGUCCUUUAUUUUUUGAAAGGAAAUCUCAUUUGGCUUGACACAAAAGUCAUACAUAAUAUUUGUUGUAUAUAGACUUAUUUCAAAUGUUUGAAUUUUCCAAAAACACACACACACAAAGUCGAUGUGGAAUUAAAAUUUUGGUGCCAAGGUCCACUACAUUUUCCACAACCACUAUAAUUAGACUAGAAUUAUCUCUCCGCGUACACUUGGGUUUAAAAUUUUUAAUUAAAAUUUAUUAUAAUCUUAACAUAGAAAUUAAAUUUGUGAUUAUUUUUAUAAUAGAAUAUAAAGUCUUAAAUUAUAAUGACAACAUAGUUGAGAAAAAUAUUUUAAUUUUAAAAAUGUAUAAAAACUGUUAAUUUUUUUAUUUAUUUUGGGACUAUUUGACAAAAAAACGUAAAUUUAAGGGCUAAAAAAGGUAAAAUAAAUAAAAAUAUAUGGAGACCUAAAAUGAUUUUUUUUAAAAAUAAAACUUUCAUAUUGUUAGUUUAAUGACUAAUGUUAUAAUUUAACCUUUAUUUUUGAAAGGGAAUCUCACUUAAAACGAUCCCACCACUUAGACUACAGUGGCGAAACUAGGACUGGUAAGGGCCCCUUAAAAUGAAAAUUUUUUCAUAUAGUCCCUUUAAAAUUUUUAAAAUUUUAAAUUAGUAAAGGUAAAAUUGUACUUUGGUCUCAUUUAAAAAUAUAAAAAUUUGAUUAAUAAACCUUUAUAUUAAUAUGUACAAAUAAUUUAUAAAUUAAAAAAUUAUCUUUUUAAAUAUAUAAAGUAAAUUUAUAAAUUAAAAAAUUUAUAAAAGAUGGAAUUACUUAAUAUAUUUAAUUUUCCUUUAAAUGAAACAAAUUAUUUGUUGACUUAUUACAUUUAUUCCGUAUGAUUUAAUUUUAAAUUUUAUUUUUUAAUCUUCACAGAAUUAUUAGAUACUUUAAGCAACUUAGAGAAGCUUGACACGAAUCGUAAUGAGGUGAAGGAAUUUGUGCCCAUAAAGAAUAAAAAUAUAUGCAUCAACUAAAUAAUAUAAAUUAUUUAAAAAUAAAACACUUUUCAUUAUUUGAUAGAUUCAUUGAUUACCAAAUAUACGAUAUUUCAAAAAAAAAACAAUUAAAGAAAUCCAGCACUUGAAAGUGCUGAUAGAGCAAUAAUUUGAAGCAGUUAAGAAACUUGUAGGAAGGGUAUAGAAAGAAGGUUGGAGGCUUGACGCCAAAAGUCACCAUAGUGGUCUGCUUAGAUCGUUUGGGGCGACUGAAUUUUCCACAUUGAAAACGAAGCCACUAUUGCUACGAAGACCCUUGAAUUUUCCACAAAGAAUUUAUCCCAUAAAUAGAAUUUAUCAUUACAUUAUAUCAAAUUAUGAAUAAUUCAGAGAUUUGCACAUGUACCUUUUUAUUUUAUUUUAUUUUUUCUUUUUUAUUAUUAAAUUCUUUUGAAGCAAAUAAAGAUAAAUUUAUUAUUUUAAAAUUAAUUAAUUAAAAUACUCAUAUUUUUAAAAUGUUAUCAUGGAAGGAGACUCUUUCAUUGUCAAAAUCCAAACAAAAGGAGGAAGAUUUCAUAGAUGGACAACUAGAACUAAACCUGUUUAAUUAUAAGUCGGAUCAGGCCUGCUCAAAAAGUGAGAGGGUUUGAGUAAAAUUAUAACCUUAAAAAAUGGGUUUAGACAAAAAAAUAAUGUCUGUUUAAAAACGGAUCAGACUUCAGGUAAGGCAUUUUUCACCCGAGUCCAAUCCGAAUUCACAAAAUGACAAAAAAAUCUACUAUUUUUUGUUAUUUUAAUUCUAUUUUCUUGUUAUUUUCUUCUUAUUUUGUUACCAUUUCACUAUUAUGUUAUUACUAUUUUGUUGUUAUUGUUUGGAUAUUAUAUAACACUUGUUUUAUUGUUAAUUUUGUUAUUCUUUUAGAGGCAUUUGUUUGUUAAGUUGCAUCUAUCUUAGUGUUAUUUAAGUAUACGUAUUUUUUAAAAUUUAUUUUUACUUUGUUGGAAAAUAUUUAAUUUAAUGUUUUUAGUAUUUUUGAUGUAUUAUAUAUAUUUAAAAAUUAUAUAAAAAUAAUAUAAAAAAUUAAUAUGGGCAGGUUGGGCCCGGGCCUAAAUUUUUGUUUGGGCCCAGUCGAACCCAACCCAUGAGCAUCUCUAUGGAGAAGCAAGAAAUGAAACUUUAUUGAUAAGUGUCAAAAGUAACAUAUUUUAGUCUCAUCCUUAAUAUUUUUUUUAGGUGAUUAUGUGACAUUAAUUGUGAAAUAUAUAUUUCUAAUCUUUUAUAUUCAUGUUUUGAUACUUAAUAAGGCGCUUGAAAAUAAUAUGAGUGAUAAAUAGUGGAAAUUAGAACUUUGAAGUAUUCCAGACGCUACGCACAUGCAUCAAAUUUUCACACAAACAAUUUAUGAUUUUUAAGUUUUUUUAGCAUUCUAACAACAUAUAAAUAAGGAAAUAAGAAGGGAGGAAGACAACCACGAAAUUACCUUCAGAACAUUAUUAAAGCCUAUUAAAUUAAAUUUUCUAACUCCUUUUGAAUUUGUAUUAGCAAAUUCAAAUAUAUUUACUCCAAAAUUAAAUUCGUCGUUUUUCUCUUCUAUUUUAUUUUAAUUUCUAACAUCUUAUUAAGUCUUUACAAUCUUGUUAUUAUUUUUCAAUCCAUAAUUUGUUAUUGAUGGGUGUCGAUUCCACCAAUAUAAACCUACGCCUAAUUUGCAAAUUUAAGCAGUAUAGGAAGUAGAGUUGAUCCCUUAGAGACUGGGUUUACUGCAAAUUAUUGCUCUCUUGACCAGAUUUAUAUCGGGGCAGUUGUCGUGCUCAAGAAGUUCGGGGGGAUAAAAUUUGAAACCUGAAAUAAAUAAAUAAAAUGCGUAAAAAGUAAAAGUUGAAAAUAAAAUAAUAAAAAGCAGUUAAAUAAAUCUGAAGAAAAAUGAAUUAAACUAAGCUCAGCUUUAGGCACGGGUUUUUCUCGUCUUUGAACUGAUCCUCGAAAUUAGAUGAACUCCUCUUUUCCAAUAAACUAGUUAUAGCUACCAAGGACGCCUCGGACACCAACUCUUCCUUGUGUAAAUUAGUUAAGAAACGUCCAAUAACUAACCCUUACCGAUCGAACAACCAACGAAAUGUUCAUGAUUUAGAACUCCGGCAGCUUUGCGUUCUAGAAGAUUCUAGCUCGAACCAAUGCCCUCAACCGCGUGGGACAUUUAAAUCUGGUUACUACUUCCCUUAACGGAACCAAACAGCAAUCCCCACUUGGCACGCCAAUGUGUUCACAGAAAACCGAUUAGACAAUCGAUCCUUUCGAAAUUCCAACUGUACGUCUAACCACACUAACUCAAACGACGUCUUUUUUGACUUAGUGUUGAUUUGACUUUGUGAGUUGACGAAGUCAUACUCUUAAUCCGGAGAAAUAAUAAGUACUGGAAUUUAGGAGUCAAAUUGCUCGGGUUCGUAACUCACGGAUCUUAACGAAGUUAACACCGGCCUAAAGCUGAAAUGGAUACUUAAUAAAAAAAUUGGUAAUUAAAAACUUGAUUAAUGACUUGAUUCAAGACUUGAUUCCUAAAUGAACAAUGUAGCCCCCUAUUUAUACUAGUGGCUUUGCUAAAUUAAGAGCCACUAGCCAUAGAGAAUCAAGGAAAUAAAAUAUUCCAUCAUAUAAAAAUCCCUACAUAAUCUCCCACUAAUUAAGUCAACAAAAAUUUCAGCUAAUUAUAUCUUGGAAAAUUUUUGCUUUGGCCCGCCUUCUUUGCUCUUUUCUUCAAUCUAGCCCAAUUGCUUCUCCUUUUUCUCUUUUGACCCCAAAUUGUACACCUGUGUAAAAUUUAAGUUAAACAUGGAAAAAUUAGUGGUGCACUCUCGUAAAUUAACCAAUUUAAUUACAUAAAAUAUGUAAUUUUAGCAUUUAAUCAAAUCCCUCUACUUAUUUAAUGCUAGUCCUCGAGCAUUAUGCAUGUAUCUACAAAAGGAAAAAUUUCUUCUAAAAUAGGACUUGACUCCCAUGGUUUGCACAAUUCAACAAUUUAAUCCUAGCACAUUAACAUCUCAAAUAACCUAGCCUAAGAAGGAAGUAAAUAUAUUUCAGAAUUUAUUAGAGCUUGAUAGACUUACCUUUCAUUUUAUUAUUUUUGUACUUGGGACAUUUUCGAAUUUUUUGACGCGAGACAUGAUGACAACCCAAGCACCAUGUUCCGGUUACUUGAUUCGGAUGUCUCUAAGCGGGAUAUUUCACCCUACUCGUGAUAGCUUGUUAGCGGAGUGAGUGCAAAGAAAUUGGACAGCCACAUGAACCUUUUUACGUGAGAUGUGAUGACAACCCAAGCACCACGUUCCGGUUACUUAGCCCGAUGUACAACCCCAAUUUUUCACUCUUAACAUUCGUAUCAGAGGAGUAUUAUUAUUCAUUUUUUCUUUUUUUUUUCCUUUUUUUUAAGACAAGAAGACAGAAAAUUGACAUGUGAUAUAAGGUAGGCAGUCAAGCAAACUCAUAAUUCGUAAAAAUUUCUUACCCACUAAGUCUAGGUUAUUGAAAAGUUUAUGUGUAAAGAACUAAAUGGCUAAAUAGGUCAAACCAUAAGUGUUCCAUCCCAAUUUAUCAAAAGAAAAAAUUUUACCUUUCACGGAAAACAUGCAAAAACAGCGACAAUGGAUAAGCAAAAUAGAACCAAUAUAUGUUCCUUUCCCCCUACUUGUUUUACAUUGUCCCUAAUGUAAUUUGAAUUGAAUUAAAUGAUAAAAAGUAAAGGUAAGUAGGGAAAGGAAAAAGAAACUCCCCAUGUAUUUCAACGUCAUGGAGGGUUGCCUCGUAGGUGUGUCCACGGUGUUAAAUAGUGGGUAGGUGGAUUGGGCCUUGGCUGAAAUUAAAAGAAUUUUAUGGGCUGACAUGGGAGAUUUAAUUUUGUCUUGGAAUGUCUCCCAAGUCUUCCCUUAGACAGAACUGAUCCUCGACAUGCAUUUUCAUUUUCCGUUUACCAAAAAUUUUAUUUGCAUAAAGGGAAAAAUUUGGGUUGCCUCCCAACAGCGCUUUGUUUAACGUCGUUAGCUCGCCGAUCUGUUAUUCAAAUUCUGGGCUCCCCAAGAACAAUUGUAAGUGUUGCCAGUCCCCAGCAACAGCGCCAAAACUGAUGGGUGUCGAUUCCACCAAUAUAAUCCUACGCGUAAUUUGCAAAUUUAAGCAGUAUAGGGACUAGGGUCGAUCCCUCAGAGACUGAGUUUACUGCAAAUUGUUGCUCUCUUGACCAGAUUUAUGUCAGGGCAGUUGUCGUGCCCAAGAAGUUCGGGGGGAUAAAAUUUGAAACCUGAAAUAAAUAAAUAAAAUGCGUAAAAAGUAAAAGCUGAAAAUAAAAUAAUAAAAAGCUGUAACACCCCUUACCCGAGACUGUUGCUGGAGUCGAGCACGAGGCAUUACCUGACUUACUUACUAAUUCGGAGCAUAAAAUUUGCUUUUAAAAUUAAUUCAUUCACAAUCAAUCCAUAUGUCCCUAAAAGAACUCUCGAGACCCCAAAAUCAUGUAAUAAAAAUGGUUCGGGUCCAAACCGGGAACAUUUAUAAUUUUCCGAAUACUUAAUCAAAUUAAAACAAUUUAUUUCACUAUUCACAAUAAAACUGUCCACCUGCGCAGCAGUCACUUAUUUAAUUAUAACUCGAGUUACGAAACUCAAAAUUUAGAUUCGUAAAUUUUCCCUGAAACUAGAAUCAUAUAUCUUUUUCACUGUCCAGCCAAUUAGUACAGUUUAUUCUUUAAAUUCUCCCCUGUUUCACUGCUCGACAGCUCUGACCCCUCUUCACUAAAAAUUAAUUAUCUUAUUGUACAGAAUUCAGAUAAUAUUAUCGUUUGUUUCUAUUGAAAAUAAAAUCACUAAGGAAUCUAGGCAUAUAAAUUAUAACUCAUAAUUCCUUCUAUACAAUUUUUAAUGAAUUUUUAAAGUCAGAACAGGGGACUUCAGAAACCAUUCUGACCCUGUCUCACUAAAAUUCAAAUAUCUCAUAAUAUAUAACACUUUUUCUACUCUAUUUCUUUCAUGUGAAAAUAGACUCAUUCAGAUUUAAUUUCCUAUCUCACUCAGGUUCUAAUUCAAUUUAUUCUAUUUUUGGUGAUUUUUCAAAAUCACGUCACUGCUGCUGUCUAAAAACUGUUUCAUUGCAAAUUUUUACUCUCUUUUUUGGUGAUUUUUCAAAAUCUGAAGAAAAAUGAAUUAAACUAAGCUCAGCUUUAGGCACGGGUUUUUCUCGUCUUUGAACCGAUCCUCGAAAUUAGAUGAACUCCUCUUUUCCAAUAAGCUAGUUAUAGCUACCAAGGACUCCUCGGACACCAACUCUUCCUUGUGUAAAUUAGUUAUGGAACGUCCAAUAACUAACACUUACCGGUCGAACAACCAACGAAACGUUCGUGAUUUAGAACUCCGGCAGCUUUGCAUUCUAGAAGAGUCUAGCUCGAACCAAUGCCCUCAACCGCGUGGGACAUUUAAAUCCGGUUACUACUUCCCUUGACGGAACCAAACAGCAAUCCCCACUUGGCACACCAAUGUGUUCACAGAAAACCGAUUAGACAAUCGAUCCUUUCAAAAUUCCAACUAUACGUGUAACCACACUAACUCAAACGACGUUUUUUUUUACUUAGUGUUGAUUUGACUUUGUGAGUUGACGAAGUCAUACUCUUAAUCUGGAGAAAUAAUAAGUACUGGAAUUUAGGAGUCAAAUUGCUCGGGUUCGUAACUCACGGAUCUUGACGAAGUUAACACCGGCCUAAAGCUGAAAUGGAUACUUAAUAAAAAAGAUUGGUAAUUAAAAACUUGAUUAAUGACUUGAUUCAAGACUUGAUUCCUAAAUGAACAAUGUAGCCCCCUAUUUAUACUAGUGGCUUUGCUAAAUUAAGAGCCACUAGCCAUAGAGAAUCAAGGAAAUAAAAUAUCCGAUCAUAUAAAAAUCCCUACAUAAUCUCCCACUAAUUAAGUCAACAAAAAUUUUAGCUAAUUAUAUCUUGGAAAAUUCUGCUUUGGCCUGCCUUCUUUGCUCCUUUCUUUCUUCAAUCUAACCCAAUUGCUUCUCCUUUUUCUCUUUUGACCCCAAAUUGUACACCUGUGUAAAAUUUAAGUUAAACAUGGAAAAAUCAGUGGUGCACUCUCGUAAAUUAACCAAUUUAAUUACAUAAAAUAUGUAAUUUUAGCAUUUAAUUAGUUAUUUAUUAGUUUAGAUUUUUUUCUAUGUUGAAUAUAUUUUAGUAAAUAAUAUUUCAUAUUUAACUCUAAAUUUGUUUUUUUAAUAAUAUACACUAGUUAUUCAAUAUAAAUUAAUGUAUCUAAUAAAAUAUAUUUUAAAAUCUAUAUUUUAAAUAUUUUAAGAUUAGAAACCUAAUUUAAAUUUAUUCAAAAGGACAUUUUAAUUAUUAAGUAAUUUAAUUUUAUAAAUAAUUAUAUAUAUCUAUUUGAACAACAAAUACAUAGUAUAUUUAAAAUAUAAUUAAUUAAUUAAAAAUAUUAUUUUCUAUCAUUGUUUUUAUGUAUCUACUUAAAUUUAAAACUAAAAGGAUGUAUGAUAAUGAAUAAGAAAAAUAAUCAAUUAUUUUAUUGAAAAUAAUUCAACUCUAAUUUAAGAUUAAAUAAAGACAGAUGAAGGCUAUUAUAUUAGAAUUAACUUUUUUUUAGUUUUUAUAUAAUUGGAAUUUACUAAUAUGAAGUAAAAAAAAUGCAUUUUAAUAUUGUAACAUUCAUUUACUUUAUAUCAACAAAAUGUUCAACCUUGAAAACAUUAGUUAUGAUUUUUUUUUUGAUAUAUUUACUCAAAUGAUAAAAAUAUUAAUUGAUGUAAAUAAAUAAAAAAUGAUGCAUUUGCAUUUGGUAAGAUUUAAUUAAACAAUAAAAUGUUUUUUUUAUUCUCAUUGAAUAAUUUACUUAUAAAAAUAAUUGUUUCAAAACAUGAAUAUCAGAUCAUAUCUAAUUACCUACAAUAUGAAAUGAGAAAAUUCAUAAAUUUAUUUACUUCAAUUGAAUAAAUUCAAAAAAAAAAUAAACUAAAUAUUCUUAUAUAAAACAUUUACUUUAUAAUUUUUUAAUAAAUUUCAUAUAAUUAUUUGUAAUUAAAUCUAAUAUAAAUAAAAAGACAAACCCGCAGAGCGGGGUUAUAUCCCUAGUAUAGUAAUAAAAUCAAUGCAAUGGGACCCAACUUUUGGAAGAAGAGAGGAUUUCAAGUUGUCUAUAUAGGCUUUGGUUGAUUGAAAUGCAGGAAGGUAUCAAGUGAGUGGUUUGUUGAUUUAGAGAAGAUGGAGGCUAAAUCGUUGUGGGUACUACUCGCUACACUUGUGUUUAUCAUACAAGGGUGGCCACAGACUGAGGGGUGCUUGGAGCUGGAGAGAAUUGCUCUCUUCCAACUCAAAUCUAAUUUCUUCAAUCACCCUUCAUAUUUGAAGGACUGGGUAGAUGUGAAGGGUUCGAAUUGUUGUCAGUGGGAAAGAAUUGAGUGCAACAUCACCAGUAACCGAGUAAUUGGUCUCUAUCUUUAUUCUGUACGUCAAAGUGAUACAUAUGGGUAUCUCAAUAUCUCUUUAUUUCUUCCAUUUGAAGAAUUAAAGAAUCUUUAUUUGAGUGACAAUAAAAUUACAGGUCUUGUGAAUAACCAAGGUUUAUUGCUUUUCUUCUCUCCAAUGACUGAUUCAUCUUUAAAAUUUGAUUUAAUGUUUUCUAAUUAAUUCGUUUAUUUUACAGAUGAGAAAGUGCAAUCGAUGAUGAAUCUGGAAGUGCUUGAUUUGUCUCGUAAUCUCUUGAAGAACAAUGAUGUGGCAUUUCUUAAGGGGUUAGCUAGUUUAAAGUCCUUGAAUAUGGGAGGAAACCAAUUGGAAGGGUCAAUAGGUAUUACAGGUAUGUAAAAUUUCGUAAAAUAAAAAUAACAAGCUAUACGUAAAUUACAAUUUCAUGAAUCUUUUUAACUAUUAAAAAAUUAUAUCCAAAUAUAUUUCCUUCAUAUAGGUAGUAAAAUAAAGGCAUAAUGAUUUUUUUGACCUUCCAACUUUAUAAAAAAAAAUCAUUUUUAGUCCUUAAUUAAAUUUUUUGUCUAUUUUAGUCUUUACACAUGUUUUUUUUUUCAAAUCACGCCAAAAUAGAUGGUUGGUAAUGUGGCAAACAUGUGGAUUUCCAUGUAACUGACAGAUCAUUUAAUUAAAUUUUUUUAAAAUUUAAGUUUUUUUAAAUUUCUAUUUUUUAAUAGUUUUAAUGAUGUUUAAUUUUUAAAAAUACUUUUUAUAUUUUUUUGAAUUUUUCAGUUUAAAAAAAAAUUAAAUGCUGACGUGUUAUCCACAUGACAAUCCAUGUGUAUGUAAUGUCAACAAAGUUUUAAAAUGUUAAUUUUUUUAUUCACUUUAAGAUAAUUUGACAAAAAAAUACAAGUUUAAGGAUUAAAAACAUGAAAAAUUAAAUGGAAGCAUAAAAUAAUUUUUUUUUAUAAAGUUGAAAGGUUAAAUAAGUUAUUAUGCUUAAAAUAGAAUGUAUUUGAUGACUUUUUUUUAUCAAGGAAAGUAGUUGGAUUUCAUGAACCAAAAUUACUUAAUCUUUGUCAUAUGACUUUGUUUGAGUGACAAAAAAGAUAUUUGAUUGAUUUGAAUAGUAUUGAAUAACUUGACAAAGCUAAAGGAGUUGGAUUUGAGUGGCAAUAAAAUUGAGAGCCUGAAAUCUCCUCACGGUAUGUGUUGAUUUACUUUACUUUCUCAUAUUCUCGCAUAUACAUUCCAAUAUCUCAUUUAAAAUUCUAUUAGUAAUAAAUUUGCUUAUCUAAAUGCUUUGUAGAGGGGCUAGUUAAUUUGACUAAUUUAGAAGAACUUAAUAUGGAUUACAACUACUUCAAAAACAACUCAUUGGCAUAGCUUAGUGGGUUUUCCAAUCUAAAGUUAUUGAGUAUAAGCGAAAACCAGCUUAAAGGAUCAAUAAAUAUUAAAUGUGGAAUUACUUAAUAUAUUUAAUCUUCCUUUAAACAAAGCAAACUAUUUGUUGAAUUAUUGUCUUUAUUAUGUGUGAUUUAAUUUUAAAUUUAAUUUGUCUAUUUUUAUAGAAUUAUUAGAUGCUCUGAGCAAUUUAGAGUCACUGAGAAAAAUAUUUUAAUUUUAAAAAAUGUAUAAAAUUUAUAUAUUAUCUCUUGAAUAAUUUAAAUUAUAAUGAUAUUUUUAAUAUAUUAAAAUUAAUAUAUUAUCACUUUUACUAUUAUAUAAAAAAUUAUAUUAACAUAUAAAAAUCAUUUAUAAAUUAAAAAUUUAUCUCUCUAAUAUAUUAAGUAAUUUAUAAAUUAAAAAAUUUAUAAAAAUUUUGAUGUUGAGAGACUUGGUAAGUGUCCAUAUAUUUUACUUUAUCAAAUUGCUACAUUUAUUAUACUAAUAUCUAAAUGCUUUGUAGAUACAAUUUAAAUCUCAUUAAUUAAUUUUUUAUUAAUAUAUUAUAGUUUUUUAAUUUAAAAAUUCAAUCUAAAUAUUAAAUGUUGUUAUAAGUGUAUAACAAUCACUUAUCUAUAACAUCCAAUAGUGGUUAUACAAAAGUUGACUAUAAGUGAAUUUUUGUGACUAACAAAAAAUGUAUUGAAUUUAUUUGGAUAGUAUUGAAUAAUCUGACAAAGCUAAAGCAGUUGGAUUUGAGUGACAAUAAAAUUUGAGAGCCUCCAAUCAUCUCAUGGUAUGUGUUGAUAUAUUUUACUUUAUCAUAUUCUUACAUAUACAUACCAAUAUCUUAUUUAAUAUUCCAUUAGUAAUAAAUUUGUUUAUCUCAAUGCUUUGUAGAUGGUGAGAGGCCACUUAAUGUAACCAAUUUAGAAGAGCUUAAUUUGGAUUCCAACUCCUUCACAAACAGCUUAUUGGCACAGCUUAGUGGGUUUUCCAAUUUAAAGUCACUAGAUAUAGGGUAUAACCAGCUUAAAGGAUCAAUAAAUAUUAAAGGUGGAAUUACUUAAUAUAUUUAAUCUUCCUUUAAAUGAAAUAAACUACUUGUUGAGUUAUUGCAUUUAUUCUAUGUGAUUUAAUUUUAAAUUUUGUUUGUCAAUUUUUACAGAAUUAUUAGAUGCUUUAGGAAACUUAGAGGAGUUAGACAUGAGCGGGAAUGAGGUGAAGGAAAUUGUGCCCAUAAAGAAUAAAGGUAUAUGUAUCAACUAAAGGAAAUCUUACUAAUUGUUUUCCAUUAGAUAUCAAGUGAACUGAUUCCAACCACUAAUUUGACUCUUAGACAAUGGAAGUUUGGGAAAGCUAAAGGUUGCUACAUUAAACCGUGUGUUCACCGAUGGAACUGCUUCUCUAAUACAACUUCUAGAGACAUUCUCAUCUGUUAAUACAUUAUAUUUGAGUGACAAUUACUUCAACGACACCUUUUCUACUCAAGGUAUAAUAUAUAUGUAUGUGAAUAUAUAGUUUUAUAGUUUGGUUCCAUUUAAAAAUAUUAUUUACUUAACGUCAAUCAUCUAAAUAACUCUUAUAAAUUUGUAAAGAUAAAUUGCAUGUGUCGAGCAAAAUUGAGGAAUUAGUACUAGAUCAAUCAUCUCUCAACAACAACAUUCUUCAAAGUAUUGGUGCAUUGGCUUCUCUUAAAAUUGUCUUUGAGUGGUUGUGGGCUGUCUGGGACAUUACCUACCCAAGGUAAAUUAAUAAUUAUGACAUAAUUAUUUAGACAAGCUCUUGAUUAAUUAUUUUUUAUCCUCCUAGAAUAUUUAAAUAAUUUGUACAAAUUUAUUUUACAGGAUGGUGUGAUUUACGGAAAUUUGAGGUGUUGGAUCUUAGUGAAAAUGCUCUUAAAGGAACCCUCCCUUCAUGUUUGGCUAACUUGUCAUCACUUCAUUAUUUGGAUAUUUCCGGUAAUCAAUUCGUCGGGAAAGGUGCCUCCACUGCCUUAGCCAAUCUCAAUUUGCUUAAAUUCAUUUCUCUUUCACGAAACCUUUUCGAAGUUCCUUCCAUUUUCAUAUCUUUUGCCAACCAUUCACACCUCAAAGUACUCUCCAGCAAUCAAAACAAGUUAGUCGAAGAGCCUACCAUUCCAACAUGGGUCCCAAAGUUCCAACUAAAAGCCUUCCGUUUGUCAAAUUGCACAACAAAGGAACUCCACAUUGAACUUUCGAAAUUCCUCUAUUACCAAAAUAACCUGAGUAUUAUUGAUCUUUCAUAUAAUAAUUUUGAAGGAAAGGUUCCUUUUUGGUUGUUAGAGAACAAUACAAGAAUGGAAGCAUUUUUAAUGACGGGUAACUCUUUUAUGAGUCAUCUCAAUCUUCCAUCUCAUCCGAAUCCAAACAUAUCCUUUGUUGAUAUAUCUGACAACAAAAUACAAGGUCCAAUUCCAACAAACAUUUGUUCAAUCUUUCCACAACUAAAUGGGUUAAACCUAUCAGGCAAUUCCCUUCAAGGUAAUAUUCCUCCUUGUCUGGGUAGUUUGACCACUUGGAAUUUAUUAUUAGAUCUGUCACAUAAUCAGCUAUCUGGAGGAAUACCAGAAAUGUUAGCUCAAAGUGACUCGUUGAGGUUUCUUAGGCUAUCAAAUAAUCAUCUAAGUGGAAAGAUAACCCCAACGAUCUUUUGCUCAACUUCAUUACGAUUGCUAUAUUUAGAUGGCAAUAACUUUGAUGGAAAUAUACCUAGCAUUGUUAUCUCAACUUUCCUUUCAUAUUCCCUUGUUGAUAUGGAUUUAAGUAACCACAAUUUGUCCGGAGAGCUCCCAAGAUGGAUAUGGAAAGUGUCAAAUUUAAAUGCAUUGUCAGUAUCCAACAAUCAGCUCAAGGGUCUCAUUCCGAUGGAAUUGUGCUAUUUGGAUUCCCUUAAAAUUUUAGACCUUUCAGAAAAUAAAUUUUCUGGCCUAAUACCAUCUUGCUUCGAUGCACAAUCUAUCAUGCAUCUCCAUUUGAGCAAAAAUAGAUUAAGUGGCACCUUGACAAAUGCAUUCUUUAAUAGCUCUUCCUUGGUGACUUUAGAUCUUAGUGAAAAUCAGCUGAGUGGAGAAAUUCCAUACCAGAUUGGAACUCUUUCUGCUUUGAGUGUUCUACUUCUAAAAGCCAAUUAUUUUAUUGGAGAAAUUCCCAUUGAGAUAUGUAAAUUGUAUUCUUUAAGUAUCAUUGAUCUUUCUCAAAACAAGCUUUUUGGUCUGAUACCUUCUUGUUUGAGUCGUUUAACUCUUGAUCCAAAUGAUGAAAAAUCUUCAACAAAGACCUAUGUGGAGGGCUCUGGAGGAAUCUUUGAGCCGGGUAAUUACUUUGGAGUGACUGAAUUUGAAUUUUUCACUUUAAGAGGAUACUGAUGAAGUUGGUUCAGCAUGCAGCAAACUCAACAGCAUGCAGGCCAUGAAGACCAAGUCGUGCAGGAGCUGCUGGAACGAGCUGAACUAUUCCUAUUUUGUUCAUCUAGUAAUCUUAAGUUAAUGUAUUGUACUUUAGUUCAUUUAGAACUAUGUUAGGUUUAUGAUUGAUGUAAUUUUGAUGACAAUUGAGCUGUUAAGUCAGCUUUGUUUAAGUGUGUAAGCUUAGUUUUUCAAGUUUCAAUGUAUUAGUGGUAGUAUGUGAUGAUUAGGUAUCAUUAUGCAGAUUUUGACAAGCAAAUUGCUUGGUUUAUGUAUUGGCAUUAUGCCAUUGUUCAAUAUAUGGAUGAAAUCAGCUUUGUUCAUCAAUAUUCUCUCAAAUUUCCUCAGCUUAUUUUCUUCUUUCUUCAACUCGAAAUUGUUUGUUUGCUCAGCAAGAUUCGAGGCUUGCUCGACAAGAUACUUGCUGAGUCUGUUUGAUUCUGCUGUUGCACCAACAAUUGGUAUCUAGAGCUUAUUUCUUAAGGGACCUGUUAUACAAAUCCAUGGCUUCAUCAAGCUUUUCACCAGCUGCACCUCAAGUCUUCAAUGGGGAAGGCUAUCACAUAUGGGUGGUCAAAAUGAAGACCUACCUGCAGGCUUUCGAUCUGUGGGAGGUGGUCAACUCUGAUGUUGAACCAGAGCCACUUAGAGCUAAUCCAACGGUGGCUCAGAUCAGGCAGCAUGCUGAUGAAAGGACCAAGAGGCACAAGGCUAUGUCUUGCAUCCAAAACUCAGUGUCUGAUGUGAUUUUCACAAGGAUUAUGGCCUGUGAAUCACCAAAACAGGCCUGGGACAAGUUGCAGGAAGAGUUUCAAGGGACUGAGAGGACAAGGCAACAACAGUUGUUAAACUUGAGGAGAGAUUUCGAGAAUUUGAAGAUGAAGGAAGAAGAAACUGUCAAGCAAUAUUCUGACAGGAUUAUGGCUGUGGUUAACAGCAUCAGGCUCCUUGGAGAGCAGUUCAAUGAAGCUAGGAUAGUGGAGAAGGUUAUAGCAACUCUGCCUGAGAGGUAUGAGGCAAAAAUCUCAUCUCUCGAGGACUCAAGGGACCUGUCCACCAUCUCCCUGACAGAGUUGAUCAAUGCUCUAUAUGCUCAAGAGCAGAGGAGAGCAAGCAGACUGGAGGAGCACCAAGAAGGUGCCUUUCAGGCAAGAACAAAUACUACCUACAAAGGCAAGAAGGCCUGGAGAGACAAGCCAAAGGAUAAUGCUGCAAGAAGAGAAGGUCAGACUUGCAAGCACUGCAGAAAGGCUAGUCAUUCAGAAGAAAAAUGCUGGUUUAAUCCAGAUGCUGUGUGUCAGCAUUGUAAGAAAAAGGGUCAUGUUGAGAGAGUCUGUAAGAGCAAGGCCAAAUCAAGGCGCAAUCAGUCUCAACAGAUGAAAGCUGAGGCUCGAGUAGCUAAAGAGGACAGUGACCAAGAGGAGCAAGUCUUUACUGUGUCAUGCUCAGCUGCUCAGGAAAGGUCCUCAUCUGGUUGGCUCCUAGACAGUGGAUGCACCAACCACAUGACACCUGAUGCUGCAAUCUUUAAGUCUUUAGACAGAAGCUGCAGAACUAAAGUCAAGAUAGGAAAUGGUCAUUUUAUUCAAGCUGAAGGCAAGGGUGAUGUUCUGAUAUGCACCCUUACAGGUACCAAAGUGAUUUCAAAUAUGCUGUUGGUGCCUGAAAUUGACAGAAACCUGCUCAGCAUAGCUCAGUUGCUGGAAAAAGGUUACUCAGUUGUGUUUAAAGACCACCAAUGCCAAAUCAGUGAUCCAAGUGGAUCCAAACUGAUGGCAGUCCCUAUGGCUGAUAAGAGCUUUGUGGUUGACUGGACAAAAAAGUCAGACAUUGCCUACACAGCCACUUCAGAUGAAUCCAAGCUGUGGCAUCAAAGACUGGGACAUGCCAACUUCAGAUCGAUGGCCCGAAUGAUCAGAGAAGACCUGGCUGAAAACUUCAUCAACUCAGUAGACCAUGAUGAUGUAUGUGAAGUAUGUCAGCUAGGAAAGCAGGCCAGACUCCCAUUUCCCUCGAAUCAAGCCUGAAGAGCCUCUGAAAAACUCCAACUGGUGCAUACUGAUGUGUGUGGACCUAUGAAGACUGAGUCAUUGAGUGGAAACAGGUAUUUCAUACUGUUCAUUGAUGAUUUCUCGAGAUAUUGCUGGAUUUACUUCUUAAAACAGAAAUCAGAGGUGGCCACUGUGUUUUGGAAGUUCAAAACUGCUGCUGAGACUAAAACAGGCUGCAGGGUGAAGACCAUAAGGUCUGAUAAUGGGACUGAGUACACCUCAGCUCAGUUCCAAGCCUUCUGUGAUAAGGCAGGCAUCAAACAUCAACUUACCAACACAUAUACACCUCAGCAGAAUGGGGUAAGUGAAAGGAAGAAUAGGAGUUUGAUGGAUAUGGCCAGGUGCUUGAUGAUUCAGAAGAAUCUGCCUAAAGCACUAUGGGCAGAAGCAGUUAACACUGCAACAUACAUUCAAAAUAGACUUCCAACCAGGGCUUUGGAUCAAAAGACCCCAUUCGAGGCCUGGUUUAGCUUCAAGCCAUCACUGGCUCAUCUGAAGGUCUUUGGAUGCAUCUGUUAUGCACAUGUACCUGCUGUUAAAAGGGACAAAUUGUCUGAAAGGGCUCGACCUGGUGUUUUGGUGGGCUAUAGCACUGUUAAGAAGGGCUAUAGGAUUUUAGAUCCUUCAACAAACAAAGUGUCAGUAAGCAGGGAUGUGGUAUUUGAUGAGAGGUCAUGUUGGAACUGGGAAAGACAUGAACCUGAAGAAGUUUUUGAAGAACUUGCAACAGACCAAGCUGAGCCAGACCAAGAUGUCCCUGAAAUGGAUAUUGAUGAUGAACCAGUCAGAGGAACAAGGCCAUUGGCUGAAAUUUAUGAAAGGGCUCAUGUAGCCAUAGCUGAACCAAGCAACUUUGAAGAGGCUGAGGCUCAGAAAGGGUGGAAGCAGGCAAUGGCUGAGGAGAUCAGCAUGAUUGAGAAGAACCACACCUGGAAAUUGGUUGAAAGGCCAGUCAAAAGGAAAGUGAUUGGGGUGAAAUGGGUGUACAAAGCCAAGCAGAAUGCUGAUGGUACCUUGAACAAGCUGAAAGCAAGGCUAGUUGUCAAGGGGUUCAGUCAGAGGUAUGGCUUGGACUACCUGGAGACCUUUGCACCAGUGGCCAGGCUCGACACCAUCAGACUGCUGAUUGCCUUAGCAGCACAGCUUGAAUGGAAGAUCCAUCAACUUGAUGUGAAAUCAGCUUUUCUGAAUGGUUUCUUAGAUGAAGACAUCUAUGUUGAACAACCACAAGGGUUUGAAAUAGCUGGCAGAGAGCAUAUGGUCUACAAACUGAAGAAGGCCCUAUAUGGAUUAAAGCAGGCUCCAAGGGCCUGGUAUAGCAGAAUUGAUGGCUACUUGACUGAUCUAGGAUUCGAUCGAAGCAAGAGUGAGCCAACACUGUAUGUCAAGAAACAAGGGACACAAAUACAACUCAUUGUGUCCCUGUAUGUUGAUGAUCUUCUGGUGACAGGAGGAGAUCGAGUAGUGCUGGCUGAUUUUAAGACCAAGAUGCAGGAAGUGUUUGAAAUGUCUGAUCUUGGGGAGAUGUCAUACUUUCUUGGAAUGGAGGUGUCUCAAGUACAGAAUGAGAUAUUUCUAAGCCAGAGAAGCUUUGCCACAAAGAUUCUGACCAAGUUCUCCAUGCAAAACAGCAAGGCAACUAAAACACCUGUUGCUGUUGGAGAAAAACUAUCGAGCCAAGGUGAUUUUAAGAAAGUUUCUGAAACAACCUACAGGAGUCUAGUUGGUUGCUUGCUAUACUUGACUGCCACUAGACCAGACAUUAUGUAUGCUGUAGGAUUGCUCUCAAGGUUCUUGCAUUGCUGCAAUGAGAAGCAUUUCCAAGCUGCAAAGAGAGUGCUGAGAUAUGUCAAAGGCACUUUAAACUAUGGUUUGAAGUACAGCAAAGAAGGAAAUCUGAAGCUGGUUGGCUACACUGAUAGUGACUGGGCUGGCUCAAUAGAUGACAUGAAAAGCACCUCAGGGUAUGCUUUUAACCUUGGUUCAGCCAUGUUUUGUUGGAGCUCAAAGAAGCAAAGUCUAGUAGCUCAAUCUACUGCUGAAGCAGAGUAUGUGGCAACAGCAAGUGCUGUCAACCAAGCCAUAUGGCUAAGAAAAAUAUUGGCUGACUUGAAUGUGCAUCAAGAGGAAGCUACUGAGAUCUUCUGUGACAACCAAUCUGCAGUAGCAAUUGCUAAAAAUCCAGUGUUCCAUGGAAGAACAAAACAUUUCAGCAUCAAGUUGCAUGUUGUUCGAGAAAUGGAGCAAGCUCAGGAAGUAAAGCUGAUCUACUGUAAUUCAGAAGAUCAACUUGCUGACAUUUUAACCAAAGCUCUUAGUGUCACAAGGUUUGAAUAUCUAAGAAAGAAGCUAGGUGUUUGCUCCAUGCAAACCAAGGAGGAGUGAUGAAGUUGGUUCAGCAUGCAGCAAACUCAACAGCAUGCAGGCCAUGAAGACCAAGUCGUGCAAGAGCUGCUGGAACGAGCUGAACUAUUCCUAUUUUGCUCAUCUAGUAAUCUUAAGUUAAUGUAUUGUACUUUAGUUCAUUUAGAACUAUGUUAGGUUUAUGAUUGAUGUAAUUUUGAUGACAAUUGAGCUGUUAAGUCAGCUUUGUUUAAGUGUGUAAGCUUAGUUUUUCAAGUUUCAAUGUAUUAGUGGUAGUAGGUGAUGAUUAGGUAUCAUUAUGCAGAUUUUGACAAGCAAAUUGCUUGGUUUAUGUAUUGGCAUUAUGCCAUUGUUCAAUAUAUGAAUGAAAUCAGCUUUGUUCAUCAAUAUUCUCUCAAAUUUCCUCAGCUUAUUUUCUUCUUUCUUCAACUCGAAAUUGUUUGUUUGCUCAGCAAGAUUCGAGGCUUGCUCGACAAGAUACUUGCUGAGUCUGUUUGAUUCUGCUGUUGCACCAACAGAUACGAGUCAUUAGAUGUAGAUUUCGAAAUUGAGAAUCAAAUGGAAGAAAAGGUGGAUUAUACAACAAAAAGAGCAUCUUACACAUACAAGGGAAACAUUCUUAAAUACAUAUCGGGAAUUGAUUUAUCAUGUAAUAGAUUAACAGGUGAAAUUCCCAGAGAGAUUGGAAAUUUGAGUGAAAUCCGAUCACUAAACUUGUCGCACAACAAUUUGACUGGACAUAUACCGUCAACGUUCUCAAAGCUCAAGCAAAUUGAGAGUUUGGACCUGUCUCACAACAACUUAAUUGGAAGAAUCCCUGUUCAAUUGACGAAGUUGUACGCCUUAGCAAUCUUCAAUGUGUCAUACAACAACUUGUCAGGGAGUAUUCCGUCUCCAAAAGCUCAAUUUGGAACCUUCGACGAAAGCAGUUACGUGGCGAAUCCUUUCCUCUGCGGGUCUCCCCUGCAUAAAAAUUGUAGCGACCUUGAUUCACCCCCGACAGCAGCACCAAAGAGCUCAAACGAGGAAGAAGAAAGUGGUUUGAUGGACAAGUAUGUUUUCUGGGUGACCUUUUUUGUUUCUUACGUGAUUGUGUUACUGGUUAUUGUUCUCAUCCUGUAUAUAAAUCCUCAUUGGCGACAAGCAUGGUUUUCUUUUGUUGAACACUGCAUCAAGACCUGCCAAUAUUUUAUUGAGGACAAUCUUUUGUGAUUUUCCAUCUUCAAAAGGAGUGGGUAGCCUUGUACUCUGGUGGUUUACAUUUGUAUGUAAUUUUCAUCACUCUUUUUUUUUUUCAAAGUUUGAUUGGAUUAUCUGCUAGCUUCUAAGUUUUUAGAGCUAGAAUGCAAUAUAUCUGUUAUGUAAAGCAAUAUAUAAUGUAAUACCCAAUUUUAGACUGGGCUCACAAAAAAAAUAAUAAACCUAAAAUAAUAAAAUAAAGUCUAAGUCCAGUACAAAAUUAUAUCAUUUGGCCCGAUCGGAAUUGCCCAUUACUUGAAAAGGUUGAAAGUCCAUCUAUAAGCUUAUGGAAACAUAUUCUUCAAAGAUAUGCAAUCUUAGAUAUGAUAUGCAAUCUUAGAAGAUAUAAUUUUGUAAUAUUAGAGAUUUAAUUUGUAGAUACCCUUUAAUCUUAGCCGUUGAUGUAAUUGAUCUGUACCGUUGGAUUUGGGGAGGCUCAACUAUAAAUAGAGGCCUCUCCCUUCAUUAUAAAAAAAAGGGGGUAAUAAUAAUUCUUAAGAGUAUUCACUCAAAUUUCUCUCUCUCUUGCAUUCUUAUUUUCUUUGGCUUGUUCUUAUUUUGUUGAUUUGUGUAUAAUUUAUUUAUUGAUUUGUAUAUUGUUGAUUUCAAAUCUCUUUUUCCCUUAUUAUUCAUUUUCAAAUUCAUUAUUUUCAAAAUUGUUUACAUUUUAUUUUACCUUAUAUUUUUUAUUUUAUACUCUUUGUUUUAAAUUCAUUGGUCUUUGAUUAUUGAUGUUAUUUGAUCAUCUAUUUGUUAUUUUAGUUUUUUUAUUAUUAAAUUAAUUAUUUUAAUAUUAUUAAACUAUUAUGUGGCAUCAUUAAUCUUGUAUCAUAUAUAGUAUACAUAUACUUGUAUAUAUUUUAUACAUAGGUUUUUUAUUUUUAUUUCCUAACUUUUAUAUACAUAUAUAUAUACUUUUAUGUUUUAGUUUCAAUUUUUUUUUACUUUGAUAAAUAUGUAUAUACGUAUGUUUUCUUAUAUUAUUCUUCAUAAUUUUUUUAUUUUUUUGAUUAAUUAAUUUCAAUAUAUGUAAUUAUUUUUUUUAAAUUAUCCUUUUUUAUAAUCUAUAUAUAUGUAUAUAAUUAUUAUAUAUAUAUAUAUGUACAUGUAUAUAUUUAUUUUUUAAUGAAUAUUUUCAUAUUUAUAUGUAUAUAUUUGUGUUUUUUUUAAAUGAUUAAAUGCUUACUUAUUUUUUAAAACACGCCUAUUUUUUAUUAUUUUAUAUAUAUACGUAUAAUUAUAUAUAUUUUUUAUUUUCAUAAAUACAUUAUAUAUUUUGUUAUAUAAAUUCUAUAACUCUAGAUUUCAUAUGUAAAUCCAUGUGCAUAUUUUUUUAUUCUUCAUAGGUUCAAUGUAUAUAUUAUGCAUUUUCUUUUCUUUAUAUGUUUUUUGCUUAUUUCAUUCAUUUGUUUAUCAAUUUAUCUUUUUAUAUUUUUUAUUUUGCUCAUUUAUUUGAUAUUUUGCAUGUCAUUAUUUAUUUAUUUAUUUAUUUAUUCAUAUUAUUUCUAUAUAAUUGUUGUAUUUACUAUUGAUAUUUGUUAAAGAGGCAUUUAUUCAUACAUUCAAUAUAACAUUACAUCAUCCUUUUACUCAAAUUUAAAAAUGGAACUUUUCAAAAUAGAGAUAAUACUCGUAUUUAGGAUUUUCAAGAAAAUUGAGCCCUAACGUAUUGGGUUCCGAUUUUCUUCGUUAAAUCUAACAAUCGAGAUUUACUCUUUGAUCAAAAAUAAAAUGGCUUGUUGUUGGGAAUUUAAUGUGUUGUAUCCUAACGCAUUGGAUGUGACGUAUUGAUUUCUCGAGACAAAGAUUUUUAAAAAAUAUAUAUAUAUAUUAAUAAAGGAAAUAUUCAAUGUUUGGGAUGUUGAGAAAUUGUGCCCUAACGUAUUGGGCUGCGGUUUCGUCAUAAAUCUUAAACAAUUGAAUAUUCUUUUAAAUUUUAUCACACAAAUCUUUGGACAAACUCAUUUUGAAAAAAUAAAAUAUCGUGCCCUAAUGUAUUGGGUGUGAUAUUUUCUGUUUCAAAAUGAGGGCGUCUUAAUAAAUAAUUUAAUUUAAUUAAGGAUCGUAUUUUUCAACUCUCGACAUUAAGACAUUAAUUAAUCAACUUGGUACCAAUUUUUGGGCGUUACGGGGGUGCUAAUCCUUCCUCGUACGUAACUGACUUCCAAACCCGUUUUUCUAAAACUCGUAGACCAAAGUCGUUUUAGGUGGUCCAAUCACACCUUAAUAAAAGAUUGGUGGCGACUCCAAUUUUCAUCGACAACUAAUUUUUAUUUUUUUUUAAAUAAAAAAGGUUUCGACAGAUAAAGUUAUGCAUUUUUAAUUAAAACAUUUAAUAAUGUUUUAUAAUUUUUAGUGUACUGAUAAUAUGAUGUUAAAUUCAACAUAUUGUAGCAUAUAUAUAUUAAUAUAACCUAUAUUCAUCUAUACAAAUUUUUUAGUCAACCAAACCAUUGAUGUGGUGGCAAAAACUUCACAUUGUUUUCAAGUCUUCAUUGACAUUAGGUUGAGGUUUCAAACCCUAGCGUAAAAGAGGGGGGAGAGGGGUUGUCUGAACCAAAACUUCAUUUCAACAGAUAUCCUUUACCCACUAAAUCAUAUGCUCAACUGAAACUUUUAUAUAUAUAUAUAUAUCAAACAUGAAUGAUAUAAAUAGUCUUUAAAUUUUUAAAUGAUAUAAAUAUAUAUAUAUUUUUAAAAUGAACAAAAUUAUAAUAAUUAAUAUGUAGUUUCACUAUUUUAUUUAAACUCAAAAUAAUAAUAUUUAAAAAUUGAGUUUACGUGAUAUUUAUUUACUUUAAAAUUAAUAAAAUGUAAAUAUAAACUUUAUUUUAUUUUAUUUAUAUUCAAAUUUAAUAAAUGUUUAUCUAAUUUAUUUAAAUUUAAAUAAAUUAAAUAAAUGAGCACACAAUUAUUUUAGAGAAAGUGACUCUUUUUUAAUGAUGAGAUGUUAGAAGAUUUACCAUAUGUGUAAUGUGGAGACAAUAACCCUAAUAUGUAACUUUUGCACAAUAACCUUAAUUUAUAAUUAGUGAAUCAUCAAUUAAAAAUUAAUUACUUGAGUAUAUACACUUGUCCAACCAUAUUUUAUUUAAUAAGUGUCAUGGAUCAUGGGUCAAACAAGUGUCACAAUAAUCAGAGUAAUACCUGCAAAAAUUGAAUCCAAAUAAACAUAUCCAUAAAUUGUUAAUGAAACUUUGUUCGCAGCGAGAACGUUAGUUAAGGUUGGACGAAUUUAUAUGUUUUUUGUCUUUUUGUUAAAAUAAGUAUAAAACAUAUAAAAAAAUACAUUAUGAAUGUUCAUUUUUUUAAUAGUUCAAAAAAAUAUAUUAUAUAUAAUAUAUAUUACUGUUUUGCCUUGCUCCUCAAAGAAAAUGGAAACAAUCGUAAGCUUAUGGCAUCAUUAGAAACACCAUUAAUCUUGAUGUGUCGCAAAUCUCUAGAAAGUUAGCCAAAUGAGCAUUCAGAUCUUUAUCUUGCAACCUAUCAAACUGAAUAUAUUGUUGUACCAUCUGAAUUGUGUUCGACUUUAGCUCAAAAUUGUUUAUAGCAAUAGUCAAUCUGACAAUACUCGAUUCAACCCCAAUCAGAAUAGACUUAGCAUAAUCAUACAUAGUCUGAAGAGUAGGAGCUGCAGGAAGCUAUUGAUUAUUUUUAUGAUCAUCCAUCUCCACAGUAAUAUCCUUUUCCUCUCGAUCAUUUACUAAAAUCUAUUUAUCUUGCCUUUUUCUUUUCUAACCUCUCUAAGAUUUCUGCGAGCAGUCUUUUCAACUUCACUAUAAAAAAUUAAUGGUUCUGACGAGUUUCCUCUAGUCCUAAACCAACAUAACCUAUCAUAAUCAAACAAACGAAAAAUUAGAAUGUAAAAAUUACAUUAAAAACAAAAAUAUCAAAAUAAAAAUAAAAAUAAAAAUAGCUAAAUUAAUAGAAAUAAACUUUUCCUAAUAUUUUAGUCCCCCGGCAAUGGCGCUAAAAACAUGAUGCAGUCCUAAACCAACUAAAAAUCUGACUAAGGCAAGUGUACCUAUCAAUUAAUUGUAUAGUUACGAUGAACAAAUAAACCGUUCCCACGAAGAGUAAAAGUACUAGUAAUUACUGUCUUUCUAUUAUUUAAUCGAUAAAUUCGAGUAAUUGAUUAAAACUAAAAUUAUUUAAAUUAAUUAACUAUGAAUGUGACAAAUAAUAAAUCAGGAAAAUAACUGAAUAAUAACCAAGAAGCAAAACAAUACCUAGGAAAGAAUUCACCUAGAUUUGAUCUGUCAUUAUCAAUCUAAAUUCCACAAUUUCUUUACUUAGGAUCUUGAUUCAUAGAAAUCCCUAAAUCAUGCUAAUAUCUCUCUUCAAGAAUAAGAGCAACUAACUUUAGGUUGAUUAAUUGAAAUUUCUUUCUAAUUAAAACCCCUAUUAUCGUAUUAAAUCGCUUUAUGGAUUCCCCCAUUACAUUUGACUCUAAUCCGAUAGAUUUAUGUCAUCCUAUUUCUAAGAUUGCAUGCAACUCCACUCAAUUACGCUAGAUCUAUUCUUAAACAAGGUCUAUUUCUCCUCUGAUUUAAGCACAACAAACAUGGAUCAACAAUCUAGAAAUAUUAAACCAAGAGUAAAACACACAUAAUUGAGAGCAAGAUCUAAGUAUUUAUUGUGUAAAAAUAGAAAUCAAAUAAUAUAAUUCAUCCUAAGGUUCAUCUCUCUAGGUAUUUGGAAAAUUAGUUCAUGCUUGCAAAUAAAAACAUCCCAAAGACAAUAUUACCGAAAGAAAUAAAGAAGCUCAUGAUAAUCUCCUAAGAAAUCAACUGCUUGUCUUCAAUCUUGACUAAAAUUUGCUUCAGAAUCGGCUUCAAUGGUGUUUUUCGAGUUGUUUUAUUGAGUAUUCUAUGACGGCUCUCUCCCCUCUUCUUAUAUUUGUCAUAUAUAGGUCUUAGAAUACCCGAAAAACCUAAACAAAAGUGUUUUUCUGUAGGUUUGGAAUGUGACUCGUGAUUUCCACGCAGUCUCCCACAUGACCGUGUAGAAGCCCAUGUGGCCACACGGUCGUGUGUCCAGCCCGUGUGGCUCCUGAAACUUAUUCCAAUUUUCGCUUAUUUUUCGCUCCUUUUGCUCUCAAAUGCUACUAAGUAUAGAAACAUGAAUUUAAAGGAUUAGGAGCAUAAAAUUCAUCAUUUUAAAUCGAAUAAUAAUCCAAAAAUACAUUAAGAAUGAGGCUAAAACAUGUUACUUUUGGCAUUUAUUAAUUUUGCCAACACCCAAAAUAGUUGCUUAAAGGUACAAAUUUAAACAACCCAAAAAAAGGGUCAGUGUAAUCCAAAAACCGUUGUGUUGGGCUUUUCAUAUGACAACACUUUUAUAUAGUUGGGAAAUGUAUAACAAAAGUUGGCAUAGUGUUGGAUAAAACUGAUUCUUAUUUAAACGUUGCUUUAGGCAUGCAUGUCCCAACCUUUAUACAAAGAGUUGGCCAAAGCGUAUGUCGACCAGACUAUCCUAACACUUAGGAAAGUGUCAGCUUAGUGUUGGACAAACUCGAAUCUUAUUUAAGUGUUGCCUUAGGAAUGCAUAUCUCAAACCUUAUACAAAGAUUUGGCCAAAGCGUAUGCCGGCAAGUCUAUUUAUUAGCUCAAUAGAUCAAAUAGAAAUUGCUAAGAGGGGUGAAGUAGCAUUUAAAAAAAUGUGAAAGCUAGAAAGAAAAUUGAAAGAUGAACACAAUAAUUUAGAAUGGUUUAGCCUCAAUUGCCUACUCCACUACCUUAACUUUCCACAACUAAGGAUUUUUCCCAAAUUCGCUAAAUUGAUAACCUUUAAGGAUAAGGUUUAACCUUACAACUCUCUUAAAAUUUUUGUAACACCCCAAACCCAAUCUAGACGUUAUGGCCGAAUCUAGCUUUGUCACAUGGAAUGGGAUUUGAAACAUCUUUGUUUCGAUGAAAACAUUUUAUGUUAUUAUCUUUAGUAAACCUUUGUUAGAACUUAGGAAGUCGUCUUUAUUCAUUUAAAACAUUUGUUUUGAAACAUACCUCGUUGCGGAAGCUUUAAUAAAAUAGUCUAAGUGAUCAUGCGUUUAGAAAAUACUUUUAACUUUUUAAAAACUGAAUUUCCUAUGAACAGUAGGUAUAAAUCCAUAAAGUAAAAUAAAUAAAUAAAAACCAAAAUUUAAAACCAAAGUCCCAGAGGUUUCUUAAAUUACAACCCAAAUAAUCAAUAAUAAUCAAAUCAUAAAUCGUAAAUUGAAAACCAUGAAGUCCAAAUAUUUCUGUGGUCACCGCUAAGUCCUCCGUCGCACCGAUCCGUCUAGGUCUGGGGAUUACCUGUACACAUUAAACAAAAAAAACGGAGUUUACGUAAACUCAUGUGUAAUCUCGUAGAAACAAACAAACAAUCAGUAUUCACAGUGCAUAGUUGAACAGUCUUGGGCCUUAGCCUAUCUCAGUACAGUGUUAAAAAUGCAGUAGGUCUUUAGCCCAUCACAGUAUCAGUAGCAAUAACAAUUAUGCAGUAGCAAAAUCCUACCCAACCAGCCUCUACAUACCAUCUCCAUCCAACCCUACACUCCAUGUGGGGAUAUAAUCAACCCACCCAUCCCUUUUUAAUAUAACCCAUGCUAACUAAAUAUUCAUUUAUGUUUUUAGUAUUUACUUAUAUGUUCAUUCAAAGCUGUCUACUUGAGUCAUUGUCACUAAAUUAUUUAUAUAUUUAGCUACAGAAUUCCAAAUUAAGAUCCACUUGAUGUUUUCAAAACUAGACUCAAAUACCUUUCUACCAUAAAAUUUUCAGAAUUUAUAGCCUAUCAAAUAACUACAGUAAAAUCUUCAAAAUUAUCCCUAUUCUAUUGUUUGACAGCUUCAACCUUUCCUUACUAAAAAUUAUUUAUCUCUGAAUACGAAAUUUGGAUGAUGUUUCCAUUUGUUUCUCUUGAAAGUAGACUCAUUAAGGAUUUAAAUGUAUAAAUUUAAGCCCCUAAUUAAUUUUUUACAAUUUUUGAUGAUUUUCCAAAUUUAAAAUAGGAGAACCCUAAAUCAUUCUGACCUUGUCUCACAAAAUUCAUUAUAUCUCCUAAUUUAAAAUUCCAUUGCUUACAUUGUUUCUUCCGUGAAAAACUAGACUUAAUAAAAUUUCAUAUUUUAUUCAACCUUUAACUCAAUUUCCACUAGUUUUGAUGAUUUUUCAAAGUUAGACUACUGCUGCUGUCUAAAACUAUUUUAGUGAAAAAUGUUGAUUUCCAAGUUUAUAAUACCCUUAUUUCCUUUCUCUACAAUUUUUUGCAUCAUUUUCUCUUAUUUCUCGACAGUAAGCAAUUUUGGCUUUUCACUGAAUCCCAUUUUCUGCAUUUUGGGUACACAUCUAGUUUCGUUUGAUGCUAAAACAGUCCCCAAGCACUAUAAAGCCUAUAAUUGAACAAAUAACACUAAUUUAAUCUUACAUAGUGAUCCCAAAUUGAACUCGUAUCGAGGUUUUAAUCCAUAAGCGACUAAACCUUACCUUCAACUGAUGAACAAUAAUUCCUACACAAACUAAGACUCCGAUUGGUGAUUACGACCCUUGAAUCCUCCCUUAAUUGGCACAAACAAAACACUUUAGAAGAAAGUUAAAAAACAAAGACAAAUCACUUAUCUAAAACUUACCAAACGAUCAUAGACAAACGUGGAACGACACGAGGCAGAGUGGGAAAAGAAAAAUCAAGAAGAUGAAGGGUGAAAGAGAGCAGAAAUUCGACAGCAAUGAAGAGAAAAACGGCAAGAGGGUGGAGGGGUUUGGGGAAAGUAAAAAAAAAAAGAAAAAAAAAUGAAAAAAAUAUUUGAUAAUCACCCCAAUCCCUUAUUUCUCUCCAUCAAACUCCCCAAUAAAUCAACUACUCAGAUUUUUAGUCAAUCUCAAACUCUCCUAGACAUACGAGCAAAACUAAUACCCACGCCAAGAUUCGAACAUAGGACCUCCUUCACACCAACACUCCACUUAUCCACUAGACCAGCAAGCCAAUUCUAUUAAUUAUUUGCCAACUUUUACUUAAAAGCCUACUGACCAAAUAUAGAGCUUAUUCAUAAAAAGGCCAAAAUUUGCCCAAGUCCUGACUUGAACUUGUGACCUCCUAAACACACCCAGAACACAUAAUCACUAAAGCAGACAGAUAUUUUGUGUCACACAUUCACAAUACCCAAAAUUAAAAUUUUGGGGUGUUACAAUUUCUAUCUCAAAUCUUAAGACACAAACCUUCGCAAGGAAAUACAAAUAAGCAAAUAAAGAAAUAAUCCUUACAAAAUCAAAGUGUUUGUAAAUUAAGCUCAAAUAAAAUGAAAUACACUUGAGCAAAAGAAUAGGAGUAAAGCUCACAAGUGUAUGAAAAAGAAAUAUGGAAAUAGUAAACUCAAAGGUUGUUUGAUUGAUGAUUUUUUUGCUUGAAAGUGAUUUCUUGUUGUUGUAGAAACUUAAGAAGUUAGUAUUUAUACCCCCUAAUUGAUUUCCAACCAUUGAGGUUGUUGGUGACAUGAAUAAAACCAUUGGGAUGUAAAAAUCAGAGCAUUUAAUUCACCUGCAACAUCGAGUCUUGAUACUAUAUAAAAGGGUUUCGAUAAUUUUUGCUAUAAAUGCUAAAUUCAAUGAUCGUUGGAGUUUUGUUAUCGAUACCAAAAAAAAAGUUUAUCGAUACUUGUAAAAAGGUAUUGAUACUGUAUCGAUACUUUGUAAGUUUUGUAAGAAACAAAAUGCUAUUUUAGUAUCGUUUUUAAGAAGGGGUAUUGUAAUAGCCCAAUUUCAAUGAAAUCAGAACAGUGGUUUCGAGACCACAAAUUUGAGAUUAGAAGAAAAUUUAUUUUAAUAUUAUCGUAUGUCUGUAUUAUGAUAGAAAUAUUACAUGAAAAAUUUGAUAAGAAAAUUUUAUCGAUUGAGUGCUUAAUUGUGAAAAGGACUCAUAAAAUGCACAAGUUGAAUUCUAGCAGCUAAAAGGAUUAAAUAGCUAUGGGGUUCAAAAUGUAAGGUCCUUAUAUGGUAAUUAGACCAUAAAUUAAAAGUUAGUAGAUAUUUUGAGAUGACUCAUCCAUAGAAAUUUUAGAAAAAGGUAAGGACUAAAUUGGAAAUUAAAUUAAUUUAAUUAAUUAAAAGAUGAUAAAAGAAAUAUCAUCUUAUUUUAUGUCAUCUUCUUCCUCAAAAUGCAUGGAAACCCUAAGAGAGACAAAGGAAACUAACCAAGCUUGAUUAGGUAUGUUUUCUUGUAACACCCCCACCCCUUAUUCGUCGCCGGAACAGGGUUACAGGGCAUUACUGGACAUUUCAAAUCAAAUACGAGUAAUCACAUAUUUGUUUAACAUAAACAUCACAAAUUAAUCAAAAUGUCCUUUUUAUGAGCCCUCGAGGCCCAAAACAUGAAUUAGAAACAAAUCGGGAGUCAGAGAAUUUUUUGUGAAAUUUCAAAAUUUUUCCUAAGUGUAGGGCUCACACGUCUGUGCAGUUUAGAGAUACGCCCGUAUGAUCCUAAACACGCCCGUGCUUCAGGUCGUGUCCUACCUCGUGUAAUUCUCUGACUUAGAUCACACGGCCAGCCACACGCCCAUGUACAUAGUCCGUGUGCUUAACACGGCUGAGACACACGCCCGUGUCUCUGUGAUGCGGAAACCCAGAUCUAAACACAAGAAGAGAAACACAAAUUAGAAAUAAAAACGAGAAUAAGUAAAAAUUAGUUAAAUAAUAAUAAAAGAAAACAAAUAAAAGAAAAGAUUAAGGAUAGAUUUGCCCUAUAGAACCCUUGGUUAACUUGUAACCAAAAACUUCAAUGAUUGAGCGGCUCCCUACGAAACCCCUAGAAGAAGAACCUCUAGAAACACCGAUGAACGGGAAAGAAAUUUGAAUAUUUGUAACUCUGAAAUACCCUCGAAAGUAACAAACUCCAAACUAAAUAGCAAGAGAAGAAUCACUCUACUCUCAAAAAUUUGCCUCACACAAAUUUGGAAGAAAACAAAAUACUCUUCUUUUUUUAUUAAUCCCCUCAAUGUGUAGAAAGCAAGCCUAUUUAUAGGCAAAUUACAAGAGUAAUUGAAUCCUAAUUAAAACUCUUUCAAGAGUAAUUGAAUCCUAAAAACUCUUUAAAGAGUAAUUGAAUCCUAAUAAAACUCUUUAAAAUUAUCUAAGAAAAUAAAUAAAUAAUAAUCUAACUAAUAAAAUUACUUAACUCAUAAGUGAUGUGUUCCAACCAAUGAGAAUUAAGUAAAUAAUAAUAAUAAUAAGAUACAUAAAAGAUUAAUCCACCAAUUUAUGGGCUUUCACUAUUCCAAGAUUGGUCCAGUGAAUUGCAUUCCCGUAUUUGUCAACGUCACGAACAUGAUGAAUUAAAUUUGUAGUAACAAAGUCUUGGACAAAAGCAUUCAUCUUUGAUUUUAAUUGUCGUGCCUUGCUUCGAGUGAUUGGACCACUAGGAAAAACAACCCUUUGAGUGUCACCUCCUUAACUCGUAUCAUUCUCCCCUUCUUCAAGAAGAUUCGUCCUCGAAUCUGAACCUAUAUCAAAUUCAAAAGGAGAAAGAUCAGAAACAUUGAAAGUAGCACUAACAUUAUACUCACCUGGAAGAUCAAUGCGAUAAACAUUGUCAUUUAUUUUCUCGAGUACUUGGAAUGGUCCAUCUCCUCGUGCAUCAAGUUUAUUCUUUCUCUUAGAAGGAAAUCGUUCCUUCCUCAUAUGCACCCAUACUCAAUCUCCAGGUUCAAAUAAGACUUGCUUUCGCCCUUUAUUAGCUCGAUGUGCAUUGCACUCAUUCUUUUUCUCAAUGGCUUUACGAGCCUUCUCAUGAAUCUCUUUCACUAAAUCAGCUUUCCUUUCACCAUCUAAAUUAGCAAUCUCAUUCAAAGGUAAAGGAAGCAAAUCUAAAACAGUAAGUGGAUUAAAGCCAUAUACAAUCUCAAAAGGAGUAAAACCUGUGGAAGAAUGAACAGAACGAUUAUAAGCAAACUCAACAUAGGGUAUCCAUUCUUCCCAAGAUUUAACAUUCUUACCUAUUAUGGCUCUAAGCAAAGAUCCCAAAACUCGAUUUACCACCUCAGUUUGACCAUCAGUUUGAGGGUGGCAUGUAGUAGAGUAAAGUAGUUUAGUACCUAACUUACCCCAUAACACCUUCCAAAAGUGACUAAGAAAUUUUGCAUCUCUAUCGGAAACGAUAGUCCUUGGGAUUCCAUGUAAUCUCACAACUUCACGGAAAAAUAGAUCGGCAACAUGGGUUACAUCAUCAGUCUUAUGGCAUGGAAUGAAAUGAGCCAUUUUAGAAAAUUGAUCCACAACCACAAAGAUGCUAUCUCGACCACGCUUUGUCCUUGGUAAAACUAUUACAAAAUCCAUUGAAAUGUCAGUCCAAGGUGAACUAGGAACAGGAAGAGGAGUAUAUAGACCAUGAGGCAUCACAGUGGAUUUAGCUUGUUUACAAGUAAUGCAAGUAGAGCAAAUUUUCUCAACAAGUUUUUGCAUGUUAGGCCAAUAAAAAUGCUCAUGUAAAACAUCAUAAGUCUUAGUGACUCCAAAAUGACCCACAAGACCACCACUAUGAGCCUCUCGAACCAACAAUUCUCGCAUUGAACACUUUGGUAAGCAUAGUCUAUUAUUUCAAAAAAGAUAGCCAUCAUGCUUAUAAAAUUUGUGAAAUGCACCAUGUUCACAUGCGUCAUAAAUGCUUGCAAAAUCAGAAUCAGUGGCAUAUAAAUCUUUGAGAUACUCAAAACCUAAUAACUUAGUAUGCAAAGUACUAAGUAAAGUGUACCUCCUUGAUAGAGCAUCAGCCACAAUAUUAUCUUUACCUUUCUUAUACCUUAUAACAUAAGGAAAAGAUUCAAUGAAUUCAACCCACCUCGCAUGUCGCUUGUUCAACUUACCUUGUCCCUUUAAGUGCUUAAGUGAUUCAUGGUCAGUGUGAAUCACAAACUCCUUUGGUAAAAGGUAAUGUUGCCAAACUUCUAAUGCCCUUACCAAGGCAUACAACUCUUUAUCAUAGGUCGAAUAGUUCAAAUGUGCUCCACCAAGUUUCUCACUAAAGUAGGCUAGUGGUUUACUAUCUUGCAUGAGGACAACACCUAUACCUACACCAGAAGCAUCACAUUCAAUCUCAAAGGUCUUUUCAAAAUUAGGUAAAACAAGAAUAGGAGCAUUACACAAUUUAUCUUUAAGUUCAUUAAAUGCUAAUUCUUGCUUAUCUGUCCAAUGAAAAGAUACAUUCUUUUUAAUAAGUGCAGUCAAAGGCGAAGCAAUUGCGGAAAAGUUACGAACAAACCUGCGGUAGAAACCAGCUAACCCAAGGAAAGACCUUACCUCAGAAACAGUUUUAGGGAUAGGCCAUUCUUUAAUUGCCUUUACCUUCUCCUCAUCCACAUGGAUUCUUGUAGAACUUAUCACAAAACCCAAAAAAACAAGCUUAUCCAUACAAAAGGUGCAUUUUUCAAGAUUAGCAAAGAGUCGUUCAUGCCUUAACACAUCCAAUACUAAUUUAAUAUGCCCAACAUGAUCAUUCAAAGUUUUGCUAUAAAUCAAUAUGUCAUCAAAAUACACAACGAUAAAUUUUCCUAAAAAAGGUCUAAGUAUGUGGUUUAUUAAUCUCAUGAAUGUGCUAGGAGCAUUAGUUAAGCCAAAUGGCAUGACUAACCACUCAUACAGGCCAUACUUAGUCUUAAAAGCAGUUUUCCAUUCAUCACCUUGUUUCAUUCUUAUUUGAUGGUAACCACUUUUUAAGUCAAUUUUAGAGAAAAUGCAUGCACCAUUAAGCUCAUCCAACAUAUCAUCUAAUCGAGGAAUUGGAUAUCGAUACUUUAUCGUAAUCUUGUUGACAGCACGACAAUCAACACACAUUCUCCAAGAACCAUCUUUUCUUGGGACGAGAAGUAUAGGGACCGCACAAGGGCUUAGACUCUCAUGAAUCAACCCUUUCUCUAAGAGAUCUUCAAAUUGCCUUUGCAACUCUUUAGUUUCUUCAGGAUUGCUUCGAUAGACUGGUCUAUUCGGAAUACUCGAACCAGGCACAAAGUCAAUUUGAUGUUCAAUCCCUCGUAAAGGAGGUAAUCCUUUAGGCAUUUCAGAAGGAAAUACAUCCUCAAAAUCCUGCAAAAGAUCAACAAAACAACUAGGCAAAUGUGUAUUAGGGUUAGUCAAAACAAAGUUUUCCCUAAACCUAAUAAUUACAAAUGUUUGUUUUGUACAAAGAGCAAAUUUGAUAUCUCGAAACCUAGCGAAUAAACUCACUUUCUCAUCUCAUGACUUGUGUGUGCAAUCACUCACCAAUGUUGGGCCUUUAAGUUGGCUUUUAACACUAAGGGCCUCUUUACUCUCAGCAUUUUUCAAUGAUUUUACCUCACUUCCCUUACCCAUCUCACUAGCAAGUUUGAGUUGAUCAUUAUAGACUUCUUGAGGAGGAAGUGGAGCCAAAGUAAACUUCUUUCCAAGGAACACAAAGGUAUAUUGGUUAAGGAAACCAUCAUGAUUUACUCGUCGAUCAAACUGCCAUGGCCGUCCAAGUAAUAUGUGCCCAGCUUGCAUUGGAACAACAUCACACAAAACUUUAUCAGAGUAUCUACCAAUGGAAAAUGAAACUAAGCAUUGUUUAGAUACUUUUACCUCCCCACUAUUAUUCAGCCAUUGCAAGCGGUAUGGCCUUGGAUGCUUCACACAAGGUAGGCCAAGUUUCUCAACAAGGGAAGAACUUACCACAUUGGUGCAACUUCCACUAUCGAUGAUCAAUGAACUAGGUUGUCCACCAAUCAAACAUCUUGUGUGGAAAAUGUUAUCUCUUUGUUCGCGCGCUUCCUCUUUAAACUGGACAUUUAAAGCCCUCCGAGCAACAAGUGCUUUCUCACCAUACUCUAAAUAUUCUUCAUACUCAUCAUGAGCAUGCACAUCAUCAACAUCUUCUAAAGGAGGCAUCUCAUCUUCGUUAUCAGACUCAAAAUCAACCUCGCCAUCUUCUCGAAUCACCAAUGACUUUUUAUUAGGGCAUUCUCGAGCAUAGUGACCCCUUCCUUGGCAUUUGAAGCAGGUAAUAUCUUUUUGCUGCUUAAUGGCACUAGGAGAAGUAGAAGAAGAAGAUGGAGCUUGAUUAGUAGAAGUAGAACUUUUAAAUGAAUUAGGCAUACCUCUAUCUUUGGAGUAAGUUCUAGGCUCAUUUGGCUUGAACCGUGCAUCUCUCCCAUUCCACAAUCUAUCAUCUUGUUUUUGCCAAUUUCCUCUCCAAGUAGGAUUAAAAACUGAACUAGAACCCCUCGGUGUCCCUUUCUUUCGUCAUUGCUUUUCAAUGGUGAGUGCGGUUUGAAGCAUCUCUUCAACAUCCAUGUAGUGUUGUAACUCAAGUCGAUUUGCAAUCUCAGGCUUUAGGCCGGCAAGGAAUCUAGCCAUAGUCACCUCAGCCUCUUCAACAAGAUUGGCUCUAAUCUGAAUAGUCUCCAUCUCUUUGUAGUAGUCAUCCACAGAUCUAUCUCCUUGAACAAGAUGUUGGAGUCUUUGAUGGAGUUCUCGAUAAUAGUAUGGUGGAACAAACCGUUUUCGUAAGAUGCGCUUCAUUUCAACCCAAGUAGUAACAGGUUGCUCUCUAUAAAGAAUUCUGCUUUUACAUAAUUGAUUCCACCAUGUUAGUGCAUAAUUAAUGAACUCAGCGACAGCGUAUGUUACCUUUUUUCUCAUCAGAGUAAUUGUAACAAGCAAAGACUGCUUCCAUCUUUUCCUCUCAAUCAAGGUAAGCAUCAGGAUCAUUCUUCCCUGAAAAAGAAGGAAAUUUUGGUUUGGGGGUGUCAUUGUUUCGCUCCAACCUUUCUCUAGGUACAUACUCGGACUCAAAGUCAUCAUCAAAAACAUGGUCCUCCCUUCGUUUAAAAGUUUGAUCUCGUGAAUUUGAUCGGCUUAUAAAGGCUUCGUUCAACUUCUUGUAAUUAUCGGCAAUGUAUCUCUCUUGAGUUGUAAGUUUUGUAUCAAGAUACUCCCUUUGCUCUUGUAACAUCUGGGUCAUGCGAUGUUCGACUUGAGUUUGCAACUUUUUCAUCUCUUUUUGUAACAACUCGACCAAAGGAUCAUUCUCUCUUUUUAGCUCAUCCUCUUCAUUUUUACUAGUUUGGGAUCUAGUGAGCGGAAUGGUAUCUGUGAAAGAUCAAACAAACAGGAACAAGAAAAAAAAUAAUAAUAACCUCACUCGUUAGCUCUCAAAAGAAUAACUCUCUGAAUGAUUCAAAACCUGUAAAUAUGUUUGGAGAGGGUUACUAAUCAAGAUCAAAUAACGGAGGUGCAAACUUCAAAGAAACAAUGAAGACCCUAAUUGCUCUAAGAGGCCAAUAAACUUGACAAGGCAAUUUGUAAUGGAGGCUACACGGAUGAAGAAAUUUGUGAGUGCCUUUAAUAUCUGCUAACACAAGAAGAAACAAAGUGUUAGAAAGCGUAAGAGAAACAAAAAAAACGUAGACCUACAACGAUCCCUAACUCUAGAGUCAAAGAAAAGCUUUAAUAAGAAGAAAACUUAAGAAAAACUCUACCCAAAUUUUUAAAAAAAAAAUCGAAAACGUUUGGUGUCUUAAGAUUUUCAAAAAUUGAAGCUUUAAUUAUACUUGAGUCAAGAAAAGAAGAAGGAAAAGAAAUUCAAUUUUGGGAAAAAUAAAAAUAAUAACAAUAAUAGGAAAAGAAGAAACUUACGUAUGAAAGGUAGUCAACUUUUUUUUUGCUCUUUUUACUUUUUUUGUGCUGUUUUUUUUUUUAAAGAAUAAGAGGAGAAUAAACACAAACUUCAAAAAAAAAAGAAUUGACGAAACUGAUGAAAAGUGUUUUUGGUAUUUUGACUCGUUUCGGAUUUGAUUUUAGCUUAAAAAAUAACACCGAAUAACCUGAAACUGAUACCAACUGAUGCGGAAACUCGGAUCUAGACACAAGAAGAGAAACACAAAUUAGAAGUAAAAACGAGAAUAAGUAAAAAUUAGUUAAAUAAUAAUAAAAGAAAACAAAUAAAAGAAAAGAUUAAUGAUAGAUUUACCCUAUGGAACCCUUGGUUAACUUGUAACCAAAAACUCCAAUGAUUGAGCAGCUCCCUACAAAACCCCUAGAAGAAGAACCUCUAGAAACAGCGAUGAACGGGAAAGAAAUUUGAAUAUUUGUAACUCUGAAAUACCCUCGAAAGUAACAAACUCCAAACUAAAUAGCAAGAGAAGAAUCACUCUACUCUCAAAAAUUUGCCUCACACAAAUUUGGAAGAAAAAUACUCUUCUUUUUUUAUUAAUCCCCUCAAUGUGUAGAAAGCAAGCCUAUUUAUAGGCAAAUUACAAGAGUAAUUGAAUCCUAAUUAAAACUCUUUCAAGAGUAAUUGAAUCCUAAAAACUCUUUAAAGAGUAAUUGAAUCCUAAUAAAACUCUUUAAAAUUAUCUAAGAAAAUAAAUAAAUAAUAACCUAACUAAUAAAAUUACUUAACUCAUAAGUGAUGUGUCCCAACCAAUGAGAAUUAAGUAAAUAAUAAUAAGAUACAUAAAAGAUUAAUCCACCAAUUUAUGGGCUUUCACUAUUCCAAGAUUGGUCUAGUGAAUUGCAUUCCCGUAUUUGUCAACGUCACGAACAUGAUGAAUUAAAUUUGUAGUAACAAAGUCUUGGACAAAAGCAUUCAUCUUUGAUUUUAAUUGUCGUGCCUUGCUUCGAGUGAUUGGACCACUAGGAAAAACAACCCUUUGAGUGUCACCUCCUUGGCUCGUAUCACUCUGCCCGUGUGCAAUUUCUUAGGCAUUCUAUUUUGAAUUUUUAAGGUGCAAGGGACACACAGCCUAACCACACGCCCAUGUGUAAGCUGUGUGUCUCACACGUUCUAGUCACACGCCUGUAUGGUAGGCCGUGUAGACUCAAAAUAAGCAUUUUACAUCAAGUUUACCAACCUUGCAAAUCUUGAACAACAAGCAACUCAAUAAUCAAUCUUUCAACCAAUCCAAAACACAUUCAAAUACUUUUAAUACAUGCCAAAUUCAUUUAUUUAAGAACCUAACCAGUGUACUAACAUAGAUACUUUACAAAUAACAUCCAAAUCAAUCUAAUUAACUUCAUUCUAACCAAAUCUAAUUUCAUACCAAAACAUACUACUUAUAAUCUUAAUAUAGCACAUAAACUUAUAUAUAUAAGUCUCCAAUAACAUUUUGUAACAUAAUUUACAAACACUUCUCUAAAUAACAAACACAAACAUCCUAGGUACAUGCCAUUUACCAAAAAGAAAUGUACUUCACCACUUUGAGUUCCGAAACAGCUUUGGAUGCUGAUUGAAUGGUCUGACUUUAACCUAACCUAUGCACAGAAACAAACCGUACACUGAGUAUGAACUCAGUGGUAUUUCUAUAAUCCAAAUACUUUUAAAAUUAUGAUAAUAUAACAUGUAUAUUUAAUUAUAUAUUAACAAUAGUCAUUCAGUAAACAAUUCAUAAACAAAUAAUUUAUAACAUUUUCAUUUCCAAUUAUUUGUUAUUCCAAACACCUUUUCACAUUGCCAAUACAUAUAUCCGAUCAAUUGCUAUCCCAGAUAGCUUUUCACAAUGUCAAUACAUAUCUCGUUUGCAUUUUCACAUUCAAUAUUCCAAUAAUCACUUGAUGAACUUAUGGUUCAUACUUUUUCAUUUACACAUCACAAAUCAAUAUCUAAAUCCAAUUCAUAUUCAAAACCAUUCAAUAACAUUCAUAUCAUCAAUUCAUUAAUUACCCCUAUUAACAUGACUCGAACUUUGGCGGAUACACGGAUCUAACCAAAACACACCAGUUUAGCACCUAGUGCCUCAUCGGAUAAUUCGAAGCAAUAAGUUGACACCCAGUGUCUCAUCGGCCAUGCCGAAGUAAUUUGGUACCAGUACCUCAUCGAAUUUAUCUGAAGCAAUAGUUUGACACCCAGUGUUUCAUCAACUCAUGGUCGAAGUAUCCCUAAACUCUUCCAAUCCGAUGGCAUGCCAAGUAUAUCCAACUCAGCCCAAUACAGUUAAUAGGGUUUCCAAUUCACUUCCAAACACAACCAAUAUUCAAUAAUCAAUUGUCUCAAUAUUUACAUUUCAAUAUCAAUGCAUAUUUCAAACAAUCACAAAUUCUCAUAAUUCAACUCAAUUCAAUACCAAUCCUCACCUCAAUUCUACUUACCAUAAAUAUAAAAUAAUAAUAAACACAACAAUUAAUUAUCAGCUUUGGAUUAUAGAAAUACAAACAAUAAUUCUCGAGUCACUUCUGGUUAACCUUGUCUUUUCCUUUCUUAGUCGAGGUCUCCGGCUUGAUGUUAGCUACGGAAGUAAAAUAAUUAAAAUUCAUCAAUACAACACAAUUUAAUAUUGAAUAUUUCAACUUAUACACAACUUAUGCCUAAAUUCUAAUUUAGUCUUUAAAUCAAACUAACUCUUUUUCUUACAAAACUAAUUCCAUAUCUCAAUUCAAUUUCCACUUUAAUCUAAUUUCAACUUCUUAAUUUCAUCAUAAAACCCUAAUUUUGAAAUUCUUUCAAUUUAGUCCCUAUUACUCAAAACUUAUAAUUUAAUUUACAAUUCAAUCAUUCUUCUCAAUUCUAUCAAUUUAACCUCUAUUUCUUCAAUUUAUUCAACAUGAAGUACAUCUAAAAAUCCACUAAAUUUCAAAUUUUCAACAUAAAUCAAGUAGUAUUUUGUUCUAGGAUUCUCGAAACAUCAAAAUUAUAAGAAAAAAAGGCUAAAUUGCCUUACCAAAUUAACUUUGAAUCCUUAGAACCCUAAUUUCCCUUUUCUUUUUCUUUCUCUCUUUUCUCCCCUGUUUUCGUUUCAAUUCUAUUUUUUGUUUCCUUUAUUUAUUUGUUUAAUUAUUAUAAUAAUAUAAUAAUAUAAUAUUAAUAUAAUAUAUUUACUUAAAUAAUAAGUAAAUAAUAAUUAUUAAUAUAUGUAUAUUAUUUACACACAUGGAAUUUAUUUUUACCAUACACUUGUUAACACUUGUUAACUUUUGGCUUAAUUUCUUAUUUAGUCCCUCGGCUUUUCUCCAUUCUAUAAUUAAACUUUCACACUUUAUUCAUUUUAGUCCUUAUACCUAAUUAACCUUAAUUUAAGCUAAUUCACCUAACUAAAACCUAAUUUACCACACAACUAACUUUGUAAAUAUUUUUAAUAAAUAUUUAUGAAUCCAUUUUACGAAAAUGGAUACCCGAAAAUACACUUUCUAAUAACCGUAAAUUUCUGGUCGUUACAUUUCUUGUCCCAUUUUUAAUGAUUUUUAUAUUUUUUAGAUCUAGAUAGCCUAAUAUAUCCAUUUUAGAGAUUAAUUUGAAAAGUUAACAAAGUAUGGAAAUUUUGUCAUGGAUGAAUAUGCUGGAAAAUUGAAAUUUAUGGUAGAAUAUGAAAGAUUGUUGAUAGAUAAACAACUUUUACAAAGUGAAUUUUAAUGAAAACAUGAUUUAGGGACUAAAUUGAAAAGUAGUAAAAUUCAUAGAAAAAUUAUAAAUUUUUGUGAAUUGCGUGUGUUGUAAAAGUUAUGUUAAAAAAUUGGUUAGGCUUGGAACAAGGAUUAAAUUGCAUGAAUUUUAUUUCCAAGCCUAGGGACAAAAUUGGAAUUUAUGUAAAGUUUAGGGGCAAAAUGAUAAUUUUGUCUAGAGAGUAAAAUAAAUUCAAUUAAAUAUGAAAUGUGAAAAUUAAUGAUUAAAUUCAUUUAUAUCGAUCCGGAUAAUUCAAACUCGAAGCCUGAUCAGGGAAAGUAAAAGUUUAGAAUUAGUAGAUUUUUCGAAUACGAACCAUUAUCGAGGUAAGUUCAUAUGACUUAAUUUAAUAUAUAAAUAUGAUUGUAUUGAAUAUUGCUUUUGUAUUGAAUUUGAUAUUUGUCUAUGUGAAUUAAAUCAAUGGUAUAUAUAUACAAGACAUGAUUAUAUACUUGAAAAGGAUUAAAUCUGUUUGAAUAUUUGAUAUCGAUGGACAUAUGUGAUUUCCUUAUUGAAUGAGGUCCUGCAUUUAUUGCUGAAGGGAUUUAGCUCGGACGAGUAAUCCUAAUGACCUCAUUUUAGACGGUAUUUAGCUCAGAAGAAUAAUCCCUAUAUUAGCCCUCUCGAGUAUAAGUUGUAGACAGGAUUUAGCUCAGACGAGUAAUCCUGAUACAGUUCAGUAAGCAUUCUGAAUGGUAGUGUACUUGCAUAUGUUGCACAUUACCAAAGCUAUGAAUAAAUGAUUUGAUAUGUGACUCGAGAGUGUACUCUCUGGUUUAGUACCCUAUGGGUACCUACAAUCAUGAAUUGACGAUUUAUAGACUUGUACACAUUGAGUGUACUAUUUGAUUAUUCAUCGAUAUUUCCAAUAAUUCAACGGAUGAAAUUCUUGACAUGAGAAAGUGAUGAGAUAAAAAGUAUGAUAUCUUGAAUGCUUCUAAAUUGGUUGAUGAAAUGUACAUGAUGAGCUCAUCCAUGUUUAUUGAUAUACAUGAUGCCUAUGAAACUAACUUGUUGAUUAAGUGCAUUUGUAUAGGUAACUAUGCCAAGUUGAUGAAUAACAUGUUAUAAUAUGUUUGGAUGUUAAUAAAUUAGAUGGGUAAGUUUAAUUCUUGUUAUAUGAACUUACUAAGCAUAAAAUGCUUACUAGGUUUAUUUUCCUCUGUUAUAUAGUGCUCGAAAGCUCGCGAAGGUUGGAGUUUGGUUGGAGCAUCAUCACACUAUGCACUCGCUCAUUUUGGUAUUAAUGGAAAUCUCAUUUUGGGUAUAAUGGCAUGUAUAGGCUAUUUUGUCAAUAUUGGCAUGUAAAUGGUUAAAUGUAAUCUAGCCGUUAGAAUGGCUAGCAAUAAUAUGUUUUGGUUUAAUUAAGAGGUUUAUCAUGAUGUUGUCUCAUAUGCUCUGUAUGAUUGAUUAAAUUAUGUUAACAUAUAUGUUUACAUAAAGGUAAGAAUAUAAAUGUGAAUGCAUGAUACAAUAUACCAAGUUAAAAUAUGGAAAUUGCUUAGUUAUGAUGCUUGGAUUGGUUAGGAUACAAUUAUAAAGUUCUGUGUAGGUUGUUGGUAAAUUUGGGUGAGAAAGUAAAGAAGUAAAGCUAGGAAAUGGCUUUAUUUUAUCCACACGGGUAGACACAAAGGCGUGUGUCUUGACCGUGUGUGACACACGGCCUGGUACAUGGUCGUAUGGUUAGGCCGUGUGUCCCCUGCACCUUAAAUUCGAGAAACAGAAUGCCCAGUAUUGAGCACACGGGUAGAGACACGGGACACAAGCGUGUGACUUGGCUAUGUGAAAACUGCUUCUUCAUGUUUUGCAAGUCAAAAAGUUAACGGGUUAGUGACACGGCCGUGUGACCUAUGUCACACACCACACAACCUAGGACAUGGGUGUGUCACUUGGCCGUGGGCGUGUGACCCCUGUACAUGACAAUUUUUAAAAUUUUACAAAAAAUUUUAUAAGUUCUCGAUUUGGUCCCAACUCGAUUCUAAUGAUUACUUUGGGCCUCGAGGGCCCAUUCAAAGGAUGUUAUAAUGAAUUACGAAAAAUGUAUAAUAAUUGAUUUGAAAUAUAUGGAAAUAUUCUAUAAUCAUCGGUAAUGCUCCGUAACCCUGUUCUGGUGACGGAUACGGGUUAGGGGUGUUACAAGUAUUGAUAUUUUAGAAAAUAUCGAUACGUAAAAAAAAUGUAUUGAUACUUAAUAGGGUUUGUAAAAAACAAGAUGUCAUUUUGUUAUCGCUUUUAAGAAGGGAAUUGAUAAUUCAUAAAAUAUCGGUACUUAGCUAAAGAGGUAUUGAUACUUUUUGGCCUGAAGCUAUUUUGACUUGUUUGAAAAUUAUUUUAACUUGAUAAAAUGAUAAACACUUACUUAGUCAAAUUUCUUUUAACUUGAUUUUAGAAUUGCUUCAAAAAAAUUUCUAAGAGUUCAAAGUAGAUAUUCAAAAUUUUUAUCACUUAGACUUCAAUUUUAAACAAAUCAUUUUGUUAAUUUUGUUCAAUCUUAUAUUUUAUUCAAAAACACUUCAAUUUCUUAUAUCAAAGUAUUUUAGCAAAUAAAGCUUGGUUUAACACUAUCUCAAUACUUAAAAAAGUGUCGGCCCAAAAGUGUAGUCUUAGGACUAUCUUGUUGUAGUGUCUUGACGAUGUUGUGGAUAGCUCGGUUCAAGUUGAGGGUGCUUCUAAUAAUGCUGAUCUUUCUUCUAUUGUUCCAUCCGAUAGGAAUCCUUCUUCUAUUAGUGUAGCUACUGAUACUGUUAUCUUUACUUCAAUAUGAGAUGAGACAAUAUAGAUUAAGUAGGUCAUGUUUAGUCUUUCUGUAAAACUUUGGUAUUUAAUGCAAACUUUAGCCCUUAUUUGGAUUCCGUGUUUAUGUUAUGCUUCGUUGCAUUUCUUUAUCAACUUAUUGUAUUGAUCUUGUGUAACUUUAUGAAGCUUUUAUUUUUACUACUUGGAAGAUGUAGGAAAUUUUAUUCUUUCCUUAUUUGUUUUAUUGUGCUUUUAGAUUAACUUAGUGAUAAGUGCCCUUGGAGGGUUAAGUCCUUCAGAAGGCUAGUAGUUUUAUUUGCUACUAAUUUAAUGAGCAGUAUCCUUGGAGGGUUUAUGCAAAAUUAGUAGAGCAGAGGAUUGGUUGCACUGUCAUUUUUAGUUACGAUAUGACACCCCACACUCGUUCCGGACAGCAAAUUCAAAUAUAAGACAUUACAUCCGUUGCUAAACAACUUAAACAAAUAAAAACGUGACAUCGAACAUCGAUUCUUUUCACUUCGAAAUGGGUUGUCGUGACAUUGGACUUUGAAUAUAAUUUCUUAGGUUCGAAGUUGGAUGUCGCGACAUUGAUGGCCCUUUUGACCGUCAAAGUUGGAUGUUGCGACAUCCUAGGGUAGUCUACUGACUCCUCGACCUAAAACAAUGUCUUGCACACUUAAUCAACUUGUUAGUCUUUCCCUUAGGCCCAAUUGGCCCAAUAGGUCACAAAACAUACUAAAGUGCUUGUAACACCCCAAAUCCGGCCUAGACGUUAUGGCAGUAUCUGGCAAUGUCACACGAUAGUGUUUUUGAAACCUCGUUGUUAUGAUGAAAACAUUCCAUGUUAUAAUCUUUAGUAAACCUUUGUUAGAACUUAGGAAGUCGUCUUUAUUCGUUUAAGACAUUUGUUUGAGACAUCCCUCGUUGCAAAAAUUUUAAUAAAACAGUCUAAGUGCUCAUGCGUUUAGAAAAUACUUUAACUUUUUGAAAACCAAAUUUCUUACGACCAACAGGUAUAAAUCCAAUAAAUAAAUAAAAACUCAAAUUUAAAACCAAAGACCCAGAGGGUCUUUAAAUUACAACUCAAAUAAUCAAUAAUAAUCAAAUCAUAAAUCGUAAAUUGAAAACCAUGAAGUCCAAAAAUUACUGUGGUCACCGCUAAGUCCUCCAUCGCACCAAUCCGUCAAGUCUAGGGAUUACCUAUGCAUAUUAAACAAAAAGGAUGAGUUUACGUAAACUUAGUGUGUAAUCCCGCAGAAACAAACAAAUAAUCAGUAUUCACAGUGCACAGUUGAACAGUCUUGGGCCUAAGCCCUUUUCAGUAUCAGUGACAGUUUGGGACUCAGCCCAUCUCAGUACAAUGUCAAAACUGCAGUAGGACCUUAGCCCAUCACAAUAUCAGUAGCAGUAACAGUUAUGCAGUAGCAAAAUCCUACCUAACCAGCCUCUAUACACCAUUUUCGUCUAACCCUACACUCCAUGUGGGGAUAUAAAUAACCCACCCAUCCCUACACUCCAAAUAGUACCGAAUGCGGCACAAAACAGUAGUUUGCAGCUGAGCUGCCAGUAAAUUAGGCUUAAAGCCUUUCAGUACACUUCCUCCGAAUAACAGCUCCCAACCCAAUGCAAUGCAACAUACCAUGGAUGAUAUGCUAUUAUGCAAUUUCAGUACAUAUAUUCAGUUCAAAUAUUAAUAUGCUCAGUACAUAUAUCAUUCAGUCAAUUUCACACAUUUAGGGGUCUAAGUAGCGCUUACGGACCUUACAGUAGGUUCACAGUCGACUAGGGCGACCCGUGCAACCUUAGAAACAUUUCGGUAAAAAUGGGCCCACACGCCCGUGUGAGCCCAUUUGGCCCACUCGAACCCAAUUGGCCUUGGCCGUGUGAUCCAUUUUUAAUGUAACCCAUGCUAGCUAAAAUAUUCAUAUAUGUUUUCACUAUUUACUUAUAUGCUCAUUUAAAGUUGUCUACUUGAGUCAUUGUCACUAAAUUAUUUAUAUCUUGAGCUACAGAAUUCCAAAUUAAGAUCCACUUGAUGUUUUCAAAACUAGACGCAAAUACAUUUCUACCAUAAAAUUUUCAAAUUUUAUCACUUAUCAAAUAAGUACAGUAAAAUCUUCAAAAUUAUCCCUAUUCUAUUAUUUGACUGCUUCAACCUUUCCUUACUAAAAAUUAUUUAUCUCUUAGUACAAAACUUGGAUGAUGUUUCCAUUUGUUUCUCUUGAAAGUAGACUCAUUAAGGAUUUAAAUGUAUAAAUUUAAGCCCCUAAUUAAUUUUUUGCAAUUUUUGAUGAUUUUCCAAAUUCAAAAUAGGAGAACCCUAAAUCAUUCUGACCUCGUCUCACAAAAUUCAUUAUAUCUCCUAAUUUACAAUUCCAUUGUUUACACUGUUUCUUCCGUGAAAAACUAGACUCAAUAAAAUUUAAUUUCAUAUUUUAUUCAACCUCUAAAUCAAUUUUCACUAUUUUUGAAGAUUUUUCAAAGUUAGACUACUGCUGCUUUCCAAAACUAUUUUAGUGCAAAAUGUUGAUUUCCAAGGUUAUAACACCCUUAUUUCCUUUCUCUACAAUUUUUUUCGCAUCAUUUUCUCUUAUUUCUCUUAUUUCUCGAUAGCAAGUAAUUUUAGCUUUUCGUCGAAUCCCGUUUUUUGUGUUUCGGGUUCACACCUAGUUUCGUUUGAUGCUAAAACAAUCCACAAGCACUCCAAAGCCUAUAAUUGAACAAAUAACACUAAUUUAAUCUCGCAUAACCUGAUCCCAAAUUGAACUCGUAUCGAGGUUUUAACCCAUAAGCGACUUAACCUUACCUUCAACCGAUGAACAGUAAUUCCCACACAAACUAAGACUCUGACUGGUGAUUACGAGCCCUUGAAUCCUCCCCUAAUUGGCAUAAACAAAACACUUCCGAAGAAAGUUAACAAAUAGAGACAAAUCACUUAUCUAAAACUUACCGAACAAUCGCAGACAAACGUGGAGUGACACGAGGCAAAGUGGGAAAAAAAUAAGAAGAUGAAGGGUGAAAGAGAGCAGAAAUUCGACAGCAAUGAAGAGAAAAACAGCAAGAGGGUGGAGGGAUUUUGGGGAAAGUAAAAAAAAGAAAAAAAAUUAAAAGAAUAUUUGAUAAGCACCCCAAUCCCUUAUUUCUCUCCAUCAAACUCCCCACUAAAUCCACUACUCAGAUUUUUAGUCCAUCUCAAACUCUCUUGGACAUACGAGCAAAAAUAAUGCCCAUGCUAAGAUUCAAACAUAGGACCUCUUUCACACCAACACUCUACUUAUCCAUCAAACCAGCAAGCCCAUUCUGUUAAUUAUUUGUCAACUUUUACUUAAAAGCCUACCGACCAAAGAUAGGGCUUACUCAUAAAAAUACCAAAAUUUGCCCAAGUCCUGCCUUGAACUUGGAACUUCCCAAACACACCCAAAACACUUCACCACUGAAGCAGAUACACAGUUGUGUCACACAUUCACAAUACUUAAAAUUAAAAUUUUGGGGCGUUACAAUGCUUGUUUUAUUGAAUUAAACUAUAACCUUACUAACUUCAUAAAAUGCAUAAAAAACUAAUGCAUCACUUGAUUACAAACUCAUAUUCAAGCUUAAUUUGCCACAGUGAGUUGUGGUCAAUCAAUUGUUAAUAUGAAAAUUAUUUUUUUAGAACAACCAAUUUCUCUCAACCGUAUUUUGAAGCAGUGGUGGAUCCUGGGACAAAGUUUGGAGGGGAGGCUAGUAAAAUUUUUAGGAAUUAUAAUUUUUUUUUGCCAUAACUAUCUAAUACUCAUACGUGUUUAUGCUUAUAAUAUAAUUUUUGUAACUAGUAUAAAAAUAAAUUUUUAAAAUGGGAUUUGAGUGUAAUUACGUAUGUAAUCAUUUUAACUCUCACCCUAUGUAAUCAUUUUAACUCUCACCCUCCCCUAAGAAUUAGAAAGUGUAAUUGAGUGCUCUAAUUACAGCCAAUUCGGUGGGACUCACCAAUCAAUGGUUACCCAAACAUGUCAUCUUUGUGUAAUUACUAGCAAUUACACCCAAAUUCAAUUACUAGGUGGUUUUCCAAACAUUACCUUAAUAUAUUACUAUUGGUUCUUUCUCACUUUUGUUUUAUUUUAUUUUCUUCACUUUUAAAAUGUUAUUUUAUUAUCUUAAUUAUUUUUCAAAAUUAAUAGAAUUUUAUUAUAAAUUAGGAUAGUUCUCAUUUAAUUAACAAAUUUUUAUAUAUUAAAAUUAUAAAAAUACAUUACUUAGUAAAUUAAAAAAAUAAACAAAUACAUAGUUUCAUUAAGAGUACUUUUGUAUUUUCUCCAUUAUGUGGUAUUUUCCCUAUAAAUACAUAGUUUUAGAUUUAUACCUAGAGAUAGCCACCUUAGUAUUAUUUUGCUUUAGAGUUUUCUUUUCUCCAUGAAUUUCUAAAUCAUCUUUUCUAGUCAAAGGAUUUUGAAGUUUGAUUCUAAUAGUUUGUAAGAUCUAAUUGCUCUUCAUCUAUUCUUUGUUCUUUAGUGUUUGCAUGUGUUCUAUUUUAAUCACAAAUAUUCAAGUUUGUUGGAUAUUGGUACCAUAUUCAAUUGCUUAGAACAUAGUGACAAAUAACAUUGUAAUCACUGAAUUUUGUCCGGGAUUAAUUUCGUAUUUUUUUCAAAAAAAAAGAAUUUUUUAAAAAAAAUUAUUACAUUUUGACCCCUAAACUUUUCUAAAAUUAUAUUUUGACCCCUAAACUUUCUCAAAAUUUGACCCCGAAACUUCCUCAAAAUUACACUUUGGCCCCAAAACUUUUGCUGCAUUUACGAUUUAGUCCUUCUAGUAGCCACCAAUGCAAGUUGCACCUACAACGGCGGCGGCCGGCCUAGGGCAUAGCCCCCUCCCCCUCCCCACUUGCUACCUGCAAAAAGAACAAGAAAAUCAGCUAUAAAAAGGGCUUAAAACCCCAAAAAUUGGAACCCCCACUCAUGAAAAAAUUCAAGAAAAAAUAAAGAAAAAGAGAGCUUUUUUUUCAAAAAGAGGAGGAGGAGAAAUCGGCCACUGGAGAACCACUUGCGGAGGCGACUGCAGCAGCACGAGCAGCGAUGUCGACGGGACGAAGGAGGCCGAACGGAGAAGAAGAAGAAAAAAGAAGAAAAAAGAGAAAGAAAGAAGGAAGAAGAAGAAGAAGAAGAAGAAGAAAGAAAAAGAAAAAAGAAAAAGAAAAAAGAAAAAGAAAAAAAAUAAAAAUAAAAAUAAAAAAUAAUAUUUUUUUGAACAGUCGGGUCGACCCGACCAGACCCGACCCACGGGCCGACCCGCGACCGACCCAUCAGCAGUAGGCCAGCCCAAUUCCGAAGGCAGCCCAAAAAGAAAGGAAAAAAAAGGAGCAGAAAAAAAGCAGGCCAAGCAGCCCAAUCCAGCAGGCCCAACAGAUCCAACAGCAGGCCCAAUCAGUGCAGGCCCAGAAGGCCAUCUGCAGCAGGCCUGUGGCAUGCCCAUAAUCGGCAGCAGCCCAGUCCCUGCAGUAGCCCAGCAGCCCAGCAGAAAAAAAAAGAAAAAAAAGAGGGGCCCAAGUCGUGUGACCCGUUCAAUUUAGUUCAUAUUUUCGAGCUUUUAGGUAAUUUUCUUUUUUUUCAUUUUUAAUUUAAUUUGUGUACUUUUAUAAUGUCUCGUAUUUUAUAUUAUGUUUUUAAUAUUUUCUUUAUUUUUAUUUUAAUUUUACAAAACAUCAUUAUAUUUAUUAUAUUUAUUUAUUUUAAUUUUAAAUAAUUUUAAUAAAUAAGGCAACGAAUCGAUUUAACAUUAAGCCAUUGAUUUCAUCGCUAUGUUGGGUGAAUAUUACCGGUUUGUGUUAAAUAGGAGACGCCCUUUUAAAAAUUGAAAAUAUUCAAAAAUUCUCGUGUUUUAAUAAAAUCAAGAUUAAAUAUUAAGUUGAGUCGAUUUGACACUAAUUCGAUAAUUUCAUCGCUAUGUUGAGUGAAUAUCACCUGUUCGUGUUAAAUACAAUACAUCUUUUUUAAAAAAAAAAAUCGAAAAAUUCGUGUUUCAAAAAAUUCUCUUGUUUCAAAAAUUUUCGUGUUUUCAAAAAUUGUUGUGUUUUAAAAAUUUUCAUGUUUUUAAAAUUCUUGUAUUUGAAAAGUUUCCGUGUUUCAAAAAUUUUCGUGUUUCUAAAAUUCUCGUGUUUCAAAAAAAAUCCCGUGUUUUCAAAAAAAAUGUUGUGUUUCAAAAUUCUUGCGUUUUUAAAACAAGAAAUUCCUGUGUUUCAAUUGGAUCACGAUUAAAUAUUAAAUUGAACUUGUAUUUUUGAAAAUUAAGACAACAUGCGCUUAACAAGAUACCAAUUUUGGGCGUUACGAGGGUGCUAAUACCUUCCACGUGCGUAACCGACUCCCGAACUCUAAUUUUCUUUGAAUUUUAACGUAGACCUAAAAUUGACUUUUUUUUAGAAAAUUUGAAAAAUAAUUUUUCUUUUAAAAAGAGAGUUUAUUAGGUGUCCGAUCACACCUAGAAAAAAUAUCGGUGGCGACUCCUUUUUUUAAAUAAAAUCGAGACUCUGUUUUCAAAUUUUCAAUAAUCACUUCAAUUAGCGCCAAUGUACAAAAUAUUUAGGUCGCUACGAACAUGAUUACAUAUAAACUAUGUAUGCAAUUCAUGUUAUGUGGAUACCCGAUUUAAUCUAAAUGAACCCCGUUGGUGUGUGUUUGUUGGUCAGAAAUAAGUUUUAGUCAUUCUUAAUACUACCGAUAAUUAAGCUAAAUCCUAGGCACGAAGUUAUAGGACAUCUUGGUUAUCGAAAGGUAAUGAGAGAUUGUUUAUAGGGUUCUUAAUGCUAGGUGCGACAUGGGCAACUAUAACUAAUUUAUUAAAAACACUAAAAUUAUAUUUGGAUCAUUGAUCAAACUCACUAAUCAAAAUUGAGAUUUUACCUUGGUUAGACUCUCAUUAUAUUGAUUUUGCUAUAUUUUAUUUUGCAAUCUUUUUUUACAAAGUUUUAAUUUUAAUUUUAAAAAUCCUUAUUUUUAUUUUACUUGUUUUAUUAAAGAAUUAGAACAAUCACUAGUCUUUGUGGAUACGACUCUACUCACAGUCAUCUACAAAUUUAUUUAUUUUAUUAAGAAUUUAUUUUUAUAGGUCACAACAACCAUACAACUUUUGACACCAUUGUUGGGGAUUGGUGUCCAUAAUUUUAUUUCCUUUUAAAUUCAAAUAAGAGUUUUCAAGAAGAGUGAAUAAGGUAAAUAUUUCUUUUUCCUAAUAAUCAUUGAGACCAAACGAUAACAUUAAUGAUGAACUUGAUAUUUGUGGGUGUCGAAAUAUCCCUAAAAAAAUGUAUUUCAAAAAUUAAUUUUCCAGGAAACACAUUAUAAAUAAUAAAAUAUCUAAUAACAAAGUAAAAAAAAAAUCGAAGUUUUGGUUCCCCUAUAAUCGAGGGCACAGUUUGCCUUUAACGUGGAUGAUGAGGAAAGUCUUGACGAUGUUGUGGAUAGCUCGGUUCAAGUUUAGGGUGCUUCUAAUAAUGCUGAUCUUUCUUCUACUGUUCCAUCGACUGGGAAUCCUUCUUCUAUUAGUGUAGCUGCUGAUACAGUUACCUCUACUUCAAUAAGAGAUGAGACAAUACAGAUUGACUAGGUCAUGUUUAGUCUUUUUGUAAAACUUUGGUAUUUAAUGCAAACUUUAGCCCUUAUUUGGAUUCCGUGUUUAUGUUAUGCAUCCUAGCAUUUCUUUAUCAACUUAUUGUAUUGAUCUUGUGUAGCUUUAUCAAGCUUUUAUUUUUACUACUUGGAAGACGUAGGGAAUUUUAUUCUUUCCUUAUUUGUUUAUUGUGCUUUUAGAUUAACUUAGUGAGAAGUACCCUUGGCUAAGUCUUUCAGAAGGCUAUUAAUUUAACGAGCAGUAUCCUUGGAGGGUCUGUGCUAAAUUAAUAGAGCAGAGGAUUUGUUUCACUACCUUUCUUAGUUGCAACGUGACACCUCACAUUCGAUUUGGAUGGCAAAUUUAUAUAUAAAACAUUAUAUCCGUUGUCAAAGCAACUCAAACAAACAAAUUGCUGAUGUCAAAGCCAAAUCAAGAAGCAUAGCACAUAAUUCAUAAUUUUCAAAACGCUAAUAAUUAAUUUGUAACUUUUUUUAAUAUAGUUAAUUUAGUGACUAAUGUCGUAAUUUGUCUCACUUAAAAAGAGCCCACCACUUGACUUGACGCAGAGGUCAAGAGAUAUCUCUAAUAAUGGGAAGCAAUAUUUGAUGUUUAUGGUUGAUAUUGCUCUAUGUAAGGGUGUUCAAAUGAUUAAUUGAUCAGUUAACUAAAUCGAAUUAGUAUUUGAUUGAAUUAAUCUAACUUUUUAAUCCUUUAAUUGUUAAUUAAAUCAAUUUAUUUCAAAAAACAUUAACCGAACAAAAAUAUUUCGGUUAAUUCGAUUUGUUAACCAAAAUUUAUAUUUUUUUUGUUUAAAACAAAUAUAAAACAUAUAAAAAAAUUUGAUAAUGUUCAUUUGACCGAAUUAACCUAAUUAAUCAAAUUAGUAAUAGCCUAAUACAUAUGACAUAUAAUAUUAUUUAUUAAGUUUGGUUAAUUCGAUUAAUUACUCGAUUUCGAACCGAAUUAACCAUUAACUGAAAUUUCAAAAAUCAUUUAACCGAUUUCGGACCAAACUAGAUUAGUUAACUGAUCAAUUAACCGAAUUAAAUUAAUCUGAUCAAUUAAUUUAAUUUUAACAGAAGCUUAAACACCAAAAACCAAGUCUUUGUGGAAUUAAAGUUUUGUUGUUAAGACUCACUGGAUUUUUCACAACCACUAUAAUUAGAUUAGAACUAUCUCUCCGCGUAUGCUCAAGUUUAAAAUUUUUUAAUUAAAUUUUAAUUAUCUAUUUUUUAAUUAUUAUAAUAUUAACAUAGAAAUUAAAAUUGUGAUUAUUGUUCAUAGUAGAAUAUAAAGUCUUAAAUUAUGAUGAUAACAUCAUGGAGAAAAUAUUUUAAUUUAAAAAAUGUAUAAAAUUUAUAUAUUAUCUCUUUUACAAUUAUAUAAAAAAUUAUAUUAAUAUAUAAAAAUAAUAAAUUAAAAAAAUUCUGUUUUAAUCGUUUGCCAUUAGAUAUCUAGUGAACUGAUGCCAUCCACUAAUUUGACUCUCAAAAAAUGGAAGUUUGGGAAAGCUAAAGGUUGUUAAAUUAGACAAAAAGAAACAAGAAGCCAUGCCAAUAAUUCCGUUAACAAUUUAACCGGACCAAAGUAGAACUAAACGAUAACAUUAAUGUUGAAAUUGAAAGUUUUUUGUAGUUCAAUGACAAAACAAAAAUACGCUAAUAAUUGAGCCACUCAUUGUGUAAUUUAGCAUUAAUUUAUUUUUGGAAGAAAUUGUAUUUAUGUGAUAAUAAUAAAUUUCAAAAAAAUAAAUUAUUUCUUUUGUCAAAAAUUUGUAAUUAUAAUAAUUUAAAUAUAUAUAUAAAAAAGUAUCCAACAAAUAUAUCAAAUUAUUGCAAUAAAAGGAUGAAGAAAUCAUAAUAUAACAAUACACCAAUUAGAAAUAACUUCAUUUCAAAUAUAAAUGAAAUUUAAUAAUGAAACAAAUUCUAUUAAAGACAAGGACUAAACUAAAAAAAUUAAAACCAAUUAUAGACUAAGAUAUGAAUAUAUAAAUAGUGAAAAGUGUAAUCAUAAACUUUUAAAAUAAAAAUAUUCUAGAAAGCAAUUAUUUCUAAAAAGUAAAAAUCAUUAACUCUUCCACCUUCCGCCCUCUUUUAUUUAUUAUAUUUUUAUAUUGAAUAUACUAUAUUUUUUUACUCUUAGUCUUUACUUGUUGAAAAGGUUACAAAGUUAUCAUAAAUUUCCUAAAAUCUUAUGGCACUUUUCCAAAGAUCCAAUACAGAUUGAUACAAUAGCUGAAUUAUACCAUUAAUUAUUAAAUUAUAGAUAAUCAAACAAGAUUAUAAUUUAGUCAUUAAUAUUUUCAAAAUUAUUUUUAUGGUCACCUGAUUAUUAAGUGGCACUUUUUUGGUUGGUAUGAUAACAAUUUUAUUCUUUGAUUUUUCUAUUAAUUUGGCCCUGGUGCUAAAUAAAAAUUAUAAAUAAAUAAAUAAAUAAUUUCGAAAACAGUAGUCAUCAAAUUGUAACAUUUUUAAUUUAAUGACUAAAACAAAAACUUACCUAUAAUUAAUUUAAUGACUAAUUUCAUAAUUUACCCUUUAUUUUUUGAAAGGAAAUCUUACUUAAAAAGAUACCACCACUUGACUUACACAUAAGUCAAGAAAGGAAAGCAAUAUUUGAUGUUUACUGUUGAUAUUGUUGUAUGAAUGCCAAAAUCCAUGUAUAGACUUAUUUCGAGUGUUUGAAUUUUCCACCAAAAACAAAGUCGCUGUUGAAUUAAAAUUUUGGUGCUAAGACCCAUUGUAUUUUUCACAACCACUAUAAUUAGACGAUAAUUAUCUCUUCACGUAUUCUCGAGUUUAAAAUUUUUUAAUUAAAUGUUAUUUAUUUUUUAUAAAAUAAAUAGUCAGAGAUAAUAAAGAACAAUGAAUAUGAGAGAACAAAAGAGAGUGUGUAUUUUAUUGAUCAAUCAGAAUAUCUACAAACUUUCUCCAAAAUCUGUAACACCUCAAACCUGGCCUAAACGUUAUGGCCGAAUCCGGAGAUGUCACAAAGAAUGGUUUUGAAAACGGAGUUGUCUCGCCAAAUCAUUCACAUUUCAUACUUCACACGCAUUCCCAAUUUUACUGAAAACAUCAUUUAAUUAGUUUGUUUGCUAAAAUGUAUUACAGCAGAAACCUGAAAACAAUCGUUAUGUUUUUAGAAAUGCAGCCGCAUUUUUAGGAAAACAUUUGUUUGCGUAAAAGCUGUCGUUUUCAAUAAAACAUUUCGUCAAAGCAUGCAUACCAUUAACAAUCAAAACCAAAGCCAAAGGUUAAAAAGUCCCAAACAGUCCAGAGAGUCCCAGAAUUUACAAACUCUCAAUGAAACCAAAAUUUAAUAUAAAAUCAUAAAUUAAUAUUUGAAAACAGUUUACGAACGACUGGUCACCACUGAGUCUCCUGCCGCACCGAUCCGCCUAAGUCUGUGGAUUACCUGACAUAAUAGACAAGUAGAUGUGAGUUUACGUAAACUCAGUGUGUAACCCAGCAGAAUUAAGCAUGCAAUCAUACAGAAUCAUAUACAUAAACAGAAACAAAUACAAUACAGAUUCGGGCCCAGGCCCAUUUCAGAUACAGUAAACAGAAUCAGAUAAUCAGAAUCCUAUCCCCAUCCUCUACACACCAUCUCCGACCAUCCCAACACACUAUGUGGGGUUAAAAACACCCACCCAUCCCUACACACUAGGUUGUUCCAUUACAACACGUAUCAGAUAUAGUGCAGCCAAGCUGCCAGAUAAUAGGCGAUGAUCGCCAAACAGAACACUUCCUCCAUCAAUACAAAACCCACCUCACAAUCAUAUACAGGACAAAUACAAAAUAACAUACUAGACAUGCUCAACAUGUUAUGUACGGAUAUCAGAAUAAUCAGAUAUGCAUGAUAUUAUCAUACUCAGAACAAAUCAUCAGUCCAUCAAAUCUACAGUUUUAGGGUUAGGCUAGCCCUUACUGACCCUACGGUAGGCCCACAGUUGAUUGAGACGACCCGUGCAACCCUAGGAUAAAUUUUAAAAAUUUGGGUCCACAUGCCCGUGUGGCUUGCCCGUGUAGGCCUACACGCCCAGAUUGGCCCUUACUAUAUGGCUUGCCUGUGUGGCCCACACGACCACACUCGAGCCACCGCACGGUCGUGUUCUCGCACAUGGCCUACCACACGCUCGUGUGGCGUCGAUAGAACUAUUUUUUGGCUUUUGUUCAAACCUCUUUUUUUGCAUUUCGGGUAUACACCUAGGAUCGAUUUGGUGCAAAAUCACACUCGAGCCUUCCAGAACCUAAAAUCAAAAUUUCCAAAUUUUGAAUUUAGUAACACCAACAAAUCUCCACCAAGACAAUUUCACAACGAAACCUUACAACAUUAAUCAACGCACGCGAAUACUUACCGCUAACAAACAACAACCUUGAAAACUUAAAUCGUCGCAGGAACCCCAACCGAUCCUUGACCUUCGCCUAAAUUGAGAGUAACAAAACAAAUCCUUUCGUUAAACACUUAGCCAAAAAACGUUAAGAUUCUAACAAUACAAAACUUACAAAAAGAAUGCAGUCAAACGUUGCACAAAAAAAACGAGACCGAUUCAGAAAAGAAAUAAAACAGAAGUGGGAAAUAGAGAGACAAUUUUUCUACAAAGAGGAGAACAAAAAGAAUGUCAGUUUUUUUUGGAAAUCGAAAAUUUUGAAAAAAAAAUAAAAUAGAAUUAUCCCAAAUCCCCCCCUUUUUCUCUUGCUAACCCACUAACAUCCAACAUCCUCAGACAUGCAGUUCAACCGAAACUCCCUCCGACAACCGAGCAAAAAUUAAUUACCCAUGCUAACGCAAAAAUUUGAACACAAGACCUCAAACACACCACUCCCUUACCACCUGAACCAACAAGCUCAAUCUAAUUUAAAUUUACAGGCAAUAAAAUAUAUGCCCCCUUACCAAGGAUAAGGCUUAGAUUCAAAAAUAACCAAAAUUUGCUAAAGGUAAGGCUUGAACUUGAGACCUCUCACACAUACCUAGAACACUUAACCACUAAAGCAAACAAAUAUUUGUCAAAAACUUACAAAAACAGAAAUAAGAAAAUCAGGGCAUUACAAAAUCUCUAUUUAUAGGUAUAAAAAGUAUAAAUGAAGUAGAGAUCUCCUAAUGACUAUUAGAAUUUAAAGUACAUCAAAACUUAUCUUGAUCUUAAUGGACAUCCAUAUAAUAAUAUAUUCAUAACAUUUAUUUAUUUUUAAAAAUUAUUAUAAUAUUAACAUAGAAAUUAAAUUUGUGAUUAUUGUUUAUAAUAUAAUAUAAAUGAUAACAUCAUGGAGAAAAAUAUUUUAAUUUAAAAAUUGUAUAAAAUUUAUAUAUUAUCUCUUCAAUAAUUUAAAUUAUAAUGAUAAUUUUUAUAUAUUAAAUUUAAUAUAUUUAAUCUUCCUUUAAAAGAAAUAAAUUACUUGUUAAGUUAUUGCAUUUAUUCUAUGAAUUAAUUUUAAAUUUUAUUUGUCAAUCUUCACAAAAUUAUUAGAUACUUUGAGCAAUUUAGAAAAUCAUUUAAAAAUAGAAAAAUUCCAUUGAAGAAUGAUACUUUUGAUUAUUGAAAGUAUCUGCUGAUUAUCGGACGCAUGAUGUCGAAACCAUUUUUUGGAAUCGACUUUUAUUUUAAAAAAUGAAAAAUGGGAGUCGCCACCAAUCCUUUUUUUAUGAGGUGUAAUCGGGUCACAUCGUAAUUUAAUCGUUUUAAUAAAGGGUUUAAUUUAUUAAAACAACGAUUUUUUGGUCUAGAAACUUUGAGAAAUGAGUUCGGGAGUCGGUUACGCACGAGGAAGGAUUAACACCCUCACAACGCCCAAAAUUGGUACCUAGUUGAUUAAUUAAUGUCUUAAUGUCGAAAAUUGAAAACUUGAAAAGAGUUUAAAAUACAAUCCCUCUUUGUAUUAAUAUCAUGAUUACUUAAAAAAUCUUAAAUAAAUCGAAAAGUAUGUUAAAGACCCUCUCAUCUCGAGGUAACAAAAUGUCACAUCCCGUAAAUUAGGACACGACACUUCAAAUUUUUGAGAAUGAAUUUGCCUUUAUUUUUUAUUUGAAUCUCACAUGUUUUAAUUUUAAAAAGAUAUUAGGUUAUUUAGACCCAACGAGAAAAAAAUCGAAACCCUGUAAGUUAGGGCACGACUUUCUCAAGUUUCCAAAUACAGAAUAUUGUAUUAUUUUAAAAAUUUUGAAUAAUAACAAGUGUAAUAUUUAAACGAUGUGUAUUUUUUAUUUGGAUACAAUACAUCAAUGGACAGACAUAUCUAAACUUAAUGUAUAGUAGUGAUACAUGAAAUAAUAUAAAAUGACUAUAUUGAUAGAAUAUUGGAAUGAUAAAUAAUAGGUAAAUAAAUGAAUACUAUAACAAUAAUAGUAUAACCUUAAUAAUAAUAAUAAUAAUAAUAUUAACAAUCAGAUCAUAGUGAUAAUAAAUAAAAUAAUUUAAAAUAAAUAAGAACAUGGAAGAUGCAUGUUAGAAACUAAAGGUGCGUUUGGUUCGUUGUAUUGGAUUAGAGGUGUAUUGGAUUAGAGGUGUAAUAGCAAACCAACUGUUUGGUUGAAUGUAAUGGAAUAGAGGCGUAAUAGUAAUCUUGUGUUUGGUUGAAUGGAAUAGAGGUGUAAUAGCAUAAUGGAAAAAACUAAAAUGACUAGAAUACCCUUAGCAUAAAUUUGUUUUGGUAAAUGAUUAUUGUUAUUGUUAUUUAAAUUUUAAUAAGAUUAUUAUUAUCAGUAAUAAAUAUUUUAAUCAUAUUUAAACAUAAUUAUUAUUAAAUAUAUUUUAAUUAAAAUAUAUAAUUUAAUAAAAUUCUUAUAAUUAGCAGAUAUUUGUUUUGGUAAAUUAUUAUUGUUAUUGUUAUUGUUAUUUAAAUUUUAAUAAGAUUAUUAUUAUCAAUAAUAAAUAAUUUAAUCAUAUUUAAACAUAAUUAUUAUUAAAUAUAUUAUAAUUAAAAUAUAUAAUUUAAUAAAAUUCUUAAUAAUUAAUAUUCUUAUAUGAAUUUACUCAAAUCAUAAUAUAUGAUACUGUAAAAAUAUAAAUUAACAUAAUUAUUAUUAAAUAUAUUAUAAUUAAAAUAUAUAAUUUAAUAAAAUUCUUAAUAAUUAAUAUUCUUAUAUGAAUUUACUCAAAUCAUAAUAUAUGAUACUGUAAAAUAUAAAUUAACAUAAUUAUUAUUAAAUAUAUUAUAAUUAAAAUAUAUAAUUUAAUAAAAUUCUUAAUAAUUAAUAUUCUUAUAUGAAUUUACUCAAAUCAUAAUAUAUGAUACUGUAAAAUAUAAAUUAACAUAAUUAUUAUUAAAUAUAUUAUAAUUAAAAUAUAUAAUUUAAUAAAAUUCUUAAUAAUUAAUAUUCUUAUAUGAAUUUACUCAAAUCAUAAUAUAUGAUACUAUAAAUGAAAAUUUGAAAUAAUUAAUAUUAAAUAUAUUUUAAUUAAAAUAUAUGAUUUAAAAUAAUUUAAAAUAAUUAUAACUAAUAAAUUAUAUUUUAUGAAUUUGUAUAAUUUAAAAUAAUAAUUAUUACAUAUAAUUUAAUAAUUAAUAUUAAAUUUCAUAAAAUUCUUGAUAAUAAAUUUUCUUAUAUGAAUUUAUACAAUUUAAAAUAAUUAAUAUUAAAUAUAAUUUAAUAGUCAUAUAUAGUUUCAUAAAAUUCUUAAUAAUAAAAUGUUCUUAUAUGAAUUUACUAAAAUCAAUAUAUAACUUGAGAAUUAUAUUCUGCAUAAACAUAAUUAACUUAUAUUAAGAAAAAGUUAGAUGAAAAUGAAAUUGUACAUCAUAAUCCAUAUGUUAUAUAGUUUUACAACAUCAAAAAGUUUGAACAUUGAUAUUUAAUGGUGAGAAAGAAAUCUUCUGACCCAUUCCAAUCGGGCAACAGAAGGUAAACUAAAGAAAACGAUCAUUUGAGUUGGAUGAUCGGGAAUUUUACUCUAAGCAUCAUACCGCUGAUCGUCGGUUAAACCUUCAAUUGACCAUAAGGCUGAAUAUAAAUUUGAAGCUUUCUUUUCCAUCUUUUGAUGUUCUUCUGACUUCUGCUGAACUACCACCUCGGAUGCAAUACUCCUACUGAUUUGAUCGCCAACGGCCUGAAUUUUUCCCCCCAACAAAAUGGCAGCCUCCUCAAAUGAAGAAUACACAUUAUCACGAGCAUCAGAUUUCUUCUUUCUCUUGUUUGAAGAUGAGGAACCCCCUUGGUCUCUAUCUCCUCGCGGAUCCGUACCAGAAACAUCCAUGUGGUCUAAAGAGACGUCAGCUUCGCAGUCAUAGAAUGUGUUUCUCUCUUCAUUCAUAUCUGUAGUACGUUCAUCCUCAGCAUGUAUUUCUUCAAGAACAUCAGCAGCUGUUUGAGCGUCUUUCCCAGUCGCCCGAUCUCUUGCGUAUAUGGCAGUAAGCUGGUUGUAGUAAGGGAAAGAACGAUGUCUGAACUGAGAGGCUUCUUUGUGACUCUAAAAAAAACAAGGAAAUCAUAUUAGUUAUAAGUUUUGUAAAAAAACAAAUAAAUACUUGAAAUACAUUUUACCUUAACAUAGGAUUCCCAAACUGCAUCUUCAGCAACAACGAGCUGCCUAUGCUCGUCCCAACCAAAGCCGCUGUUGUUUUGACCAUUAAGCAUGUCGUAGACGACUGACCAUUCCCUUUUUAGGCACCUAAUCCGAGAUUCAAUAUUUGGUCUCGCCUUCAACAUUGCUCUUGGUAAAGCCUUUUCUAGCAUUUUCUCUAGCUCGUUCAAAUAACCGACUUUGAACCCGGUAUCAGCAUUAAAUGUUCCUACAUUGUGCAAAUCCACCAUGCAAGAAACCAAGGCUGCAUCCUCUUCUGGAACCCAUUUUAUUUUGCUUCCUCGAGAAGCUUGAGAAGAAGCACCCGUUGGUGGAACACCUGACAUAUUGUUCUUAAGAAAAAAAAAACAAAUUAACAUUAUUUACUAUUUUGAAUAUCAUGAAUCAAAAGGUGAACAAUUUAUAAUAUUAUAUCGGUAGUUCAAUACUAAAUUUAAAUUUAUAACACAUGCUGAAUGAAAAGAUAAUUAAAUUAUAAUUCAACAAAGUUUAGUACAAUACAGAAUUUUAAUCAAAGACCACCAAAGUUUCAUAAACUAGAUACAUAAAAUAACAUCAACAAAUCAAUUCAAACUCAAUUUGUCCCUAAACCUAACUAAUUUCUAGAUGCUUGCCAUUCAUCGAACAUUUGGUUGGCUAGUUCCAUCCUCCAAGUUGCCCAAGCAUCCGAUGGAUGAAUAUUUGUGAUAUUCAGCUCAUCGUCAUCCACAACAUUAGUAGGUAAUCCUUCUCCCACCUCCGCUUCAAUGGGAUCAAUACUCAUAUGGGUUCGAAUAAAAUUAUGGAGCAAACAACAUGCAAUAAUAAUUCUAUUGUUAGAAUACUAAUUUAAUUCUAAGUCAACUAAAUGUUGUACAAUCUAUAUAUAAAACUCAGUCUAAUACCUUAAACCAUUUCCACCUUGUGUCAGAAGAAUCGGCUGUAAUUGGCUCCGGCUUUUUAAAUAAGACAUCUUGUAAGCGUAUGACAGCAUUUAAAACACUAUGAAAUGCUCUGCUUGCAGUUUCCCUGGACCUUCUAAAGUGAUGCUUGAUAACUCGAUUUUUAAGGUGAUGGGAGAUGAUAUGUAAAAACAUUGCUACUUGCUCAUCAAGAAGCAUGAACCUCGACGACUUCAAUCCCCCUAUCGAUUCUAACAUCUCACAUAGUUUAAAAAAUGCAGUUCUAUUCAUCCUAACUUGUUCAAUACAAGUCUCGUCACUAGCAUAUACAAGCCUCUUCACAUAAUCCCGUUGUGCAUAAAAAUCUACGGUAUAGGACCUAAUCCUUGGUCUAUAAGUAUGUAGGCUAAGGCUGGCACCCAUUCUAAAUAAGAACCAAAUCGCGAUUCUACAGAUUUCCAACCAAAUUGUCAAUGCAGCACCGAUUCUUUUACGCCUCACACUUUGUGCAAUUAAGGGCAGACGAGCCAUUACUGCACCAUAUUAAAAUUAGAACUCAGUAUCAAUCGCCUCACACUUUAGAGAUGCAAAUUUAUUAAAAUAAAUAUCGUAUAAGAUAUCUUUUUCAAUUAAUAAAAUAGAUAAUUCAUUCAAUUUUUGUUGAGAUAUUGUUAAUCUUCAGUAAGAUUUUAUCAAUUUUAAUUUUUAGAGCAUUUUCUCCGUUGAUGCAACAAAAACAUGAGUUAUUAACAUUAUACGCAUUUGAAAAAGGAAUAAACUCUUUAUGAAUAAUUAUGUCAAUUGAGUGUCAUUUUAUAAUUUGAUAAUUUAUUUGAAAAUAAUAUUAUAAUAAUUUGAAUUAAAUAAGGAAUUUGAAUAUUAUUAAUUUAAUAACAAUUAUAUAAGCAUCGAAAUUGGAACUUGAUUGAUUGUUUAUAUAAGUACCGAAUUAUAUUUUAAUUAAAAUAUGCAGAUUUAAUCUUAAAUUUGGAUAUUAUAUAAGCAUCGAAAUUGGAACUUGAUUGAUUGUUUAUAUAAGUACCGAAUUAUAUUUUAAUUAAAAUAUGCCAAAUAUAUAUUAUUAUCAUUACCAAAUUUCUACUUGGGACUUGGGUGAUUACUUUUCUUUACAAUUAACUCUCUUCAACUUUUCAAUCUUUUAUUUUAUUUUAUUUUAUUUUAUUUUAUUAACAUUGUAGCCUUAAAACAACUACCUAUUUUAUAAUCGCUUUAAUCAACACGUAGUUGAGGUUCGGGAUUCGAGUUUUGAUUUAUUUUAACACAUGGGUUCUUCUUAAGGGUAAGCAGGAAAAUUCGAAAAACCAAAAAUUAACUUGAACUAAUGUGUUUGGACGGUUUAUGAAAUGCUAGUUUUAAAAUGUGAAACCCAAAUCAUUUCUAUUUUUAUUUAUUAUAUAAUUAAUUUUAAUAUUUUAUGAUAUAAAAAUAAAAUUAUUAUAUUUACAGUAGUGAAAAUAAUUUAAAAGUUUUUGAAAGAUUAUUAUUUUCUAGAAACAUUUAUGAAAAUGUUUUUGAAAUUUUGUCAAAUAAUAUUCAAAAAGCCAUAAAUAAAGCUCUUUUUGUUAAAAUAAAUCUAAAAGCUCAAAACAAAAAUAUUAUAAGUAAUAUAAUAGAUAGUUGAAAAAAUUCAAAAGACUCAAUUAAAUCAAACCAAUAGAACCCUAAUUUUCCCCAAAUUUAUUAUAAGUAAUCAGUAAUCGAGUUAUUUUGCAUUGAAGUUGAUUUAAAAAAACUAUGAAAAUUUUAAAAAAUAAAAACUUUUUUAAAGAAACAUAAUACAAUCUUAAUUACAAUACAAAAUAAUACACGUUAGAAGCAUUAGCCUUUCAAAUUUUCAAAAAUACAGAAUACAUUCAAAAUUAUUAAUAAAUGGUCGGGUAUUACGUUCCUAAUGGAAAGACUCAAAUUUAAACUUUAGAGACGACAUUAUUAAAAGAGAAAAGCACAAACUCUAAACAUAAAAAAAUAUAUAUAAUACAUUUAAAACUUAAACCGAAAUAAAUAUUAACUAAAAAUUCGCACAUGAAUGACAUAGGAUGAGACUCUAACAUAAAAUUUUAAAGAUUUUUAAAACUUCAACCAUACAAGAUACUGUUUAAUUUAAAGAAUUUAAAAAUAACAGUUGAAAGAAAAAGAUUACAUGUUUUUCCCAUCCCGUCAAAUCAAAUUAACUUUUUUUUUCUAUAAUUUUAUAGUAGUAGCAUAAUUUAUUGAAUCCACUCAUGAACAAGCAUGAUAAAAGAAUGCGAAAAAUUCAGCAAAAUCAUGCAAAUAACAUCAUUACGCAACUACCUUUAGAUUCAAGUAAAUUGGACAUUCAUGAUGACUUGGAUAAUAAAAUUACUAUAAUGAGAAAGGGCAAUGCUCAGAAAGCCUUCAAAGUCGAUACAUAUAUGAGAUGGAGAGUAGGUUAAAGAGUUACAUGCAAAUAAGACAUUACCAGAAUUAUAUUCUAUCCAAUAAUUGAAGCGGAGUGGGUUGAAGGAUGUUUUAUUAGAUGGGGCUAUCAAAGUAGGCUUUCUUAUUUCUUCUAAGGGAGCUUAUAAUGUUAGAACCAUGGAAGAAUGAUCGAAAUGACAAUAGGUAAUUAUUUUGGUAACUUGGAGUGCUGCUGGUUUUAUGUUCUAGUAAUGUAAUUUUUUAUGGUAGAGUUAACAAUCUUGCCAGUAUCAUAUUAGAGAGAAUUAAGUUAAAAGGCUCAUAGUUCUUCAAUACUAAUCUCAGUAACAGUAAAAAAAAUCAAAUAAUUUAAUUGCAAAAAAACUUACAGUGACUCAGUGAAUACAAGAGGCUUAGUUAUGGGUGGAGCAAGCAAGCCAAGGGACUAAGGGAGUAGUGCUAGUGGCCGGAGGCGAAGCAAGCAAGGGAGGUUGGGACUGAGAGGUGAAAAUAAAAAUACAAAUUCAAUAAUAAAAAAAGAAGAAGAAAAAGUAAAGCAAUAUGUUUGAAGAAGUAAAACAACAUGCCUAUAACAUAACGAAUAAGAAACACAUAAAUAACAUAACCCAACAAAGAAGAAAAAGCUAAAUAGGAAUAUUUCAUGAUGUGUAAUAGGAGAUGACUAGCACUUCGAAUUUAAAGGAAUUUAUGUUAUUUGGUUUCAUAGUUUAGGGAUUCAUCAGCUGACAGUUGGUCUAGAUCAUUGGUCCAGAUACAACUUCACGAAUGAGUUUCUAUUUGGUUUCAAUGAUUUUUAACUCGUCUUCAUUGUCUUGCUCUGCUUAGCUUUGUUACGGAAAAAAGGUUUCAUUUAACUAGAAACUCAUGGUGUCAGGGUUUAUUCCAAGAAAUCCACUAAUUACUUCUUCAACUAUGUUUAGAAAAAAUUAUAAAUAAGGACAUACAUUCUUAGUAAAAAUACAAUUUACUUAUCCAGUUCAGCUAGUAAUAUACACAUGACUAGAAAGCAAGAGGGCAAAGAAAUUAAGUAAAUUAACCUCAAAAAAUGUACUCUUACAGGAAUCGUAGCUUUUGAAGCUUGCCCAGAGUAGAUGGAAUGUGUCCGGUUAAAGUAUUCAAGUAAAGAUCCAAGCUCACUAAGUUGGUCAAAUUUCCAAGAUCCUCUGGGAUUAUACCAGAUAUGUUAUUACUAUAAAGCUCCCUGUCAUAAAAAAAUGGUAAUCUUCAGCAAAAGAAGUUUAAUAGAAGCACAUAAACCAUGCAUGUAUCUAUGAAAAUGCAACCAAAUCCAAUGGAAAGAUGACAACAGAUGCAAACCAUUGUGUAAUGACAAAAGCAUAGAACAUCAUUGUUUACAACUAUUUCUACUAGUAUACCUGAAUAACUCAGACAUUCUGGUCAGUUUUGGUUACUAGGAUGACAAAAGCAUGCUGGUGUUUUGUUUUUCCUUUAUGUAUGUCUCAAUAUUCUAACAAUGAGAGGUAGCAUGUAAGAAAUGAGUUAUCUAUUUUGGGGUCAACCAAAAAUAGACUAGGCCUACACUAUUGACUUACAAAUUCUGCAAAGCCGGAAGCUGUCCAAGCUGUGGAACCAAAUGACCAAACAGAUUUGCAUUCCCGAGGUCCCUAAAUUGAGAAGGAAGAAAGCGUUUACUAAAUGCUUAUCAGGAAUGAGUUUCUAUUUGGUUUCAAUGAUUUUUAACUUGUUUUCAUUGUCUUGCUCUGCUUUGCUUUGUUACGGAAAAAAGGUUGCAUUUAACUAGAAACUCAUGGUGUCAUGGUUUAUUCCAAGAAAUCCACUAAUUACUUCUUCAACUAUGUUUGUAGGUACCACUGAAAACACAUGAAAAGAAGUCUAUCUUAAAGUUUUUCUCAACAAUGAAAGUUAAAAAGGAACAAGAAUCAAACAUGGAACAAAGUGUGUGCGAUGAAUAUGUCAAAAAAAAUUUGCUGAAUAACUUAAAGGAGGAACCUAAAAGUACAGAUGAUAGACUUGCAUCCUUAACAGAUAAAAUCGUUCACCUCUUUUAGUAAGCAAUUCACCAUUCAAGUGCUUUCUUUUACACAACAAAUCAAUAAGAACAACAGAAGAACACAUGCAACCCCAAAUCCCCCUUAAAAACGCUUCUUUUCCUUUGAUUAAUUAAUGCUUUUAACAAUUUAAACCCAAAAUGAAACAACUUCCAAUUCCCUGUUAGAACGAACCAACAAAGCCUAUAUACUUAAUCAUGAAGUAAAGAAAAAAAAAAGAAAUCACCCACUAAUAAAAAACAUAAAGGUCUUUUUUUUAAAUGGUGCAAUACAAAACCAAAAGAGCUAAAAACCUCAGUAAAUGAAUGAUAUUAAGUUAUUAACAUACAAGGAAAAUGAUCAUAGUUUAUAUGAAGAAAAAAUACCUGAAACUAGGUUAAAACUUCUGGGUCUGUUACAGAAAACAAAGAAAGAAAGGAGAAGCCUUUGUAAAUUUUUACUUAGAAAGAGAAAAACAGAAGCAGCUCUCUUCUUACCUUUCUCUAUGGCAUGCUCGAGAAGAAUUUGGGGCUACUGGCCGAAGGCGAAGCAAGCAAUGAAGGAGAUAAAGGAGAGACAAACCCAGGAAACAGAGGGCAAAUUAGGGCGUGAAAACUAAAACGGAUGUAAACUGAAGAGAAGGCAAGGAUUAGAAAACAGAGAAUUCUGAGGAUUAGGGGCGUAACGUAUUAGGGGUGUAUUAGGCAAUACAUUGAACCAAACACCUACUUAAGAGGGGCUUAAGUGGGGCCCACGGAUUAGGGGUGUUUUGGCUAAUCCAAUACACCAAACCAAACAUAGUGUAAAUGACAUGAAAAUGCCAAAAAUAAUAAAAGAAAAAAUGAAGCAAUAAGAGCACACCAAAAAGUAAAAAUAAGAUAACAAUGACGAUAAUAAAUUAAAAAUGUGACAAUAAAAGCAUGUGUACAAUCCAAUUUACGAGUAUGUGUAAAAAAUAAUAAUAAUAAUAAAUAUAUGAUAAAUAUAUGGGUACUAAUAAUAAUAAUAAAUAAAAUAAUAAUCAUGAUAACAAAUGCACAAAAAGAAAAUAAAAAAUAAAAAAGCUAAAAGAAAAAAGAAAAAAAUCACGAUAAAGGAAAAUAAAAUAAAAAACAGUUUUAAAUAUUAAAAAAUGGUAAAAAAAACUAAUAAAUAAGUAAAUAAGCAAGUAAAUAAAUAAAUAAAGGACUCAAUCGCAACUUAAAUAGAAUUAAAAGUAUAAAUCAAGAAAAAUACAUAAAUAAAAUACCAAAAUGAAAAGCGUGAAAACAAACGAGGACCAAAUGAGAAAUUAUCCCAAUCCUCUGAACAUGCGUCCCUUCUCCAUGAGAUUAGCGAGCCAGGGACUAAAUUGAAAUGCGUGAAAACUUCAGUGGCCAAAUCUAUAAAAAAAAGAAGUAAAAAAGGGACUAUAUUGAAACGUGAUGUAAAAGCGGAAGGAUUGACUACGCAAAUAUGCCAAUUUUCAAAAACAAGCGGAUCCCAAGGGUUAAUGGAUCGGGAAAUUGGGUCGGCCCAAAACGACGACGUUUUGGGCAUCAGAAGCCAAUCCCAAAGCGACGUCGUUUUGGGGGGGCUUAUUUAAGUUAAUUUUUUUCAAAAAAUUUCAUUUCUCUCUUGCUUUAUAAAAAACUGCUUUCAACUCUUUUUUUUUCUCUGAAAUUUCCCUAGGGCCGGCCAUCCGGUCCAGUGGCCUCUCGUCGACCACCGGUCACCGGUGACAAUGCCGCCGUCCAUGGUGGUCGAAACCCCUAAAAAAUCCCUUUUUGGCCCUUUGUUUAAAAAAAACUUAGGUUUUAGAUCUAAAGGCAAAUGCCUAAAAAAUAGAAAAAAAGAACAAAAAGAAAUUCGGCCUCUGCCCUUUUUUUGCCUAUUUGCCCUAUCGUGUUCCCUUCUUGACGAAGGCCGAACGGUGCCCUAAGGACCUACGACAAGCGUGACGCGAGUAGACAGGUAAUAGAUUUUAUUUUUUUUAUUAUUUUCCUAUUUUAAGAAUAAAAAAAAAAGUGAGUCACCCAUUUUUUAAUCUGAUUUUCUUUUUCAAAAAAAGUCCCUUGAUACAAUCUGUUUUAUGGCUUUUAUAGCCAUCACAUACAUUUUUCUAUAUUUUUACUGAUUCUACUAUUCUUGCUUGGUUGUCUUUCGUCCUUUUUCACUUUUUUUACAGGCAUCGACGCGCGGUCAACAAUGGGGAGAAAAUGGCGCCCUUGCUAUUUUUUUGAAAUGGCAGCAGGGGCAUCAGACCUCGGGACGAGGUGCCUCGAGCGGCGUGCAUACGAAAGGGGGUGCGAGCUAGAGGCUAGGGUUUUUGUUUUUUUUCUAAAAUAGUUUAGGCUAUUGGGUCUAGGGCCAUAGGGUUUUUUUUAAUUUUGGGCCAUUUGGGCUUGUAACAUAUUGGGUUAUAUUUGUUGUAAAUGAACAGUUUUUUAUUUUGGACUUUAUUAUUUUUGGUUUAAAUUUUUGUAAUUUGGGCCUAGGCAAAAUUGGGUCAUUACAACUGCCCCUUUUUGCUCGUUGACAUGUAACGUGAAUAGAGCAAAGGCCUUAAAAGGGUCAACUUUGCCUGGUCUUGCCGAAUCUCAACUUCUUUGGUACUUCUCUUUUUUAAGUGGUUUCAUCCUAUCCCACAGCAACUUCAGGGGUAUAGGAAUUGUAGUUUCAAUAUACUCCACUACAACGUCAAGGAGAUAAGAUUUGUAGCUUGUAGCUUUAGUCUAUUCCACUGCAACUUCAGAGAGAUAAGACCUGCUAUGGUAGAUUUAAUCUGACCCACUGCAACUUCAGAGGUAUAGGACUUAUCGUUUCAAUCUACUCCACUGCAACUUCAGGGAGAUAAGAUUAGUAGCUUCAAUCUGCUCCACUGCAACUUCAGGGAGAUAAGAUUUGUAGCUUCAAUAUGCUCUACUGCAAUUUCAGAGAGAUAAGAUUUGCUAUCUUCGAUCCACUCCGCUGGAAUUUCAGAGAGAUAAGAUUUGUAGCUUGUAGUUUUAGUUUAUUCUACUACAACUUCAGGGAGAUAAGACCUACUAUGGUAGAUUUAAUCUGACCCACUACAACUUCAGAGGUAUCGGACUUAUCAUUUCAAUCUACUCCACUGCAACUUCAGGGAGAUAAGAUUAUUAGCUUCAAUCUGCUCUACUGCAACUUUAGAGAGAUAAGAUUUGCUAUUUUCAAUCCACUCCACUGCAAUUUCAAGGAGAUAAGAUCUGUAACUUCAAUCUGCUCCACUACAACUUCAGGGAGAUAAGAUUUGUAAUUUGUAGCUUUAAUCAAUUCCAUUGCAACUUCAGGGAAAUAAGAUUCGCUAUCUUCAGUCUGCUCCACUGCAACUUUAGGGAGAUAAGAUUUGUGGCUUUAAUCUGCUCCACUACAACUUCAGAGAGAUAAGAUUCACCAUGAUGACUUCAAUCCAUCCCACUGUAACUUCAGGGGUAUAAGAUUUGUGGCUUUAAUCUGCUCCACUGCAACUUCAGAGAGAUAAGAUUUGCCAUGAUAACUUCAAUUCAUUUCACUACAACUUCAGGGGUAUAGGAUUUGCGGCUUUAAUCUACUCCACUACAACUUCAGGAAGAUAAAAUUCACCAUGAUAACUUCAAUCCGUCCUACUGCAACUUCAGGGGUAUAGGAUUUGUGAUUUCACUGAUCUAUUACACCGUUCUCUAGGGAACAUAACCUGUAGAAUCCAUUUCAAGGGCCUAUAUUUAUGCCAAGUAAUUAGGAUGUUAUGGUCAGAAUGAAUCAAAUGCUCCUAACUAGAUGUGUAUGAAUGAUAUUUGCAUGAGUGCAGAAUGUUAUUUUUCGAGAAUGAUCCCCUUUUAAUGCUUAGGUUGUCAUUGCGCGUUGUUCAUCAAGGUUCUAUCACUGAUGUGUUUCCAUGCCUUCUUGUUUAGCUGGUAUCUUUGACAGAAAAUCCGAAGAAAUAGUCACAAUUUAGACUAUUCUUUCUCAAAUGUUUCCAACCCUUAAGUUUGGUUAGUUCUAACUAGUAGUCCUAUUUCAAGUUCCUGUACUAUUUAGAAGCCUUUCAGAGAAAUAUGCAAAACUCAUUUUACUUGAAUAUUAUUAGUCCAUUAAUCGUUAUUUCAAUGUAAAAAUGCUUGAAAAAGAUUGUAACAAUAGACAAGAUUGAAAUUUAUUGGGAGCAAGGUUCGAAAUGAAUGGAUUAACCAAAAUAGCAAACGUUGCUAAAAUACAAAAUAAGUAAGAUGAAAUUAGGUACCCCAAAUAUCGCAGCAUGAGCUUCUUUGCACAAACUUCUUGAGAACCAUUUUGAGCUUGAUAUGUGUUUAGGAGAUCCAGAGUACUUUGUUGAUGCCCCAAUACGUAACGUUCCUCCUCCUUGUUAAUUUUGAGAGGACAAGACUACCGCAUGCCCCAUCUUCGAUCAAAAUUUGAGCUGUCCUUUUUCGGGUUUUCAACUCAAAACCUCUUUGGUCUCAAGGUGCCUUUUGUGGGUUUUAGCCUUGGCCUCUCCUAUUUGUUUCUUUCUUUUUUUUUAGGUGAAAUACCUCUUGAUUGAAUCUGACUUCACAGGGUUAGGCAGGUUUUUUGCCAUCCAUUUCGGUCAGAAUCAGCGCUCCUCCAGAAAAUGUCUUUUUUUACCACAUAAGGUCAUUCCCAACUUGGCAUCCACUUUCCUCUGAAGUCCUUUUGUAUGGGAAGGAUCUUUUUCAAUACUAAGUCUCCCUCAUGGAAUUCUCUGGGGUGAACAUUUUUGUUGUAAGCUCGCAUCAUUCGUUUUUGGUACAUCUGAUCAUGACGGAUAGCUUUCAACCUCUUAAGUUCAACUGAUCAUAUCGAGAUUGGACUCAUUCUGCUUCAUCUAACUUCAACUCUGAUAAAACUCGGAGGGAAGGAAUCUCGACUUCAAUCGGGUCGGCCCAAAACGAUGCCGUUUUGGGCGUCAGAAGCUAAGCCCAAAACAACGUCGUUUUGGGGAGCUUAUUUAAGUUUUUUUUUUUUCAAAAAAUUUCAUUUCUCUCUUACUUUUAAAAAACUACUUUCAACUCUUUUUUUUCUCUAAAAUUUCCCUAGGACCGGCCAUAGGGUUCGGUGACCUCCCGUUGUCGACCACCAGUCGUUGGCGACGGUGCAGCAGUCCACUGUGGCAGGAACCCCAAAAAAUCCCUUUUUGGCCCUUUUUUUUAAAAAAAAAAACCCUAGGUUUUAGAUCUAAAGGCAAAAGCCUAAAAAAUAGAAAAAAAAAAAGAAUGAAAAGAAAUUCGGCCUCUACCCUUUUUCUGCUUAUUUGCCCUCUCAUGUUCCCUCCUUGACGAAGCCCGAACAGUGCCCUAAGGACCUACGACAGGCGUGGCGCGAGUAGACAGGUAAUGGAUUUUAUUUUUUAUUAUUUUCCUAUUUUACGAAUAAAAAAUAAAAAAAAGUGAGUCGCCCUUUUUUUUAAUCUGAUUUUCUUUUUCAAAAAAAGUCCAUUGAUGCAAUCUGUUUUAUGGUUUUUAUAGCCAUCACAUACAUUUUUUUAUAUUUUUACUGCUUCUACUGUUCUUGCUUGGCUGUCUCUCGUCCUUUUUCACUCUUUUUGCAGGCAUCGACGCGCGGUCAACAGCGAGGAGAGAAGGGCGCCCUUGCCAUUUUGGUGAAAUGGCGACAGGGGCGUCAGACCUUGGGACGAGGUGCAUUGGGCGACGUGCACACGAAAGGGGGGUGCGAGCUGGAGGCUAGGCUUUCUGUUUCUUUCUGAAACAGUUUAGGCUAUUGGGUCUAGGGCCAUUAGGGUUUUUUUAAAUUUUGUGUCAUUAGGGCAUACGAAAUGGAUAGUUUUUUAUUUUGGACUUUAUUAUUUUUGGUUUAAAUUUUUGUAAUUUGGGUCCAGGAAAAAUUAGAUCAUUACACAUGAUAUUUUAAAAACUUCUCUUAAAAGAGUCUGACCCCUCAACAAUGUUAUAGAGCAAUAAUUUGAAAUAGUCAAGAAACUUGUAGGAAGGGUAUAGCAAGAGGGUUGGAGGGUUGACGCCAGAAGUCAAGAGAUAUCUCCAUAAUGGUCACUUGUGUUGAGUGGUCUGCUUUUCUUCUAAGGGGUGAUUGAAUUUUCUACAUUGAAAACGAAGGUAGAGGACAAUUGCUUUUUUGUCACUAUUGCUACAAAUGCCAUUGAAUUUCCACAAGAAAUUUAUCCCAUAUUUAGUUAAGGGAACCUCACUUGACUUGACGCACAAGUCAAGAUAUAUCUCUGAAAUGUAAGUAUUAUACACUUUUAUUUUUCCUAUUAUAUCAAAUAAUUUUUUUUAUAUUUAUGUCAUGUAAUUAUAUUAUGCGGUAAAACGUAAAAUUCUAAUGAAUAAUGACUUUCGAUAUUGCCUAACGUGUCAUCAUGUCUAUGCUAUUUUUGUAUUAUCCUUGUUUUCAAGGCAAUAUAUAUUUAUAUAAAUUUUUUAAAUUUUGUUUUAGGUAGAUUUUUACAUGUUUUUUAUUCAUGUCAUGUUCAUUUUUUUAAUUUUUUUCAUAUUUUAUUUAUUGAAUGUUGGGCUUAAAAUAUUAUAAACGUUCCUAAUUAUAUAUUAAUUUUACAUUAAGUUUUAACAGAUAAAUUUAGCAUUAUUAUAUUAUAUUAUACUAAAUUUCUUAGGUCAAAAUUAUCUUUGAUUUUUUAUCCAAUUAGAUAUUCCUACACAUUUUUUUAUUUCUAAUAACAAAUUUAAAAUUAUCUAUAUCUAUCUAUAGUACAAACUAGCUCUUAAGAGAGUUUUAAGAGUAAAUGAGUUGAUAAUAGUGUUUUUCAAUUUUAUCUAUAUAUUAAUAUUUUUAGCUCUUAAAAAUCUAAAUUAUAUUUAAUAUUUAUUUACAACUCUAAAUAUCAAAGCUUGAUUAGAUAUAGGUUAUUUGAACUUUUCAUUUUAAAUAAAUUUGAGGAAAUUAAAAAUGGAAAUUUUAAUUAAUUUUUUUAAAAAAAUAACAUGAUUUUGAUUCAUUUCAAUGUAUAAUAAUUUUAAACUAACGUUUUUUCUUCAGUAAAUUUCACUUUAAUCCCUUUCUUUACUUCUUUUAAAGUUAUUUUUAUUUUUUGCCCUUUAUUUUUCUUCUCAUUUAUAAAGUCUUUAAUCUUAUAUGUUUCGAGUAUCAAAGUGUAAAUAAAUAUAAAUAUUAAAAAAAUACCUAAAUUUUAAAAUAAAAAUAAUUAAUAAUAAAUAUUUAGCUUUUGUAGUACAGAUGUAUAAUUCAGACAAUUUUAAUAUAACAAAUAAUCAAGUAACUGGGAUUUAAUAUUUAAUUAAAAAUAUUCAUCCAAAAAUUGUAAAUCGCAUAACAUUAAAACUCUUUAAAUAAUAUGUCACAUACAUGAUCCCUUUUUUUUUUUUUGUAAAUAUACAUGAUCUGUUUUUAUUUAUAAAACUUCCUUUUACCUCAUUUUUCUUCAUUAAUGUCUAGAAAUUUGAAGGGAGUCCUGUACCGAUUACAUUUGAAACCUAUCAAGAAUGAGCUUUUGAUUGUUAUAUUAGAUGUUUUCCUAUUAGUUUAAGAUCCCCAAUAAUUAAGCAUGCUUUCUUAAUAAUUGGAAAAUAUUUAUUUAAAAUAUUACUUUUGAAAGUAUUUCUGUGAAGUGUGUCUCAUAUUUUCGGUCAAACUAAAUGGCAAAGCAGGGGCAGCGUCGCGACAUUCGAAACUAAAUCGAAGCAGGGCCGAUGUCAUGAUGAGGGGACCUACGAUGUCGCGACGAUGCGACGAGACAACCACGUCUCUUGACAACUCUAUGGAUUUUCUUUCUUCCCGUUGAACUUUGAUUCUCGGUUCUCUUUUCCUAAUUUAACUCUAACUAUUCUAGGGAUAUUUUUGUAAUACCCUAUAUGUUACACCCUUAACCAGUCUCUAUCGUCAGAUUAAGGUUACAAAUAUUACCAAGCAAAACAGAACAUUUAACUUCACAACAGAAACAAUUAUAUUAAUUAAAUGUAAUCAUGGUAAAAAUACAAUUAUAGGUCUUAACUCGAGUUUACAGGACCCAAAAAACAGUUUGGGAACAUUUAGAGAUCAAUUCGAAACAAAUCAAAAAAAUUUGAAAAAACAUGAAAAUUUUAGAAACAGGGAUCACACGAUCGUGUGACAUAGCCCAAAUUGUGUGGACAUUCGAAUUCUGAACACACAGUCGUUUCCCAACCCGUAUGAGUAUUCGGAAUAAGGCUACACCAACAUGUUACAAUUAAGUCCUGUGUCAAACCAUGUGUGCAUUCGAUACUUUUGUCACACGACCUGUGAUGAAAACAAUAAUUAUACACGGAUGUGUAGGGUGACCGAAAAUUCAUAUACAGACUUAUUUUGAAUGUUGUAAUUUUCCACCAAAAACAAAGUCGCUGUGGAAUUAAAAUUUUGGUCCUAAGGCCCGCUGGAUUUUUCACAACCACUACUAUUAGACUAGAAUUAUGUCUCCACGUAUGAUCGGGUUUAAAAAAAUUAUUAAAAAAAUUAUUUAUUUCUAAAAUUAUUAUAAUAUUAACAUAGAAACUAAUUUUGUGAUUAUUGUUUAUAAAGAAUAUAAAGUAUUAAAUUAUAAUGAUAUCAUCAUGAAGAAAAAUAUUUUAAUUUAUAAAAAGUAUAAAAUUUAUAUAUUAUCUUUUGAAUAAUUUAAAUUAGAGAUAAAUCUCGAAAUUAUACAUGAACUUUGAUUUAAUGUGAAAUUGUAUACAUAAACUUUAAUUUGAUUUAAUAAUUUACAAGAAUUUGAUCAAAAUAAAAUUUCAUGUAUAAAAUUGUAUAAAAUCAAAGUUCAUAUAUACAAUUGCACAUUAAACCAUAGUUCAUGUAUAGUUUUAAGAUUUAUCCAUUUAAAUCAUAAUGAUAAGUUUUAUAUAUUAAAUUAAUAUAUUUAAUCUUCCUUUAAACGGAACAUGCUACUUGUUGAGUUAUUAUAUUUAUUCUGCGAUUUAAUUUUAAAUUUUAUUUGUCAAUCUUCAUAUAAUUAUUAGAAGAAGGAAUUUAUGACCAUAAAAAAUAAAGAUAUAUUUAUCAACUAAAUAAUAAAAAAAUAUUAAAAAAAUAAAAAAAUUCCUACAGAAGGACAAUAUCUUUAGUUAUUAAAGGGAUCUGUUGAUAAUCAAAGGAUAUUUUAAAAACUUUUCUUAAAAGAGUGGGAUCAUCAAAUGCUGAUAGAGCAAUAAUUUGAAGCAGUCAAUAAACUUGUAGAAAGGGUAUAGCAAGAGGUUUGAAGCAGGCAAUAAACUUGUAGAAAGGGUAUAGCAAGAGGAUGGAAGCUUGACGCCAAAAGUUGUGUUGAGUGUUCUGGGGUGAUUGAAUUUUCUACAUUGAAAACGAAGCUAGAGGACAAUUGUUUUCUUGUCAAUAUUGCUACAAAUGCCAUUGAAUUUCCCACAACAAAUUUUCUACAAAUGCUUUUCAAUUUUGAAUCAAGUUGGUUUAUGAUUGGAAUUACUUGCUGCAAUAAGUUAGUUAUUUCAUUUUUUUAUUUAAUACCAAAAUUAAAUAAGUUUUUAUUAUUAUUCUCAUUAAAAACCCGUUAAAGUUUCAGUUUUUCUAUUUAAUAUUGCAACUUUAAUUCUAUUGAAUGUUUAGGUUACUCUUUGUUUUUCAUUAAUACUUUUGGUUUUUUUUUUAAAUAUAAAAAGCUAUUAUAUAUUAGUUAUUACUUAUUAAGAUAUCAACAUUGUUAGAGCAAAAAAAAUCUGUGUGAUGGUAAAAAAAUAUAUACAUAUUCUUUUUGGUGAAUUAUAAUAACAAAGUAAAAUCUGAACAACUAACGCAACUAGUGCGACUUGAAUCCAGGUCAUAUAUGAGGUGUAGUUAAAUGAGAAAGACAUUGUAUAUAAUAAAAUAGAUGUGAAAAAAAAAUUGUUUCAUUAAUUAUUAAUAAAAUAAAAAUAUGAUUCAUUUGCAUUUGGUAAAAUUUAAUUAAACAAUAAAAUGUUUUUUUUAUUCUCAUAGAAGUAUAUUUCAUUGAAUAAUUUAAUUGCUUUUAUUGAAAUUAUCGUGGUAUAUACGAAUGUUGCUUAGAAUUUUUUUUUUGUAACAAAUAUUUUUCAUUGUCAUAUAUUGCAUAUGAUAUAAAGGCAAUAUUUGAAUGGAGCAUUGGUUAGUUUUUCACAGUGAAUCCUCCACAAUAUUCCUUUGUUUGAAGUUGCGGAAACAUGUCUCGUGUUUUUAUAAGAUACAUGCAUUUAAUUGGUUUCAAACAAUUCUCCUUCAGUAUUACAAAAAAUUAUGGAUAAAAGUAACUCUUUUAUAAAAUAGCUGCCGAUGUUGACGGAGAACUUCAUACUCCAAUUGCAAUGCAAAAGGCAAAGGUAAUGAGAAUUGUAAGCUACCAACCCGCCUAAACCUUAGAUUCGAAUUCGAAAGAUUAUAUUGGCUACUAAAAUGACUCAAUAAGGUAGCGGAAUUUAUAAAAUAGUCGUUUUAAAACAUUUGUUUAUCUUUAGAGGAAGUUUUGUCUAUUUUCAAAAAAAAAACUUAGCGUUUUAUUUCCCUUCUUACGAAAUAAUAAAGUUAAUCCAAAACUAAUUGAUUUAUAAAUUAGCUACUCGUUUAAAAAUUCAUUUUCCAACAAUGCAGCAGAAAAGUGAUACUAACAUAGUUUUAAUGAAAACCAUGUUUUAUGCAUUAUAAAAUAAAAUAAAAACUCAAGUUUUAAUAGCCUAAAAAUACCAUGCAUGCCCUAAAUAAACUCAAAACUAACUCUUGUGCCACAGUUUAAAAGUUCUCAAAAAAUAGGAACUAUAUUAAAUAAUAUUAGGUAAAAAAAUAUUUAUAUAUCUUUAAUCCAAGACUAGCCCUCCGAUUUCCCGAUUUUACUUCCUAACCUGAUGGAUUAUCUGUAAAUAUGUAAAUUAAAAAGGAGUGAGCUAUGAAGCUCAGUGUGAGUUCAGUCAUAAGAAAACUGGAACAAAACUGUAGGCAAAGCACAUCGGUUAGCAAUUCUGAGAAUAAUCACAAUCAUAAAGCAUUUCAAAUUAACAGUUUUUCAUAUCAUCACUUCACUAUUUCAUAAAUCACAAUUUUAUAUGCACAUGCUAAUGAAUGACAAUAUAAUUUCAAUUUGUUUGAAAAUAUCACUCUAGGUUGCGGAUGAACCAUCGUUGAUUUGCAGAUAAACUGCCACUUGUUUCUGGAUACGCGAUGUAAUUGCAGAAGCCUUUUUCAAUCAAUGAGAACAAAGCCCCGGGUCCGGAUGGCUUUAAUUUAUGCUUUUUUUUUUAAAUGUUGGGAGGUUCUUCGAGAGGAUUUGUUUGAGAUGAUGGCAAAGUUCUUUAAAUCUGGAAAAUUGGAGAAAAAGUAUAAACUCGUAUUUUAUUGCAUUAAUUCCCAAGAACGAUAAUCCGCAUGAUAUUUCCAAAUUCAGACCAAUCUGUUUGGUGAGCUCGCUGUACAAAAUUAUUGCUAAGGUUCUAUUGAGAAGAUUACGAAUUUUAUUGGGGAUGUGGUCAGUGAUACGCAAUGUGCCUUCAUUUGAGGUAGACAUAUUUUCGAUGGAAUUUUAAUCGCAAAUGAAUUGAUACAUUCGGUCAAGAAAAAGGAUGGCUCCGGGGUUAUUUGUUUUUUAAGUUGGAUUUUUCUAAGGCAUACAUUUGUGUGAAGUGGGAUUUCUUAGAAUUGAUAUUGUUGAAGAUGGGUUUCGGCUAGGAUGGACGGGAUGGAUGGUGGAGUGUGUGUCAACAACGAGGGCUGCAGUGCUAAUUAAUGGUGCAGUUACAAAUGAGAUCAGAAUAUUCAGAGGUCUCCGGAAAGGGGAUUCUUUAUCUUCAUUUUUAUUCAUUCUUGUGACGGAAGUUCUGCAUCUGAUGUUGGUGGAAGCGGAGUAGUUGAGGGUAAUUGAACGGAUAAAAGACGUUAUUCAUGGGCAGUCUGUUUCACAUCUUCAAUUUGUAGAUGACACCAUUUUAUUUUUGAGGGCUGAUGUAACAGCUCAAUUUUCAGUAGUGUUAGAACAGUGAUUUGAGAUCACUAAAUUCGAUGAAAAAGUUAGAAAAAUUGAUUAAUUAAUAAUUAUAAGUUAAGUGUGAUUUUAGAAAUAUUUUUAAAUUAGUGAAUUUUGUGAUUUAAAAGAAAUUAUUAGGUAAAUUGGGUCAAAAACGAGGUAUCGAGACCUCGAUAUUAUAAACUGAGCUGUAAAUAUUUUUAUAAAUAUUUACGGAGUGUCAUUAGGGUAGUAUUAAAGUUUCGUUAAGAAAUUUUAACGUUUCGAUGGUUAAUUGAUUAAAAAGAACAAAAUUGAAAAAAAAAUGUAUUCCCGAGACUCCGUUUCGUAACUCGAAUUCAUAAAUAUUUAUUAUAAAUGUUGACACCAUUUUUUUAUCGAAAACGGGGUCGACUUGGGUUUUGAAAAAAAUGAAAAUGGGAGUCGCCACCGAUCCUUUUUGAUGAGGUGUGAUCGAGUCAUCUUAAAAAAAAGGGUUGUUUUUAAUAAAUAAUUUGAUUUUAUUAAAACAACGGUUUUGGUCCACGAAAUUUAGAAAACGGGUUCGGGAGUCGGUUACGUACAAGGAAGGAUUAGCACCCUCGUAACGCCCAGAAAUUGGUACCUAGUUGAUUAACUAAUGUCUUGAUAUCGAAAAUUGAAAACUUGAAAAAAUUAAAAAUAUGAUCCUUGUAUUAAAAUGAUUUUUUUUUAAAAAAAGGGGCAUAUUUCACGUUUAAUCGAGAAAGAAAGCAUCAUAUCCAGUAAGUUAGGACACAAUGUCUCGAAUUCCCGACACGUAAAAAUGCCAAAAUUUUACUCAUUUAAAAGACAUUUUAGCCAUCUUGAGUUUAAAAAUAAGAUCACGACCAGUAAGUUAGGACGUGUCUCUUUUUUAAAUCCCGAGAUAGUUUGAAAUUUGAGUUCGAAAAUUUUGUGCAUUUAGAUUUAUUGUAAAAAUCGAAACCCAGUAAGUUAGGGUACGAUUUUCUCAAAUCUAAACACGAAAUGCCAUUUUUUUAAAACAAAACUUUCUAUAUCGGGUAAAAUAAAACACGUAAUUGUAGCAAGGAAUAUGAAAGCAAGUUACAUUUUAUUAUGCAUAGCAAAACCAUAAUGAAUAUGAAAGUAUAAAAAAUAUAAAAAUAUGAGCAAUAGCAACGAUAUAAAAGGCCAAAUUUACAACAUAAACAAUAGCAAAGCAUAAAAACGAAUAAAACUAAAACAUUCAUUCAAAAUAAUAAUGAAAAUGAAAUAAAUAAAGAGUAAAUACAAUAAAAAAAACAAAGAGAUAUAUAUAUGUGUAUAUAGGUAUGUAGAUAGUUUUAAGCUAUAAAGUAUAAAAAUAUGUGCAUAUGUGAAUUAUAAAAUAUAUAAAGACCAUAUAUAGGACACGUAUUUAAAAAUAUAAAGAAUAUGUAAGUGUAUAUAUAUUUAUGAAACAAGAUAUGUAUAUAGAUAUAUAGAUAUGUAUAUAAAUUCAAAUAUAAAGAUAUAAAUCUAUUUAUAAAAAUACAUACAUAGAUAUGUAUAAUAAUAUGAAGAUACAUAUGUAGGUAUAAGUAAAAUAUAUAUGUAAAAAAAAGGAAAUAUAAUAUAUACACAUAAAAAUAUACACGUUUUAAUAUGAAAAAUAUAUAUGAAUAGGUAUAUAAAUAUUCGUGAAAGUAAUAUUAAUACUAACAAUAAUAGUAAUAAUAACCAUAAUAAAAAUAAUAGUAAACUAAUAAUAAUAUUUAAAAUAAUAAUAAUAAUAAAUUGCUAAAAUAUGGGCUAAAUCAAAAUAAAAAUAAAAUGUAGGGCGAAAUUGAAAGAAAAAUAAAAUAAAAGGGACCAAAUCAAAAAGCGCGCCAAAAGGGAAGGGUCAAAUGGGUAAAUAACCCAACCGCCUCAAAACGCGGCGUAGCAGUUGGCCAGAUUGAAAUAAAAUUAAAAUUAUAGGGCUAGAUUAAAAAUAAAAGGAAAUAGCGAAAAGGACCGAAUUGAAACACGCGAAUCCUUUGGGUCGGGUCGGGUCGACGCGUGGAUUCCCCAUUACUCAAAACGGCGCCGUUUCAAAAUUAAUAUAAAUACUAAAAAAAACAGUCUUAAAAUCAUUUUUCAAAAAAAAAACAGAGAGAAACUCUCUCUCAUUUUCUCCCUCAGGCUCCGGUGCCGGUCAUCGGCCGAUCUAGGCCUCCGACGUGCCUCCGCCUUAGCACCGCCACAUGCGGUGGCCGGCGAUUCCAAAAUCGGAUCUUUUUUAUCCUCUUUUGAAGCCAGGCGUGUCCUCGGCACAAAUCUAGGGCCAAACCUCAAAAAGGAGUCCGAAGCCUGAAAAACGAGGGGAGACCGCUCGUCUUCUCCCUUCCGGCGCGGCGCAGGUAAGUUUUUUGUUCUUUUUGCUUGUUAUUUUGUGUAGAAGAUAAAAAUAAAAAACAAAGAAUAAAAAAAGGAAUAGAUUUGGACACCAAAAGAGUCACAUUUUUCUCUUGUUUUUGUUUUUUUUUUUUUUUUUGCUAAUCUCUGUUUUGUUACAAAAAUCGCUAGAAGAGCAAACAAAGUUACAUUUUUGGUUGGCUUUUAUAGCCGAUUUUCUACUACCUGCGUUCUUUGUUUGCUUGUUCUCUUCUUUGCAGGUAAUGGCGCAAGUGGGGGUGGCGACGUGACCGGGGCGGUGGCGACGUGACGUGGCUGCAGUGGCAGAAGACCAAAAGUCAGAGGGGGGCAGUGCCUAGGUGCGACGCUAGGGUUUCCUUUCUAAAACCCUAGGCAAAUUUUUUUAUUAUUGGGCCUCGGGUUAGUGGGUUGUUGGGUCUAGUUUAGUUGGGUAUUGGGUUGCUGCUUUGGGCUUUGGUUUGUAAUUGGGUUAGGCUGUUGGGUUUAUUUUUGGGUUUGUUAUUGGGCUAUUCAGGUUUGGGUUGGUUAUUGGGCUGAGGUUUGCUGGGUUAUAAUUGUUUUUGUUUAGUUUAGGGUUAAUUGGGUUUUGGGCUAAAAAUUGGGCUUGUACAAUAAAUAUUUAUGAAGUUAGUUGUGUAGUUAAUUAGGUUUUAAUUAAGUGAAUUUGUCUAAAUUGAGGUUAAUUAUGAAAAAGGAUUAAAUUACAAUAGAGAUAAAAGUUUAAUUAUAGAUUAAAGAAAAGUUAAAAGGACCAAAUAGGCAAUUAUACCUUUUUCUAAAGUUGAGUCUAGGGGUGGGCAAAACUCGAUUCAACUCGAAAAAAUCAAAAAAAAAUUCGAAUUUAGAAAUAAAUGAAUCGAGUUAUUCGAAUCAACUCGAAUUUUUUUUUCAAAUUUUGAGUUCCAAUCGAGUUGAGUUUUCGAAUUCGAAUAACUCGAAUAAUUCGAAUAAUUCGAAUAUCAAACUAUAAUAUUUUAUAUUUUUACCCCAAACUCCCAAACCUUUUUACUUUUCCCUCAAACUUUUACUCCUUCCCACUUUCCCCCCAAAACUUUUACUCCCCUCCCCUCCCAACCCCCCAAUCUACCCAAAAUCCAUUUCCCACCAAAAUUUUACUCUCCCAUUUACUUUUUCUCAAAAUUUUACUCCCAAAAACCCUCAAGACCUUUUAUUUUCCCCCAAAAUUUUUACUCCCUCCCACUUUUCCCCUAAAACUUUUAUUUCCUUCCCAUCCCACCUCCCACCUCCCAUCUACCCCAAACCCUACCCCCUCCAAUUUUUUUUUUAAUAUUUUCCCUCCAAAAUUUUACUCCCCCUAUUUACUUUCCCUCAAACUUUUAUUCCCCAAAACUUUUUAUUUUCCCCCUAAACUUUUACUUCUGACACUUUACUCUCAAAUAAAAAAUCAAAAUUAUCUAAAAAAAAUCACUAAAUAUAAAUAGUAAUAAUUUUAUUUAUAUCUACUAUUUAUAUUAUUAAAUUAAAUUUCACAUUUUAUAUUAUUUAUAUUAUUGAAUUGUUUAGUCAUAUUGAAUAUUUAUAUUAAAAUUGAAUUAUUAAUUAUACCAUAAAAUAUUCGUGUUAAAAUUUUAUAUUGGUAUCAAUUUCACAUUUUAUUUUUAAAAUAACUUUUAUUAAAAAAUCAUAUUUUUACAUUGAAUAUAUUUUUUAAUUCCAAAAUACAUAGUGAUAAGAAUCUGAAGAUAAUUGAAACAACUAAGUAAGCAAAGAAGCUAACCAAUAUAUAAAAAAUUAAUAAAUAAAUUAUGAGGUGAUGAAAGUUAAUAAAAAAUUUGAUUAAGGUGGACAAAUUUUAUUACGAUGGGCGACAGGGGUUACAAGAACCCAAAAUUAUUUUUUAAAAUUUAACUCGAACAAAUAUAUUCGAUUUGAUUCGAUUCGAAUUCCAUCUCACUUGACUCGAUUCGAGAAAAUUUCAAAUAAAGUUAGGAUGGUAAAAUGAGAUUUCAAAUUUUGAUUAACUCGAAAAUUUUUUAUUCGAUUCGAUUCGAUCGAAUCCCACCCCUAGUUGAGUCAGCACAUGCAUGACAAAAAUCUUAGAUUUUUUUUAAAGUAUGUUAUUAUUUUAUUAUAUUGUAAAUUAUAUUAAUUAUAUUAUAUUAUUAUAUUUUAAAUAAACAAAUUUGUUGACAAAUGUAUGGUGCAUAUGAUGACAUGUGGAAAAAUGAAAUACAUAUAUUAGUAAUUAUUACAUAUUUACUUAUUAUUUAAGUAAAUAAUUUUAUAUUAUUAUUUUAUUUUUAUUAUAUUAAACUAAUUAAAUAAAAGAAAUAAAAGAUAGAAAAGAGAAUAGAAACAGAAUAGGCAAACGAAACAGAGAAGGAAAGAAGGAAAGAAAAAAAAGAAAGAAAGAAAAGGGAAAAUUGAGGUUUUGAGGUUCCAAGCUCAAUUGGUAAGUCAAAUUAAGUCUUUUUCUUAUACUUUUUGAGUUUUUUAGAGUUCUAGAACAAAAUAUUUCAUGGUUUAUGUUGAAAUUUUGGAAGUUAUUAUAUUUCUAGACAUUGAUUAUAUUGAAUAAAUGAAAGCAUUAGGGGUUAAAUUGAUUGAAAUUCAAGUUAGAAGUUAGUAAAUGAUUUAAUUGUAAAAUAAAGUGUAAGUUUUGAAUAGUAGGGACUAAAUUGAAAGAAUCCCGAAAUUAGGGAUUUAUGGUGAAAUUGAAGAGCUAAAUUGAAUUAUAGUAAGAAUUAAGAGAGAAUAUGGAGUUAGAAUGGGAAAAUAAAAUUAGUAUUGAUAAGGGAUUAAAUUAGAAUUUGGGUAAAGUUUAGGUAUAAAUGGAAAUAUUUUAAUGAAAUUGUGUAUUAAUGAUUUUUAAUUGUUUAAUUAUGUAGCUAAUGUCGUGCAAGAGUCAUUGUCCGAGAAAGGAAAGGAGAAGGUGGACAGUGAUUGACUCGAGAGAAAUUUCGGUUAGUAUUACCAUAAUUCGAAUUUAAUUAUUAAUUGAUAAAAUUUAAAUUAAUAUACAUGAUAAGCAAAUUGGGGUAAGUAUCACGAUUGAAUUGAAUGAUAAAUACAUAUUGGUAUUGAAUUUAUUAAUAGUAAUUGUUGAAUUUUGAAUAUGUUUAGUAAAUAAAAAAAUAAGGUGAAUAUCGAUAUUGAAUUGUAUGUGAAUUGAAUGGAAAUUACUAGUGAUAUGAUUUGAAUUAAAAGAAUUAAUGUGGUAUUGAAAUGUAUAUUGAAUGAAAAAUAAUUAGGGAUUUGAAUUUGAUUGGAAAAUGAAUUAAAAUAUGAAUUGAACAAAAGUGAAUUAAAUUAUGAUUAUGUGUGAAUAUGUGUAUUGUGAAUUGAUAUGUGAAUUGGAAAUCGAGAUAUGAGAUUUGAAGAUAUGUGAAUAUGUGAAUAGUGUAUUGAUUGAAAAGUGGUUUGAAUGAAAUUAGAUUGAAUUGUGAUUAUAUGUGAGUAAUUGAGAUGAAUAUUGAAUUAAGAAAGUGAAAUUGAAAUGUGAUUAUUGAAUAGAAAAUGAAAUGGUUUGAAUUGAAUUAUUGAAUUGAACUGGAAUAUUGAAAUUGGUGAUUGAUAUGGAUUUUAUUAGAAUUGAAUUGAGAAAAUGGAAAUUAAUAUGUGAGACUGAUACUGAAUUGAAUUAUGGAAUACUAAAGUAAUGAAUUACUGCAAUACUGUGAAACUGAUUGAAAUAAGGAAUUUUAAUUGAUACUGAACUAAGAUGGAAAUUGUACUAAAAAGUAAAUUAAAUACCCUAUUAACUAGUCGGGCUAGUCGGAUAUAGUUGGCAUGCCAUAGGAUAUGAAAGAGUACGGGUUUUUGCCGGCUUACUGAUCAGGCACUUAUUUGCCGACUACUGUUACUGUUACUGAUUCGAUACUUUGUGUGUCGAAUAUUGUUACCGUUACUGUUACAGAUUCAGCACUUUGUGUGUUGAAUACUAUUACUGUUACUGUCACUGUUACCGCUACCGUUAUUGUUUACUGAUUAGGUACUCUGUACUGUUUUAGGCACUAUGUGAUGUAUUGGUGUGCUGGUUGGAAUCCGUGUAUCCGCCAAAGUCCAAGUCAAGUUAAUAGGGGUAAAUGAAUAAUUUUGUUAAUAUAAAUUUUAUUAAAUGAUCUUGAAUAUGAAUCGAAAAGAGAUAUUAAAUUGAGAUAUAGAAAAUGAAAUGUAUGAACCAUAGGUUCAAGAAAUAGAUAAUGAUAUAGUUCAUGAAAUGGUUUUGGUAGUAUGAGAUGAUGUAAAAAUAUAAGUAAAGAAAAGUAAACUGAAAUAGCUAUUGUUGAGAAAUGAGAAGUGAAAAUAAAAUGAUUUGAAAUAGUGAAAUUAUAUGUGAAUUUAAUUGAAUACAAGUUAUUGAAAUUUAUUUAUGGAUUUAAUGUAUAAAUUGAUUGUUAAAAGAUUAUAAGUAUAAAAUUGAUUAUAACUGAACGAAUCGAAUUGAAAGAUAGUUAUAAUUAGUUAUUAUUAUUGAAACAUGUUGGUCUAAAUUUUAAUUUGAUUAUUAAAAUAUUGAAAGUAUAAAUUGAAUGUAUACAAUUUAUCGAUUAAUGUUAUUAAUUUGAAUUAUGGUAAUACCACUGAGUAUUCCCAUACUCAGCGUACAGUUGUUUCCGCGCGCAGGUUAGUAGAAAACCAGUGUUUGGUCCAGCAUCCAGAGCAAUCCCGACCUCAAAGAAAUUUUAGUGAUGUACCUUUGUUUUGAUAAUGUGGCAUGGACCUAGGUGAUGUAUAGGUUAAGUAUAAGAGUUUUGUGAUUACGGUUGUAGAAUGAUGUUUAAAUUGGUUAUAAGUAUGAAAUGGAACUAAUAUGACAUAUUUGAUACAAGUAUGUUAUAUCUGUUAUUUAUUUGUGAACUAGUUAUAAGUUAUCCGAUAUAUUCGGUAAUGCUUUGUAACCCUAUUCCGGUGAUGAUUUAGGGUUAAGGGGUGUUACAGCAGAUGAGGUUGUGGUAAGAAUUUCUAAGUACAUUCUUCGCUGUUUUGAAAUUUUUUCUGGAUUAAGUAUAAAUUUUCGGGAGUCUUGCAUAGUGGGUUUUGGUACUGAAUAGGAGUUUUUGUUCUAAAUGGCUGCUAUUUGUAAAUGCAAGAUAGGGAAAUUAUCAUUCAAUUUUUUGGGUAUAUCUUUAGAUGCUGAUCCAAGGAAGAUAUCUUCUUUGAAUGGUUUUGUGGAAAGAGUAGAGAGGAAAUUAUCGGGCUGGAAAAGUAAGUCUCUCUCUUGGGCAGGCAAAACUGUGCUUAUUAAUGCUGUGUUAUCCUCUCUACCUAUCUAUUUUAUGUCAAUUUUUUAAACACCUAUUGCAGUGAUUAAUAAGAUAGACAAAUUUAGACAAAAUUUUUUAUGGGGAAGUUCUUAGAACAAAAUGGCAGCAAACAUGAGCAAACACAAACAGCAAGCAAAAGAAAAGAAAACUGAUGAGCAAAAUUAUAACUGAAAGAAGAAGUUAUCCAUUUCAUUCACAAAUUUGAAAAUAUAUUAAAGUUACAGACUAAUUAGUCAAUUACCUAAACUUGUAACUGCUCCCACUAAUUUGUCUAAUUGAUAACUUAAGUAAUACAAAAGCAAAACUGAAAAAAGUCAGCUAUUACAUCCAUUAGUUUCAAAUCAAAAAUUUACCAACUUUAGAUAUCAAGUUACAUGCUAACUUGAUCACAUUACAAAAGAACAAAAUCAAACAAAGGAAGUAGACUGCUUCUGGUUCUGUCUCGAUGCUGGCAUGCUAGCUGAUUUGCUGCUGCUACUGCUCUUGGUUACUCGUUGCAUUGCAGUCCAUUGCUUAACACUCCUCCUUGGACUAUAGGCAACAAACACCAAUUGAAUCUCUCAAGAUUUUGAACCUUGCUGCACCAAGAGGUUUUGUCAAAAUGUCAGCCAAUUGAUCUUGUGAGCUGCAAUGAAUGAGACCAACUUCUUUGGAUUGUACAGCCUCUCGAACAAAAUGAAACUUAAGUUUAAAAUGUUUGGUUUUGCCAUGAAAAACUAGAUUCUUGGCUAUGGCAACUACUGAUUAGUUAUCCACCAUGAUUUCAGUAGGUUCAAGUUGUUCUUCAUUUAAAUCACAUAGCAACUUUCUAAGCAAAAUGGCUUGGCUUACUGCUGCUGUAGCUGCUAUGUAUUCAACCUCAGCUGUUGGCUGAGCAACUGUUUGCUGCUUCUUCGAGCUCCAGCAGAAAACUCCUGAGCCAAGUGUAAAGAAAUAGCCCGAGGUACUUCUCAUAUCAUCAACAGAUCCAGCCCAAUCACUAUCUGAGUAACCAAUCAGCUUAAGCUUACUUUCUUUCUUGAACAUAACCCCAAACUUCAAAGUUCCUUUGACAUACCUGAGUAUCCUCUUAGCUGCCUUGAAAUGAGUUGUAUUGCAGCAGUGCAUGAAUCUCGACAAUAGACUAACUGCAUGCAUAAGGUCAGGUCUGGUUGCUGUUAGGUUGAGCAAGCAACCAAUUAAGCUUAUGUACUCCCUUUCAUCAACUCUUUCUUGACUUCCAAAGCUAAUCAGUUUCUCCCCUUGAGCCAAUGGUGUGCUCACUGAUUUACAGUUUGUCAUAUGAAAAUUGUUGAGAAUUUUUAAGGCAAAGGCAUGCUGGCUGAUAAAAAUGCCUUGAUCAGACUGGCUUACUUCCAUACCAAGGAAGUAUGUCAUGAUUCCUAAAUCAGUUAUAUCAAAUACUUCUUGCAUUCUUACUUUGAACUCUUGAAUCAAAUCAACCUUGCUUCCAGUCACUAACAGAUCAUCUACAUAGAUUGAAACAAUCAGUAAAGUUUCAUCUUGACACUUUUUCACAUAAAGUGUAGGCUCACUCAAACUUUUCUAAAAAUUGAGCCUAAACAGGUAAGAAUUAAUCCUGUCAUACCAGUCUCGAGGUGGCUGUUUCAGCCCAUAAAGUGCUUUCUUCAACCUACAAACUUUGGCCACAUUACAUCUUUGUCCUAUUUUCCUUGGACCUUAAAACCAUCAUGUUGUUCAACAUAUAUCUCUUCUUUAAGAAGUCCAUUCAAGAAGGCUGACUUAACAUCAAGCUGAUGCAUUCUCCAUUGCUUCUGUGUAACCAAGGCAAACAGAAGCUUAAUGGUGUCUAGCCUUGCUACUGGAGCACAUGUCUCCGCAAAAUCUAUGCCAAACUGCUAGAUAUACCCUUUCACCACAAUCAUUGCCUUGUGUUUGUUUAAAGAGUCAUCAGCAUUGAAUUUAGCUCUAAAAACCCACUUGACACCUUGAUCUUCUUCUGGUCAGGUCUAUCCACCAGAUCCCAAGUGUCAUUUUUGUGGAUCAUAUCAAUCUCAGCUUCCAUGGCUUGCUUCCAAUGCUUAUUUCUUACAGCUUCUUCAAAGCUAGAAGGCUCAACUAUGGCCACAUUACAUCUUUGAUAGAUGUCAGCAAUGGACCUGGUCCCUCUUACAGGAGAAUCAUCUACAUUUGCAUUACUGGACUCAUUUUCUGUUAAUUCCAAACUGCUGUCAAUCUGAUCUUCUUCAAACUGACUUGUGUCUGAACCAUCCAAGCUCCAAAAUUUAUCUUCAUUAAAUUUGACAUCCCUACUCAUCAAAAUUUUCUUGGUUGAGGGAUCAAAUAUUCUGUAGCCCUUUUUGGUCCCACUGUAGCCAACAAAUAUCCCUAGAACUGAUCUUUUCUCAAGCUUAGUUCUUCUUUCAGCAGGUACAAGGACAUAACACACACAUCCAAACACCUUUAAAUGGGAAACAGUUGGUUUAAGACCAUACCAUACUUUAAAAAGAGUUUUAUCCUUCACAGCAUGUGUUGGCAGCCUAUUAAACAGGUACACAGAGGUGUUGACACCUUCAACCCAAAAUGUGCUUGGAAGUUUGCUUUGAAAUAGCAAACACCUAACCAUGUCCAUCACUGCUCUAUUCUUCCUCUCACACACCCCAUUUUGCUGAGAAGUAUACACAGUGGUCAAUUAAUGAUGGAUCCCAGCUUGCUCACAUAGCUUCUGAAAUCUUUCAAACAAAUAUUUAGUUCCAUUAUCUGUCCUCAAAACUUUAAUCCUGCAGCCUGUUUGAUUCUCUACCAAAGCUUUGAAUUUUGCAAAAGCUUCAAAUGCCUCAUACUUGUGCUUUAUGAAAUAAACCUAGGAAAAUCUGGUCAAAUCAUCUAUAAACAAUAUAAAAUACUUACCGCCAUUUAAUGAAGGGGUCUUCAUUGGUCCACAGACAUCAGAGUACACUAAUUCAAGCUUUUCUCGAGCCCUCCAUGCUUGGUUUACUAGAAAAGGCAGUCUAGCCUGCUUACCAAGCUGGCACACUUCACAAACAGACUCUUUUGAAUCAACCGUGGUCAUGUCCUCUGCCAAAUUCAACUUGUGCAGCAAAUCGAGUGACCUGAAAUUUACAUGGCCUAAUCUUCUAUGCCAUAGGCUAGUAUUGUCAGUUAAGCUUGUAUAAGCUUUUCUCUCAAGCUAACUUACAUCAAGCAUAAAACACUUGUCUGCCAUUGGUGCUGAGACAAUUUCUAUACCAUGAACAUCAUUAAUAACACAAGAACCAUUCUUGAAAACUAGUGAGUAGCCUUUUUCAACCAACUGACCUACACUAAGUAGGUUCUGAUCUAUAUCAGGUACAUAAAGCACAUCUGAGAUAACUUUGUUACCUGAAUCAGUGUUGAUCACCACAUCACCUCUGCCUUUGGCUUCAAUCAGAUUCCCAUUGCCUAUCCUGACCUUCGAGGUAAAACUUCUGUCAAGGCCUUUGAACAAACUUCCAUCAGCUGCCAUGUGAUGUGAGCAGCCACUGUCAACAAGCCAACUAGAUUUUACAUUGCUUGUGGUUGCAAAUCAUGAGGCAGUAAAAACAUGCUCCUCCUGAGCUUAAAGAUCCUCAGCAGUUUUAGCUUGUACUUACUGCUGAGCAUGAGCCUUCUCUUUGCCUUUGCAAAUUUUCUCAUGAUGGUCAUACUAUUUGCAACUCUUGCACUGAAUAUCUAGUCUAUUCCAGCAGUACUUUUCCAAAUGGUUUGUUUUCUUACAGUGAAUGCAUGGUGGAAACCUCCUUCUCCCUGCAUCUUUUCUUGAUUUCUCCCUUCUUUCAAAUCAAGGCUUCUUUGCUUUCUGACUUGAGUUAGAGCCUUCUUUGACUUUUGCUUGAAAGGCUCCUUCAGGAUGCUCUUCCUGCCUACUAGCCCUUCUCUGCUCAAGUGCAUAAAGUGAGUUUACCAACUCAGCCAAAGAAAUGGUUGUGAGGUCCGUAAUAUCCCGAAAAUUACUAUUGUAAUACCCCGAAAAUUACUACAGUAAGAAAGUAGGUAUCAUUGAUAGUAAAAUAAGGAAAUAAAGUGACAAAAAGGGAAAUUUUGAGUUAUAGCAACAUUGGGAAUUAUAUUAUGACAUAUUAAUUCAAGAAAGGAUUAAAUCGCAAAAGUGAGAAAAGUUUUGUUGCCCAAGAGUAAAUACUCAAAAUUUGAGGGAUUAAAGUGUAAAUAUGAAAAAGUUGAAGGACCAGUAGUGUAAAUAUUUUAAGAGUGGAAUAAUCUAGAAACUAAAGAAAAUGGAUGAAUUAGGACCAAAUUAAAAAGGUGAAGAACUUUGAGGGACUAAAUUACAAUUUUACCAAAUUAAAUGAUGACUCAAUGAUGGAAUUUCAAAAGAUUAUAAAGGGCAAAAUGGUCAAAUAUAUAUAGAGAGAGAGAGAGAAUUCUAGAAGGUAAUAAUAAUGUUUGUGAUAUUUUUAAUUAAUUAAUUAAUUAAAUGUUAUUUAAUUAAUAUUUUAUUAAGAUUUUUAGUAUUAUUUUAUUGUUAAAUGAUUAAUAUAAAAGGGAGGAAAGAUGAUGAAAAAAAAUCAUCAUCUUUCCAUGCACCCAACGUUAGAAGAGAAGAGAAGAAAGAAAGUUUUACUUUCUUUACAAUUUGGUCCUUUCACCAAAAAUUUACUAUUUUCACCUAGAAAUCAAAAGAAUUUCCAUAGCUUCCAAGAGAGAAAAAUAAUAAGGAGACAAUGGGGAGCUAGAAUGUCAAGUUAGAUUCAAGAAAUAGAAGCUGGAGGAGAGAGAAAAUCAAGUUAAAGAUUGAAAUCAAUAGCACAAGGUAAGAACAUCAAGAUUUCAAUAUAUUUUUAAGUUUGUUAUUAUUGAAAAAAGCAUGGAAAUGAUGUUAUAGUAGAUUUUUCUUAAAUAAAGUCUUAUGUUCUUGAUAUAUUAGUGAAGGGAAAUAAGUAAAAAUGAUGGGAAAUAUUAUAGAGAAAGGGAAUUAUGGAGUUAUAAACUUAGUAAUCAACAUCUUGCACUAAAACAGUUUUGGAUAGCAGCAGUAGGUUAAAUUUGAAAAAUUACCAUAAAUUAUGGAAAUCGAAUUAGAGGAUGAAAAAACAUGGAAUUAAAUCUUAUUAAGUAUAGUUUCUCAUAGAAGAAAUGUUGUGAGACAAGGUCAGAAUGAAUUAGGGUUCCCCUAUUCUGACUUUGGAAAAUCAUCAAAAAUUGAAUAAAAAUAAUUAGAGGCUUAAAUUUAUAUUUUUAAAAUCCUUAAUGAGUCUAUUUUCAAGAGAAACAAAUGGUAACAUCAUCUGAAUCCUGUACAAGGAGAUAAUUAAUUUUUAGUGAAGAAUGGUCGGAACUGUCAGACAGCAGAAUAGGGAUGACUUUAAAGAAUAAACUGUACUUAUUGGCUAAACCAAAAAUUCUGAAAAUAUUAUGGUAAGAAUAUAUGUGAGUCUAAUUUUAUAUAAAUUUAGCAGGUCUUAAUUUGGAGUUCCGUAGUUUAAGAUAUAAAUGAUUUAGUGACUAUGACUCAAGUGGACAGCUUUGAAUGAAAAAUAAAUAAAUAGUGAAAUUAUAGAUAAUGUUACAUAUAAGCAUGUUAUAUACAUUAAGGAUGUGGAAUGGAGAGGAGGAGGAGGAAAAUAAAUGAUUAUUCAACUAGCAUGAGUUCUCAUUAAAAAUGGUCAAUUUGCAUGUUUUAGGUUCAAGGACUAAAUUGAAUAAAAGUAAUAUUUUAAGGGUAAAUUAGUAAAGAUGUCAAAAAGUAAUUAAAUAGCAUGAAAUGAAUUGUUUUAUUAUUUAAAUUAAUAAAUUGAAUGAAAUAUUAAUUUAUAUCAAGAUUGCGUGGAAAUUCGAGAAAAAUGAAAAAUUACCAAAAUGUCCUUGAAUUUUGGUAUUUCUGUAAUUUAGCCUGGUAAGUUCGUGUAACUUGAAUUUUAUUCUUAGAUGAUUGAAAUAUAUAUAUUGGAUUGAGAAAUUGAUUUGAAUUGUGAACAAGAGAAAUUGUGAAUUGAAUGAAAUAGAAAUGAAUCUUUGAAUUACAUGAGUAAAUAUUGGGUCUCGUAGGCCCUGUUUAUUAAGAAUAUAAAAUUUUGAGGAUACGUUGUAAAGAAUUAUAAAAGCACGUUAAUAAUUUGAGAGUUUUAAUUCGAAUAAAAUUUUGUAACUCGGUUUAAUACGUAUGCAAAUUUAUGUCUUCUAGUAAUGCCUCGUACCCUAUUCCAAUGUCGAAUACGGGUAAGAGGUGUUACAAUGUGACAUCGCCAAAUUCGACCAUAACGUUUAGACCGGGUUUGGGGUGUUACACCUCGAGUCCUCUAAUGAGGAGAUUUUUUACUCAAACCUCUCAGGGAGAGUGGUAAUAACUUUCUCAACAACCCUGCUGUCACUAAAAUCUUCUCCAAUGAGUCUGAUAUUGUUAAUAGUAGCCAUGAUCCUAUCAGAAUAUUGCUUGAUAGUCUCUGACUCCUUCAUUUUCAAAUUCUCAAAUUCCCUUCUAAAGUUGAUUACUUGUUGCUAUCUUGUCUUGUCUGAUCCCAAGAACUCCUUUUUCAGCCUAUCCCAUGCUUGUUUGGGUGAAUCACAGGCCAUAAUCCGAGUGAAGAUCACAUCAGACACCCCAUUCUGCAGGCAAGCCAUGGCUUUGUGCUUCUUGGCUCGCUCCUCACUAUGCUGCCUCAUCUGUGCAAUAGUUGGAUUUGCCCUCAAUGGAGGUGGUUCAACAUCACUUUCAACUACACUCCACAAAUCAUGUGCUUGGAGGUAAGUUUUCAUUUUAACUACCCAAAUGUGGUAGUUCUCUCCAGCAAACACUGGUGGUGGAGGAGGUGUAAAGCUCAUGUUGCUAAAACAAGUUUGACAAAAUUGAUUUCUUUUUAAGUUUGUUUUAAACAGAAAGGCUUAAACAACAACAGAGGUCCUCAAAGACAAUAGGCUCUGAUUACCAUUUGUUAGAACAAAAUGGCAGCAAACAUGAGCAAACACAAUCAACGAGUAAAAAAAAAGAAAACUGAUGAGCGAAAUUAUAACUGAAAGAAAAAGUUAUCCAUUUCAUUCAUAAAUUUGAAAAUAUAUUGAAGUUACAAACUGAUUAGUCAGUUACCUAAACUUGUAACUGCUCCCACUAAUUUGUCUAAUUGAUAACUUAAGUAAUACAAAAGCAAAGCUAAAAAAAGUCAGCUAUUACAAAUCUAAAAUUUACCAACUUUAGAUAUCAAGUUACAUGCUAACUUGAUCACAUUACAAAAGAACAAAAUCAAACAAAGGAAGUAGACUACUUCUAGUUCUGUCUCGAUGCUGGCAUGCUAGCUGAUCUGCUGCUGCUACUGCUCUUGGUUACUUGUUGCAUUGCAGUCCAUUGCUUAACAGAAGUGUAGGUGGUCAGAGGAAAAUGGUGAAGGUAAAAUGGAAACAGAUUUGUUUACCAAAGGAUAAGGGGGCGCGAGAGUGAUGGAUAUCAGGGCUAAAAAUAAGUCUAUCAUGACCAAAUGGUGUUAGAGAUUCACGGUGGAUAGAGAAGCUUUGUGGAUAAAAAUUAUUGUUGUAAAGUAUGGUUCCCCUGUGCAACAUUGGCAUUUUAGAACGAGCAAUUUGAAAGAUAUGUCGGUAGUUUGGAGGGGUAUUGUGGAGAAUGCGGAAGAUUUAAAAGUGACUAAAUGGAUGGGGAAUGAGUCUUUUCGUUGGUUUGUGGGGAAUGGCAAUUCGAUAUUAUUUUGGGACGAUAUUUCGUAUGGUGAUAGUCCUCUGAGAGUGUAAUUUCCAAGGCUGUUUUGUUUAGUCUUGAAUAAGAAAGGACUAGUAAAAGAUUUUUUUGAUGUCGAAUGGGUUUAACGAGGUUAAUUGGGCUGAUUUCUUUUCUCGUCCGUUAAUGGAUAGGGAGAUUAAUAUGAUUACUCGUUUAAAGAAAGCUGUUAGCAGUAUUGUUUUGUUACCUGAGGAGGAAGAUCGAUUAAUCUGGAUUCAUGAUAACAAAUGGGUGUUUUCGAUGAGGAAAUUAAUAGAAUUAUUGAUCAGUGAAUGUGUGGUAGACAUAAGUUUCACUUUUGAUAAAAUCUGAAAGUUAAAAGAUGCCUCCUAGAGUGAGAAAUUUCCUUUGGGUGGUUUCAAUUGAUCGUCUUCCUACUAAGGACUUCCUCAUUAGAAGAGGUGUGAAGAUUAGUCAAAUGGAGAUUGGUUGCCCUUAGUGCUACAGUGAACCGGAGACAGCAGUGCACCUUUUCUUCCAUUGUAAAUUCAUUGUGGGUUUUUGGAGAAAAUUUUUGAAUGGUGGGAGGUGAAAUGGAGGCCAAUUGAUGGAUUCUCUACUUUUUUUUCUCAUUUUGUAAUAAUGUCUCUUAUACAGGAGUGGUUAAAAGUUUAUGGAUGAUCUCAGUGUCAGCGGCUUGCUGGUCGAUGCGGUUAGUGAGGAAUGAGUUGGUGUUCGUUAGAAAGUAGCCUACAAUGUCUAGCUUGGUUUUUCUUUCAAAGAUUCGGGCUUUGAUGUGGAUCAGAUCGGUGCAUGAAGAAUUAAAAGUGGAUGAGAAAAUUUAGUGGGUCUGUCCAUAUAGAAGCUGGAGUGAUAUUAAAAAAUCUAGAUUGAAUGGUAGGUUUUGGUGCCCUCCGAGUCUUGGUUGGGUAAAAUUUAAUGUUUGUAGUGUGGAGAUUGAGGAUGAAGUUGGGUGUGGAGGGGUGUUAAGAGAUUCAGACGGGAUGGCAAGGGCAUUAUCUUCUGGUCUGUUUGCAGCGAAAGACUCCCUUACUGUGGAGGUGGGGGCGAUUAGCUUGGCUUUGGAUGUGUUCUUAGCAAUGGGGUGGAAAGGUAAAUGCUCUUUAAUCAUCGAGGUUGGAUCCAUUGAGGUGUUUAAUUGGGUAGAAAACAAAGGUUUGAGACUGUGGUUGUUGUUUUCUUUCUUUAAAAAAGUUGAAAUUAGGUUGUCUAGAAUUGGAAAUAUUUCCUUUUUGAAAGCAGAUAAGCACGGCAAUAAGAUGGCAUUUGUGCUGGCGGUUUCUAGUCUGAAAAGGCCGGGAAUGUUUAAGGCAUGAUGGUGAUUUUAGGUGUGAUGUUGUUGUGUGUUUAUAGGUGUAUUUGUAAAUUGUUUAGUGGUUUAAUGGGGUGUUUUGUGUAGGUUUUAUUCUGGUUUGAGGAUUGUUUAACAGAUGGGGUUUGUUUGGGUUUUUGUAGGUUUGCUUGCUGUAAUCUGUCUGUGUUUGGAUUAUUGUUUCUUGGGUUUGGGUCUUCUUGUAUCUGUUGUAUGUUUAGCUUUUUUAUAGCUUUGAAAGCUGUUGCACCUUGAUUAUGCGAAAAAAAAAUAGCAGACCAAAUGAUAGAGUGACCUCAUUUUUCUUCCUUUAUGUCUUAUAUUGUGUAUGAUAUAAAGUCAAUAUUUGAAUGGAGCAUUGGUUAGUUUUUCGCAAUGAAUCCUGGACAAUAUUCCUUUGUUUGAAGUUGUGGAAAUACAUAUAUAUUGUAAGCUUUUGGUUUGUGGGAAUGCCGCCACUUUGUUGUCAAGAUUUGCUGCCCAACUUUCGCAUUUUGUAUGUGUGAUAGUGGGUUUUUUUAUCUAAAUAAUACAAAAAAUAAAAUUAAUAACUGAAAUGGUAUGCUCAUAAGAUUAUUUACUAAAAUGGUAUGGUUUUACUAGUGUCUGCUUGUCAAAUUGGCGGCACUAGACUGAAAUGUAAUGAUCUGAAGUAUUUAAGGACUUGAUAUGCAAAUUUUUCAUUUUGAGUGGCUGCUAAAAAAGGUGAAGGGUGCCACCUAACAGUGUGGCAGCACCAAACCUUAAAUGUGGCUAAUUGUCUUGUAAGCCCUCCUUAUUUAUUAUUUUAUUUUUAUUCCCCUUCAACUCACUAUAUUGUAUUUAAACAAGCCCUUAACCUAAUUUUGUAGUUAAAUAAGCCCUUAACUUAUUAUUUUUACUCAUAAAAUCCCUUUAUUUUAAUGUUAAAGUAAAUAUAUUUUACCCAAAGUAAAGCUAUUUAAAAAAAUAUAAACUAAUUCACAUUUUAUGUUGAUGUGAAUUUUAUGAUAAUAGAUUAUUAAAAUAAAAAAAUAAAAUUUUAAAAUUUCUUAAGAGUGCUUAUAUACAUGAUAUUCUUAACUACUGUUUGAAAUUUUUUAUUAUUUUUUAGAUUUUAUGUUGAUGUUAAAGUGUAUAUAAUUUUUAUUGCAUCAACAAAAAAUUAAGAUAAGAGCUUGAAAUUUAAAAUAUAUUUACUUUAAUAUUAAAAUGAAGGGCUGAGUAAAAAUUAUUUUUCCAAUAAGAUGAUGGGUAGAGAUAUUGUCAAUAUUAUUGGAUUAAAAAUUAAAUGAGGAUGUGAGAAUAAAGUAAAAGAUACAAAUUAGACGAAAAGUUAUUUGUUUACAUUUUUAAUUAAAAUAAUAUUAAUAUGUCAUGGACCAACGUGUCGAAUAUGCCUCAAUUGAGCAAUAAUAGAUAAUACAAAACUAACGAAAUAAAUAAAUAUAUCUACCUAAAUUACAUUUGAAGUUUUAUUCCAAAUAUUGUUUAGGUAAAAAUAUUUUUAAAUGAUUUUUUGAGAAAUCUCUUAAAUUUCUAUAUAAUUAAAAGUGAAAUAAAAGUAAAAAAAUUAAAAUUAAAAUAUUUUUUUUCAGAACAUGAAUAUUAAAUCAUAUCUAAUUACCUAAAUGAGAAAAUUAUAAAUUCAUUUAUUUCAAAUAAAUAAUUUUAAAAAAUCAAAUUUAUGAAAAAUUAAACCAAAAUUUCUUAUAUAAAUCAUUUACUUUAUUUUUUUUAAUAAUUCUCAUAUAAAUAAAAAUACAAGGAAAUAACUUACAUUAGAAUUAUCUUAAAAACUAAAGUUUUUAGGCACCAAUAAAAUUUUGCCACAUCAUUAAAUUUUUAAGACAUAAAAUUAUUAUUGUUAUUAUACACUCAUCCAUAGAAAAAUUAUUUUAUGGACCAUUCCCACUACAUUAUUUAUGGCCCAUUUCGAAUUAUUUAAUAACAUUUCAUCAAUUUUUCCAUGUGGUUAACACAUAAUAUUUGUAAUUUUUUUACCUUUGAACCCCAAACCUAAAACUAUGAUCAUUAAAUCUAGAAUCUCAAACUUUAAAUCUAAAAUCUUAAAUCCAAAAUCCUAAACUUGAACACUGAACUCGUAACCCCAAACCUUGAACACUAAAUCUAAACUUGAAUCCAAACCCUUAACCCUUAACCCUUGAACCAAAAUCUCGAACCUCAAAUCCGUAACUUUGAACCCUUAAACCUUGAGCCUAUCUUGAAACCCAAACCCGAACCUUAAACCUUAAAUCUUGAAUCUAAACCUUGAACCUUGGGGUUCAGGGUUUAAAAUUUAAGGUUCACGAUUUGGGUUCAAGGCUCGAAAUUCAUGGUAAAAUAAUUACCAAAACUAUGUGUCAAUAACAUAGAAAAAUUGCACAAAAUUACUAUUUUUAAAAAAAAUUGGCUGCAAAAAAUAAAAAAAUAUAUUAACUUAUGGAAAAAAGCAAAAUGAUUAAAUUUUGAAAAAGAAAAAAAUGAUUGUUUAUAAUUUAAAAAAUUAUUUAUUUUAAGUAAUUUAAUUAAAGUUAAAUUAAGUUUGAGAAGAUAUUAGAUAUAGAUGACUGUAUAAUAAUACUUUAUUAUCUUUAAAAUUUAAUGACGUGAUACUAAUUUAUUUGUGCCUAAAAAUAAUACUUUUUAAGAUAAUCUUAAUAUAAGUUAUUCCCAAAAUACAACUCCUAUUCCUAUACAAUAAUUAUGUGGUUACCAUAAUUAGGGAGAAAAAUCAAUGCAGUGGGGCCUAACUUUUGGAGUAAGAGAGGAUUUCAAGUUGUGUAUAAAUUCCAAGGCUUUGGUUGAUUGAAAUGCAGGAAGAUAUCAAGUGAGUGGUUUGUUGAUUUAGAGAAGAUGGAGGCUAAAUCGUUGUGGGUAUUACUCACUACACUUCUGUUCAUCAUACAAGGGUGGCGACAGACUGAGGGUUGCUUGGAGCAGGAGAGAAUUGCUCUCUUCCAACUCAAAUCCUUCUUCAAUCGCCUUUACAAAUUGGAAAACUGGGCGGAUGUGAAGGGUUCAAAUUGUUGCCAAUGGGAAAGAGUUGAGUGCAACAUCACUAGUAAACGAGUAACAGGCCUUGAUCUUUAUUUCACACGUUAUUGGGAUAACCGUGAAAGAAGAUCAGAUUUAUCUGGGUAUCUCAAUGUCUCUUUAUUUCUUCCAUUUGAGGAAUUGAAGAGCCUUAAUUUGAGUGAAAAUAAUAUCGCAGAUCUUGUAGAUAACCAAGGUUCGUUGCUUUUCUCUCUCUCUCAUUUCCGAUUAAUCCUUGAAAUUUAAUUUAACGUUUAAUAAUUAAUUUGUUUCUUUUAUUUUUCUAAACUAAGACACUCAUGACCAAUAACUUUCUCUUGCAUGCAGUAUCUUUAUCAUCUGUUUUCAACAACUUAGAAAUCCUUGUCUUAUCCGGCAAUAACUUCAAUGACAGUGUGUUAUCAAGUAAGCUUCCAUCUCUCAAUUUCUAUCUAUAUCUAGCAAUUAAUUGUAAGCUUAUACAAAAAAAAAAUGAAAUGAAAGUGAUAGGGUUCGAUCAUACCAACUUACAAUUGAUUGCUACAUUCUCUAUUAAUUUAUUUUAAAUUUCUUUUAAUUAACAGACAACAGGUUGAAAUAAACAAAUUGUUUCCCUUAUUUGCAUACAUUUAAACAAGUUAAAGCAUGUAUGUACUUAUUAUAAAACUUGCAAUUACUUGUCUCUAAUAUUUAAAGAUUACAGAUUUUUUAUAUAAUUAAUAGGAAUAACUUACAUAUGGUCCUAAAAAUUAAAGUUUUUAGGCACCAAUAAAAUUUUGUCACCAUUAAAUUUUAAAUGUAUGAAAUUAUUAUUAUACACUUAUCCAUAGAGAAAUUAUUUUAUGAACCUUUCUCACUUCAACAAUUUUUUUCAUGCUAUUGACACAUAAUUUUGAUAAUUUUUUUACCCUAAACUUUAAACCUAAAACCCGUAACCCUGAAUCUUUAAACCAUGAAUCUCAAACUCAUAACCUGUAUCCUUCGCUAUUUGAAGGACUGGGUGAAUGGGAAAGAGUUGAAUGCAACAUCACUAGUGAAAGAGAAAUAGGGCUCCGUCUUUUUUCCAUAUGGGUAUCUCAAUAUCUCUUUUUUUCUUCCAUUUGAGAAAUUGAGAAGUCUUGAUUUGAGUGGAAAUAAAAUUACAGGCUCGUUACUUUUCAUCUUUUCAAUCACCAAUUAAUUCCUGAAAUUUUAUUUAACGUUUUAUAGUAACUCGUUUAUUUAUUUUUCUAAAUUAAGACACUCAUGAUCAUUAAUUUUCUCUUACAUGCUGUAUAUUGAAAGUUGGAAAUAUAUUCUUCUUUUAAAAUUAAAUAUCCUACAUUACUUUUUUUUAAUGUGAAUAAGCCUCCAUAUGUGUUGAUAUAUUUCAUUGCUCUUUGAUAGAAUUGAAGAGUUUGACAAAGUUGAAGACAUUAGAUUUAAGCGACAAUAGAAUCAUAAGCCUCCGCCACUUUGAAGGUAUAUCUGAAUUUGAUAUUCUAUAUGCAUUCAAUUAAGUUUUAAGGCGUUAGACUUAUAAAGGCCUUCAUCUGUGUUGAUAUAUUCCGUUGCUUUUGAAUAGAAUUGAAGAGUUUGACAAACUUGAAAACGUUAGAUUUAAGUUAGAAUAGAACCGAAAGCCUCGAGCACUUUCAAGAUAUAUUUAAAUUUGAUCUUCUUUAUACAAUCAAUAAACCUUCAAACCGUUAACCCAAAUAAAUUGUCCUUUGAAUUGCAUGACAUAAAUCUUUUACAGGUGAGAAAGUGCAACCGAUGAUGAAUUUAGAAGUGCUUGAUUUGUCUGGUAAUCUCUUGAAGAACAAUGAUCUAACAUAUCUAAAGGGGUUAUCAAGUUUAAAGUCCUUGAACAUUGGAGGAAACCAAUUGGAAGGGUCAAUAGAUAUUAGAGGUAUGUAAAAUUUCAUAAAAUAAAAAUAAUAAGCUAUAUGUAAAUUACAAUUUCAUCAACUUUUUUAACUGUUAAAAAAAAUUAUAUCCAAAUGUAUUGGUUCAUGUGGGAUUUAACUUUUUAGGUAGUAAAAUGAAAGUAUAUUUUAGCCCUCAAUUUAAUUUUUCGUCACUUUUAAUCUUUAAAUUUGUAUUUUUUGUCAAAUCACCUAAAAUAGAUGGAAAAGUUAGACAUUUGUUAAUUUUGCUAAUGUGGCAUACAUGUGGAUUGCCACAUAGAUGACACAUCAAUAUUUAAUUUAUUUUUUAAAAUUUAAGUAUUUUUUAUUUUAUUCUAUUUUUUAUUUUUUAUUUUUAAAAUAUUUUUUGAAAUUUUAAAUUUAAAAAAUUAAUUAAAUAUUGAUGUGUCAUCUACAUAACAAUUCACCUGCAUGCAAAAGUAAAAAAUUAAAUAGAGUUCUAAAAUAACAUUUUUUAUAAAGUUGUAGAGUCAAAUGAAUUAUUAUUUUUAAAAUGUAUUUGAUGACAUUUUUAAUCGAGGAAACUAGUUGAAUUUCAUGAACCAAAAUUAUUGAUUUUUGUGAUAUGACUUAAUUUGACUAACAAAAGAGAUAUUUGAUUGAUUUGAAUAGUAUUGAAUAAUCUGACAAAGCUAAAGCUGUUGGAUUUGAGUGACAAUAAAAUUGAGAGCCUCCAAUCUUCCCAUGGUAUGUGUUGAUAUGUUUUACUUUAUCAUAUUCUUAUAUAUAAAUACCAAUAUCUCAUUUAAUAUUCCAUUAGUAAUAAAUUUGUUUAUCUCAAUGCUUUGUAGAUGGUGAGAGGCCACUUAAUUUGUCCAAUUUUGAAGAGCUUUAUUUGGAUUCCAACUCCUUCACAAAUAGUUUAUUGGCACAGCUUAAUGGUUUUUCUAAUCUAAAGUCAUUGAGUAUACGCGGUAACCAGCUUAACGGAUCAAUAAAUAUUAAAGGUAGAAUUACUUAAUAUAUUUAAUCUUCUUUUAAACGAGACAAAUUACUUGUUGAGUUAUUGCAUUCAUUCUAUGUGAUUUAAUUUUAAAUUUUAUUUAUCAAUCUUCAUAGAAUUAUUAGAUGCAUUGAGCAACUUAGAGCCAUUGAGAAAAAUAUUUUAAUUUUAAAAAAUGUAUAAAUUUUAUAUAUUAUCUCUUAAAUCAUUUAAAUUAUAAUGAUAAUUUUUAUAUAUUAAAAUUAAUAUAUUAUCUCUUUUAAAAUUAUAUUAAUAUAUUAAAAAUAAUUUAUAAAAUAAAAAAUUGUCUAUUUAAUAUAUAAAGUAAAAUAUAUAUACCAAAAUAAUAGUAUUUCAAUUUCAAAUUUUUUUUGUUAUCAAUUCUUUUAAGAUUUUUUUAGUAUUAAAUUAAAAAGUUGUAUUUUAAUCAAUACAUACAAUCAACCUAAGGGAAAGAAACUAGUUAAUAUAUAUGACCAGCUUUGUAGAUGUGAGAAUUAAUUAUUUCUAAUAGUAACAUCUAUAAAUUAUAUAGUACAAUCUUUACUAAAUUAGUAAUUAAUUCUAUUUUCUAAGUGAAAUAAUAAAUAACAAAUUUUAGUUAAUACAUUAUUGUAAUAAUUUUAUAUAAAAUAUAUUAAUCAUAUUUUAUUAAAAGAAAAUAUUUUUUAAUAAAUGAAUUUCGUUAAAGAUACAAUCUGAAUCUCGUUAAUUAAUAUUUUUAUUAAUAUAUUAUAAUUUUUUAAUUUAAAAUUUUUUAAAAAUUCAAAUAUGAUUUAAAUAUUAAAUCUUGUUAUAAAUAUAUCACAAUCACUUAUCUAUAACAUUCAAUAUUUUGACAGACGAAUGGAGUUGUUAUAUGGAAGUUGAAUAUAACUAAAUUUCUGUGAUGAUUACUUUAUUCGACUGACAAAAAAUGCAUUGGAUUGAUUUGGAUAGUAUUGAAUAAUCUGACAAGGCUAAAGACGUUGGAUUUGAGUGACAAUAAAAUUGAGAGCCUUCAAUCUCCCCAUGGUAUGUGUUGAUAUGUUUUACUUUAUCAUAUUCUUAUAUAUAAAUACCAAUAUCUCAUUUAAUAUUCCAUUAGUAAUAAAUGUGUUUAUCUAAAUGCUUUGUAGAUGGUGAGAGGCCACUUAAUUUGACCAAUUUAGAAGAGCUUUAUUUGGAUUCCAACUCCUUCGCAAACAGUUUAUUGGCACAGCUUAGUGGAUUUUCUAAUCUAAAGUCAUUGAAUAUAAGGAAUAAUCAACUUAAAGGAUCAAUAAAUAUUAAAGGUGAAAUUUCUUAAUAUAUUUAAACUUCUUUUAAAUGAAACAAAUUACUUGUUGAGUUAUUACAUUUAUUUUGUGUGAUUUAAUUAAAUUCUAUUUGUCAAUCUUCACAGACCUAAAUGCUUUGAGCAACUUAGAGAAGCUAGACAUGAGCAAUAAUGAGGUGAAAGAAUUUGUGCCCACAAAGAAUAAAGGUAUAUGUAUCAACUAAAGAAAAUCUUAAUAAUUAUUUGUCGUUAGAUAUCUAGUGAAUUGAUGCCAACCACUAAUUUGACUCUCAGAAAAUGAAAGUUUGGAGAAGCUAAAGGUUGCUACAUUAAACAAUGUGUUCAUCAAUGGGACUGUUUCUCUAAUGCAACUUCUGGAGACAUUCUCAUCUGUUAAUACCUUAUAUUUGAGAGACAAUCACUUCAAUGACACCAUAUCUACUCAAGGUAUAAUAUAUAUGUGCGUGAAUAUAUAGUUUUAAAAAUAUUAUUUACUUAACAUCAAUCAUCUAAAUAACUCUUAUAAAUUUGUAAAGAUCAAUUGCAUGUGUCGAGCAAAAUAGAGGAAUUGGUGUUGGAUGGUUCAUAUAUCAACAACAACAUUCUUCAAGGCAUUGGUGUAUUGGCGUCUCUUAAAAUUUUAUCUUUGCGUGGUUGUGGGUUGUCUGGGACAUUAUCUACUCAAGGUAAAUUAAUAAUUAUGACAUAAUUAUUUAGGCAAUCUCUUGAUUAGUUAUUUUUUAUCCUCUUAGAUAACUAGAAUAACUUGCACAAAUUUUUUUUAAAGGGUGGUGCGAUUUAUGGAAGCUUGAGGUGUUGGAUCUUGGUGAAAAUGCUAUUGAGGGAACACUCCCUCCAUGUUUGGCUAACUUGUCAUCUCUUGAUUAUUUGGAUAUUUCUGAUAAUCAAUUCACCGGGAAAGGUGCCUCCACUGCUCUAGCCAAUCUCACUUUGCUUAGAUUCAUUUCUCUUUCACAAAACCUAUUCGAAGUUCCAUCAAUUUUCAUAUCAUUUGCCAACCACUCACACCUCAAAUUCCUCUUUAGUGAUCAAAACAAGUUAGUCAAAGAACCUACCAUUCAAACAUGGGUCCCAAAGUUCCAACUAAAAGUCUUCCGUUUGUGGAAUUGUGCAACAAAGGAACUCCACAUUGAAAUUCCAAAAUUCCUCUAUUACCAAAAUGACUUGAGUUUUAUUGAUCUUUCAGAUAAUAAUUUUGGAGGGAAUCCUUUUUGGUUGUUAGAGAACAAUACAAGAAUGGGAGCAUUUUUAAUGAAGGGUAACUCUUUUAUGGGCCAUUUCAAUAUCCCAUCUCAUCUGAAUCCAAACAUGUCCAUUGUUGAUAUAUCUGACAACAAAAUACAAGGUCCAAUUCCAGCAAACAUUUGUUCAGUCUUUCCACAACUAGCUAGGUUAAACCUAUCAAGCAAUUUCCUUCAAGGUAAUAUUCCUCCUUGUUUGGGUAAUUUGAAGACUAUGUUGAUGAUAGAUCUGUCACAUAAUCAGCUAUAUGGAGGAAUACCAGAAAUGUCAGCUCAAAGUGACUCAUUGAUGUUUCUUAGGCUAUCAAAUAAUCAUCUAAGUGGGAAGAUAAGCCCAACGAUCUUUUGUUCAUCUUCAUUACAAUUCUUAUAUUUAGAUGGCAAUAAAUUUGAUGGAAAUAUACCUAGCAUUGAUAUCUCAACUUUCCCUUAUUACUCCCUUAUUGAUAUAGAUUUAAGUAACAACAAUUUGUCUGGAGAGCUACCAAGAUGGAUAUGGAAUGUGUCAAAUUUACAAACAUUGGCAGUAUCCAACAACCAGCUCAAAGGUCUCAUUCCGAUGGAAUUGUGCUAUUUGGUUUCUCUUGAAUUUUUGGACCUUUCAAAAAAUAAUUUUUUUGGGCCAAUACCAUCUUGCUUCCAUGCACAAUCUAUCAAACAUCUCCAUUUGAGCAGAAAUAGAUUAAGUGGUACCUUGACAAAUGCAUUCUUUAAUAGCUCUUCCUUGGUUACUUUAGAUCUUAGUGAAAACCAGUUGACUGGUGAAAUUCCAUACAAGAUUGGAACUCUUUCGGCUUUGAGUGUUCUCCUUCUAAAAGCCAAUUAUUUUGUCGGAGAAAUUCCCAUUGACAUAUGUAAAUUGUAUUCAUUAAAUAUCAUUGAUCUUUCUCAAAACAAGCUUUCUGGUCUGAUACCUUCUUGUUUGAGUCAUUUAACUUUUGAGCCAAGUGGUGGAAAAUCUUUUACAUUGGAUUCUACAGAAGUAUUAGGUUUAGUAGGAAUUGUGGAUUUUGGAGAUUUCUUGAGGGGAGCUAAUUACUUUGGAAUUACUGAAUUUGAAUUAUUCAAUUUUAGAGUUGAAGAACCAUUCAAUCUACAUGCCUCUAUUCAUGAACAACGGGAAGAAAAGGUGGAUUAUACAACAAAGAGAGUAUCUUACACAUACAAAGGAAACAUUCUUGAGUACAUGUCUGGAAUUGAUUUAUCAUGUAAUAGAUUAACAGGUGAAAUUCCCAGGGAGAUUGGAAAUUUGAGUGAAAUCCGAUCACUGAACUUGUCACACAAUAAUUUGACUGGACAUAUACCGUCAACGUUCUCAAAGCUCAAGCAAAUUGAGAGUUUGGACCUGUCUCACAACAACUUAAUUGGAAGAAUCCCUGUUCUAUUGAUGGAGUUGUACGCCUUAGCAGUCUUCAAUGUGUCAUACAACAACUUGUCAGGGAGUAUUCCGUCUCCGAAAGCUCAAUUUGGAACCUUCGACGAAAGCAGUUACGUGGCGAAUCCUUUCCUCUGCGGGUCUCCCCUACAUAAAAAUUGUAAUGACCUUGAUUCACCCCCAACAGCAGCACCAAAUAGCUCAAACAAGGAAGAAGAAAGUGGUUUGAUGGACAAGUAUGUUUUCUGGGUGACCUUUUUUGUUUCUUACGUAAUUGUGUUACUAGUUAUUGUUCUUAUCCUGUACAUAAAUCCUUAUUGGCGGCAAGCAUGGUUUUCUUUUGUUGAACAUUUCAUCAAGACCUGCCA